rnacentral:lncRNA from 1 species
ACAAGAACAAUUAGACCAGCAUUUGCAAGAAUCCUGUAAGGUAUUACUGCAGAUAUAAAUCGACUGAGGAAAUGGAAAAAUUGAAUACCAAAUUAGGCAAGUUAAAUGAAGAUUGAGUUAUCAUAGAAGAAUAAAACUCAUCCAAUUCAAUCCAUCAAAUUCCAUAAGGAUACAACUGGAUGUCAUACUGCUGCUCCAUAUCCUCAAGAGCCCGUAGAUUUUGCCUCAACUCUGGCUGAGGCCAAUGUAAGUCCAAUUUGCAAAAGCUCUUUAUGCACCAUAGCUCUUCAGGAAGCUUUCUCAAGUAAGCACAAGGGUUGACAAUUAUGCUUCCAAGUUUUGGCAUUGCUCCAGCCCCUAUCGUCCACUCCUCUAGCCAAUACAUUGAUUUCAGGUGCAAUACCUUGAGCUCCGGGAAACCACAAGAGCAAACACAAGCCAGUUUUCUUCCUGAAUAUGAGUUCUGCUUCAAUUUCAGCACUUGAAGGUGUGGAAGCUUGUCUAGUGUUAGCAUGGUAUCCUCCAAUAACUCAGUAUUUGAUAAGCUUAGAUGGAUCAGACUUGGAGAAGCUGGUAUUUAGACAGGGCCAUCCGAGAGAGCUACCACCUCUUGGUUUCGUUCACCAGCUUCAAGCAUUCAAGUUUAAUAAUGAUUAGUUUUAGAUUAGUUAAAAUGUAAUCAUGAUUAAGAUAAAUAUAUAUAUAUAUAUAGCUGCUGUACUGAUAUCAUGGAUUAAGUGUUGAGAAAUAAAAUUCAUUAAGCAUUUCCAGAACUCUUGAUUUUCUUUCUCAGUAACCAAGCAACUUCAAUCACAUUUUUUUUUUCCAACAAUGAGUUCUCAAACCACUCAGGUAUCAUUUUCAGACAUUCUUGGCCUUGUACUCACCAUCAAAAUGGAUUGGUUGAGAGAAAACAUAGGCAUAUUGAUGGUUGUCGAAGCCAGCAAAAAUAAACACCUACUCUAAAUAAAUUGUGUAUAGUAAUUGAGCAGGGUCGUGUCCACGAAAAUCGGUAAUUAUUUAAAUCUUUUUAAAAUGUAAAAUACAAAAUGGGGGAAUUGUUGACGAUAAUAAAAAUCAAAUUAAAAUAACAAGAAUGCAAAUUAAAGUUGUAAUCCAAAUUGGAGAAAGCUCUGGUUGAAGGAAUUAACUCAGCUUGAUUCGACUACUGAUCAUUGAUUCAAAUAAAUAUUAUUACUACUUAUGAAUAGACCGGUUAUAGCUACUGAGACCCUCUAAUAGCCAGUCUCUCCUUAACUAGCCGAUAACCAAGGUACGACCUUUGGUUAUUUCCCUAAUCAAUAGACAACCCUAGAUACGAUCAUAAGAUUUAAUCAAUUGACAGUCUGAAAAACCAGAGAGACCCAAAUCCUAAUCAACAAACACAUACGAUGGUUCAUUUAAAUUAGAUUGUUUAUUCUCACAACACAACUCUCUGCUAUGUUAUUUGUCACAAACAUUAAAAUUUUCAUACGAUGAAUCCUUUAAUUGACAUUAGAUUAAGUUGAUAAUUAAAUAGUGGCCAAUUAUCUAAUUAACAAAAAUAAUCAUGAUAAUAAUUCAGAGAAUAAACAAAUACCCAAAAAGUAAUAAAACAAUUAAAGCAUAAGAAAGAUCUCACAGUAGUGAUGAAUCAAAGCUUCAUUAACCUUCAACCAGAAUAAUAAGUUUAGUUCUUCAUAGAGAGAAGAGAAAAAUUUAGAUCUAGGGUUUUCUCUUUUCCCCAAUAAGUCCCUUUUUUCACAAUAGAUUCCUCCCUUAAAUACUCUCUCUCUCUUCUCCUCUAGAAUUCUAUUUAAAAUAAAUACUAAUAUCUGAAAUAUUAAAUUCGUAAUUACAAAAAUAACCAAAAAUACAAAACACGUUAAACUAAAAACUGCAGGUCCGUAGUUGACAGCACAAGCCCACGCCUUAUCAACAAAGUUCUUCUGACGCUCAUAAUUUCUCCAAGAGAACAAUAAUCCUUAAACAUCAUCUUGUAGCUCAAUUUUAUCACCAAUCAAUAGAAUUGCACCUACAAAAGUAAAACACAAGUAAAUCACUAUUAUUAAGUGCAAAACAUCGAUAUUAAGGGAAGUAAACAAUGCAAAACUAGUGCAUAAAUUGCACUCUAACAAUUAAGUUUGACUCUGUUGGCUCAAGCUCAACUUCCUUUUAAAUUCUGGUGGGAUGCAUUCCAUACUGCUCUAUAUCACAUCAAUAGAUUACCAUCUUCUGUUUUCAAACUUUCGACCCCAUAUGAGAAGAUAUUUAAGCACAAACCUGAUUAUGAUUUUCUCAAAUGUUUUGGUUGUAUUUGUUAUCCUUACUUGAGAGACUAUAACAAACAUAAGUUUGCCUACCAUUCCAGUAAGUGUAUAUUCAUUGGUUAUAGUCCUUCACAAAAGGGUUAUAAAUGCUUACAUUCUUCAGGUCAUGUCUAUGUGGCAUGACAUGUUAUCUUUGAUGAGUCAACCUUUCCUUAUGCUACUGAAUCUGUUUUUCAUAGUCACACAAAUUCUGAUUCUCAUUCUUCAAACUUAUUUACUCCACAGCAUGUCUAUUAUCUUUCUACUUUACCUGUCAUACCAGUAUUUCUAAAUAACAACACUGAUAAUCUAAACUCUACAAAACUAAAAUGCCAGCUUUUUGGUGUUAGCGAUAGGAAACAACUUACCACAACCAUUAAUUAUCCAUAAUUUCAUUGUUUAUCCUCAGUUUUCUUCAUAAAUGUUACAGCAUUCUUCAUGAGAAAGUGCAAGGGCAUCUCAAAAGUUCUGAAAUAAUACCUCAAUUCUAUUGCAAAAAUAAAUAAUCUCAAACAAGAACCAAUAAUCAUAUUUCGUUACUGUCAAACACAAUGCAUCUGAGCAAAACAUUGGAAGCCAACACCAGAAUACAUAUGAAUAAACAAUUAAAGAUAGAGAAAAAAGGCUUAAACCUUGGGGGAAAAAAGUGAAAAAACAUGAAAGACAAAUUACACAUGUGCAGUAACCAUCGAACUUAUCAGUGACAGCUGCAUCCAUUACAUUGCUCCAACAACACAAUGGCAAACCACCAGUUUCAAAUUGAGGAUAGCUCUCGAGAAUGAGAAAGUGUCCAAAACGUCAUAAAUAGACAUGUUCCUAUUGUGCAUAAUUUACAUUAUAGGCAAAUAUUCUUAUACCAUCAAAGGCAAAACAUGACACUAACAAUUGGGAAUCCACUCCCCCCUUUUCCUUUUUUACCCUCAUAAUUAAAAUAAAUAAAUAAUAUUUAAUAAAAUAAAUAAUAUCAUAUUUAUUAAAAAUAAUAAUUAUAAACAUAUUUAUUUUAUUAAAUUUAAUAAAAUAAAAAUAAAUAAAUAUUAUAUUUAAAUUAAUAAUAUUAAACAUUAUUUUAAUAAAUAUUAAUUAAUUAUUUAAUUAAUAAUAAUAAAUAUUUUAUUCUAAGAAAAUAUUAAUUUUGUACUAUAUUAUCAAUAAUAAUGUUUCAUUUGUGUUGCUAUUAUUAAUAAUUUUUAUUCACAUAAUUUAAAUUAAAAUUAAUAAAAAAUUAUGAUUUACAUAAUUAAGAAUAUUAUUAAUUAUUAUUAAUUUAUAAAUAUAAUAAAAUAUUUAUUUUAUUUUUCAAAUAUAUUUUUUAUUAAUUUUGUAAUUACAAAUUAUAAUUCUUUAAAUAAGGGUAAAAUUGUAAUUUAAAACUAUUUACUUCCAAUCCAAGACAAUGUAAACACAUAAAUUGGAUUCUGGUUUCAAUUCCAUUCUCUCAUUCCAUUGUAAGUAAACAACCUACUCCAACUCCCACUCCAAACUCCCAAUCUUAGGAUUCCCACUCCUCAGGAUUCCCACUCCAAUCCAAAAUGUAAACGCAUAUAAAAGUAUUUUGAGCAUUACUGGUCAUUGUCUUUCUAUGAGCCACUUAUUUUGAGCAUUAGCGACCUUAUAAGGAAUCAUGCCUUUUCAGGAUCGUUUUCUUUCAUUUCCCUAUUGUCGUAGUUAAUUAAAUAAAGAACGAACAGCUGAACUUGGUCUAUUUCGAGGAAGACCAAGGCUUCCAAUACUAGAGGAACUUUGAAGAAAAUUAAUUGGAAGCCUUCAUUCAUCUUUGAAGAAAAUUACGUGCCAACGUAACCAAGGCUUUUAUUCAUCUUCGGACUAUGAAUUUAUACAAAGACAUUAACAGAAAAUAACAAAGACACAGCUAAAUGAUAGCAGCAAGUGCUGAUUUAGUGAACCACUUUUACAAGUAAAUAAAAAGUAAAUAUUUAUUUUGACUAUAACAACAACUACCCUCUUGAAUAGGACUCUACAGCAGCCACGUGACAACUAAUUUUUCCAUAAUAUUAUUAUUAGUAGAAGUAGAUUUUCAAACUAGUCUUGAUAGAUUUCAAAGUUGUAUUAUCAAUGUAUAAGUAUCUAGAUUGUAACUAUAUUUUUAAAAAUAAAAUAUUUUAAUUAUUGCACAGUAAAUGUAGAAGAAUAUCUGUAAAAUAAUAUUAUUAGGACUAAGAAAAAAUAUUAUUUCAGAUACGUUAUUUAUUUAUUAUUGAAUUAAUAAUUUAUUAAUUUAUUGAUAAAUGAAUAUUUAUUAAUUUAAAGAAAGACUUUUUUGGUUUUAUGAAGAGUUUGUUUGGUACAUGCACACACUUAUAAAGAAACAUAAAAAGUGCUUCCUCAAGUCAAUGGUAUUUGCUCUAAUCGCUACGAUUCAUAAUAAUAUAGCUUAGUUAGGAAAUUUGUAAUUAUAAUAUGAUUCUUUUAAUACAACUUUUCAAGUAGAGCUUAUUUAAGUAGAGAUUUUGUUAAUAGAGGUAUUAUAAAUAAAGAUUCCACUAAAAAAAAUUUAGUUGUUUGAUUAUAAUGUCCAAAUUGAUGAACUUUUAUUCUUUUGUUAACAUCUGUUUGUUUUACUUAAUAAUAAAAGUUUAGUUUACAAUUACACCGGUAUCAAAUCAGCAGAGCAUUGUUGUUUUACUUUAUAAAAGCAUCGGCAAGAGUUUUCGAUUGUUGCAACUUGCAAUGCACGCGGUGAGAGAAAAUGAGAAUCUUGUUUAAUUGUCAAUAAUGACAAACCUAAUCCUUUCAUUAGGAGUAAUUUAAUAAUCGUUUGUUAUAAUUGAAUAGGUAUAAAGAAAGGACAAUUCUAUUCAUAGAUUCGACUUAUUUUUUUGUUUAAAGUAAGUAAUCAUUCAACCAUCUUCAUUUGCCUCUGGCCAAUGCCCUAGUAGAUUAGUUGAAGCGUUAAUUACUUAAUUCAGAUAAUUACAACGUCCUUUUCGCUAAUUAAUUAUGAUUAUGUACAUUUUCAUAUAGCAAGUGGCAUUGUAGAUAUAAACUAAGUUGCUAUUUCAAUACGUUAAUCAAGUGAUUCUCCUCAUUGUCAUCAGCGUCAUACCCUCUAGGAAAAUAGCUCAAUUGUUUCCAUGCAUUGAUUUUCAUUGGUAUGUGAUUUCAGAUUUCUUAUGAAAUUCUUUUGAGCUUUCCUUAUUAAUUGAUUUUCAAUUAACUUGUGAACGAUUUUAUACCCUCUCUUUUUUUUUUUUUUAAGUACUCUAUUGAAAGCCAAAGUUCCUUUGGCCAGUUAAUUUAGAAGUGAAGGAAAGAAUAAAGUUAGUCCUCGACGUCUUUUGAAAUUAGAAAUACAUUUUGAAUGCUUUAAUAGAUGCAGAGCAAACUGGCUCGAUAUCUAACUAUUUUAAGAGCUAAAAUCAUUUAAUAGAAGUUGUAGCAUUAAAAAAAAAAAAAACUGGCUUGAUAUCCAAUUUUGUUAUUGAAUAUGUCUCAUGUGAGAGUAAAAAAAAACUGGCUUGAUAUCCAAAAUUUAAAGGUAACUCCUUGAAUUUGAUUGAAAAAUUAUUGAGACGGACAAGUUUGGACCAUUGUUCGAGACUGAAACUACACAUCAGUCUUAGAAAAUUGUAAUUUUGUUGGCUUAUCAUGAUUUUGAUCGCCUCACAUUGAUUUUCCUAUGGCGUCUCUGUAGAGUGGCUAUGCUUACAUUUUUAGGUAUUUAAUUCUAAAAAUUAACUUAUUAGAUGGAAGGAACAAUUCUACCUGUAAAUCCAAGUGGCUUCCCUUUACCAACUCAUACAAGACACAACAAUAAUCUUCUUCGGAAAAAACCACCGUCGGAGGGCUAUUUUCGUUCAACAUAUAUGAGUUGUUCCGCCACCAUAUUUUAAGGGUUUGCUUCUAAUACAACUUGGGGGAGCUAGGGCUAAGAUUUCUAAGUAUCAACAUAAAAACCUCACCUAUUGGAUAGAAGGACCAAUCCUACUUAUAAGUCUAAAUGACUAAUUUUUGAGAACACAACUCAACAGACCAAUAUAAACUUUUGACGUCCCAUUUUAUUACUUUCCAGUGCUUUUACUUUUGCUGUCUAUAGCCCUACUAUUCUAUUAAGCAGAAAAUAUUUCAAGGCACUCUCGGUCCAGUAGAUAACUUUGGUAUUUAUUAUCUAUUUUCUUUCCAUUUUAUGUAUACCCCGAUCUUUACCUCUGAUUGGUUGUAGAUUCUUUUGUUGCUUUGGGGUUAGGGGAUGGUUUUCAUAACUAUUCAGUUGAUCAAUGCAGAAAAUCACCUUCAAGAAAUGAUAAAGGAUUGUUAGUUCUAUCUGGCAAACAACAUUAAUAUGAAGGAUGGUGGUUGUUCUGUUCAAGAGUUUAUAAUGACAUAAUUCUACUUUGGUCUUUUAAAAAAAGUAAUUUAGAAACGAGGAGUAUGUGAGUGAUGAUUUUUACAAAAUAAAUUACAUGCGUAGUGAUGAUUUUGGCACAUGAAAAUGAAAAAAGAAAUAUAAAUUGUGAAUAAUAAUUGAAGAACCUGCUAUUGGUAUAUUGAGUAAUCAAGGACUUCAAUAUUCGGACGAUAUAAGCAACACAAUCAAAUAUUAGUUGGAAGGCAUAGCAAAAUUAGAAUGUAGAACAAACUGGGUAUUGAUAAAUGGAUGGUUUUGGAAGAAUUGAAAAUGAUGGCAUAAGUAAACCAAAGUUUAGAGAAAAGAGAAAGAGCAUUUGAACUUUACUUGUAAGAAAAGGCAAAUAUCUUGGUUCAAGAAAAGAUAAGAGAUAUCAAACUAGCAAUAGGAAAAAGGAGGAAGGUUAAGACAGCAUCUUAACAAAAGCUAAAGAAAAGAAAAACUUAGUUCAAGCAAAGAACAAUGUGCUAAUGUCGUGUAAUUUUGUUUAAUUUCUUUUUCUUCUCACAUUUUCCAGGGCUUAAAUAAUACAAUAUACAUUUUCAAGCAAAGAACAAUAUGCAAUUGCAGUACUUCUGAGCACACAACAACAAAUAAAUAAUACAAUAUACAUAGCCAGUAAAUUAAAAAUAUAUAUAUUAUUCAAGUUUGUGGACAAUACUGUAGCCAUGGCGUCGUCGAAAUCUACUGACAGCUGAAACAAAGAAAGAAUGGAUGAAUGCUGGAUCACAGUUGAAAUUGAAGGUCUGGUAGGUGAUGUUUCCCUCUCUUUUUUUACCUAAACAAAUACAAGAAAAUCAGAAUCACAAAUGAAAAUCUGCUAUUACACUGUUCUUACUUAUUAAAAUACAGAGGUUUCUUUGUUUCUCUGCAGCAAUGUCCAUGGCUAUUAGAAACAAGAACAAUUAGACCAGCAUUUGCAAGAAUCCUUUAAGGUAUUACUGCAGAUAUAAAUCGACUGAGGAAAUGGAAAAAUUGAAUACCGAAUUAGGCAAGUUAACUGAAGAUUGAGUUAUCAUAGAAGAAUAAAACUCAUCCAAUUCAAUCCAUCAAAUUCCACAAGGAUACAACUGGAUGUCAUACUGCUGCUCCAUAUCCUCAAGAGCCCGUAGAUUUUGCCUCAACUCUGGCUGAGGCCAAUGUAAGUCCAAUUUGCAAAAGCUCUUUAUGCACCAUAGCUCUUCAGGAAGCUUUCUCAAGUAAGCACAAGGGUUGACAAUUAUGCUCCCAAGUUUUGGCAUUGCUCCAGCCCCUAUCGUCCACUCCUCUAGCAAAUAAAUUGAUUUCAGGUGCAAUACCUUGAGCUCCGGGAAACCACAAGAGCAAACACAAGCCAGUUUUCUUCCUGAAUAUGAGUUCUGCUUCAAUUUCAGCACUUGAAGGUGUGGAAGCUUGUCUAGUGUUAGCAUGGUAUCCUCCAAUAACUCAGUAUUUGAUAAGCUUAGAUGGAUCAGACUUGGAGAAGCUGGUAUUUAGACAGGGCCGUCCGAGAGAGCUACCACCUCUUGGUUUCGUUCACCAGCUUCAAGCAUUCAAGUUUGUGUAGUUCGCAUAGGCUUUUGGAAACCCCAGAACGAUAAUAACUCAAACCUCCAGAUACUAAGAGUUUGAAAAUGAGGUAGUCUGCCUGUUAAAGUAGCUCACUAUGCUGAACGAAAGAAGGAGAAAGCUAAGCUGAAGAAAAUACAGGGCAAGAGUAUUAGCUGUGCCAGCUCAACUGACAGCUCAGCAAAAUCAGUUAAAUUUUGUUACAAGCUCCCUGUGCAUUGUGCUGAAGAUUAGUUAGUUUAAUAAUGAUUAGUUUUAGAUUAGUUAAAAUGUAAUCAUGAUUAAGAUAAAUAAAUAAAUAUAUAUAUAGCUGCUGUACUGAUAGGGCAUCUCAAAAGUUCUGAAAUAAUACCUCAAUUCUAUGGCAAAAAUAAAUAAUCUCAAACAAGAACCAAUAAUCAUAUUUCGUUACUGUCAAACACAAUGCAUCUAAGCAAAACAUUGGAAGCCAACACCAGAAUACAUAUGAAUAAACAAUUAAAGAUAGAGAAAAAAGGCUUAAACCUUGGGGGAAAAAAGUGAAAAAACAUGAAAGACAAAUUACACAUGUGCAGUAACCAUCGAACUUAUCAGUGACAGCUGCAUCCAUUACAUUGCUCCAACAACACAAUGGCAAACCACCAGUUUCAAAUUGAGGAUAGCUAUCGAGAAUGAGAAAGUGUCCAAAACGUCAUAAAUAGACAUGUUCCUAUUGUGCAUAAUUUACAUUAUAGGCAAAUAUUCUUACACCAUCAAAGGCAAAACAUGACACUAACAAUUGAUCCCCCCCCAAAACCAAAAAAAAGGAAAAAACAAUACAGAAAAGAUUGAAACAGAUAAGGCUACACUGAGCACAGGAUGCCAUGAAACAUAAUCCAGGAACCAAAUUAAUAAAAAAGGAAGCCAAACCAUUAUUUAACAAUCUGUUUUGUAUUUGGGAAAGUCUGAUAAAAUCUACUUAGGGAUAAUUAGAGAACCUCAACUAUUAAUCACACCUCAUAAAUGAACUAACAUUAACCAUCUACCAUCCCCACGUCACACAAACAUUCUCUAUACUUCUGAACCUAAUCCAUCUUCAAUUGGGGUUUUUUUUUUUUUUUUUGGGUGGCGGGGGGGGGGAGCUAUCAAUUUUCUAAGCUUGCUUAGCUUCUGUGUGGGAUUGAAAUGCUGAUUUCAAAUCACUAACAGUAAAAUUGGAAGCUCAUGAAAAAACAGUUUUAUCUCAAAAUUACAUCUCGAUAUAAAUUCUCUUUUCAUUUCCUUCAACUUUCUAAUUAAGCUUAAAAAAUGUACCUUCAACCACAAAGGGGUUUAAAAUUUAAAAUAUAAAAAAUAAAUUCAGAUAACAAUAAUUAAUUUAAUUAAAAAUAUAAAUAGAGUUACAGAGAAAGAGAAAUUAGAGAAAGACCUAAUGUUGAGUCCUUUGGCGCAUGUCUCUUCAUAGGUCCGAACCAUUUCUUCGGGCGUGGGUUACGGCCGAGAUUGGAUAAUGAUGGAGGAGGAGAAGAUUAGCGAUGACGACGCCGAUGAAAUGGAAGGGUUUACCAGAGGAGUGGAUGCGAAGAGUGCAGGGACGGCCGCAGAGAGAGAGCAGCGGAGUGCGGCGACGGACGGUAGUGACCAGCGGAGGCGGAAGAUGGCGGUAUGGGCCAUUGCUUGCGCGUCGGUGAGUGUCUCGAGUGAGAGAGUGAAACCUCUACUUAAAUAAGUUCUACUUGAAAAACCGUACCAAACGGAGCUUAAAGUUAAUAGUCUCGUAUCUCCCGCAUUUGAUAUCUUAUUGGCAUCAGCGUGUUACCUAAGAUUGGGAUUCAUUAAAAUCCUCAAUGUAAUCGGUGGAACGAAUGGAUUUCUUCUGUUCACCUAUCCACCAAAAUUUCUGUAAUUAAAUUCAAAAGUCAAGAUCUAUGCUUAUUAUCUAUUCAACAGCUAAUAUUCUAAUUUAUAUUUACUUAAAUAUGAAGAGCUAUGCUUGUAAUUAACUUCAAAUGUGAUCGAAGCAGCCUUACAUCUGUAUAUUACUUAUUCCCAACCUUUUUUUUGACUUCAUAUACUUUCUUUUCAUGUUAUUUACUCUUUUUUUUCCCCUCUCUGACAAUUGAGGUAGGGGGUCAAACUUGAAAGUAUCUUAAAAUCAGACAUUUUUUUUUAAUAAUAACCUAGUUGUUUGCAUUAGAAAUGAUAUUUUUUGUGGUGCUGAUAAAGAGGUUAAUUAUGAUUCAACAAUUUAAAAUAUGAAAACAUGUGGAAGACGGCCGCAAUUAAAUUGAUUGUAUGAAAAUAUUUCAAUGAAAGUUUAAAAAUUUAGUACUUGUUAUCUUAUCGAGAGUUUUUUAAAUUAUAUUACUACUUGAACUUGACUGCUUUUGUAUUGAAUUCCUAGCGUUGACAUUGCUUCUACUCAAAAGCCAUUUAAGUUUGUGUAAGCUACCUGUAGUUUGAACAACAAUUUACUCAUGAAUUCUUGUUCAUAAUAGCAAUUUGAUUGAAAGUGCGGCUGCACUAAUUUUCUAGAUGAAUUUUUUCCUACAUGCUUGUUCUCGUAUGACCCAAAAUCCUGCUACAUCAGUUGUAUUAGAAAUUAAUCAACUGGGUUACAAUUAUGCAUCCCCACCAAUAUUUAAGCAAUUUAAUUACAGAAACAUUUCUUGAGGAAAGAAACUCAUAUCGGCACUAGGCUUUCAAUGAGGCUCAUUUUUAUGAAUCUGGAUAGCAUUAGAUAUCUCUCCGAAUAAUGGUGGGAGUAGAUCGCAGAUCUGGCUAUACUACAAAGUGUAUGUACGUUGACUCUCAAUAAAUACAAAUGAUUCUCUGAUAUUUUUUUUUUUGAUAUUAAUCACGAGAUAUCCUGAGGAGGGCCCCAACUGUGGGAGGCACCUUUAAGCCCGUACCACAACUCAGACUAGAAGUCCCCGCUCGAACCGGGAGGCACAGGUUCUCCCAACAAAGGCGACUUCCCUGCGACUCGAACUGAGGAGCAAACUCAGUCAAUGAUUCUCUGAUAUGAUUCAAAACAUCAGUGCAUGCAUCAUUUUAACUAGAGAGAAUAUUCUAAGAAUGAAAUUGAACGUGCAAUCAGCAACUAAAAUGAAGCCAGAAAUGUACACGCAUGAGGAAUUUUUCCUAGAAGAUUGAUAUUUCUUUAACUAGCAAACCAUACAAGUCCAAAGCUAACCAAACCAUACCUGCAAGUCCGGGGCUUAAAUGGAGUACUUGUAAGCAUAAAACAUUAAUCAAAACACAGUAUAGACACACACACACACCCCUCCCUACAUACAUACCAGCAAAUUCGAAAUAGAAAAAGGAGUGCAACUCACAAAACAGUCGGAGGUGGAAUUCCAGCAUAUCUCCUUCUCUCCGUAGCACUCAGAGGUAUAGUUGAAAGAUUAAACACCAUGGAAUAAUUUGAAAGGAAAAUGCCAAGAAACUGUGUAAGUGGCUAAAUUCCACAAAUAUUACAUUAUUGCUCAUUUUUAUCUCAAAAAAAUGGUACGCGUUCAUUUAGAGAAGAGUCCAAGCCCAGUAACAGGAAUAUUUUAAUUACUACCAUGACAUAAUUGAUGGUGCUUAAAUCAAUUGUUUCUUUUUUAAUUUAAAGAUUUUUUCAUUAAAAAAUAUUUUAAUAUCAAAAUGCCUUCAAUGGCAUUACUGCCGCAAGCCCAGCAACAGGAUUAAUUAAAAAGUUCAGAAUUUUUGGGCAUGGAAACUGGAAAGAGUAUUAAACAUCAGAAAGCUAAGGUUUGUUCUGUUAAAGAAUUGAUAUUGACAUAGUUUUUUUUUUGAGGAAAAAAAAAACAUAUUUGUUGACAAGUAAGGAAAUGUUUUUGUAUUUUACAAUCUGUUAUUACAUAUUUUAUCAUAUUAAAGUAAUUUUAAUAACAAAUAGAAACAUAAUAUUACAAUAAAUAAAUUAAAGUUUAAAUUAUUUUGAAUAUUAUAAAAAAUAAUGUUAAUAUUAUUAAUAGGAAGACAUUUUGUUAAUUUUAAAAUCUUUUUAAUCCAAAGGUUUAUUUAAAAUCUCUAUAAUAAAUACAAAUAUAAGAUUAAAAUAAAAAUCAUAAUUUGAAAAUUUUAAUAUUAUUUUAAAUGUUAAAUAUACUUUAAUGUUAUUAGCCUACUACGUAGAUUUUAUUAUUUAUAUUAUAUUCGUAUUGAUUAAAAUUUUUUAAAAUCAAUUUUUUAGUUAGUACAUUCAAGAGGUAUCAUAGUUAAAGAAAAGAUUUUGGUGCAACUGUUUUAAAAUUUCAGGGACUAAAUGAUAAUUUUUUUAAAUUUUAAGGAAGUUGGUAUUAUUUUUCCGACAAUUUAUUUUAUUUUGAGGGAAAUCCGAUGAGAAAUAUCAUCAGAGAACAUUAAUUUAACAUUCUUUACCUUUAUGAAAAAAGUGAAAAUCAAGAACUAUUCAAUUUUGUAUUUUUUGUUUGUAAUUCAAAAAAUGCAUCCACCAAAUCAAGAACUAUUCAAUCUUGAUUUUCCCAUUUUAUUCAUUUUCGAUGCAUCCCCCACUAUUUUUACAAAUCUCCAUCCCACAUCUACACUAUCAAACAAGUUGAUGGAAAUUGAACCCAGUAAGUUAUGUUCAUUACUGGUCAUUGUCUUUCUAUGAGCCACUUAUUUUGAGCAUUAGCGAUCUUAUAAGGAAUCAUGCCUUUUCAGGAUCGUUUUCUUUCAUUUCCUUCUUGUAGUAGUUAAUUAAAUAAAGAACGAACAGCUGAACUUGGUCUAUUUCGAGGAAGAACAAGGUUUCCAAUACUAGAGGAACUUUGAAAAAAAUUAAUUGGAAGCCUUUAUUCAUCUUUGAAGAAAAUUACCACACUUUAAAUCCUGGAUAAAAAAAAUUUUAUUCAUCUUCGGACUAUGAAUUUAUAAAAAAACAUUGUUAGGACUAAGAAAAAAAUAUUAUUUUAGAUAAGUUAUUUGUUUAUUAUUGAAUGAAAAAUUUAUCAUGAUAAAUAAAUAUUUAUUAUUUUAAAGAGAGAUUUUUUUUUUGGUUUUAAGAAGAGUUUUUUUUUGGUACAUGCACACACUAAUAAAGAAACACAAAAAGUGCUUCCUCAAGUCAAUAGUAUUUGCUUUAAUGGCUAAGGUGCAUAAUAAUGUAGCUUAGUUAGGAAAUUUGUAAUUACAUUAUGGCUCCGUUUGGUAUAACUUUUUAAUUAGAAGUAUUGUUCUUUUUAUUAACAUGUGUUUGUUUUACUUAAUAAUAAAAGUUUAGUUUACAAUUACACCGGUGUCAAAUCAGCAGAGCAUCGGCAAGAGUUUUCGAUUGUUGCAAUUUGCAAUGCACGCGGUGAGAGAAAAUGAGAAUCUUGUUUAAUUGUGAAUAAUGACAAACCUAAUCCUUUCAUUAGGAGUAAAUUAAUAAUCGUUUGUUAUAAUUGAAUAUGUAUAAAGAAAGGAAAAUUAUAUUCAUAGAUUUGACUUAUUUUUUGUUUAACGUAACUAAUCAUUCAACCAUCUUCAUUUGCCUCUGGCCAAUGCCCUUGUAGAUUAGUUGAAGCGUUGAUUUCUUAAUUCAGAUAAUUACAACGUCCUUUUCGCUAAUUAAGUAUGAUUAUGUACAUUUUCAUAUAGCAAGUGGCAUUGUAGAUCUAAACUAAGUUGCUAUUUCAAUCCGUUAAUUAAGUGAUUCUCCUCAUUGUCAUCAGUGUUAUACCCUCUGGGAAAAUAGCUCAAUUGUUUCCCUGCAUUGAUUUUCAUUGGUAAGUGAUUUCUUAUGAAAUUCUUUUGAGCUUUCCUUAUUAAAAAAGCUUGAGCUUUUAUCACCUAAUACGGAUAUCAAUUAACUUGUGAACGAUUUUGUAAUGAAACUAGGAGUUAAAUAAGAUUUUUACAUGAUGAUCAACUUGUUAAUUUUGUAUAUUUCAUAUUUAACAGGAUUUGGGCACGGAACGUUUGGAUUCUAAUAUUUAUAUAUUUAGUUUUAAUCAGUUUGACUUUCGUAAUCUUUCUCGCCUCAUCAUUAAGGGAUUAAGAAUUAGAGAAACAUUAGAAACAGGAAGAAAAUAACUUCAGAAAUAAGUAAGAGGGAAAAAAAUUUAUGAUAUUUGGUGUUGAAAUGAACUAAAAACUCGUCAGUACAACGUGUCGUUUGCAGGUUGUGAAGAUGAGUGCCAUGUCGUUUCAUUUAAGCAAUAUACCAGAACUGACAAAUUGCCAAUGUCGUUCAAGACCAUUAUAACUCACGUGCCUUACGCAUGCCUCUCUUAAGCUUAAACGGCAAAGCUAGCAGUCGUUUAAGGAAGGCUUAUUAAUAGCGCGUGAGAAGCUCGUGCCAGGUUGGUUAAAAGGCCGUUAGAUUUAGAGGGAAAUCUGGAUCUGUUACACCUGCAUCAACUGAUAUAUAAACGAGCUGGUUCUGGUGUUAGCAUGUAUGACCAAGGAGAGAGAGAUAAGGCAUCGAUACUGAGAGAAAAGCUUGACUAAGUGGUCUCUGUAUUAUGUGUGAUUUCUCUGUAACCUUGAAAGCUUAAUAAAACUGCUCUCUGUGUUGGUUUUCUCCAGUGGAUGUAGGCACCCUUCAACAGGUGCUGAACCACUUAAGCUCUGUGUGUUCUUUGCCUUUAGGUUGUGAUCUUUGAUCUGUGCAUUGUUCUUUGUUAAGUGUAAGAUUGGUUCUUGAAUCUUUGAGUCAGAGUUGGGUCUUGGGGUGAGAUUAAUCUAGUAUCUAAAGGGUUAAUCUCUCAACAUUUGGAAUGUAUCAUAAUUUUUUGUUGAGUAAAUAUGUAUGAAUAGUUUUUGGGAGUUUUAGCCAGGAGUCAUUUAUUGAAGAUGUCUAGCAAUUAAAGAUCUCUGUCUCAGUAGUUUUCCCAAUCAAAAUCAAGAAGCAAAAAAAACUUGCCAUUUUUCUACUUGAUAAUUAAUUGAAAUUUAAGAAAAUACAAUGGCAUUUCAAUUAGAAUUGGUAAUUGUUUAUCUUUUUUUCAUUGAUCAAAUUCUAAUCUUUAUGCAAUAGUUAUGAAUGAAAGAAAUAUUAUGAGAGGAGAUAGGUCAAUUGAAGCCGUACCCGCAAAUAAAAAAUAGAAAAGGAGUGCAACUAUUCAACUUUGUAGACAAUAUUGCAACCAUCCAAAGGUGAAGAUCUACGCUUAUUAUCUAUUUAACAGCUAUAUAUAUAUAUAUUUAUAUUUUUAAAUAUCAAGAGCUAUGCUUGUAAAUAAGUUCAAAAGUGAUGAGAACAGCCUUAUAUUUAUUUAUUUAAAUAUUACCCAGAAUACUGCUAUAACAAUUGUAUUUAAAUAAUAAUUGUAUUUAAAUAAAUAACUAUAUAUCUAAAUAUAUAUUUAUUUAUUUAAAUAUCAAGAGCUAUGCUUGUAAAUAAGUUCAAAUGUGAUGAGAACAGACUUAUAUUUAUUUAUUUAUUUAAAUAUGACCCAGGCUAAUUUCUCUGAAUUUUGACAGAGUAGAUUUCUAAGCUAAUGCUUGGCAGAUCUCUGGGCGAUACUACAAAGUGCAUGUACAUUGAGUCUUAAUAAAUAUAAACGAUUCUCUGAUAUGAUUCAAAACAUCACUACAUGCAUAAAUUAAUAAGAAAUGUAUAGUUGUACAUAAUUUUAUGCAUGAGGCAGUUUUUAUAGUUGUACCCUCUCUAAUGAAAUUGAAGGUGCAGCCAGCAACUAAAAUGAAGCAGAAAUGUACACGCAUGAGGCAGUUUUUCUAGAAGAUUGAUAUUUCUUUAACUAGAAAACCAUACAAGUCCACAGCUAGCCAAACCGUACCUGCAUGUGUCUAGGGCUUAAAUGGAGCACUUCUAAGCAUAAAACAGUAACUAAAACACAUACACAAACAUACAUACCAAAAAAUUCAAAAAAUAGAGAAAGGAAUACAACUAUUCAUGUUUGUAGACAAUAUUGCAACCAUGGCAUCAGUUAUAGCAAAUAUUGAAUUACAAUAUUUCCCUUGCCGAUUUUGUCUACACAAGUAAAGGGAAAUAAGAAUCAUAGAUGAAAAUCAACUUUUACAGUUCUAAUUAUUAGAUAGAUACAUAAUGAUCUAUCUUUGUUACUUUGUUUCUCUGCUGCAAUGUGCGAUCCCACUCUGUUUUGAUACUCAAAUUGAGUCUAUGUUGAGACAUAAUUUUGACAUUGGAAGCAAUCCCAAUUAGUUUGGCUUUUGUAUGACCCUUUAAGGUUUUACAAUAGAUGCAAAUCUACUGAGAAAAUGGUAAAAAAAGGUGUAUAUAAAAUGAGGCAAGUAACAGAAGUAUGAGUUAUCAGAUUAGAUUAAAAGUCACCCAAUUCAAUCUAUCAGAUUCCGUAAGGAUAUAACUGGAUGUCAUACCGCCAGUCCAUAUCCUCGAAAGUCUCUAGUCUUUGUCUCAACUCUGUCUGAGGCCAAUGUAAAUCCAAUUUGCACAAGCUCUUUAUGCACCAUAGCUCUUCUGGAAGCUUUCUCAAGUAAGCACAUGGGUUGACAAUUAAGCUUUCAAGUUUUGGCAUUGCUCUGCCCCCAUCGUCCACUCGUCUAGCCAAUACAUCGACUUCAGGUGCAAAAUCUUAAGUUCCGGAAAGCCAGCAGAGCCAACGCAGGCUAGCUUUCUUCCUAAAUACGAGUUCUGCUUCAGUUUCAGCACUUGAAGGCGUGGAAGCUUUUCCAGCAUUGGCAUGGGAUCCUCCAUUCGCUCAGUAUUUGAUAAGCUCAGUUGCAUCAUUCUUGGAGGAAAUUAGUAUUCAGACAGGACCAUCCGUGAGAGCUUGCUCUCAUUCACCAACUUCAAGCAUUCAACUUUGUGGAGUUUGCAUACGCUUUUGGAAACCCCAGAGUGAUAGCAACUCAAAUCUCCAGACACUCUAAGAGUUUGAAGAUUAGAUAGUCUGCACAAUAUAUCUGGCGUGCAACUACUAGGGUGUGAGGCUGAUAUGAAAAUAAGAUUUUUCAGAGAGCUGGAAUAAUUUUUUGGAGGUGCAGGCAGAGAGAUGGAACCAAAGUUCAGAUGCAUGAGUUUUUGCAUCUUCCAAAUAUCCUCUGGUGUUUGAUCUACGUAGCUAGAUGGCAUGUCUAGUGUUUGAAGGUUUGAAAGGGUGCAUAGCGGUGAAGGAAGACAUUUGAGCGAAGGGAUAUUCAAUUUCAAAUACUUCAAAUGGAAUAAAUUUUCUAAUCUGGGUGGAUAUUGGUCCAGGACUGCAGAACCCAUGUUCAAUACCCGAAGGUGUUUGAACAUUUUACAAAAAUUCUCGCAAUCUAUCGGAUUAAGAUGAUCGCUUUCUGAACUGUGAUUCAGAAAAAGAUUGGAGAUACAUGUCCGAAUGUUUCAAAGAAAAGAAUUCAAUCGGAUCAUCGAAAAUGAUGUACCGUUUGGCAUUUGCCAAUGAUUCAUCUUCGAAGUCAGGCGUCCGGACAAAUCCCAUCAUUGCUGCCGUCCCAAGUAACGCAGCAUAUGCAAAAGUUGGAACAUAACACGCCUUAAUUGUGCCUCCAUCUCUUCUCUUAUUUACUUGAAUGAAGCCAUGAUCGAUUAGUUCGUUCAAGUAAUGCUCGGCAGUUUCCUCACUGUUGUAUGGUAUGAAACCUUCAGCUACCCACAGCUGAUAUAAUUGCCUGGUAGAUAUCUCAAUGCCUGGAUGAAAGCUGAGGUUGUCCCUCGAUCAGUAAAUCAAACAAUUCCUCUGCCGCUUUCAAAUUCACUCUUAUCAAGCUGAAAUUGUCCCUCAAUCAAUAAGUGAGUGAAUUCGUUCCUUCGCUCUUUGAAAUCAAAACCAUUGUCUCUAGGCGGAAUUUGUUGCAACUGAUUUCUAAUAUCAAUGAUUUUACUGUGGAUUCCGACAAGAAGAGCAAUGAGUGAGAAAACAACUUGUUUGGUAACCAAAAAAGUAUUGAGAGAAAAUGUAAUGAUUCUGAGAAAUUGCUUUUAUUUCAAUUAAUCGAAUCCAGAGUAAAUGUACAGAGUUUCUUUAUAUACUAACGUAUCUACAUAGCUGAUAUUAGCUAAACUAAUUCAACCAGCUAAUCAUGCUUAACAACUUAUUAUAACUAACUAAAACUAAUAUUCACGUGUACAAGAAAUGAUGUAACCACCAGGUGCUAGCUGGCAUGCCAAGUCAUCAACUUGUAACCGUGAGCUGCAACUGUUACAAUCCUCUGCUUUGCUGACUAUCUGGCUCACAUGAGCUUCCUUAACAUCCCCUCUCAAGCUCAAGGGUCUGUUAACUACAUUGAGCUUGGAACGAAAAUAGCUAAAUUUUGGAAAAGAUAGAGGCUUAGUAAGAACAUCUGCCACUUGUUCUUCAGUAGGAAUAUAUCUAAUCUCUAACUCUUUGUUCAGAACCUUAUCUCUAAUGUAAUGAACAUCCAGCUCUAUAUGUUUGGUCUUGGAGUGGAAUAUUGGAUUUUUAGCUAGAUCACCUGCACUCUGAUUGUCACACCAGAGAAUAGGAGUUGGCAACUUGAUAAUUUUUAGCUCAGAAAACAAAGAUUGCAGCCAUGUAAGUUCAGAACUUGCUGCUGAUAAGGCUCGAUAUUCACUUUCUGUGCUAGACUUUGCCACAAUAGCUUGCUUUUUCGAAGACCAGGAAAUGAGAUUAUUACCAAGGAAAAUGUAGUAAGCUCCAAUGGAUUUCCUGUCAUCAGUGUCACAUGCCCAAUCAGCAUCUGAGUAUCCUGUCAACCCUAUUGUUUCCAAGGUUCCCUCUUGCUGAAUAUAGAGGCCAUAUGUAAUAGUUGCUUGAAGGUAUCUCAACACCUUUUUGCAGGCUAACCAAUGUUGGAGAGUUGGACCACUUAGAUACUGGCUAAGUUUAUGCACUGAGUAAGCAAUGUCUGGUCUAGUUAGAACCAAGUAUUGAAGCCCUCCAACUAUACUUCUGUAAAGAGUUGGAUUUUCAAAUUCUACACCCAAUGAGCCUUUAGCUAUUUUUUCUAAUUUGUAACCAGUGCUGAAAGGAGUUUCAGUUUCUUUACAGUUCUGCAUUGAGGCCUUGGUCAACAAAUCCUUGAUGUAUUUAGUUUGGGAGAGGUGCAUGCCAUGAUCUGUGUAGCUGACUUCUAUACCAAGGAAAUAUGAUACCAGGCCCAAGUCUUUUAAGGCAAAAGCUUUACUCAGCUUUGUGAUGAAUGCCUCCAGCAAGACUGAAUCUGGACCUGUAACUAAUAUAUCAUCUACAUAGAUCAAGACAAGGAUUAUGCCUUUAGUGUCAUGCUUGAUAAACAAUGAAGUGUCAGCCUUAGAAUUUGUGAAAUUCCAAUCUGUAAGACAGCCCUUAAGCUUAUCAUACCAGGCCCUUGGUGCCUGUUUUAAACCAUAAAGAGCUUUGUUUAGCUUACAGAUGUAUCCUCCCUCUGAAACAAAACCCUCUGGUUGUUGCAUGUACACAUCUUCAGUAAGAUCCCCAUUGAGAAAUGCAUUGUUGAUAUCUAUUUGUCUAACAUUCCAGCCUUGCAUAACUGCCAAACUCAAUAUAACUCUGACAGUUGAAGACUUGACUACAGGACUAUAAGUUUAUGAAUAGUCAACCCCAGCUGUCUGAUGGAAUCCUUUAGCAACAAGCCGAGCUUUAUGCUUAGAUACUGAGCCAUCUAAAUUAUACUUUGUUCUGAAGACCCAUUUGCAGCCAACCAGUUUAUGAGUAGGAUCCAUUGAAACUAGAUUCCAGGUUUUGUUUCUGAUAAGUGCAUCAUAUUCCAGUUGCAUUUUAUCUUUCCAUUUAGGAUCAGCUAAAGCUUCACCAACAUUAGAAGGUUCUAAACUGUUGUGUGCUGUCAAAAAUGCCUUAGGUUUGAAUAUACCAGCUUUAGCUCUGGUAGUCAUGGGAUGGACAGAGAUAGUAGGAUUGGAAAGUGAUAAAGAUGGUCUGGAAGGUGAUGUGUGUAAAGAAGCUUGAAAUGGUAUAGGAAGUUCUGGAGAAUUUUGAUGGAUGAUAGGUGAAGAUAUAGUGUUUGAAGUUGCUACUGGAGAUGUUGUGGGAAUGACAGGGGAGGUUAUGGUAUUAGUGGAUAAAAUAGAAUGAGUAGAAGAGGAAGGUAACAAGAUAUUGUGAUGAGAACUAGAAUUGUUAGAAUCAGUAUCUGCAGCAACAGCUUCAAAAGGUUUUAGAUUGCUAUUAGGAACUGAAACAUUAUAAAUAAAAACUUAUUAAAACCUAAUUUAUUUGGGAACCACAUAUUAAAACCUAAUUUAUUUGGGAACCACAUAUUAUUGGUCAGUAGUAUUUCUCAACUUAGCAAGUUAUUUCUAAUUUGUCCCUCUCUAUUAUUGGUUCUCUUAAAGCCAAUAGUGUCGCAUUUGAUAUCUUGCCAUUACCGUUGGCAUUAGCAUGUUACCUGAAAUUGGGAUUCAUUGAAAUCCUCAAUGUAAUCGGUGGAACGAAUGGAUUUCUUCUAUUCAUAAUUUGAUGAUUUUAAUUGAACUAGGAGAUAAAGUAAAAGAUAAAUGGUUGGUUUACUCCAAUUUCUGAAGUGCUUGUAUCUUUUUGGUUGAAUUCGUGCAGUUAAAUAAUCUCUACCAACAUAUGUAUGUAUGUAUGAAAUUGGAGUAACCAGACCUUUUCAAGAGUUAAAUAAUCUCUACCAACAUUGUAGAUUGCCCGAUAAAGUUAACUGUGUUACCCAGCUCCAUGCAUAUACAUUAAAUGCAUGUUUGGGUAGUUUUAUAAAAUGAUAACAGCACGUCAAAACUUGAUGAGUUAUAUUGUCAUAUUCGACAUUUUUAAAUUGAAAAAUUAGCAAGCAAUCUUCAGUGAACAUUACAAUUUUGUUCGCUCUACACCCCAUCAAUAUUUAAGCAAUCUACAGAUCAUUACUUGAGGAAAGAAACUCUUUGCGCCACUAGGCUUUUAACGAGGCUCAUUUCUAUGAAUCGGGAUAGCAUUAGAUAUCUCUCCGAAUACUGGUGGGAGUAGAUUGCAGAUCUCUGGGCUAUACUGCAAAGUGUAUGUACGUUGAUUGUCUGAUAUGAUUCAAAACAUCAGUCCAUGCAUCAUUUUAAUGAGAAAGAAUAUUCUGAGAUUAUUUAUGCAUCACCAUUUGUAGUUGUACUGACUAAUGAAAUUAAAGGUGCAAUCAGCAACUAAAAUGAAGCCAGAAAGACACGCAUGAGGCAGUUUUCCUAGAAGAUUUGAUAUUUCUUUGACUAGCAAACCAUACGAGUCCAAAGCUAGCCAAACCAUCCCUGCAAGUCCAGGGCUUAAAUGGAGUACAUCUAAGCAUAAAACAUUAAUCAAAACACAAUACGCACACACAGACCCCUACAUACAUACCAGCAAAUUCAAAAUAGAAAAAGGAGUGCAACUAUUCAAGUUUGUAGACAAUAUUGCAGCCAUGGCAUAUCAAAGCAAAUCCUUGAAAUGUGCUAAACAGAACAAUGCCCUGUCUCAUGAAUCGACGCUCAAUUACAAUUGAAAUUGAAAGUCCGGCUGGUGUUGUUUCCCUCUCCAGUUUUGCCUACAUAAGUAAAGGGAAAUAAGAAUCAUAAAUGAAAAUAUGCUUUGACAGUUCUUAUUAGAUAUAUAUAAAGGGAUCUUUCUUUGUUUCUCUGCUGCGAUGUGUGGUUAUCCCACUGUUUUUCCACUCAAGCUGAGUCUACGUUGAGACAUAAUUUUGACAUCAGAAGAUACCUCAAUUAGUUUGGCACUUUUACGAUAAACAUAAAUCUACUAAGAAAGUGCGGAAAAAAAGAAAAUGCAUAUAAAAGUAUGAUUUAUCAGAUAAGAUUAAAACUCACCCAAUUAAAUCCGUCAGAUUCCAUAAGGAUAUAACUGGAUGUCAUACCGCCGCUCCAUAUCCUCGAAAGUCCGUAGUCUUUGUCUCAGCUCUGUCUGAGGCCAAUGUAAAUCCAAUUUGCGCAAGCUCUUUAUGCACCACAGCUCUUCUGGAAGCUUUCUCAGGUAAGCACAUGGGUUGACAAUUAAGCUUUCAAGUUUUGGCAUUGCUCCUCUCCCCAUCGUCCACUCAUCUAGCCAAUACAUUGAUUUCAGGUGCAAAACCUUAAGCUUCGGAAAGCCACCAGAGCCGACACAGGCCAGCUUUCUUCCUAAAUACGAGUUCUGCUUCAGUUUCAGCACUUGAAGGUGCGGAAGCUUUUCUAGCGUUGGCAUGGGAUCCUCCAUUAGCUCAGUAUUUGAUAAGCUCAGUUGGGUCAGACUUGGAGGAAAUUGGUAUUCAGACAGGACCAUCCGUGAGAGCUUGCUUUCAUUCACCAGCUUCAAGCAUUCAAGUUUCUGCAGUUCGCAUAGGCUUUUGGAAGCCCCAAAAUGAUAGCAAGUCAAAUCUCCAGAUAUCCUUAGAGUUUGAAUAUUUGGUACUCUGCCCAAUAUAUCUGGAAUGCAACUACUAGGGUGCAAGGCUGAUAUGAAAAUGAGAUUUUUCAGGGAGCUGCAAUAAUUAUUUGGAGGUGCAGGCAGAGUGAUGGAACCGAAGUUUAGAUGCCUGAGUUUUUGCAUCAUCCAAAUAUCCUCUGAUGACUGAUCUAUGUAGCUAGAUGGCAUUUCUAGUGCUUGAAGGUUUAAAAGGGUGCAUAGCAGCGAAGGAAGGCAUUUGAGCGAAGGGAUAUUCAAUUUCAAGUACUUCAAAAAAUAUAAAUUUUCUAAUCCGGGUGGAAAUUGGUCGAGAACUGCGGAACCCAAGUUCAGUACCCGAAGGUGUUUGAACUUUUUACAAAAGUUCUCGCAAUCUAUCAGAGCGAGAUGAUCGCUUCGUGAACUGUGAAGCAGAAAAGAAUGGAUAUACUUGUCAGAAUAUUCUGGAGGAAAGAACUUAAUCAGACGAUCCAAAAUGAGAUACCGUUUGACAUUUGCCAGUGGUUCCUCUUUCAUGUCAGAUAUCCGGACAAAUUCCGUCUUGUCCGCCACCAAAUACAGUGAAAUAAAUUCAAAACUUGGAACAUAACACGCUUUGAUUGUGCCGUUGGCUCUUCUCUUACUCACUUGAAUGAAGUCGCGGUGGAUUAGUUCUUUUAACCCUCAGCUAUCCACAACUGACAUAAUUGCGUGGUAGAUAUCUCAAUGCCGGGGCGGAAGACACACAAAUAGAUGCAGCAGACUUUCAAGUAAAAAGGUAACUCCCCCACAGAACAAGUUCGACUGAAAACUGUCAAAUUUAUUUUUUCAUUCAUAUAAUUUUCUGAUGGCGCACUUCCAUAGUGUAGGACGAAAAAUUGCCAGGCCUCAUGCUCUAAUCUGAUCAAUGGUCCUUCAAUGAGCACUGAAUCAAGCCGAAUCUUCUCUCCGUUUUCCAUUUCCAACGACGUAAGGAGUUCUGGAUCAGUGAAAUAUCAAUACUCUGCUUCCAUUCCGAUUAUCAGGAAGAACUUCUUCAAGAUCAUCCCAUAUCUCAAUGUUAUCGCAGACAUCAUCAAGCACAAUAAAGUACUUCUUGUUUGUUAGGUAAUCUUGAAGAAUAGAUUUCUUCAAUUGAUAAUCUUCACCGAUAAUUACACUAACCCGAGAUGGAGGCAUCACGGACUUGAUUAUGUCAUCCAAUAUCUUGCCAAAAUCGUAGAGUGAAGAAACCCUGACCCAAGCAAAACCGUCAAAAUAGAACUUGACGUGAUUAUUAUUGUAAGUAUCUGCAGCAAAAGCAGUCUUAUCGAUGCCACGGCUGUCGAGAAUUGCAACCACUGCAAGCCGAGGAUGUCCUUCUAUCAAUAAAUCAAACAACUCCUCUCUGCCCCUUGCAAAUUCAUUGAUAUCAAGCCGAGGUUGUCCCUCACUCAAUAGGCGAAUGGUUUUGUUACAUUGUUCAGUGAUAUCAAAAUCAUUGUCGCCGGGUGGAAGUUGUUGCAUCCGAUUUCUAAUAUCAAUGAUUUCACUGUUGAGUCCAUCAAGAAGAGUCGUAUUAGUACUGCUGUCACUUUCGUUUUCACUGUUUUGCUGCUGCAUGAUUUUGAUGAAGAAUGUGUCAAUGGCUUCCUCAGAUUCACGGACAAAGUCAUUGAUGUCGUUCAGAAUUUCCAGAAUGUCUGCCCUUUUAACAUCUUCUUCAUCGCUUUUUUCUAAGUCCAACAGUUGCAAAGAAGGUAAAGAUAUUUCGGUGUCAUCGAAUUCUUCUCUAAUGAGUUGAAACAAAUCCGAGCCAUGUCAGAGUCAUAGUUUCCCAGCAGUGGUAACAAUAAUUUUGGACUCCGUAAGAAGGUUUUGAAAAAGUGGGGUUAAAUUUGUUGAAUCAGGCAGCGUUAACGGGUCUUCUUCACCUGCUAACACCCUUUUCAACCUCUCACAAAAUAGUCGGAGGUGGACGUCCAGCAUAUCUCAUUCUCUCCGUAGCACCCAGACGUAUUGUUAUUUGCUCCAACAAAUGUUAAAAGGAUUGGUUCUAUCUCAAAGUGGUUUGUGGUGUAAAAUUAAACACUAUGGGAGAAUUUGAAAGGAAGAUGCCAAGAAACCGUGUAAGUGGCUAAUUUCCACAAAUAUGACAUUAUUGCUCAUUUUUAACUCAAAAAAAUGAUAUGCGUUCAUUUAGAGAAAAGUCCAAGACGCUUGCCUUUUAAAAAGAACAGGUAUCCCUAUGCAACCUUUAUCUUAUUUAAUUACUACCAUAUGGUACUUAAAUCUAUUGUUUCUUUUUUAAUUUAAAGAAUUUUUCAUUAAAAAACUAUUUUAAUAUCAAAAUGCCUUCAAUGGCAUAGCUGCCGCAAGCCCAGUAUGAAUUAACAGGAUGAAUUAAAAAUUUUAGAAUUUUUGGGCAUGGAAAGAGUAAUAUUAAACAUUAGAAAGCUAAGCUUGUUCUGUUAAAGAAUUGAUAUUGACAUAAUUUUAUUUUGGUUUUCGGGGAAAAAAAUUAUUCGUUGACAAGCAAGAAACAUUUUUAAUUUUUAAAAUUUAUUAUGCAUAUUUUAUCAUAGUAAAGUAAUUUUAAUAAUAAAUAGAAACAUAAUAUUACAGUAAAUAAAUUAAAGUUUAAAUUAUUUUGAAUGUUAUAAAAAAUAAUUUUAAUAUUAUUAAUAGAAGACAUUUUCUUAAUUUUAAAAUCUUUUUAACCCAAAGGUUUAUUUAAAAUCUUUCUAAUAAAUACAAAUAUAAAAUUAAAAUAAAUAUCAAAAUUUGAAAUUUUUAAUAUUAAAAUUACUUUAAUGUUGUUAGUGACUGUUCGGUACAGCUUAUUUAAUGGCUAUAAGUGCUUAUUUAAUGUCAUAAUGUCAUGGGAUGAGUGUUUUGCACAGCAAAUCCAUGCGGUACUUAGACAACUUUGCCGAAUGUUGCUAAGUAAGCCUUGAGCUUCUCGAACUAGCUAAGCCUAGAGGUUUUCGAAGAGCUAGAGAGAAGAGAGCAAUGAAGCCGAAUGAAGAGAAUUGUAUUACUAACAAGAGAGAUUACAAGAGAGCUUACAAGUGUUUGAGUUGCUUGUACUAAGCUUGUUGCUCAAAUGUCUAAUGCCAUCCCAUAUUUAUAGGGGAGGCUUGCCAAGCUCUAGAGAUUCUAGAGAAUUCUACCAUUUAUAUGUGCCGGAAUUCUAUGGAGUAUUCUAGAGUAUUUACAAGCUCAAAUGCCUUUUAAAAAGAAUAUGUAUACAAUGGCAAUCCAUACUUUAUAAAAUUGAUGGUGAUUACAAAGAAAAAUUGUUUAAAAUAGAUUUAAUGCACAAAUAUGAUGACUUUUGGCAAAAAUUAGUUUCGGAAAUGUUGGGAUGAAAACCAUAUUAAUUGAGAAUUAAAAUUACUUAAUAAAAUUACUUAACUACCAUCUAAUAGAUGAAAACCAUAUCAAUUGAGACUUAAAUUAAGAUUUAAAUGUUGAAAUAUCUAGCAUUACUCACAAUAACCAAUUCAAAUUAUGACUAUCAUGUAGAAGCAAAUGUUUAUGCUUGGGUUUUUUACUUCUUGAAUUUGAUUGGAAAAUUUUCUGAGAUAGAGAAGUGUUUUGGAUAAGCUUUACGGGAUUGAAACCACAAAUUGGUAGAGGAAAUUAAUUUUGGACAAAUUUUUCUUAUAUUGUAGGACCUUCUAGUUGGAGUAGUGAUGCCUUUGUCUUCAUUUUUGGUUCCUUUUGUGUCGGCAGCCCCUUACUAUUCUCUUGACCCUGAGUUUGAGAUAGAAAUUUAUCAACCUCCAACCCCACAUCCACAAACAAGUUGAUUGAAACAAUUACUCUUUUAAUUAAGAGGACCCAAAUGAUUUAGGUUUCAGUUCUUAUCAUUUGUCUAUUAUUUCUUUGAAACAUUUAUUUUGAGCGUUACUGAUCUUAAUUAUCUGUAUUUCUCCAAUUAUUGAAGAAUUUCAAGUGGCCACUUUUUCUCCUUUUUAUAUAUGUUUAUUUUUUGGAGUGAUCAAACGGGUGCAAAAUCAAGUAUUCGCUGGUCUGUAGUUUAGCCAACGAUGGCUGAUCCACACAGUUGAUUAUAUGAUACUAUUAGCUCUCAAAAUCUUUCUUAUUUGAGAACAUAAAUUGCCCAUUGAAGUUAAACUAUGUUACCCAGCUCCAUGCACAUACAUUAAAUGUUUAGGUAGUUUUACAAAAUGAUAACAGCAUGCCAAAACUUGAUGUUGUCAUAUUCGACAUUUCAAAUUGAAAUAUAUGCAAGCAAUCUUCAGUGAACAUUACGUGUUUAUUGAAUAAUUUAAAUGGCCAGUAAAUCAACAGUCCGUGAGUUUUAAAUCUAUUAUGACUUAAUGUAUCUUUCUGUAUUUGUACACGUGUUAUAUUAUCAUAGUUUAAAAUUUUAAUAUUAUUUUAAAUGUUAAAAAUACUUUAAUGCUAUUAGUCUACUACACAGGUUAUAUUAUUUAUAUUAUAUUUGUAUUAAUUAAAACUUUUAAUGUCAAUUUUCUAAUUACUAUAUUGAAAAGGUAUUAUGGUUAAGAAAAAGUUUUGGCAUUUCUUCUUGAAAAUUUGAGGGUUUUCCAAAUUCUAAGGGUAUAGGUUUGAAAAUUUAACGAUCUUUAACUUAAUGAAACAAAAGAGGGAAAUCAAGAACUAUUCAAUUUUGUAUUUUUUGUUUGUAAUUCAAAAAAUACAUCCACCAAACAAGUUUUACGCAUUAAUGCUGUCAUAAAACGAAAAACAGUUUGCCAAAAAAUGGUACCAAACAUGUCCUUAAUGUCUCACAUGAUUUCUUAGUAAGUCCAUAUUAGAUAUAUUUAUACAUUUUAGGUAUUUUAGUUAUAAAAGAAGUUGGACCUCCCCCUGUUUAUAAAAAAUAACUUUAUUUCGAGAUUACCACUAAACUCUUACAUAGAAUUAGUGUAAUGUUAAGAGAGAGUAACACAGUUUUCCAUUACCAUCUUUGAAAAUAGAGAGAUAUGGAUGCGUGCAUUUAAGAGUUACCGUGAAAAUCAUACAAUUCAAUUUCCUGACAUAUAUAUUCAUGGACCAGCACCGAUAUUCUCACACCAAUGAGCACCACAGUUAGCACAAAACGGUUCGUUUUGUGCUAACUAUAAAAGAUUUAACUGUAGCUUGAAAACGCAGACUCAUCUUGCUCAAACGCAGACCACACACGCGCUCGAGUUUCUAAAACGCAAACGCAAACGCAAACUACACACACACUCAUCUUACUGGACCACAACACUCUCUCUCACCGUGGGUCUCUCCACAUUUGGCUUGGCUGUCAGUUGUUUCUCUCCCAACCCCGUGGAUUGCAUUCUCACGGCACUUCUGGAAUUUGAGACUUAGCUGCAGCUUCACUCUCUCGGCUGUCGGAAUUGAUUUGUGGAGGUAAUUUAUGCAAACGCAAACCACACACACACUCAUCUCAGUUGACCACAACACUCUCGCUCGCCGUGGGUCUCUCCACAUUUGGCUUGGCUGUCAGUUGUUUCUCUCUCCACCCCGUGGAUUGCAUUCUCACGACACUACUGGAAUUUGACACCUAGCUGCAGCUUCACUCUCUCGUUAUGAAUUUAUGUUAAUUUUGCUGUCUUCAGAACUGCCUGUUGUGGUCGAGUACAAGAUUGCGGAGAUGGGUUAUGUUAGAUUCUACUUGACACCAAGAUAGAAGAAGAUGAGGAUGAGACCAAGCCUCUAGCUUAAGUGUCAUUUGGUACAUAUGCUAUGGCAUUUUGUUGAAUCGAGUUACUCCUACAUUUUAAGUUUGCUUUUAGAAUAUUUCUCGUAAAUUUUCAUGUUGAAAAACCAAUCAUUUGUAGUUAAGUAGAUUGAUAAGAAUUCGUUUCUUGUGCUUGGUUUUUUAUCCUACUGUUGCACAUGGCCAGACAGCUGGUUGCACAUCAGAUUCAAGAGCUGUAAAUUUUGAGGCUGAGGAAUCUCAGCUGGGAUUUCAUGUGAUAACAUAUUAUCAGAUAGAUCCAGCAACUGCAAUGAAGUAAUGUUGCCAAUUUCCGCAGGAAGCUUGCCUUGAAAGUUGUUCUGAUACAAAAACAUUAUCUCCAAUAGCUCAAGCCUCCCAAGUUCAGCUGGAAUCUCCCCACCAAGAUUACCAACGGCCAAAUCAAGAUACUUCAGGUUGGUAAGAUUCCCAAAUUCCACUGGGAUUUCACCUUCAAAUUCAUUGUAUCCAAGAAUCAUAGUCUCCAUGGAUGAAAGUUGCCCAAGCUCUCGCGGUAUCUUGCCAGUGAGAUUAUUCCCAGAUAGAUUGAUAAGAAUUCGUUUCUUGUGCUUGGUUUUUUAUCCUACUGUUGUACAUGUAAUUGAUUCAUUUGUAAUCUUUGUUGCUUUCAAAGGUAGGCUUCAAUUGAGUUGAAACUUUAAAAAAUUUAUAAAAAAUGAACCGCAAAUAAAAGAUAGCAUCAUAUUGGGUGACAAAAUGUUCUCGAGGAUGAUCCUGAUUAAUGCUGUGUAUUUCGCAAUGUAAUUACUUGCUGAUCAAUUUAAUUGAAUUGAUUAACACAUUGGUUUGAGUUUUGAUACUGCUGCUCUGUUUUUGGGUUAUUUGAAGAUCGCAUUUUUGCAGGAACUGGUAAAUUGGACACGUUAACAAAAACUUCUCACGUAUUACUGAAAUAAUAACUGUUAUAUUUCAGCCCUUAUGCACAGAACACAAUGGUUGCAAGCAAAUCAACUCAUAACUUACACAAUGGUUGCAAGCAAAUCAAUUCAUAACUUGUAAAUAAAUAAACCCCAAAAAAUUGGGCAUUAAUUUCCAUUUUCCAGCAUAUAACAAUUUCUAGCAGCAAGUUUUAACAGCAGAUAACUUCCGACAACAACUCAUCCCAAAAUCAGCAACUCAUAACUCACAACACAAUAGCAUUUUGCUAAUUUCCAAUAGCAAGAUGCGUGAGAGAGACCCACGACGAGAGAAAGCCGAAGGAGAGAGCAGCGAGAUGCGCGAGAGGCCAGAUGAGAGAGACCCACGGUGAGAGAGAGAGCCACAGCCGAAGAGUGACCCACGCUCAAGAGAGAGAGCCACAGCCGAAUAGAGACCCACUCUUGAGAGAGAGAGAGAAAACCAAAGGAGAGAGCAAUCCCACGAUCCGUUUUGUGAGGCGAGUGUGUGAGGAGAGUGUGUUAGUUUUGAAGCUACAGUAUUUUCUUUUAGAGUUAGCACAAAACGAUGGUGCUAACUGCUAAGCGUGGUGCGUUUCUCAUUUUCCAUUCAUGGCCGUAUGCCAAAAGAAUAAAUAGACAGAAAGUAAAUUUACAGUCCUCACUUCCUCACAAUUGUUAACGUGAAGAUGCAUUACAACCGUGAACUGUCACUACUUUAGCCUUUUUUUUUUUUUCAAUUAUGGUGUGAUGGAGACAUUAAGGAUGAGCAUAAAAGUUAAAGAUGACUCAUUUUCUUUUUAAAGUGCUCUGCUGAAAGCCAAACUUCCUUUGGCUAAUUAAUUUAGAAGUAAAGCAGAGAAUAAAGUCUUAGAUGCCUUCUGAAAUUAGAAAUACAUUUUAUAUGCUUUAAUUAUGAUUAUUUGGUAGACUAAAGACCUAAAAGAUAUGUCAAAAGUAUAAAACAGAGCGAUUAAAGAAAAAAAGAAAAAAAAAAAACAGAGUAUUUGUGACGUAGAAUAACAAUUGGUAAAUAAAUCCUAAAUAUUUGAGUUGUUUAAAGCAAAUAUAACAGAGACGGUAAGAGAGAUGCAGAAACAGAAAACUAUUAGCCCUCUAUAUUCAUUUUCGAUGCUUUUCAAUCGAGAUUCUUUUAAUUCUUCUGGUGUCUGCAGCCCCGGCUCCUCUUAUAGAUCUCCAUCCCACAUCUGCACUACGAACAAGUUGAUUAAAGUUAAAUAAUGUUGGAGAUGUGGGGUGAGCCGUCAAUUUGGUAAAAAAUAUUAUGUAUAAUAUUGUUAAUAAUAUAAAAUAUAUAAUAAUAAUUACAAAGAAUCAUAAAUUAGAAAAAUUAAUUAUUUUACAAUCUAUUUCUUAAGUAAGAUAGAUCUCGUAAUAAGUUAAGUUAUAAUGUAAAAAAUAUUUUCAAUUUAUAAUCAUUUAAGAAGUCAUUUAACAAUAAAAUUUUUCUUUUUUUGAUCAAUUGGUCAUGCUACAGAGUAUCAUCUAUAUUCGUAGUGAUAUUAUUAUUACUCCGUAUUCUCAAAAAACCCGAUUUAACAUUUAGAAAAAGUUCCUACCUUUUAAAAAGAACAUGUAUGCAACAGCUACCCAUACUUUAUCUUACCACGACAAAACUAAUAGGGACUAAAUCAAAUUUCUCGAAUAAAGCAAAAUUUCUUAAAAUUAAUUUAAUAUACAAAUAUGAUGACUUUUUGCAAAAAUUAGUUUUGGAAAAUUAGUGACAGAAAAUAGUAACGAUUAUUAUUUAGAUGUGUAAAUAGCCUAAACAUGAUCCCUAGUACCAAUAUCCACGUGCAUCUUAACAUCUUUCGUCAUAUUCUUUCAUUCAUGGCCACUGGUUCAAGAUUUGAAUUUGAUCAUUAAAUCAUGUUCAAUAAUAUUAGAGAUUCCAACAAUUGAGCACCAACUUAAAUCCCAAUGCUAUGUGUCAUUAACAAAUGUUGUGUCAUUUAUAAUUAUUGAAUGAAUAAUUCGUUAAUUUAUUGAUAAACAAAAAUUUAUUAAUUUAAAGAGAGAUUUUUUUUUUUGGUUUUAAGAAGAGUUUUGCUGGUACAUGUACAUACUUAUAAAGAAAUAAACUUGUAAUUAUACUAUAUCUUUCUUUCUUUGUUUAUUUUGGUGGGAUAUUGUGAUAAAUCAUUGGAUUAAAAUGCAUUUAAAAAUAAAACUUGUUAAAAUCUAAUUUAUUUGGAAAACGCAUAUUAUUUGUCAGUCGUACUUCUCAACUUAGCAAGUUAUUUCUAACUUGUCAGUCUCUAUUGGUUCUCUAAAAGCUAAUAGUCUCGAAUCUCCCGGAUUUGAUAUCUUGCCAUUACUGUUGGCAUUAACAUGUUACCUGAGAAAUGAUAUUUUUUGUGGUGUUGAUAAAGAGGUUAAAUAUGAUUCAACAAUUUAAAAUAUGAAAACAUAUGGAAGACGGCCGCAAUUAAAUUGAUUGUAUGAAAAUAUUUCAAUGAAAUUUUAAAAAUUUGGUACUUGUUAUCUUAUCGAGAGUUUUUUUAAAUUAUAUUACUACUUGAACUUAACUGCUUUUGUAUUGAAUUCCUAGCGUUGCCAUUGCUUCUACUCAAAAGCCAUUUAAGUUUGUGUAAGCUACGUAUAGUUUGAACAACAAUUUACUCAUGAAUUGUUGUUCACAAUAGCAAGUCGGGGGUUUAAAUGGAGUACUUCUAAGCAUAAAACAUUGAUUAAAACAGAAUACACACAUACAUACCAGCAAAUUCAAAAUAGCAAAAGGAGUGCAAAAGUUCAAAUUUGUAGACAACAUUGCAACCAUGGCAUGUUUAUAGCAAAUCCUCGAAAUCUGCUAAAUAAAACAAUGCCCUGUCUCAUGAAUCAAUGCUGAAUUAAAAUUGAAACUGAAAGUCUGGCUGGCGUUGUUUCCCUCUCCAAUUUUGCCUACAUAAGUGAAAAUAAGAAUAAUAAAUGAAAAUCUGCUUUUACGGUUCUUAUUAGAUAGAUAAAAGGGGGAUCUUUCUUUGUUUCUCUGCUGCAAAGUGUGGCUAUCCCACUCUGUUUUGCCACCCAAGCUGAGUCUAUGUUGAGACAUAAUUUUGACAUCAGAAGCAAUCUCAAUUAGUUUGGCACUUUUAUGACCUCCUUGAAGGUUUUACGAUAAACAUAAAUCUACUGAGAAAGUGAGAAAAAAAAAGAAAAUGCAUAUAAAAAUAUGAGUUAUCAGAUAAGAUUAAACUUCACCCAAUUCAAUCCAUCAGAUUCCGUAAGGAUAUAACUGGAUUUCAUACCGCCACUCCAUAUCCUCGAAAGUCCGUAGUCCUUGUCUCAACUGUGUCUGGGGCCAGUGUAAGUCCAAUUUGCGCAAGCUCUUUAUGCACCACAGCUCUUCUGGAAGCUUUCUCAAGUAAGCACAUGGGUUGACAAUUAAGCUUUCAAGUUUGGGCAUUGCUCCAGCCCCCAUCGUCCACUCAUCUAGCCAAUACAUUGAUUUGAGGUGCAAAACCUUAAGUUCGGGAAAGCUACUCAAGCCAACACAAGCAAGCUUUCUUCCUAAAUACGAGUUCUGCUUCAGUUUCAGCACUCGAAGGCGUGGAAGAUUUUCCAGAAUUGGCAUGGGAUCCUCCAUUAACUCAGUAUUUGAUAAGCUCAGUUGGAUCAGACUUGGGGGAAAUUGGUAUUCAGACAGGACCAUCCGUGAGGGCUUGCUCUCAUUCACCAGCUUCAAGCAUUCAAGUUUGUGGAGUUCGCAAAGGCUUUUGGAAACCCCAGAUUGAUAGUAACUCAAAUCUCCAGAUAUCCGAAGAGUCUGAACACUAGGUAGUCUGCCCAAUAUAUCAGGAGUACAACUACUAGGGUUUAAAGCUGAUAUGAAAAUGAGAUUUUUCAGAGAGCUAGAAUAAUUUUUUGGAGGUGCGGGCAGAGUGAUAGAACCAAAGUUUAGAUGCAUGAGUUUUUGCAUCAUCCAAAUAUCCUCUGGUGACUGAUCUAUGUAGCUAGAUGGCAUUUCUAGUGUUUCAAGGUUUAAAAGGGUGCAUAGCAGUGAAGGAAGGCAUUUGAGCGAAGGGAUAUUCAAUUUCAAAUACUUCAAAAGAUAUAAAUUUUCUAAUCCGGGUGGAUAUUGGUCCAGGACUGCAGAACCCAAAUUCAAUACCCGAAGGUGUUUGAACUUUUUACAAAAAUUCUCGCAAUCUUUCGGAUUAAGAUGAUCGCUUGCCGAACUGUGAUUCAGAAAAGAUUGGAGAUACAUGUCAGAAUGUUCUAAAGAUAAAAACCCAGUCAGAUCUUCGGCAAUGACGCACCGUUUAACGUUUGCCACUGGCUCCUCUUCCCCGUCAUGCAUCAAGACAAAUUCCGUCUUCUUUGCCACAAAAUACAAUGAAGUAUAUACAAAACUUGGAACAUAACACGCUUUAAUUGUGCCUCCGGCGCUUCUCUUACUCACUUGAAUGAAGCCGCGACGGAUUAGUUCUUUCAUGUAAUGUUCGGCAGUUUCUUCACCGUUGUAUGGUAUGAAACCUUCAGCUACCCACAACUGAUAUAAUUGCUCCGUAGAUAUCUCAAUACUUGGAAGGAAGACACACAAAUAGAUGAAGCAGACUUUCAAGUGAAAAGGUAACUCCAUCACAGAAAAAAUUUGUCUCCAAACUGUCGGAAUCGCUUCGCCUUGAAGAUAAUUUUCUAAUGGCAUACUUCCAUAGUGUAGGAUGAAAAAUUGCCAGGCUUCAUGCUUUAAUCUGAUCAAUGGUCCUCCAAAGAGCACUGAAUCACGCCGAAUCUUCUCUCCGUUUUCCAUUUCUAACGACGCAAGGAGGUGUGGAUCACUGACCAACAUCAAUACUCUGCUUCCAUUCUGAUUAUCAGGAAGAACUUCUUCAAGAUCACUCCAUAUCUCACUGUCAUCGAAGACAUCAUCAAGCACAAUAAAGUACUUCCUGUUUGUUAGGUAAUCUCGAAGAAUAGAUUUCUUCAAUUGAUAAUCUUCCCCGAUAAUUACACUAACCCGAGAUGGAGGCAUCACAGACUUGAUUAUGUCAUCCAAUAUCUUGCCAAAAUCGUAGGUUAUAGAAACCCUGACCCAAGCAAGACAGUCAAAAUAGAACUUGACGUGAUCAUUAUUGUAAGUAUCUGCGGCAAAAACAGUCUUGUCGAAGCCACUGCUGUCGAGAAUUGCAACCACUGCAAGCCCAGAUGGUCCCUCAAUCAAUAGAUCAAACAACUCCUCUCUGCCCCUUUCAAAUUCACUGAUAUCAAGCCGAGGAUGUCCCGCACUCAAUAGGCGAAUGAUUUCGUUACUUUUUUCACUGAUAUCAAAACCAUUGUCGCCGGGUGGAAGUUGUUGCAUCCGAUUUCUAAUAUCAAUGAUUUCACUGUGGAGUCCAUCAAGAAGAGCCAUAUUAGUGCUGCUUUCACUUUCGUUUUCACUGUUUUGCUGCUGCAUGAUGUUGAUGAAGAAUGUGUCAAUGGCUUCCUGUGAGUCACGGACAAAGUUAUUGAUGUCCUCCAGAAUUUCAAAAAUAUCUGCUGUUUCAACGUUUUCUUCAUCGCUUUCUUCUAAGUCCAACAGUUGCAAAAAAGGCAAAGAUAUUUUGGAGUCAUCGAAAUCUUCUCUAAUGAGUUGAAACAAAUGCCGAGCCAUGUCAGCUUCAUAUUUUCCCAGCAGAGUAGUAGCAAUAAUUUCGGACUCCGUAAGAAGGUUUUGAAAAAGUGGAGUUAAAUUUGUUGAAUCUGGCAGCGGCAACGUGCCUUCUUCACCUGCUAACACCCUUCUCAACCUCUCACAAAAUAGUCGGAGGUGGACGUCCAGCAUAUCUCCUUCUCUCUGUAGCACCCAGAGGUAUUGUUUUUUGCUCCAAGAAAUAUUAAAAGGAUUGGUUCUAUCUAAAAGUGGUUACUGGUGUAAAAUUAAACGCCAUGGGAGAAUUUGAAAGGAAGAUGCCAAGGAACUGGCGAAGUGGCUAAAUUCCACAAAUACGGCAUUAUUGCUCAUUUUUAACUCAAAAAAUUGAUACGCGUUCAUUUUGCGAAAAGUCCAAGACGCUUGCCUUUUGAAAAGAAGAGGUAUCCAAUAGAUAUCCAACCUUUAUCUUAUUUUAAUUACUACCACGACAUGAUUGAUGGUGGUUAAAUCAAUUGUUUCUUUUUUAAUUUAAAGAAUUUUUCAUUAAAAAAUAUUUUAAUAUCAAAUUGCCUUCAAUAGCGUAACUGCCGCAAGCCCAGUAACAGGAUUAAUUAAUUUUUUUUGAAUUUUUGGGCAUGGAAAGAGUAGUAUUAGACUUCAGAAAGCUAAGGUUGUUAUGUUAAAGAAUUGAUAUUGACAUAAUUUUAUUUUGGCUUUCGGGGAAAAAAAUAUUUGCUGACAAGCAAGAAAAUAUUUUUGUAUUUUACAAUUUAUUAUACAUAUUUGAUCAUAUUAAAGUAAUUUUAAUAAUAAAUAGACACAUAAUAUUACAAUAAAUAAAGUAAAGUUUAAAUUAUUUUGAAUAUUAUAAAAAAAUAAUUUUAAUAUUAUUAAUAGGAAGACAUUUUGUUAAUUUUAAAAUCUUUUUAACCUAAAGGUUUAUUUAAAAUCUUUAGAAAUCUCCAUCCCACAUCUACCCUAUUAAACAAGUUGAUGGAAAUUGAACAAUUGCUUUUUAAAGUGGGACCCAUUGAGUUAUGUUCAUUACUGGUCAUUGUCUAUUCUUUCUAAGAGCCACUUGUUUUGAGCAUUAGCAAUCCUAUCUGGACUACUCCAAUUAUUGAUGUAACUCCAAUGGUUGCAUCGACAGUUGAAUAUAAGAGGAUGGUCCAUCGACAAUUUCUUUGUUUCUCCGUUGCAGCGUAUUAGUAUAAAUUUCUUUACCUAACAGUUCAUACAGUCUUCCUGUUAAUGAAUUCACUGAGGCAUUAUUGAUACAAUGUGCUUUUCGCUAAUUAAUUAUGAUUAUAUACGCUUUCAUAUAGCAAGUGGCAUUGUAGAUCUAAACUAAGUUGCUAUUUCAAUACGUUAAUUAAGUGAUUCUCCUCAUUGUCAUCAGCAUUAUACCCUCUAGGAAAAUAGCUCAAUUGUUUCUCUGCAUUGAUUUUCAUUGGUAAGUGAUUUCUUAUGAAAUUCUUUUGAGCUUUCCUUAUUAAAAAUGCUUGAGCUUUUAUCACCUAAUACGGAUAUCAAUUAACUUGUGAACGAUUUUGUAAUGAAACUAGGAGUUAAAUAAGAUUUUUACAUGAUGAUCAACUUGUUAAUUUUGUAUAUUUCAUAUUCAACAGGAUUUGGGCACGGAACGUUUGGAUUCUAAUAUUUAUAUAUUUAGUUUUAAUCAGUUUGACUUUCGUAAUCUUUCUCGCCUCAUCAUUAAGGGAUUAAGAAUUAGAGAAACAUUAGAAACAGGAAGAAAAUAACUUCAGAAAUAAGUAAGAGGGAAUCCAAUGAGAAAUAUGAUAAGAGAACGUCAAUUACUUGUCAUUUUCUAUUUUUUCUAUGAGAUAUUUAUUUUGAGCAUUAGUUAUAGCAAAUCCUUGAAAUCUACUAAACAAAACAAUGCCCUGUCUCAUGAAUCGAUGUUGAAUUACAGCUGAAAUUGAAAGUCUGGCACCAGUUAUAGCAAAUAUUGAAUUACAAUAUUUCCCUUGCCAAACCGUACCUGCAUGUGGCAACGUGCCUUCUUCACUUGCUAACACCCUUUUCAACCUCUCACAAAACAGUCGGAGGUGGAAUUCCAGCAUAUCUCCUUCUCUCCGCAGCACUCAGAGGUAUAGUUGAAAGAUUAAACACCAUGGAAGAAUUUGAAAGGAAAAUGCCAAGAAACUGUGUAAGUGGCUAAAUUCCACAAAUAUGACAUUAUUGCUCAUUUUUUAACUCAAAAAAAGGGUACGCGUUCAUUUAGAGAAAAGUCCAAGACGCGUGCUUUUUAAAAAGAACAGGUAUCCAACCUCUAUCUUAUUAAAUUACAACCAUGACAUAAUUGAUGGUGCUUAAAUCAAUUGUUUCUUUUUUAAUUUAAAGAAUUUUUCAUUAAAAAAAUAUUUUAAUAUCAAAUUGCCUUCAGUGGCGUAACUGCCUCAGGCCCAGUAACAGGACUAAUUAAAAAUUUUACAAUUUUUGGGCAUGGAAAUAGUAGUAUUAAACAUUAGAAAGGUAAGGUUGUUCUGUUAAAGAAUUGAUAUUGACAUAAUUUUAUUUUGGUUUUCGUGGAAAAAAAAUUUGUUGACAAGUAAGAAAAUAUUUUUAUUUUUAUAAAAUUUAUUAUGCAUAUUUAUCAUAUUAAAGUAAUUUUAAUAAUAAAUAGAAACAUAAUAUUACAAUAAAUAAAUCAAAGUUUAAAUUAUUUUGAAUAUUAUAAAAAAUAAUGUUAAUAUUAUUAAUAGGAAGACAUUUUGUUAAUUUUAAAAUCUUUUUAAUCCAAAGGUUUAUUUAAAAUCUCUAUAAUAAAUACAAAUAUAAGAUUAAAAUAAAAAUCAUAAUUUGAAAAUUUUAAUAUUAUUUUAAAUGUUAAAUAUACUUUAAUGUUAUUAGCCUACUACGUAAAUUUUAUUAUUUAUAUUAUAUUCGUAUUGAUUAAAAUUUUUUAAAGUCAAUUUUUUAGUUAGUACAUUCACGAGGUAUAAUAGUUAAAGAAAAAAUUUUGGUGCAACUGUUUUAAAAUUUCAGGGUAUAAAUGAUAAUUUUUUUAAAAAUUUUAAGUAGGUAUUAUUUUUCCGACAAUUUAUUUUAUUGAGGGAAACCCGAUGAGAAAUAUCAUCAGAGAACAUUAAUUUAACAUUCUUUACCUUUAUGAAAAAAGUGGAAACCAAGAACUAUUCAAUUUUUUUUUUUUUGUGUAAUUCAAAAAAUGCAUCCACCAAACAAGCUUAUCUUAAUUUUCCCACUUUAUUCAUUUUCGAUGCUUUUCAAAAGAGGUUCCUUUAAUCCAUCUAGCAUCUGCAGCCCCCACUAUUUUUACAAAUCUCCAUCCCACAUCUACACUAUCAAAAAAGUUGAUGGAAAUUGAACCCAUUAAUUAAGUUAUGUUCAUUACAGGUCAUUAUCUUUCUAUGAGCCACUUAUUUUGAGCAUUAGCGAUCUUAUAAGGAAUCAUGCCUUUUCCGGAUCGUUUUCUUUCAUUUCCUUAUUGACUUAUUGUAGUAGUUAAUUAAAUAAAGAACGAACAAGUGAACUUAAUUUGUCUAUUUCGAGGAAGAACAAGGUUUCCAAUACUAGAGGAACUUUGAAGAAAAUUAAUUGGAAGCCUUUAUUCAUCUUUGAAGAAAAUUACCACACUUUAAAUCCUGGAUUAAAAAAAAUUUAUUCAUCUUCGGACUAUGAAUUUAUAAAAUAAUAUUGCUAGGACUAAGAAAAAAAUAUUAUUUUAGAUACGUUAUUUAUUUAUUAUUGAAUGAAAAAUUUAUCAUGAUAAAUAAAAUUUCUUAAUUUAAAGAGAGAUUUUUUUUUUGGUUUUAAGAAGAGUUUUUUUGGUACAUGCACACACUAAUAAAGAAACACAAAAAGUGCUUCCUCAAGUCAAUAGUAUUUACUUUAAUCGCUAAGGUGCAUAAUAAUGUAGCUUAGUUAGGAAAUUUGUAAUUACAUUAUGGCUCCGUUUGGUAUAACUUUUUAAUUAGAACUUAUUUAAAGAGAAUUUAUAUUAGUAGAGUUUUUAUAAAUAGAGAUUUUUUUUAUAAAAAAAAUUAUAGUUAUUUAGUUAUCAAUGUCCAAAUUGAUGAAGUAUUGUUCUUUUUAUUAACAUGUGUUUGUUUUACUUAAUAAUAAAAGUUUAGUUUACAAUUACACCGGUGUCAAAUCAGCAGAGCAUCGGCAAGAGUUUUCGAUUGUUGCAAUUUGCAAUGCACGCGGUGAGAGAAAAUGAGAAUCUUGUUUAAUUGUCAAUAAUGACAAACCUAAUCCUUUCAUUAGGAGUAAAUUAAUAAUCGUUGGUUAUAAUUGAAUAUGUAUAAAGAAAGGAAAAUUAUAUUCAUAGAUUUGACUUAUUUUUUAUUUAACGUAACUAAUCAUUCAACCAUCUUCGUUUGCCUCUGGCCAAUGCCCUUGUAGAUUAGUUGAAGCGUUAAUUACAUAAUUCAGAUAAUUACAACGUCCUUUUCGCUAAUUAAUUAUGAUUAUGUACAUUUUCAUAUAGCAAGUGGCAUUGUAGAUCUAAACUACGUUGCUAUUUCAAUACGUUAAUUAAGUGAUUCUCGUCAUUGUCAUCAGCGUUAUAAACAGGAAUUAUGCAAACAGUACACAAUGCUGCAGCAAGGCGUGGUUGGCUAGAGUUUUGCAACCACCCUCGAGAUCAUGUGCUGCCAGUAGUAAAAGAAUUUUACGCCAAUUUGGUAAGCCUUGGUCAGCACAAUAUUUGGGGUAAGAAACUCACUUGUUCCAUUAGACUCUCGAGUUAUAAAUGUUUUUUAUAAUUUACCUGCUGAAAUUAAUUGUGAGUAUGCCAAGUUGCUUGACAAAUUGACCUCACAACAAUGGAACACAAUUUUCACGACACUUACAGUAGAGGGUGCAUCGUGGGCUAAUGAGGAGGGGCGUGUAAUUAACAGGAUAGAUUUAAAACUCAUUGCUAAGGUGUGGGUGAAAUUUCUGAAAUCUAGGCUUAUGCCAACCAUCCACACCAUUACUGUUUUACAGGAAAGGUUGGUGCUGUUACAUGCUAUUGUUAGAGGGCUUUCCAUAGAUGUGGGAAGUAUUAUCGAAAAAGAAAUUCGAGAUUGUACCAUGAAAAACCACAAGGUUGUUGCCUUGUUAUUUCCUUCACUCAUAACCAGCAUAUGUGUAGUAUCGGGUGUUCAUCUUGAUGCAAAGGAUAAAAUUUGUAAUUAUAUUAUGGCUCCAUUUGGUAUAACUUUUUAAUUCGAACUUAUUUAAGGAGAUUUUUAUUAGUAGAGCUUUUAUAAAUAGAGAUUUUACUAAAAAAAAAUUAUAGUUAUUUAGUUGUCAAUGUCCAAAUGGAUGAACUAUUGUUCUUUUUGUUAACAUGUGUUUGUUUUACUUAAUAAUAAAAGUUAAGUUCACAAUUACACCGGUGUCAAAUCAGCAGAGCAUUUUUGCAGGGGUAAAAUCUCAUUUAGUCCCUAUAUUUUAAGCUUAGUAUCCAUUUGGUCCCUAUAUUUUUAAAAAUACCUCAAAACAUCCCUACCGUUAAAGUAUUGAUACCCCUACCGUUAAAGUAUUGAUACCCCUACCGUUAUCUUUAAUUUAUUUUGGCUUACUUUUACAAUAUUACCCUUUUAUAAUAAUUUUUUUAGACAUGAAUAAAAAAUAAUAAUUAAAUUACCAAUUUAACCCAAAAAAAAUUAAAAAAAAAAUUAUAUUAAUUUUUUUUGCAAACACCAUUUGCACACUUGAUAGUUUGCAUACAAUUUUAGAUAAUUAAAUUUCAACACAAGACUGAGUUUUUCAUCAUUCAAACUUCUCAUGUCUAAACUUUAUUUAUUGAGGUGCUAAAAGAUAAAUAUAUUGGCAAUUGGGAAAUGAAGUCAAUGAUAAGUUUGAUACAACCGUUGAUUAAAUAUCAUUAAAAAAAAAAAAGUACCUACAACUAGAAGUUAAAAAAAAAUGUCACCAUAGCCCACGUAUAAAUCCAUUUUGUAGUGCGUCAAAACUUAUGAAUAUCCUCUUGAAGUACGUCGCUACACCUUAUGUUUCAUAUUGAAUUUUCACCAUUGCCCUUUUAUUCUUUAUAAGAAGAACGUUGGCAUAGUCAUGUAACUUUGCAUAAGAUUUUGUGUAGUCACUAUCAGCAAUUUUUAGAACCCUUUUUUUGGCCAUAUACAGCCUUUUCUUUGUAGUUGAACAAGAAAACCUCUUCCUCAAUUCAUCUGACAUGGAUUCACAACCGAUAUCAGGAUUAAAACUAAUAAAACCAUACAAUUUCUGAGCUAUCCAUCUACUAGUUACUUCAGGAUUCUUAAACAGCUCUUUGCACUUAUGUUCACCACCUUUUAAAGUUUUAAUCUGGAAUGUAACUUUGUCAACCAAUAAAGAUGCAUGGAUUCUCCAUGGACAUUCCUUUCCUUCUUUGUCCUUCCCAGCACACACGGCUGUAACUCUACAUUUGUCAUUCUUUUUCCUUUUCAAAACUCUUGACUCUUGAAUAGCAUAAUCCUUCAAUACAUUCUUAAACUCUUGAGCACAACUAAAAGUUUGCCCAACUUCCAAAACAAUAUCAUCAUCACCAUCGGGUUCUUGAACUUUUUUUUCUUAAAUCCCUUUUCAUCUUCAAUAUUAUAGCGUCAUCUUCUUCAUCACUUGUAAUAGAUACAUCUUCAUUAUCACUCUCACAAUCUGACAUGCCAUCAUCUCCAUCAAAUUCAUUAAUAUCAAACCCUAAAUCAACUUCAGGUUCACUAUCAGACUUAACAAUAUCACCAAUAUCUUCAUCAGACCAGUCAAUAGACUCAACACUGAUUGCAUCAUCACUUUCACCAUCUAAAAUACAAACAUUAACUGCAUUUGAGGCAAAAUGAUUAUCUUCAGGGCGAGUUUGAGCUAAAACGGGUGACAAGCUGGCCAAGGAUAACGCAUCCAUCUCCAAAUUAAUAGAAUUAAGACCCUUGGCUUGAAUUAAGUUAACCAAAUUCUGGAAGUCUUUAUCAUUAUUCAAUUCAAUCCCUUCAUUGGACCAUGGGACAAUGCCAGUAAGCUUAAAGCUCUCAUCAUAAUGCUUGUGCCUUCCAAAGACAUUAUUCAAGACAUCGUUGAUGAGGGAUACAAGAAUCAAGCAAUCAGGAUCAUAAGCAUCCUCCACAUCUUUGCCUAAAAAUCGAACUGAAAUGCUGAUUUGACUCAUUUUGAAUCUGCCAACAUAAAGAUGAACAAAAAAUAUCAGAAACUUAAAACUAUUACAUACGAAAUCAUAAAAUACAAAAUCGACAUUAUAGAACUUUAUAUGAUUAUGAUUUUUUUUUACAAAAAAAUACUCAAUCAAGUGAAGUUAAAAUAAUUUCUUUUCGAUUACAAAUCAAUUCCACUACCAAUAUUAAGCUACGAAACAACCAUGAAAGGGUUAAAAAAAAGAAAGAAAGAAAACAAAAACCGUUCAACUUUUAGUCUACUGCAAAACAAAAACCGUUCAACUUUUAGUCUACUUCAUAUGGAAUUUUAGUCUUGGGAAGAAAUACCCAUUCAAGUGGAAAAAAAAAUAAUUUCUUUUCAUUGAACACAUGGAAGAUUAAAAAAAUAAAUAAAUAAACAAGACCAAUGUGAGACGUACCAGAAUAGGCCAAUUUCCUUCGUUGUCGGUUUUGACAUCUACUGCAAGACUACGUUUCCAAUAGAAAAAAUUUUACAGCAAUAAAAUUGUUAUGAGUUUUAAAAAAGCAAGUCACUUAAGUUCUUAAAGCGAGGGUUUUAAAGAAUAUUAGGGUUAAAAUACGUUUUUGCGAUUAUGGAUCUAGGUUAUCGUAAUAAUUUUUUAAAAUUUUAAAUUUUACCAAGAAAAAUACAUUUUUACCCUCAUUAAUCUAGAAUUAACAGUAACGGAGGUGAUGCUAAGGGUGUUUUGAGGUAUUUUUAAAAAUACAAUGACUAAACAGACAUUAAUCUAACGCUUUUUCUCCCAUGUAAAUUCUUAAUGUCGUUUUUCCAUAGUAUAGGAUGUAAAAUUGCCAGGAUUCAUGCUUUAAUCUGAUCAAUGGUCCUCCAACGAGAACUGAGUCAGGAUGAAUCGUCUGUCCAUUUUCCAAUUCGAACGAGGAAAGGAAGGCUGGAUCAGUGACCGUUAUAAUUACUCUACUUCCAUUCUGAUUCUCAGGAAGUACUUCUUCAAGAUCAUCCAAUACGUCGUCACCCUCUUUGUAGUAAUCAUCAAGCACAAUAAAGUACUUCUUGUUUGUUAGGUAAUCUCGAAGAAUAGAUUUCUUCAAUUGAUAAUCUUCACCGAUAACUACACUAACCCGAGAUGGAGGCAUCACAGACUUGAUUAUGUCAUCCAAUAUCAUGCGAAAAUCGUAGGAUAUAGCAACCCUUGUUAGGAAAUUGAGCUUCCUCCCAAGAUCACUCCAAGCAAUUUAUCAAGCAACAAAUUAACAGAAAAAUUUAAUGGAGAAUACAUCAAUCACACAACACAAGAUUUACGUGGAAAACUCUAAAUCCGGAGAAAAACCACGGCCGUUGUCAAAAAGACAACCAGAGAAAAUAUUCACUAUAUGGAAAAUUAUUACAACCACACUCUCAAAAAUAAUUUUCUCUCACCCAAGCCCCAAAUACAUAAUCCUGAGAAAUAUCCCUUAACAAAGCAAACCCGUAAUACCCAUAUUACGGAGCCAAAUGCUCCUUCAAUAUAACUACAUGCUUAAGAACUUUUCUCUCUCUCAAUUUCUCACCAAAACUUGGAUUCCUUCUCUGGGAUUUGGAUUGCUUCUCUCAAUGGCCAACAGUUCAUGUCUAUUUUCUUUAGCAAAGCCGAAGCUCAUUGCUACUCAUUUCUCAUCAAAUGACAUUCCAAUUUAUAGCCAAACUAUCACACCAAAAAUCUAAUAAGUCGGCAACAACUUUCUUCCUUUUUUACAAAUUCAUCAUGCGGUUCAAAAUUGGCAUUUUGCUUGUCAAAGUCCAUCCACCCAUUUGAAUGCAAUCAAUGUGUUCCCAUUUCACUUUUCCUUUUUUUUUAAUCAAUUUCAACAAUCUCCACCUUGAUUAAAAAAAAAAUUCAUAACUACUGCUACAAAACACUGUCUUCACCAACAGUCAUAAUUCUUAACAUAGAGAAUUAUCAUACUCCACCAUAAAGAGUAUACCACUUAGAAACAACCAUUCUAAGAUUUUUCUCGGCACAUGUCAAAAUAUCUUGCUGAAAUUUAUGGUACAAUUCUCAUGCUUGGUUUCCCUAAGAAUUCUUCAGCCAUGACAUAACUUUUCCACUACACACCUUGCAUUUAUACCAAGCCAAUGCCCGCGUGCAAACUUGUGGACCCCGCUGAUCAUAGCAUGUUCUCUUUCAUGACAACUUGGAGAUUUACAUGCCAAAAGAACUAACCCAAUCUCCUAUCAAAAGGAAACUCACAAUCUACGAGAAUAUCAUUAUCUCCUUUACUGAUUCUGGAGUAAUUUGCCGAGCCCACUCCACCUUCUUGACAAUUUUCUUGAGGUGCCAAAAAUUGUCUCACACCUUCAAAUCUUUGUGCAUACCAGAUUGGAUACACCUUUGACUUGAAUUCUCCACAAGCCAAUAAAAUCAUUCUUCCAUUAAUUUUUUUUUUUAACAACAUCAAACUCCACCAAGUUUAAAAAACACCAGCUACUGACAUAUAUGCUUUACAUAAACAGUAUCGUAUACCCCAAGUACAAACCGUUGGCUCUGAUACCACUGUUAGGAAAUUGAGCUUCCUCCCAAGAUCACUCCAAGCAAUUUAUCAAGCAACAAAUUAACAGAAAAAUUUAAUGGAGAAUACAUCAAUCACACAACACAAGAUUUACGUGGAAAACUCUAAAUCCGGAGAAAAACCACGGCCGUUGUCAAAAAGACAACCAGAGAAAAAUAUUCACUAUAUGGAAAAUUAUUACAACCACACUCUCAAAAAUAAUUUUCUCUCACCCAAGCCCCAAAUACAUAAUCCUGAGAAAUAUCCCUUAACAAAGCAAACCCGUAAUACCCAUAUUACGGAGCCAAAUGCUCCUUCAAUAUAACUACAUGCUUAAGAACUUUUCUCUCUCUCAAUUUCUCACCAAAACUUGGAUUCCUUCUCUGGGAUUUGGAUUGCUUCUCUCAAUGGCCAACAUUUCAUGUCUAUUUUCUUUAGCAAAGCCGAAGCUCAUUGCUACUCAUUUCUCAUCAAAUGACAUUCCAAUUUAUAGCCAAACUAUCACACCAAAAAUCUAAUAAGUCGGCAACAACUUUCUUCCUUUUUGACAAAUUCAUCAUGCGGUUCAAAAUUGCCAUUUUGCUUGUCAAAGUCCAUCCACCCAUUUGAAUGCAAUCAAUGUGUUCCCAUUUCACUUUUCCUUUUUUUUUAAUCAAUUUCAACAACCCUGACCCAAGCAUGACAGUCAAAAUAGAACUUGACAUGAUUAUUGUUGUAAGUAUCAGCAGCAAAAGCAGUCUUAUCGAAGCUACUGCUGUCGAGAAUUGCAACCACUGAAAGCUGUGGUUGUCCCUCAAUCAAUAAAUCAAACAACUCCUCUCUGCCGUUUUCAAAUUCACUCUUAUCAAGCUGUGAUUGUCCCUCAAUCAAUAAGUAAGUGAAUUCGUUCCUUCGUUCUCUGAAAUCAAAACCAUUGCCUUCAGGUGGAAUUUGUUGCAACCGAUUUCUAAUAUCAAUGAUUUUACUGUGGAUUCCGACAAGAAGAGCAAUGCAAGUAGUGCUUUCACUUUCACUGCUUUGCUGCUGCGUGAUGUUGAUGAAGAAUGUGUCAAUAGCUUUCUCUGAUUCACGGACAAAGGAAUUGAUGUCUCUCAGAAGUUCCCAAAUGCCGAUAACGCGAAGGUAUUUCGUCUUCAUCGAAAUGUUCUCUAAUGAGUUGAAUCAAAACCCGAGCCAUUUCAGCUUCAUAGUUUCCCAGCAGAGUAGUGGCUAUAAUUUCGGACUCCGUAAGAAGGUUUUGAAAAAGUGGAGUUAAAUUUGUUGAAUCAGGCAAAGUUAACGUGCCUUCUUCACCUGCUAACACCAGUUUCAACCUCUCACAAAAUAGUGUGAGGUUAAUUUCCAUAUCUUUCCCUCUCUCAGUAGUACUCAGAGGUACGUAUUGUUAUUUGUUAGUGUUGAUGACGAAAGCUGAAUAACAAAACAACAGUGUACACAAUCAACAGAAGCCAAAGUAUGUUAAUUUGAGAUCAAAGGAUAUAAAUAAAGGAAAAGUUUUCGUCGAUUGAGAAUGGAUGGAUGCAAAGAAUGACUGAUAUUAAAUGAUUUCUAUAAAUGAGACAUGCAAAGAAUGAAAUUUAAAGGUAACCCCCUUUUUUUUUUUUUUAAAGUACUCUAUUGAAAGCCAAAGUUCCUUUGGCCAAUUAAUUUAGAAGUGAAGGAAAGAAUAAAGUUAGUCCUUGAUGUCUUUUGAAAUUAGAAAUACAUUUUGAAUGCUUUAAUAGAUGCAGAGCAAACUGGCUCGAUAUCUACCUAUUUUUAGUGCUAAAAUCAUUUAAUAGAAGUUGUAGCAUUAAAAAAAAAAAAAAAAAAAAACUGGCUUGAUAUCCAAUUUUGUUAUUGAAUAUGUCUCAUGUGAGAGUAAAAAAAAACUGGCUUGAUAUCCAAAAUUUAAAGGUAACUCCUUGAAUUUGAUUGAAAAAUUAUUGAGACGGACAAGGCUGGACCAUUGUUCGAGACUGAAACUACACAUCAGUCUUAGAAAAUUGUAAUUUUGUUGGCUUAUCAUGAUUUUGAUCGUCUCACAUUGAUUUUCCUAUGAUGUCUCUGUCGAGUGGCUAUGCUUACAUUUUUAGGUAUUUAAUUCUAAAAAUUAACUUAUUAAAUGGAGGGACCAAUUCUACCUAUAAAUCCAAGUGGCUUCCCUUUACUAACUCAUAUGAGAUACAACAAUAAUUUUCUUUGGACAAAACCACUGUUGGAGGGUUAUUUUCGUUCAACAUACAUGAGUUGUUCCACCACCAUAUUUUGAGGGUUUGUUUUGGAUAUGACUUGGGGGAGCUAAGGCUAAGAUUUCUAAGUAUCAACAUAAAAACCUUGCCGGAAGGACCAAUCCUACUUUAAAGUCUAAAUGACUAAUUCUUGAGGACACAACUCAACAGCCCAAUAUAAACUUUUGACGUCCCAUUUUAUUACUUUCCAGUGCUUUUACUUUUGCUGUCUAGAGCCCUACCAUGCUAUUAAGCAGAAAAUAUUUCAAGGCACUCUCGGUCCAGUAGAUAACUUUGGUAUUUAUCAUCUAUUUUCUUUCCAUUUUAUGCAUACCCCGAUCUUUACCUCUGAUUGGUUGUAGAUUCUUUUGUUGCUUUGGGGUUAGGGGGUGGUUUUCAUAACUAUUCAGUUGAUCAAUGCAGAAAAUCACCAUCAAGAAAUUAUAAAGGAUUGUUAGUUCUAUCUGACAAACAACAUUAAUAUGAAGGAUGAUGAUUGUUCUGUUCAAGAGUUUAUAAUGACAUAAUUCUACUUUGGUCUUUUAAAAAAAGUAAUUUAGAAACGAGGAGUAUGUGAGUGAUGAUUUUUACAAAAUAAAUUACAUGCGUAGUGAUGAUUUUGACACAUGAAAAUGAAAAAAGAAAUAUAACUUGUGAAUAAUAAUUGAAGUACCUGCUAUUGUUAUAUUGAGUAAUCAAGGACUUCAAUAUUCGGACGAUAUAAGCAACACAAUCAAAUAUUAGUUGGAAGGCAUAGCAAAAUUAGAAUGUAGAACAAACUGGGUAUUGAUAAAUGGAUGGUUUUGGAAGAAUUGAAAAUGAUGGCAUAAGUAAACCAAAGUUUAGAGAAAAGAGAAAGAGCAUUUGAACUUUACUUGUAAGAAAAGGCAAAUAUCUUGGUUCAAGAAAAGAUAAGAGAUAUCAAACUAGCAAUAGGAAAAAGGAGGAAGGUUAAGACAGCAUCUUAACAAAAGCUAAAGAAAAGAAAAACUUAGUUCAAGCAAAGAACAAUGUGCUAAUGUCGUGUAAUCUUGUUUAAUUUCUUUUUCUUCUCACAUUUUCCAGGGCUUAAAUAAUACAAUAUACAUUUUCAAGCAAAGAACAAUAUGCAAUUGCAGUACUUCUGAGCACACAACAACAAAUAAAUAAUACAAUAUACAUACCCACUAAAUUAAAAAAAAAAUAUUAUCCAAGUUUGUGGACUAUAGCCAUGGCGUCGUCGAAAUCUACUGACAGCUGAAACAAAGAAAGAAUGGAUGAAUGCUGGAUCACAGUUGAAAUUGAAGGUCUGGUAGGUGAUGUUUCCCUCUCUGAUUUUCCCUAAACAAAUACAAGAAAAUAAGAAUCACAAAUGAAAAUCUGCUAUUACACUGUUCUUACUUAUUAAAAUACAGAGGUUUCUUUGUUUCUCUGCAGCAAUGUCCAUGGCUAUUAGAAACAAGAACAAUUAGACCAGCAUUUGUAAGAAUCCUUUAAGGUAUUACUGCAGAUAUAAAUCGACUGAGGAAAUGGAAAAAUUGAAUACCAAAUUAGGCAAGUUAACUGAAGAUUGAGUUAAUCAUAGAAGAAUAAAACUCAUCCAAUUCAAUCCAUCAAAUUCCAUAAGGGUACAACUGGAUGUCAUACUGCUGCUCCAUAUCCUCAAGAGCCCGUAGAUUUUGCCUCAACUCUGGCUGAGGCCAAUGUAAGUCCAAUUUGCAAAAGCUCUUUAUGCACCAUAGCUCUUCAGGAAGCUUUCUCAAGUAAGCACAAGGGUUGACAAUUAUGCUUCCAAGUUUUGGCAUUGCUCCAGCCCCUAUCGUCCACUCCUCUAGCAAAUACAUUGAUUUCAGGUGCAAUACCUUGAGCUCCGGGAAACCACAAGAGCAAACACAAGCCAGUUUUCUUCCUGAAUAUGAGUUCUGGUUCAAUUUCAGCACUUGAAGGUGUGGAAGCUUGUCUAGUGUUAGCAUGGUAUCCUCCAAUAACUCAGUAUUUGAUAAGCUUAGAUGGAUCAGACUUGGAGAAGCUGGUAUUUAGACAGGGCCAUCCGAGAGAGCUACCACCUCUGGUUUCGUUCACCAGCUUCAAGCAUUCAAGUUUGUGUAGUUCGCAUAGGCUUUUGGAAACCCCAGAACGAUAAUAACUCAAAUCUCCAGAUACUAAGAGUUUGAAAAUGAGGUAGUCUGCCUGUUAAAGUAGCUCACUAUGUUGAACAAAUGAAGGAGAAAGCUAAGCUGGAGAAAAUACAGGGCAAGAGUAUUAGCUGUGCCAGCUCAACUGACAGCUCAGCAAAAUCAGUUAAAUUUUGUUACAAGCCCCCUGUGCAUUGUGCUGAAGAUUAGUUAGUUUAAUAAUGAUUAGUUUUAGAUUAGUUAAAAUGUAAUCAUGAUUAAGAUAUAUAUAUAUAUAUAUAUAGCUGCUGUACUGAUAUCAUGGAUUAAGUGUUGAGAAAUAAAAUUCAUUAAGCAUUUCCAGAACUCUUGAUUUUCUUUCUCAGUAGCCAAACAACUUCACUCUCAUUUUUUUUUUUCAACAAUGAGUUCUCAAACCACUCAGGUAUCAUUUUCAGACAUUCUUGGCCUUGUACUCACCAUCAAAAUGGGUUGGUUGAGAGAAAACAUAGGCAUAUUGUUGAAUUAGGUUUGACUCUGUUGGCUCAAGCUCAACUUCCUUUUAAAUUCUGGUGGGAUGCAUUCCAUACUGCUCUAUCAUCAAUAGAUUACCAUCUUCUGUUUUCAAACUUUCGACCCCAUAUGAGAAGAUAUUCAAGCACAAACCUGAUUAUGAUUUUCUCAAAUGUUUUGGUUGUAUUUGUUAUCCUUACUUGAGAGACUAUAACAAACAUAAGUUUGCCUAUCAUUCCAGUAACUGUAUAUUCAUUGGUUAUAGUCCUUCACAAAAGGGUUAUAAAUGCUUACAUUCUUCAGGUCAUGUCUAUGUGGCAUGACUUGUUAUCUUUGAUGAGUCAACCUUUCCUUAUGCUACUGAAUCUGUUUUUCAUAGUCACACAAAUUCUGAUUCUCAUUCUUCAAACUUAUUUACUCCACAGCAUGUCUAUUAUCUUUCUACUUUACCUGUCAUACCAGUAUUUCUAAGUAACAACACUGAUAAUCUAAACUCUACAAAACUAAAAUACCAGCUUUUUGGUGUUAGCAAUAGGAAACAACUUACCACAACCAUUAAUUAUCCAUAAUUUCAUUGUUUAUCCUCAGUUUUCUUCAUAAAUGUUACAGCAUUCUUCACGAGAAAGCGCAAGGGCAUUUCAAAAGUUCUGAAAUAAUACCUCAAUUCUAUUGCAAAAAUAAAUAAUCUCAAACAAGAACCAAUAAUCAUAUUUCGUUACUGUCAAACACAAUGCAUCUGAGCAAAACAUUGGAAGCCAACACCAGAAUACAUAUGAAUAAACAAUUAAAGAUAGAGAAAAAAGGCUUAAACCUUGGGGGAAAAAAGUGAAAAAAACAUGAAAGACAAAUUACACAUGUACAGUAAUCAUCGAACUUAUCAGUCACAGCUGCAUCCAUUACAUUGCUCCAACAACACAAUGGCAAACCACCAGUUUCAAAUUGAGGAUAGCUAUCGAGAAUGAGAAAGUGUCCAAAACGUCAUAAAUAGACAUGUUCCUAUUGUGCAUAAUUUACAUUAUAGGCAAAUAUUCUUAUACCAUCAAAGGCAACACAUGACACUAACAAUUGAUCCCCCCCCCCCCCCCCCCCAAACAACCAAAAAAAGGAAAAAGAAACAAUACAGAAAAGAUUGAAACAGAUAAGGCUACACUGAGCACAGGAUGCCAUGAAACAUAAUCCAGGAACCAAAUUAAUAAAAAAGGAGGCCAAACCAUUAUUUAACAAUCUGUUUUGUAUUUGGGAAAGUCUGAUAAAAUCUACUGAGGGAUAAUUAGAGAACCUCAACUAUUAAUCACACCUCAUAAAUGAACUAACAUUAACCAUCUACCAUCCCCACGUCACACAAACAUUCUCUAUACUUCUGAACCUAAUACUUCCAUCUUCAAUAGGGGGUUUUUUUUCUUUUUUUUGGGGGGGGGGGGAGUUAUCAAUUUUCUAAGCUUGCUUAGCUUCUGUGUAGGACUGAAAUGCUCAUUUCGAAUCACUAACAGUAAAAUUGGAAGCUCAUGAAAAAACAGUUUUAUCCCAAAAUUGCAUCUCGAUAUAAAUUCUCUUUUCAUUUCCUUCAACUUUCUAAUUAAGCUUAAAAAAUGUACCUUCAACCACAAAGGGGUUUAAAAUUUAAAAUAUAAAAAAUAAAUUCAGAUAAAAAUAAUUAAUUUAAUUAAAAAUAUAAAUAGAGUUACAGAGAAAGAGAAAAUAGAGAAAGACCUAAUGUUGAGUCCUUUGGCGCAUGUCUCUUCAUAGGUCCGAACCAUUUCUUCGGGCGUGGGUUACGGCCGAGAUUGGAUAAUGAUGGAGGAGGAGAAGAUUAGCGAUGACGACGCCGAUGAAAUGGAAGGGUUUACCAGAGGAGUGGAUGCGAAGAGUGCAGGGACGGCCGCAGAGAGAGAGCGGCGGAGAGCGGCGACGGACGGAUGGCGGUAUGGGCCAUUGCUUGCGCGUCGGUGAUUGUCUCGAGUGAGAGAGUGAAGGGUUUUGUUUAGGGUUUUGGGAAAUGAAAAAUGCAAAUGUUUGAUUUUGUUGCUAGAAACUUCUUCUGCUGCUGCCUUUUAUUGUCGCUAUAAUAAUAAUAAUUUGUUAAUCAAAUAUUUUCUUAAAAAAGAUAAAUUUCUACAACAAAAUUUAUAUUAAAUCAAAUUGUAAAAAUGUCUAAUAGGGUUAAUUUCUCCUUAAUAUUAUUAUUAGUAGAAGUAGAUUUUCAAAUUAGUCUUGAUAUAUAUCAGAGUUGUAUUAUAAAUGUAUAUGUAUCUGGAUUGCAAUUAUAUUUUAAAAAAAAUAAUUUUUUUAAUUAUUGCACAAUAAAUGUAGAAAGUGUCUAUAAAAUAAUAUUAUUGGAACUAUGAAAAGAUAUUAUUUUAGAGUAGUUAUUUAUUUAUUUUUGAAUAAAUAAUUUAUUAAUUUAUUGAUAAAUUAAAUAAAUAUUAAUUUAAACAGAGAAUUUUUUUUUUGUGGGUUUUUAAGAAGAGUUUUGUUGGUAUAUGUGCAAACUUAUAAAGAAAUACAAAAAAUGCUUCCUCAAGUCAAUAGUAUUUACUUUAAUUCAUAAUAAGAUAGUUUAAUCAAGAAACUUGUAAUUAUACUAUAUCUUUCUUUCUUUGUUCUGUUUGGUGGGAUAUUGUGAUAAAUCAUUGGAUUACAAUGCAUUUCUAAAUGAAAACUUGUUAAAACCUAAUUUAUUUGGGAACCACAUUUUAUUUGUCAGUCUUAUUUCUCAACUUAGCAAAUUAUUUCUAACUUAUCGGUCUCUAUUGGUUCUCUUAAGUACCUGUUUGGUAUAUCUUAUUUAAUGGCAAUAAGUACUUAUUUAAUCUCAUAAUUUUUUUCCCUCUCUGACAAUUGAGGUAGGGGGUCAAACUUGAAAGUAUCUUAAAAUCAGACAACAAUUUAACUAUUUUUUUUUUUUAGAUAACUGCUAAUAUGCUCUAUUAGACAAUGAUAAGUGAUUGCAUUUAUGCAUCCCCACCAAUAUUUAAGCAAUUUAAUUACAGAAACAUUUCUUGAGGAAAGAAACUCAUAUCACCACUAGGCUUUUAAUGAGGCUCAUUUUUAUGAAUCUGGAUAGCAUUAGAUAUCUCUCCGAAUAUUGGUGGGAGUAGAUCGCAGAUCUCUGGGCUAUACUACAAAGUGUAUGUACGUUGACUCUCAAUAAACACAAACGAUUCCCUGAUAUGAUUCAAAACAUCAGUGCAUGCAUCAUUUUAACGAGAGAGAAUAUUCCCAGAAAUGUACACGCAUGAGGAAUUUUUCCUAGAAGAUUGAUAUUUCUUUAACUAGCAAACCAUACAAGUCCGGGGCUUAAAUGGAGUACUUGUAAGCAUAAAACAUUAAUCAAAACACAGUAUAGACACACACACACACACACCCCUACAUACAUACCAGCAAAUUCGAAAUAGAAAAAGAAGUGCAGCUAUUCAAGUUUGUAGACAAUAUUUCAACCAUGGCAUAUUAAAGCAAAUCCUUGAAAUCAGCUAAACAAAACAAUGCCCUGUCUCAUGAAUCGAUGCUCAAUUAAAAUUGAAAUUGAAAGUCCGGCUGGUGUUGUUUCCCUCUCCAGUUUUGCCUACAUAAGUAAAGGGAAAUGAGAAUCAUAAAUGAAAAUCUGCUUUGACAGUUCUUAUUAGAUAGAUAUAAAUGGAUCUUUCUUUGUUUCUCUGCUGUAAUUUGUGGCUACCCCACUCUGUUUUGCCAGUCAAGCUGAGUCUACGUUAAGGCAUAAUUUUGACAUCAGAAGCAACCUCAAUUAGUUUGGCAUUUUCAUGACCUCCUUGAAGGUUUUACGAUAAACAUAAAUCCACUGAGAAAGUGGGAAAAAAAGAAAAUUCAUAUAAAAGUAUGAGUUAUCAGAUAAGAUUAAAACUCACCCAAUUCAAUCCAUCAGAUUCCGUAAGGAUAUAACUGGAUGUCAUACCGCCACUCCAUAUUCUUGAAAGUCCGUAGUGUUUGUCUCAACUCUGUCUGGGGCCAAUGUAAGUCCAAUUUGCGCAAGCUCUUUAUGCACCACAGCUCUUCUGGAAGCUUUCUCAAGUAAGCACAUGGGUUGACAAUUAAGCUUUCAAGUUUCGGCAUUGCUCCAGCCCCCAUCGUCCACUCAUCUAGCCAAUACAUUGAUUUCAGGUGCAAAACCUUAAGUUCGGGAAAGCUACUCAAGCCAACACAAGCAAGCUUUCUUCCUAAAUACGAGUUCUGCUUCAGUUUCAGCACUCGAAGGCGUGGAAGAUUUUCCAGAAUUGGCAUGGGAUCCUCCAUUAGCUCAGUAUUUGAUAAGCUCAGUUGGAUCAGACUUGGGGGAAAUUGGUAUUCAGACUGGACCAUCCGUGAGGGCUUGCUCUCAUUCACCAGCUUCAAGCAUUCAAGUUUGUGGAGUUCGCAAAGGCUUUUGGAAACCCCAGAUUGAUAGUAACUCAAAUCUCCAGAUAUCCGAAGAGUCUGAACACUUGGUAGUCUGCCCAAUAUAUCAGGAGUACAACUACUAGGGUUUAAAGCUGAUAUGAAAAUGAGUUUUUUCAGAGAGCUAGAAUAAUUUUUUGGAGGUGCGGGCAGAGUGAUAGAACCAAAGUUUAGAUGCAUGAGUUUUUGCAUCAUCCAAAUAUCCUCUGGUGACUGAUCUAUGUAGCUAGAUGGCAUUUCUAGUGUUUCAAGGUUUAAAAGGGUGCAUAGCAGUGAAGGAAGGCAUUUGAGCGAAGGGAUAUUCAAUUUCAAAUACUUCAAAAGAUAUAAAUUUUCUAAUGCGGGUGGAUAUUGGUCCAGGACUGCAGAACCCAUGUUCAAUACCCGAAGGUAUUUGAACCUUUUAAAAAAAUUCUCGCAAUCUUUCGGAUUAAGAUGAUUGCUUUCUGAACUGUGAUUCAGAAAUGAUUGGAGAUACAUGUCAGACUGUUGUAAAAAAAAGAACUCAAGCAGAUCUUCCAAAAUGAAGCACCGUUUAGCAUUUUCAAUUGAUUCCCCUAUCCAUGCAGGCAUUCGGACAAAUCUCGUCUUCUCUGCCACCAAACCCAAUGAAGUAAAUACAAAACUUGGAACAUAACACGCUUUAAUUGUGCCUCCGGCUCUUCUCGUACUCACUUUAAUGAAGCCGCGAUGGAUUAGUUCUUUCAAGUAAUGUUCGGCAGUUUCUUCACCGUUGUAUGGUAUGAAACCUUCAGCUACCCACAACUGAUAUAAUUGCCUCGUGGAUAUCUCGAUGCCUGGAGGGAAGACACACAAAUAGAUGCAGCAGACUUUCAAGUGAAAAGGUAACUCCAUCACAGAGAAAAUUUGUCUCCAUACUGUCGGAAUCGCUUCGCUUUGAAGAUAAUUUUCUAAUGGCAUACUUCCAUAGUGUAGGAUGAAAAAUUGCCAGGCCUCAUGCUUUAGUCUGAUCAAUGGUCCUCCAACGAGCACUGAACCAUGCCGAAUCUUCUCUCCAUUUUCCAUUUCCAACGACUCAAGGAGGUCUGGAUCAGCGGCCAAUAUUAAUACUCUGCUUCCAUUCUCAUUAUCAGGGAGAACUUCUUCGAGAUCAUCCCAUAUCUCACGGUCAUUGAAGACGUCAUCAAGCACAAUAAAGUACUUCUUGUUUGUUAGGUAAUCUCGAAGAAUAGAUUUCUUCAAUUGAUAAUCUUCACCGAUAAUUACACUAACCCGAGCUGGAGGCAUCACAGACUUGAUUAUGCCAUCCAAUAUCUUGCCAAAAUCAUAACGUAGAGAAACCCUGACCCAAGCAUGACAGUCAAAAUAGAACUUGACAUGAUUACUGUUAUAAGUAUGUGCAGCAAAAGCAGUCUUAUCGAAGCCACUGCUGUCGAGAAUUGCAACCACUGAAAGCCCAGAUGGUCCCUCAAUCAAUAGAUCAAAAAACUUCUCUCUGCCCCUUUCAAAUUCACUGAUAUCGAGCCGAGGUUGUCCCUCACUCAAUAGGCGAAUGAUUUCGUUACGUUUUUCACUGAUAUCAAAACCAUUGUCGCCGGGUGGAAGUUGUUGCGUCCGAUUUCUAAUAUCAAUGAUUUCACUGAUAUCAAAACCAUUAGUGCUGCUUUCACUUUCGUUUUCACUGUUUUGCUGCUGCAUAAUGUUGAUGAAGAAUGUGUCAAUGGCUUCCUCAGAUUCAUGGACAAAGUGAUUGAUGUCCUUAAGAAUUUCCAGAAUGUCUGAUCUUUUAACGUCUUCUUCAUCACUUUCUUCUAAGUCCAACAGUUGCAAUAAAGGCAAAGACAUAUUGGAUUCAGCGAAUUCUUGUCUGAAUAGUUGAGACAAAAUCCGAGCCAUGUCAGCUUCAUAGUUUCCCGACAGAGUAGUAGUAAUAAUUUCAGACUCCGUAAGAAGGUUUUGAAAAAGCGGGGCUAAAUUUGUUGAAUCAGUCAACGUUAACGUGCCUUCUUCACCUGCUAACACCCUUUUCAACCUCUCACAAAAUAGUCGGAGGUGGACGUCCAGCAUAUCUCCUUCUCUCUGUAGCACCCAGAGGUAUUGUUUUUUGCUCCAAGAAAUAUUAAAAGGAUUGGUUCUAUCUCAAAGUGGUUACUGGUGUAAAAUUAAACGCCAUGGGAGAAUUUGAAGGGAAGAUGCCAAGGAACUGGCGAUGUGGCUAAAUUACACAAAUACGGCAUUAUUGCUCAUUUUUAACUCAAAAAAUUGAUACCAAGACGCUUGCCUUUUGAAAAGAAGAGGUAUCCAACCUUUAUCUUAUUUAAUUACUACCAUGACAUGAUUGAUGGUGCUUAAAUCAAUUGUUUCUUUAUUAAUUUAAAGAAUUUUUCAUUAAAAAAAUUAUUUUAAUAUCAAAUACCCUUCAAUGGCAUAACUGCCGCAGGCCCAGAAACAGGAUUAAUUAAAAUUUUUUGAAUUUUUGGGCAAGGAAAGAUUUGAAAUUCUAGUUAUGCAACCCAAGAGGGAGUGAAUUAGAAUUCUAUAAAUUAUUUAAUUUAUAAAGAAAACCUUAAUGCAAAUAUAAACCAAAUUCAAAGCAAUAACAAAUAAGGUGAUCACAAUAUAAAAAGAUAAGGGAAGAGAGAUUCAAACACAUAGAUUUUUACUUGGUUCGGCCAACCUCGCCUACGUCCGCGCCUCCAAGCUUUCCGAGCUUAAAGAUUCCACUAAGCAAGCCUCCAAGGCUUCAAAUGCUUACACUUGACUUCCAAGGUGUCAAUAACCUUUACAACAAGAGAUUAUCCCAAUCUCUUUAACCCAAGUGUAUCCCAACACUUACAAUCACUCAAAACAAAAGAUUACAAAUUUGUUUUGACUCUCACAAUAUUUAAGAUUACACAAUGAUGCCCAAUAUGUCAAUAGAUGAAGCAAGAAUGUGUUCAAAGCUCUAUGAAGAUUGUAUUCUCGAGUAUAAGCUCAAUAGUCGUGUUGUGAUCAAUCUUGUUUGAAUUUGAAUGAGCUUAUUUAUAUUUGGAGCUGAAAAACUAGCCAUUACAAACUGUCGGCCCGAAAACGGUUCGCUGUUAACCAUUAACGGUUAACCGUUUAGGCUGGUCAAAAGUUACCGUUGGGCCAAAUUUCAAAUAAACGGUUUGCCGUUUAGGAUUACCCCUUCGCCGUUAAAUUCUAGAGACCUGCAAGAUGAAUAUCAGUUAUCCGUUUACAUUAAACGGUUAAAGAUUUGCAUGAAGUGACUUCUCUGGAUAUUAUCGGUUAACCGUUUGUAAUAAAUGGUUCGCCGUAUGUUUCCAGUAACCUGCAAAACAAUUUAGCCUUAUCCGAUUUUGUUAAACGGUGCCAGAAGAGUACAACCUUCAAUUCUGGAUUUUAUCGGUUAACCGUUUAAAUAAACGGUUCACCGUUAAAUUCCAGUAGCCUUCCCAGCUUUUUGUGUUUUCCAUUUUUCUUAAUCGGUUAGAGCUUAGGCAAUAUGUUGCUCUCUGGUUUUAAUCGGUUAACCGUUUGAAAGAAAACGAUUCACCGUUUAUUUCCAGAAUCACAUUUUAAACCAGAUUUUGCAGAAAGUCAUUUUCUAAUUUGAAAGUCCAUCUUUUAUGAAUAUGAUUGGAAUGAUUAUAAGGCUUUCAUUUAUUAAGGAAUAGCUCCAACAUUUUAAUCAAAAACCAUUUAAAGUUUGUUAUCAUCAAAAUCAAUAUUAUUAACAUAUUCAUGUUAACAAUAGUAGUAUUAAACAUCAGAAAGCUAAGGUUGUUCUGUUAAUGAAUUGAUAUUGACAUAAUUUUAUUUUGGUUUCCGGGGAAAAAAAAACAUUUGUUGACAAGCAAGAAAAUAUUUUUAAAUUUUACAAUUUAUUAUACAUAUUUUAUCAUAUUACAAUAAUUUUAAUAAUAAAUAGAAACAUAAUAUUACAAUAAAUAAGUUAAAGUUUAAAUUAUUUUAAAUAUUAUAAAAAAUAAUUUUAAUAUUAUUAAUAGGAAGACAUUUUGUUAAUUUUAAAACCUUUUUAACCCAAAGGUUUAUUUAAAAGCUUUAUAAUAAACAUAAAUAUAAGAUUAAAAUAAAUAUCAUAAUUUGAAAUUUUUAGUAUUAUUUUAAAUAUUAAAAAUACUUUAAUAUUAUUAGCCUACUACAUUGAUUUUAUUAUUUAUAUUAUAUUCAUAUUGAUUAAAACUUUUUAAAGUCAAUUUUUUAGUCAGUAUAUUCAAGAGGUAUCAUAGUUAAAGAAAAGAUUUUGGUGUUAUUUUUUGAAAAUUUUAAGGUUUAAAUGAUAAUUUUUUAAAAUUUUAAGGAUGUAGGUAUUAUUUUUCCGACAAUUUAUUUUAUUUUUGAGGAAUUCGAUGAGAAAUAUCAUGAGAGAAGGUUAAUUUUACAUUCUUUACCUUUAUGAAAAAAGUGGAAACCAAGAAGUAUUCAAUUUUGUAUUUUUUGUUUGUAAUUCAAAAAAUGCAUCCACCAAACAAUCUUAUCUUGAUUUUUUCACUUUAUUCAUUUUCGAUCCUUUAAUCCAUCUAGUAUCUGCAGCCCCCGCCAUUUUUACAAAUCUCCAUCCGACAUCUACCCUAUCAAACAAAGUUGAUGGAAAUUGAACAAUUGCUUUUUGAAGUGGACCCAAUAAGUGGACAUUUUAUUAAUAUUAAACAAAGUUGACGGAAAUUGAACAAUUGCUUUCUAUGAGCCACUUAUUUUUAACAUUAGCGAUCUUAUCUGGACUACUCCAAUUAUUGAUGUAACUCCAAUGGUUGCAUCAACAGUUGAAUGUAAGAUAGUGUUAGCUCUUCUUUGAGAAUAUAGAGUGAUCUUUCUUUGUUUCUCUGUUGCGACGUGCUACUAUAAAUUUCUUUACCUUGCAGUUUAUAUAGUCUUGCUGUUAAUGAAUUCGCGGAGGCAUUAUUGAUCCAAUCUCAGUGAAGUAAUUGUGGGUGGAAAAUGAAUAAAGGGUAAGAGAACGUAGCUCAAGUGCUGAAUUGGCUAUUAAAGAAGAGUGUCACUUGAUCACAAUCACAUUGAUGCACAACUCACUCGAGGCAAAUUUCAUCUAUAUAUGUACUGCAAAUUCAGCCAAACCAUACAUGCAGGAACAAAACUAAAAUGUAGUUCUAAUCAAAACUGUAAUUAAAGCUACAAAAGGCUUGCUCAAUCCAAAAACUUAAAAGGAAGAUUUUACUCAAGUUUGUCCCCAAAAGACAGCUGAAUUGAAAAAUAUUGACUAUUGAAUCAAUGCUCAAUUACAUUUGAAAUGGAAAGCUUGGCUGCAGUUACGAUGUUUUUCCCUCUGAUUUUCUUCCAAAACAAAUUCAUUUGUAAACAAUAACGGAAGUAGCAAUAAUUUAUUCAUCAAAGAAAAUAUCCAAGUUUUCAACUAACAAAUCCUUUUGUCUAAACUAAAAAAACUUAUAUUUUUAAAAUCUAUCUACAAAAUGUUGGAAAUAAAGAGUGAUCUAUCAACUCGGUAAAUAAACUCAUACAUAAUGUUUACAAUAAUGAUAAAUUACAUAAUAAUUAUUAUAAAGAAUCAUAAAUUAGAAAAAUAUUUUAAGAUCAAAUUGCCUUCAAUGCUGAAUUACAUUUGAAAUGGAAAGCAUGGCUGCAGUUACGAUGUUUCCCCCUCUGAUUUCCUCCAAAACAAAUUCAGUUGUAAACAAUAACGGAAAUAACAAUAAUUUAUUCAUUACUCAAAUUUUUUCAACUAACAAAUCCUCUUGUCUAAACUAAAAAAACUCAUAUCUCUAAAAUCUAUCUGCAAAAUGUUGGAAAUGAGGGGUGAUCUGUCAAUUCGGUAAAUAAACUCGUGCAUAAUGUUAACAAUAAUGAUAAAUUACAUAAUAAUUAUUAUAUAGAAUCAUAAAUAAGAAAUAUUAAUCAUUUCACAAUCUAUUACGUAAGUAAGAUAAAUUUCAUAAUAAGUUAAGUUAUAAUGUAAUAAAUAUUUUCAAUAUGCUAAGAUAGGAUUGGUCCUAUCUCAAAGUAGUUAGUGGUGUAAAACUGAUGGUUGUCGAAGCCAGCAAAAAUAAAUACCUACUCUAAAUAAAUUGUGUAUAGUGAUUGAGCAGGGUCGUGUCCACAGAGAUCGGUAAUUAUUUAAAUCAUUUUAAAAUGUAAAAUGCAAAAUGGGGGAAUUGUUGACAAUAAUAAAAAUCAAAUUAAAAUAACAAGAAUGUAAAUUAAAAUUGUAAUUCAAAUUGGGGAAAAAGUAGUAUUAGACUUCAGAAAGCUAAGGUUGUUAUGUUAAAGAAUUCAUAUUGACAUAAUUUUAUUUUGGCUUUCGGGGAAAAAAAUAUUUGUUGACAAGCAAGAAAAUAUUUUUGUAUUUUACAAUUUAUUAUACAUAUUUGAUCAUAUUAAAGUAAUUUUAAUAAUAAAUAGACACAUAAUAUUACAAUAAAUAAAGUAAAGUUUAAAUUAUUUUGAAUAUUAUAAAAAAUAAUUUUACAUUUGAAAUGGAAAGAGUGGUUUUAAACACCAGAAAGCAAAGAUUAUUCUGUUAGACAAUUGUUAUUGACAUAAAAAAUAAUUUGGUUUUCAAGGAAAAAAAACAUAUUUGUUGACAAGCAUGAAAUUUUUUUUUUGUAUUUUACAAUCUGUUAUUACAUAUUUUAUCAUAUUAAAGUAAUUUUAAUAAUAAAUGUAUAUGUAUCUAGAUUGUAACUAUAUUUUAAAAAAUAUAAUUUUUUUAAUUAUUGCACAGAAAAUGUAGAAAAAUGUCUAUGAAAUAAUAUUAUUAGGACUAAGAAAAAAUAUUAUUUUAGAUAAGUUAUAUAUUUAUUAUUGAAUGAAUAAUUUAUUAAUUUAUUGAUAAAUAAAUAUUUAUUAAUUUAAAGAGAGAUUUUUUUUGGUUUUAGUAAUAGUUUGUUUGUUACAUGUACACACUUAUAAAGAAACACAAAAAGUGCUUGCUCAAGUCAAUAGUAUUUGCUUUAAUCGCUACUGUUCAUAAUAAUGUAGCUAAGUUAGGAAAUUUGUAAUUAUACUAUGGUUCUGUUUUGUAACGCCCAAAUUUCUAUUAUUUUAUUUUAUUUUUAAUGGAAUUUAUAAAUGGCGUUACUGCCCUUAUAAAAAGGGUUAUUCAUGGGAUAAUUUUUAGGAAAUGGUUAUUUUUCCAAAUUCAAUAGGGUUUCUUAAGACUCCCUAUAAAUUAAUAUUUUUUUUCCCUUCGAUACUCGAAGUCCACGACGAUUCUUCUUCUUCUCUGCUGCUCAUUAUGCUCCUACCCAAACCCUAGGAUUCAAACUUUUGCUUAGGAGAGAAUCAAAGCGAUUGGUGUUGGAGGUGAUUGAGGCUCUUAGAGGCUUAGAGGUCUGUUAAUUCAAAUUCUUUUGUCGAGAUAAGUAAUUUCAUUCCUAAUAUACUGGAUAUGUAUAAGUAUUUUGAUGUUAUUAUAAGAGUUUUUAUACUUCUUAGAAGAUUAAUAGAUUUUCAUACCAAAAUCAGUUUAUGAAAAUGUUUUCAAAUCUGAAUUCUUUUGAUAAAAUAUUUUAUAAAUGCGUUUUAAUAUGUAAAUUAUUUUAUGACAUGACUGCCUUUUAUAAUUUUGUCUAUGAAAUAUUUUUGCAAGCCUAAAUUGUUGCUAUAGACUUUCAUGAAUCUAAUACGAAUGUUUUGUGCCUAUGUAUGAUUUUAAUUAUUUAUGACUGUACGGGGGCCACCUCUUGAGACUAUAUGGGGGCCACCUCUUGAGGGCCAAAGCGCCGCAAAGUGCCACAUAUAGUGCAAAGUGCCACGUAUAAGUCAUUAUGUUUUGGCUCAUUGUCCGUAGUUAUUCUGAUUCUAAUUCUGAUUGUAUUAUACGAUAUAUUUGUUCUGGACUAGUACUAGGUUUAUGUUCUAAGUGUGCACACGAUAUUCUGAUUCUGUUUCUGGUCAGGUCACCGAGACUAUAGGUGAUACUAUGUGACAUGAGCUAACUAUCUGCUUUCUGUAUACACUUUAUACGAUUUGCUUUCAUAAUUGAUUAUUCUUUUGAUACUCUGAAUUACCAUGAAUUUAUGUUAUAUAAUUGAAAUAUGUUGUUUUAUGAAGUUUAUGAGUUAUAAUAUAUGUUUUUGAAUAAAAGAAGGCUUGCAAUAUUUUUGAUAUCGAUAGGCCUAGUGUAUUAGGAAUGAUUUUACCUACCGAGUUGACAGCCCACCCCUCGUUAUUACUUUUUGCAGAUUAAGUUCCUUUUAAGAGGUAUGCGUAGCUUUGGAGUUAGAGAUUUCGUUUCCGUUUGCUAUUUGAAUAAGAAGAGGAAUAGACUCAUGUUUCUUUUUAGUUUAUUUCUGUUAUGAACUUGUAAUUUGGAGUUUGAGACUUUUGUUAUUGUUAUGUUUUGGAAGAGAUUAUUUAGUGUUAGACGUAUUAAUUUGUGGAUUUAUUUGAAUAAGAAUUUGAGGUAUUUGAGUUUGGAAUUUAUAAGUAAGGAUUACGAUUUGUAAGUAACCUCCUUCUUCAUGUGCUCCGCACGUGUUAGAUUUGGGGUGUCAUAUGUUUCGUAUAACUUUUGAAGUAGAGCUUAUUUAAAUAGAGUAUUCGUCAAUAAAGCUUCUAUAAAUAAAGAUUUUACUAAAAAAAAUUUAGUUGUUUGGUUGUCAAUGUCCAAAUUGACGAACUUUUGUUCCUUUGCUAACAUGUAUUUGUUUUAUUUAAUAAUAGAAGUUUGGUUUACAAUUACACCACCUUCAAAUCAGCUGAGCAUUUUUGCAACCGGUCACAUUAUACAUUAUACUAAUAGCAUCGGCAAGAGUUUUCGAUUGUUGCAACUUGCAAUGGACGCGAUGGGAGAAAAUGAGAAUCUUGUUUAAUUGCAAUAUUGACAAACCUAAUCCUUUCGUAGGGAGUAAUUUAAUAAUCGCUUGUUAUAAUUGAAUAUGUAUAAAGAAAGGAAAAUUCUAUUCAUAGAUUUCGACUUAUUUUUUGUUUAAAGUAAUUAAUCAUUCAACCAUCUUCAUUUGCCUCUGGCCAAUGCCCUUGUAGAUUAGUUGAACCGUUAAUUACUUAAUUCAGAUAAUUACAGUGUCCUUUUCGCUAAUUAAUUAUGAUUAUAUACGCUUUCAUAUAGCAAGUGGCUUUGUAGAUCUAAACCAAGUUGCUAUUUCAAAACGUUAAUUAAGUGAUUCUCCUCAUUGUCAUCAGCGUUAUACGCUCUAGGAAAAUAGCUCAAUUGUUUCCCUGCAUUGAUUUUCAUUGGUACGUGAUUUCUUAUGAAAUUCUUUUGAGCUUUCCUUAUUAAAAAUGCUUGAGCUUUUAUCACCCAAUACGGAUAUCAAUUAACUUGUGAACGAUUUUGUAAUGAAACUAGGAGUUAAAUAAGAUUUUUACAUGAUGAAUUUUUAUUUUUUUAAUUUUUUGAUGUAGUCAAUUUGCUAAUUUUAUGUAUUUCAUAUUCAACGGAAUUUGGGCACGGAAAGUUUGGAUUCUAAUAUUUAUAUGUUUAGCUUUAAUCAGUUUGACUUUCGUAAUCUUUUUCCCCUCAUCAUUAAGGGAUUCAGAAUUAGAGAAACGUUAGGAAGAGGAAGAAAAUAAUUUCGGAAAUAAGUAAGAGGGAAAAAAUUAUCAAAUUAGGAAUGAUUUUUUGUAGAGUAUGUUGCGUUUACUAAAAUGAAAUCGAAAUGAGCUGGAAUCAGAAUGGAUAAAAAUGCGAAUGUGCUGGAAUAAGAAUAAGUAAUGAGAAUCAGAAUAAGUUGUUUACUUGAACUGUAAGAAUCGAAAUCGAAAUGAGCUGGAUUGCAAUUACUUUGUCCUACAAUUAGAAUCAAAAUGAGUUAGAUUGUAACAAAUUACUAAAAGGUACUUAAUGAAUUAUUGUCAUAAUUAUUAUUUUAUAUUUUAAUUAUAGUGAUUAUUUAUUCUAAAUUAUUAUUAUUAAUUAUUUUCAAUAAUAUAUUAAUAUGUUAAUUAAUUUUAAAAAUUAUUAAUUAAUUUAUUAUAAUAAUAUACUAAUUAAUUAUAAUAAUUAUAUUAAUAAUUAUUAUAAAAAUAUAUUAAUUAUUAAUAAUGAAAUUACUUAUUUAAUUAUAAUAAUAUAUUAAUUAUUGUGAUUAUUUAUUCAAAAAUUAUAAUUAUUAAUAAUUAUUGUUAAUAAUGUAUCAAUAUAUUUUAUAUUAUGAAAUUGUGAUGUAUUGUAGACAAAUAAGGGAAUUUGGUACAAUAAAUUCUUAAUAUCUUAGUACAAAGUAUGGUACAAUGAUAUUUUAACUUAUUGUAGACAGAUUAAAUUUCGACACACUUAAUCCAUAAUAAAAUUAGUGGAAAAUAAUGAUAAUUUAUACAAUUAAUCUUUUGAGCAAUAAAAAAAUAAAAGAAAAAGAAGUUACUAAAUUAUGUUUACUGUUAAGAGUGAAUCCACAAUCCUAAAUAAUUUAUUUCCAUCGUUUCACUUAAAUUAAAUAGUGUGAAUUUAAAUUCUAAUUUUUUGAUAAAUUAAAAAGAAAUAAAAAAUUAAAAUUUUUCUCUAUGGAUCGACCUCGGAUUGAUCAAUUUAUUUCAUAACAACACACUUUUAUACUUGAGAGUUAUAAAUAACUUUGAAGUUGUGUUAAGUUUUUGACGCUCUUACGGGGGAAAAAUAUUUAUUUUAUUUUAUGUAUGGGUCAAACUUGAAAGUAUAUUUUAAGAUAGCUGCUAAUAUGCUCUAUUAGACAAUGAUAACGUAGUUGUUUGUGGUGUUCAUAAUGAGUUUAAUUAUGAUUCAACAAUUUAAAAUAUGAAAACAUAUGGAAGAUGGCCGUAAUUAAAUUGAUUGCAUGAAAAUAUUUCAAUGAAAUUUUAAAAAUUUGGUACUUAUUAUCUUAUCAAAAGUUUUUUAAAUUAUAUUACUACUUCAACUUAACUCCUCCUGGAUUGAUUGUAUUGAAUUUCCAGCACCGCCAUUGCUUCUACUUGAAAGCCAUUUAAGUUUGUGUAAGCUACCUAUAGUUUGAAUAACAAUUUACUCAUGAAUUGCUGUUCAUGAUAACAAUUUGAUUGAAAGUGCGGCUGCACUAAUUGUUCUCGUACGACCCCAGAAUGCUGUUAAAUCAGUUGUAUUGGAAAUUAAUCAACUGGUUACAACUCUACACCCCAUCAAUAUUUAAGCAGUCCACAGAACAUUAAUUGUGUUUUGAAAUUUUAAUGAGUCUCACGUGUUUUUCACGUGAUAUGCAGUAAAAACAAAAUUAAAAAAAUGAAAACAUUCAGCCCCAAAGCCAAAAUCCCCAACUCCUUCCAAAUUGGUUCCGCAGCCCCCAAAUCCCUUAAACCCAAAGCACUCUAAAACGACUCUCCUCAGCCAAAAAGAAAAAGGUCACCUCACCUCUCCUCUUCUUCUUCCAUGGCGAUCAACGGCGGCACAAGCACGGGCUGAUCUCCUUCGUCAGUAACGAUCAACGGCGGUACAAGCAUGGACAGAUCUUUUUUUUGGCAAUGAUGAACAGCGGCACAAGCAGAGUCGUCCUCAGGUACGGAUUUGAUGUUGGUUGUGUUGUCAAGUAGCGAUUCAUGUUUGGAAGAGAAUCCGCUCACAAGGACCUGGAGCACUUAAUCGAAGAUCUUAAGCGAGGAAUUCGCUUCCUCCUCAUUCCUAAUCGGUGCCUGAUUCAUCAGUAUGAUUAAGGAUGAAAAUUGAGAAAGAAGGACGCAUUAGGUUUGAGACAUUGGUUGAAAAACGCUACCCCGGUGGCCACGCUGGAAACAUAUGUUCCGUGGCUUCUUGCGUUGUCUGUGAGGAAUAUGUACUGCUGUAGAAGAUAAUUAUGAAUCAAUGGUAAUUGGCGUGUUGGUUUUGGUGCCGAUUUCCUCUUAUUUUCCAGAAAAGGCUUGUAAUUUGUUCACCUCAAGAUUCAAUUUUGUUAUUGAAAAUGGAUGGCUGUAAAGACCUAUUGGCCUUUCAUUAUAUUAAUGUUUUUGACAGUAAGUUUGUAAUAGUUAGUGCAGGGAACUUAUUGAUUCUUGAUUAUAUAUAACGGUGGCCCUUAUUACUUUAAAAAAAAAAAAAAAAUUGAUGAUGGGUUUCGUUUUGUAUAAGUGUUUGGAGUGUUGGAAAAUUAACAUUGUAUAUUUUAGAUAGUUGAGUUCCAUAGUAAUAAAAAGCUACGGAUUUGUUUUCUUUUUAUUGAAAUGAAAACAUUUUUCACUUGUAUAAUAGAAAAUAUACUAUAUCUUUAAUACUUUUGUCAAAUUUAUUAUUUAAAAUUUAUAUUUACUACAUAUUAUUAAUUUUUGUUUCAUAGUCAUAGCUUUUUUUCCACAGUAGCUGUAGCUUAAAAGAUACAGCACCUCAAUUCCAAACGCACUCUAAUUAAAAAUUUUAGAAUUUUUGGGCAUGGAAUUGAAAAGAGUAGUAUUAAACAUCAGAAAGCUAAGGUUGUUCUGUUAAAGAAUUGAUAUUCACAUGAUUUUAUUUUGGUUUUUGGGGAAAAAAAAAAUUGUUGACAAGCAAGAAAUUAUUUUUAUAUUUUACAAUUUAUUAUACAUAUUUUAUCGUAUUAAAGUAAUUUUAAUAAUAAAUAGAAGCAUAAUAUUAAAUAAAGUUUAAAUUAUUUUGAAUAUUAUAAAAAAUAAUUUUAAUAUUAUUAAUAGGAAGACAUUUUGUUAAUUUUAAAAUCUUUUUAACCCAAAGGUUUAUUUAAAAUGUUUAUUAUAAAUAAAGAUAUAAAAUUAAAUAUCAUAGUGUAAAAUUUUUAAUAUUAUUUUAAGUAUUAAAAAUAUUUUAAUGUUAUUAGUCUACUACAUAGAUCAUAUUACUUAUAUUAUAUUUGCAAUGAUUAAAAAAUUUUAAAAUCAAUUUUCUAGUUACUAUAUUCGCGAAAUAUUAUGGUUAAAGAAAAGACCUUGGUGUUACUUUUUACAAAUUUGAGUGCCUGCAUGAUAAUUUUUUCAAAAUUUAAGAAUGUAUGUGUCCUUUUCUCCAAUAAUUUAUUUCACUUUUGAGGGGAAUCCAAUGAGAAAUAUGAUAAGAGAAUGUCAAUUACUUGUCAUUUUCUAUUUUUUCUGUAAGCUAUUUAUUUUGAGCACUGGUGAUCUUGUCUUGACUACUCCAAUUAUUGAUGGAACUCCAAUGGCUGCAUCCACAGUUGAAUAUAUGAUAGUGUUAGCUCUUAUUUGAGAAUUCAGAGGGAUCUUUCUAUGUUUAUCAAUUGCAAUGUGCUAGUAUAAAUUUCUUUACCUUACAGUUUAUAUAGUCUUGCUGUUAAAGAACUCACUGAGGCAUUAUUGAUUCAAUUUCAGUGGAGCAAUCGCGCGUAGAGGAUAAAUAAAGGAUAACAGAACAGAGCUGAAGUGCUAAAUUGGCUAUUAAAGAAGGGUGUCACAUGAUCACAAUCACAUUGAUGCACAACUCUCUGGAGGCAAAUUUUGUCUGUAUGUUCUCUAAAUUCAGCCAAACCAUACAUGCAUGAACAAAAAUUAAACCGUAGUUCUCACCACAACAGUAAUUGAAGCUACAAAAGCCAGCAAAUCUGAACAAAAACUUAAAAGAAAGAUCUUAUUCAAAUUUGUCCCCAAAAGAGUGCUGAGAUGGAAAAUAUUGACUAAUGAAUGGGUCAAUGCUGGAUUACAUUUCAAAUGGAAAGCUUGGCAGCAGUUACAAUGUUUCUCCCUCAGCUUUUCCUCCAAAACAAAUUCAGUUGUAAACAAUAACCGAAGUAGAGAUAAUUCAUUCAUCAAAGAAAAUACCCAAGUUUUCAACUAACAAAUCCUUUUGUCUAAACUAAAAAACUCAUAUCUCUAAAAUUUAUUUGCAAAAUGUUGGAAAUGAGGAGUGAUCCGUUAUCUCCGUAAAUAAACUCAUGCAUAAUGUUAACAAUAAUGAUACAUUACAUAAUAAUUAUUAUAAAGAAAUAUAAAUUGGAAACGCUAAUCAUUCUACAAUCUAAUAAAUAAGUAAGAUAAAUCUCGUAAUAAGUUAAGUUAUAAUGUAUAAAUGUUUUUAAUAUAUAAUUAUUUAAGAAGUCAUUUAAUAAUAAAAUAUUUAUUCUAUUCAGUUGAUCAUAUAGCGUUAUCGAAACUCUUGACGAUAUUAUUAUUACACUUUUCUCAAAAAAACAUGAUUAACAUUUAGAGAAAAGUCAUGCCUUUUAGAUAGAAUAUGUACAUAAGCUAUCCAUAUUUUAUCUUACCAUGAAAAAAUUGAUGGUGAUUAAAUCUACUUUUAAAAUAGAUUUAAUGCACAAAUAUGAUGAUUUUUGGCAAAAAUUAGUUUCGGAAGAUACAAUGGUAGAAAAUAGUGAUGAUUAUUGUUUAAAUGUGUAAAUAGCCUAGGCAUAGCCCGUAAUACCAAUAUCCAUUUACCUUCAUUUAGAUUAUCACAUCUCAUGAUAUUUUUUCAUUCACGACCAUUGUUCGAGAUUUGAACUUGAUCAUAAAUUAAGCUGCAACGGAGUUACUUAUGUUUCUAAGCUUUUCAAUCGCGAUUCCUCCAUGCCUUUCUUGGAUACCAUUUUACUGACCUUGUAAUUGGUGUGUAUAAGGAGUCAUGCCCUUUCAGGAUCGUUUUCUUUUUUUUUUUUCCUGAUUGUAGUGUCAAAUAAAUAAAGAACGAACAAUUGAACUUAGUCUAUUUCGAGGAAAACCAAGGCCUGCAAUAUUAGAUGAACUUUGAACAAAAUUAAUCUACUAUUCUACAUCCCCACCAAAAUUUAAACAGUCGACAUUGUGGAAAGAAACACAUUUCGCCACUAGGCUUUUAGUGAGGCUAAUUUCUCUGAAUUUGGACAGAGUAGGUCCUCCAACGAGAACUGAAUCAGGACGAAUCGGCUCUCCAUUUUCUAAUUCGAACGAGCAAAGGAAGCCUGAAUCUGUGACCGUUAUCAAUACUCUGCUUCUAUUCUGAUUCUCAGGAAGUACUUCUUCAAGAUCAUCCAAUACAUCGUCACCCUCUUUGUACUAAUCAUCAAGCACAAUAAAGUACUUCUUGUUUGUUAGGUAAUCUCGAAGAAUAGAUUUCUUCAAUUGAUAAUCUUCACCGAUAAUUACACUAACCCGAGAUGGAGGCAUCACAGACUUGAUUAUGUCAUCCAAUACCAUGCGAAAAUCGUAGGAUAUAGAAACCCUGACCCAAGCAUGACAGUCAAAAUAGAACUUGACGUGAUUAUUGUUGUAAGUAUCAGCAGUAAAAGCAGUCUUAUCGAAGCUAUUGAUGUCUUUCAGAAGCUCCCAAAUGUCUGUUCUUUUAACAUUUUCUAAGUGCAAGAGCUGCCGAUAACGCGAAGGUAUUUCAUCUUCAUCGAAUUGUUCUCUAAUGAGUUGAAUUAAAACUCGAGCCAUGUCAGCUUCAUAGUUUCCCAGCAGAGUAGUGGCUAUAAUUUCGGACUCCGUAAGAAGGUUUUGAAAAAGUGGAGUUAAAUUUGUUGAAUCAGGCAAAGUUAACGUGCCUUCUUCACCUGCUAACACCAGUUUCAACCUCUCACAAAAUAGUGUGAGGUUAAUUUCCAUAUCUUUCCCUCUCUCAGUAGUACUCAGAGGUACGUAUUGUUAUUUGUUAGUGUUGAUGACGAAAGCUGAAUAAUCAAAACAACAGUGUACACAAUCAACAGAAGGCGAAGUAUGUUAAGUUGAGAUCAAAGGAUAUAAAUGAAGGAAAAGUUUAAGUACUCCGUUGAAAGCCAAAGUUGCUUUGGCCAAUUAAUUUAUAAGUGAAGGAAAGAAUAAAGUUAGUCCUCGAUGUCUUUUGAAAUUAGAAAUACAUUUUGAAUGCUUUAAUAGAUGCAGAGCAAGCUGGCUCGAUGUCUAACUAUUUUAAGAGCUAAAAUCAUUUAUUAGAAGUUGUGGCAUUGAAAAAAACUGGCUUGAUAUCCAAUUUUGUUAUUUAAUGUCUCACGUGAGAGUAAAUAACUGUUGUGUUACUGGCAGAUGAUUGAGACGGACAAGUUUGGAACAUUGUUCGAGACUGAAACUACACAUCAGUCUUAGAAAAUUGUAAUUUUGUUGAAAAAUUAUAGAUUGAAAAAUUAUUGAGACGGACAAGUUUGGACCAUUGUUCGAGACUGAAACUACACAUCAGUCUUAUAAAAUUGUAAUUUUGUUGACUUAUCAUGAUUUUGAUUGCCUCCCAUUGAUUUUCCUAUGAUGUCUCUGUAGAGUGGCUAUGCUUACAUUUUUAGGUAUUUAAUUCUAAAAAUUAACUUAUUAGAUGGAAGGAUCAAUUCUACCUGUAAAUCUAAGUGGCUUCCCUUUACUAACUCAUAUAAGACACAACAAUAAUUUUCUUCGAAAAAAACCACCAUCGGAGGGCUAUUUUCGUUCAACAUACAUGAGUUGUUCCGCCACCAUAUUUUGAGGGUUUGCUUCUAAUACAACUUGGGGAAGCUAGGGGUAAGAUUUCCAAGUAUCAACAUAAAAACCUUGCCGAUUGGAUAGAAGGACCAAUCUUACUUAUAAGUCUAAAUGACUAAUUUUUGAGGACACAACUCAACAGACCAAUAUAAACUUUUGGCGUCCCAUUUUAUUACUUUUCAGUGCUUUACUUUUGCUGUCUAUAGCCCUACUAUUCUAUUAAGCAGAAAAUAUUAUCUAUUUUCUUUCCAUUUUAUGUAUACCCCGAUCUUUACCUCUGAUUGGUUGUAGAUUCUUCUGUCGCUUUGGGGUUAGGGGAUGGUUUUCAUCAAGAAAUGAUAAAGGAUUGUUAGUUGUGUGACAAACAGCAUUAAUAUGAAGGAUGAUGAUUGUUCUUUUCAAGAGUUUAUAAUGACAUAAUUCUGCUUUGGUCUUUUAAAAAAAAGUAAUUUAGAAAUGAGGAGUAUGUGAGUGAUGAUUUUUACAAAUAAAUUGCAUGCGUAGUGAUGAUUUUGACACAUGAAAAUGUAAAAAGAAAUAUAACUUGUGAAUAAUAAUCGAAGUACCCUGCUAUUGUUAUAUUGAGUAAUCAAGGACUUCGAUAUUCGGACGAUACAAGCAACACAAUCAAAUAUUAGUUGGAAGGCAUAGCAAAAUUAGAAUGUAGAACAAACUGGGUAUUGAUAAAUGGAUGGUUUUGGAAGAAUUGAAAAUGAUGGCAAAAAAAAAACAAAGUUAAGAGAAAAGAGAAAGAGCAUUUGAACUUUACUUGUAAGUAAAGGCAAAUAUCUUGGUUCAAGAAAAGAUAAGAGAUAUCAAACUAGCAAUAGGAAAAAGGAGGAAGGUUAAGACAGCAUCUUAACAAAAGCUAAAGAAAAGAAAAACUUAGUUCAAGCAAAGAACAAUGUGCUAAUGUAGUGUAAUCUUGUUUAAUUUCUUUUUCUUCUCACAUUUUCCAGGGCUUAAAUAAUACAAUGUACAUUUUCAAGCAAAGAACAACAAAUAAAUAAUACAAUAUACAUACCCAGUAAAUUAAAAAAAAUAUAUUAUUCAAGUUUGUGGACAAUACUGUAGCCAUUGCGUCGUCGAAAUCUACUGACAGCUGAAACAAAGAAAGAAUGGAUGAACGCUGGAUCACAGUUGAAAUUGAAGGUCUGGUAGGUGAUGUUUCCCUCUCUGAUUUUACCUAAACAAAUACAAGAAAAUAAGAAUCACGAAUGAAAAUCUGUUAUUACACUGUUCUUACUUAUUAAAAUACAGAGGUUUCUUUGUUUCUCUGCAGCAAUGUCCAUGGCUAUUAGAAACAAGAACAAUUAGACCAGCAUUUGCAAGAAUCUUUUAAGGUAUUACUGCAGAUAUAAAUCGACUGAGGAAAUGGAAAAAUUGAAUACCAAAUUAGGCAAGUUAACUGAAGAUUCAGUUAUCAUAGAAGAAUAAAACUCAUCCAAUUCAAUCCAUCAAAUUUCAUUAAGCAUUUCCAGAACUCUUGAUUUUCUUUCUCAGUAGCCAAACAACUUCAAUCUCAUUUUUUUUUUUCAACAAUGAGUUCUCAAACCACUCUGGUAUCAUUUUAAGACAUUCUCGGCCUUGUACUCACCAUCAAAAUGGAUUGGUUGAGAGAAAACAUAGGCAUAUUGUUGAAUUAGGUUUGACUCUGUUGGCUCAAGCUCAACUUCCUUUUAAAUUCUGGUGGGAUGCAUUCCAUACUGCCCUAUAUCACAUCAAUAGAUUACCAUCUUCUGCUUUCAAACUUUCGACCCCAUGUGAGAAGAUAUCCAAGCACAAACCUGAUUAUGAUUUUCUCAAAUGUUUUGGUUGUAUUUGUUAUCCUUACUUGAGAGACUAUAACAAACAUAAGUUUGCCUAUCAUUCCAGUAAGUGUAUAUUCAUUGGUUAUAGUCCUUCACAAAAGGAUUAUAAAUGCUUACAUUCUUCAGGUCAAGUCUAUGUGGCAUGACAUGGUAUCUUUGAUGAGUCAACCUUUCCUUAUGCUACUGAAUCUGUUUUUCAUAGUCACACAAAUUCUGAUUCUCAUUCUUCAAAUUUAUUUACUCCACAGCAUGUCUAUUAUCUUUCUACUUUACCUGUCAUACCAGUAUUUCUAAAUAACAACACUGAUAAUCUAAACUCUACAAAACUAAAAUGCCAGCUGUUUGGUGUUAGCGAUAAGAAACAACUUACCACAACCAUUAAUUAUCCAUAAUUUCAUUGUUUAUCCUCAGUUUUCUUCAUAAAUGUUACAGCGUUCUUCACAACAAAGUGCAAGGGCAUCUCAAAAGUUCUGAAAUAAUACCUCAAUUCUAUUGCAAAAAUAAAUAAUCUCAAACAAGAACCAAUAAUCAUAUUUCGUUACUGUCAAACACAAUGCAUCUGAGCAAAACAUUGGAAGCCAACACCAGAAUACAUAUGAAUAAACAAUUAAAGAUAGAGAAAAAAGGCUUAAACCUUGGGGGAAAAAAGUGAAAAAACAUGAAAGACAAAUUACACAUGUGCAGUAACCAUCGAACUUAUCAGUGACAGCUGCAUCCAUUACAUUGCUCCAACAACACAAUGGCAAACCACCAGUUUCAAAUUGAGGAUAGCUAUUGAGAAUGAGAAAGUGUCCAAAACGCCAUAAAUAGACAUGUUCCUAUUAUGCAUAAUUUACAUUAUAGGCAAAUAUUCUUAUACCAUCAAAAGCAAAACAUGACACUAUAACAAUUGACUCCCCCCCCCCCCCCCCCCCCCCCGCACACAAAAAAAAAGGAAGAAACAAUACCGAAAAGAUUGAAACAGGUAAGGCUACACUGAGCACAGGAUGCCAUGAAACAUAAUCCAGGAACCAAAUUAAUAAAGAAGGAAGGCAAACCAUUAUUUAACAAUCUGUUUUGUAUUAGGGAAAGUCCGAUAAAAUCUACUUAGGGAUAAUUAGAGAACCUCAACUAUUAAUCACACCUCAUAAAUGAACUAACAUUAACCAUGUACCAUCCCCACAUCAGACAAACAUUCUCUAUACUUCUGAACCUAAUACUUCCAUCUUCAAUUGGGGUUUUUUUCUUUUGUGGGGGGGGGGAUAAGCUAUCGUUUUUCUAAGCUUGCUUACCUUCUGUGUGGGACUGAAAUACUGAUUUCGAAUCAUUAACAGUAAAAUUGGAAGCUCAUGAAAAAACAAUUUUAUCUUUUAACAAAAGUUAAAAUUACAUCUCCAUAUAAAUUCUCUUUUCAUUUCCUUCAAUUUUCUAAUUAAGCUUAAAAAAAUGUACCUUCAACCACAAAGGGGUUUAAAAUUUAAAAUAUAUAAAAAAAUAAAUUCAGAUAACAAUAAUUAAUUUAAUUAAAAAUAUAAAUAGAGAUUACAGAGAAAGAAAAAAUAGAGAAAGACCUGAUGUUGAGAGCAUCGACGGCCGGCAGUGACCGGCGGAAGAUGGCGAGAGAUGGCGGCGUGGGCCAUUGCUUGCGCAUCAGUGAGUGUCUCGAGUGAGAGAGUGAAGGUAGGGAUGGCAAUGGGGAGGGAGGGAGGGUCCAAUCUCUCUGUACCCAUCUCCCAAUUUGUCCCCGUCCCUCCCCGUCCCCAUUUGCUUAGAAUCUGUCCCCUACUCGAAUAAUAAUUCUCGAAUAAUAACAUAAAAUGCUCGAGGUUCUCGAUUUAUGAAUAAUUAAUAUAUUUUUUAUUUUAAAUUUUAAAUUAACUAUAUUAAAAUAAAAAAUUUAAAUAAAAAUAAAAUUUGAAAUAUAUUUUAUAUUAAUAUUGAUCCAUUAUAAAAAUUACAUACAAAAUAUAAAUUAUCAAAAUAAUUAUCUUUAUCAAUCUUCAUAAUCCUACAAUAAAAAGAAAAAAAAUUUACUUUUAUAUUGAUAAUAAAAUAAAUGUAGAUAAUUAAUUAAUAUUUUUAAUAAAAUAAAAUUAAAAUAAAAUAAAAUUUUUAGGCUAAUAUAAUCUACCCGACUUUUUUAAUGUGUUAAAUAAAAAUUUAAGACUUUAAUUAGUUAAUUAGGCCUAAAAGCUUAAUAAUAUAAAUAUUUUGAUAUUUAUUAUUUUUACUAAUAUUUAUAAUUUUAUAAUAUAUUCAAUUUUUAUUAUUUAUUUACUAGUAAUUUUAAAAAAUAAAAAUAAAAUUAAAAAAUAAAAUGGGGGAAAUGGGGAGGGGAUGGGGAUUCCACCUCAUCCCCGUCCCUUCCUUGUAGGGAUGGCAAAAGUUCGGGUCGGGUCGGGUCUGGGGCUGCCUGGAACUGACCCGGAUUUCACACAUAGCUGCCCGGACCCGGACCGUGCCCGGAUUUUUUCUAUGCGGGCCGGGUAUAUGGCUGGCACUAUCCGGGCACAGGUUUUUUUUGGGUUUUCUCUACCCACAUUUUCAAAACUGGCUAAAAAAAAAUUGAUAGAAAAGGCUAAAUAAGUAAACAAAAUUGCAAUUGGGCCUGGAAAUUCAUAACUUAUCCCUGAAUUAUAUAUAUAUAUAUAUAACUUCUAAUUCUUUGUUGAUACAAGUUUUUUCUAAUUCAUUAUAAAAUCACAUUAUAUAUAUUAUUUCCUCAUCAGAUAAUAAGUGACAAUUGCUCACCAGUUUAUUAACAUCUCUACGAAACCGUCUUUUAUGGCAUUAUUAUUAUUAUUGUUGUGGCUGAAACCAUGUAGUAUGUGAUUGAAGAAAUUGCAUUAAAUGUUGGAGUGGAGGUGAUGUAGGUGAGAAAGGAUUCCCUGGAGACUGUUAAACAAGACACAAGGCAUUUCCGGAAGAAAACAGAAGACAACUGGAUAAGACAAAACGGACAAAAGGGUAAGAGAGGUGGGUGGGAAAUUAAGAUAGGCAAUUUGUCCAGCAGAAACAUAAUAAUACCUCGUGGUCGUGGGUCGUGGCUGUGUUGGUGAAGUUGCAGCUGAACAAGAACAGUUGAUGCUGUCGCGUGGUGGCUGCCGUUGAGAAGAUGACCAAACGAUGAAGAGCUCUGUGACGGGAUGGUUGUGCUUUGCGAGGAGAAAUAGAGUUGACUGAGGAAGGUAAGAGGUUCGUGGAGGGAAAGGUGCGGACAACACUGCAUCAGUGCCGGUGGGUGGUGGAGAGACGGAGAGAGGUGCCGCCGAUUUGGAGAUUUCAGGGUGGGUGCUGACUGCUGCAGUGCUGCGUUGUUCUGCAAGUUGCAAUCGCGAUUUAGGGUUCAGUACCAGUUUUGGGGGCAAUUGGGCAAAGUAAAUUUUAUUUUCGCUUUUAUAUUUUCUUUUUUUUUACUUAAUAAAAAACCGGGCAUUGAAAAUCAAUGUCCGGAUCCGCUUUUUCCAUUCAUGUGGUCCGGGUAAAACCCGAACCGCACACGCCGGGUCUGGGCCGGAUCCGGUCCGGGUGGGUUUUUCUGCCACCUCUACUUCCUCGAAUAAGAAAUUUGGUAAAAAAAAUUUCCCGUCCCUUCCUCGAAUAAAAAAUCGGGUAUAAAAUUAUCUCUGUAUCCUCCCCGAAUGAGAAAAAUCCCCGAAGAUACCCAUACCUGUGGGGAUUUUUACCAUCCUUGAGUGAAGGGUUUUGUUUAGGGUUUUGGGAAAUGAAAAAUGUAAAUGUUUGAUUUUGUUGCUAGAAACUUCUUCUGCCGCUGCUUUUUAUUUUCGCUAUAAAAAUAAUAAUUUGUUAAUCAAAUAUUUUCUUAAAAAAGAUAAAUUUCUAGAACAAAAUUUAUAUUAAAUCAAAUUGUAAAAAUGUGGAAUAGGGCUAAUUUCUCCUUAAUAUUAUUAUUAGUAGAAGUAGAUUGUCGAACUAGUCUUGAUAUAUUUUAGAGUUGUAUUAUAGAUGUAUACGUAUCUAGAUUGUAAUUAUAUUUUAAAAAAUAUAAUUUUUUUUAAUUAUUGCACAAUAAAUGUAGAAAAUAUCUAUAAAAUAAUAUUAUUAGAACUAUGAUACAGCACCUCAAUUCCACAGUAGCUUAAUAUUAUUAGAACUAUGAUACAGCACCUCAAUUCCAAACGCACUCUAAUUAAAAAAUUUAGAAUUCUUGGGCAUGGAAAGAGUAGUAUUAAACAUCAGAAAGCUAAGGUUGUUCUGUAAAAGAACUGAUAUUGACAUUAUUUUAUUUUGGUUUUCGGGGAAAAAAAUAUUUGUUGACAAGCAAGAAAAUAUUUUUAUAUUUUACAAUUUAUUAUACAUAUUUUAUCAUAUUAAAGUAAUUUUAAUAAUAAAUAGAAACAUAAUAUUACAAUAAAUAAAUUAAAGUUUAAAUUAUUUUGAAUAUUAUAAAAAAUAAUUUUAAUAUUAUUAAUAGGAAGACUUUUGUUAAUUGUAAAAUCUUUUUAAUCCAAAGAUUUGUUUAAAAUUCUUAUAAUAAAUACAAAUAUAAAAUUAAAUAUCAAAAUUUAAAUUUUUUAAUAUUAUUUAAAUUUUAAAAAUACUUUAAUGUUAUUAGUCUUCUACAUAAAUUAUAUUAUUUAUAUUAUAUUUGUAUUGAUUAAAAUCUUUUAAAGUCGAUCUUCUAGUUAUUAUAUGCAAAAGGUAUUAUCAUGUUACAAUUUUUUGAAAUUUUAGGGAUGUAGGUUACGAUGAUUUAUUUCACUUUUGACAAAAUCCAAUGAGAAAUAUGAUAAGAGAAAGUCAAUUUAAUGUUCUCGACCUUUAUGAAAAAAAGUAAAAACUAAGAAUUAUUCAAUUUUAUAUUUUUUGCAUCCACCAAAUAAGUUUUGCACAUUUAUGUUAUCAUAAAACGAAAAAAAGGGUUUACCAAAAAAUGGUACCAAGCAUACCUUUAAUGUCCCACGUGAUUUCUUAUUAAGCCCAAUAUUAGAUAUAUUUAUACAUUUUACUGCAUUAAGUAUUUUAAUUAUAAAAGAAGUUGGUCCUUCCUCUAGUUACAAAAGAUAACUUUAUUUCAAGACUACCACUAAAUUCUUACGUAGAAUUAGUGCAAGGCCAAGAGAGAGUAACACAAUUUUACUUUUCCAUUACCAUUUUGAAAAUAGAAAGAUAUGGAUCCGUGUAUUUAAGAGUUAUUGUAAAAAUCAUACAAUUCAAUUUCCUGACGUGUAUUAUGUAUAUUUAGGCACAUUUGCCAAAAGCAUAAAUAGAUAGAAAGUAAAUUUACAAUCCACCCUUACUCACAAUUAUUGAAGUGAAGAUGCAUUACAACUGUCACUACUUUAACUUUAUUUAUUUAUUUGUUUUAAAUAAAAGUGUGAGAGAGACGGUGAACAUCAUGGACGAUAACAAAGGUUAAAGCCUAAAGGUGACCCAUUUUCUUUUUAAAGUGCUCUGCUGAAAGCCUAACUUCCUUUGGAUCCGCCGAAGUGGCCGAAGUGGUGGGCUGCUGCCCUCACAAGCAUUGUGAGGGCAGCGGUUCUAGCCCCCACAAAAGCAUUGUGGGGGUUAAAUGUUCUUUAUAUUUAAAAAUUUUUCUCCCUUGCGAAAUACAAGUGGAGUAUGGACAUCCCUCUCCUGUGAGGGGUUAUUUGUUUGGGCAUGUACUUCAUAGAAUUUAAUGUAAUAAUGUAAGUCCCAAUAAUGUAUAUCUGAUUGUAAAUAUCAGUAUAAUAUCUCUGCUACAAUAGCAAUUAUUGUAAAUAUUUGUGUAAUACAGUAAUCUGAUGAUUAAUCAGUAUUCAAAAAAAAAAAAACUUCAUUUGGAUCCGCCUAAGUUACUGCUUUGUAAAAUUUUAUAAAGCCCCUUAUACUCUAUAUUAUUUAUAAUUUGUUCAUAAAUAUUAUAAAACUUUCUGCAUUAUAUAAUUUUAUUGAGCCCCUUGUACUAUAUUUUAUUUCAUUGAAACCCUUAAAGUACCAAUUCGCCCUCUAUAAUUUUAAAUUACUAAAAUACCCUCCAUUUAAUUAAAAAUAUAAUGAUUAUUAAAUGAUUAUAAUUAUCUGGAGUACAAAUUCAGUAAUAAACAAUAACUAAAGUAUUAACAAUUUAUUCAUCAAAUAAAAUACUCGAGAUUUCAGCCGACAAAUCCUCUUGUCUAAACUAAAAAACUCAUAUCCCUAAAAUCUAUUUGUGAAAUGUUAGAGAUGAGUGGUGAUUUGUCAACUGGGUAAAUAAAUUUAUGCAUAAUGUUUCCGGUAUUGAUAAAUUACAUAAUAAUUAUUACAAAGAAAUCAUAAAUUGGAAACAUUAAUCAUUUUACAAUAUGUUACAUAAGUAAGAUAAAUCUCAUAGUAAGUUAAGUUAUAACGUAAUAAAUAUUUUCAACAUAUACUUAUUUAAGAAGUCAUUUAACAAUAAUAUUUUUUAUAUUUCAGUUGAUCAUGUCAUAUAGCGUUAUCUAAACUCUUGGCCAUAUUAUUAUUACUCAAUUUUCUCCCAAAAAAAAAAAAAAAAAAACAAAAACAAACAUGAUUAAUGAUUAGAGAAAAGUCAUGCCUUUUAGAAAGAAUACGUAUACAAGCUAUCCAUACUUUAUCUUACCAUGAUGGUGAUUAAAUAUAUUUUUAAAAUAGAUUUAAUGCACAAAUAUGAUGACUUUUGGCAAAAAUUAGUUUCGGAAGAUAUAGUGGUAGAAAAUAGUGAUGAUUAUUGUUUAAAUGUGUAAAUAGUCUAAGCAUAGCCCGUAAUACCAAUAUUCAUUUGCACCUUCAUUUGGAUUAUCAUAUUUUAUGAUGUUCUUUCAUUCAUAACCAUUGUUCAAAAUUUGGAUUUGAUCAUAAAACAAAACUAAAAAAUAUUAGAGAUACUAACAAUUGAGUCCCAUUUUAAGUCCCAAUACAAUGUGUUAUUUCUCAAUGUUGUGUCAUUCAUUAAUUAAGUGAUGAAUUUCAGAAUUAAUAAUUAGUUCAGACUUUAAUUAAGAUUUAAAUGUUAGAAUAUCUAGCAUCAUUCAAUCACAAUAAACAAAAUUCAAAUUGAAACGGCAAUAUUGUAUUUUCUUUAAUUAAUUUUGAUGCUGAAGCAAAUAUUUUGCUUGGGUUUUUCACUUCUUGAUUUUGAUUGGAAAAGUUUCUGAGACGAAGUAUUUUGGAUAAUUUUUUCGGGAUUGAAACCACAACUUGGUAGAGGAAAUUAGUUGGAGUAGUGAUGGCUUUGUCUUCAUUUUUGGUUCCUUUUGUGUCGGCAGCCCCUUACUAUUCUCUUGACCCUGAGUUUGAGAUAGAAAUUUAUCAACCUCCAACCCCACAUCCACAAACAAGUUGAUUGAAACAAUUGCUCUUUUAAUUAAGAGGACCCAAAUGAUUUAGGUUUCAGUUCUUAUCAUUUGUCUAUUAUUUAUUUGAAACAUUUAUUUUGAGCGUUACUGAUCUUAAUUAUCUGUAUUUCUCCAAUUAUUGAAGCAUUUCAAGUGGCCACUUUUUCUCCUUUUUAUAUAUGUUUAUUUUUUGGAGUGAUCAAACGGGGGCAAAAUCAAGUAUUCGCUGGUCUGUAGUUUAGCCAACGAUGGCUGAUCCACACAGUUGAUUAUAUGAUACUAUUAGCUCUCAAAAUCUUUCUUAUUUGAGAAUACAAGUUGCCCAAUAGAGUUGAACUAUGUUACCCAACUCCAUGCUCAUACAUUAAAUGUUUAGGUAGUUUUACAAAAUGAUAGCAGCAUGCCAAAACUUGUUGUUGUCAUUUUCGACAUUUCAAAUUGAAAAAUAUGCAAGCAAUCUUCAGUGAACAUUACGUUUUUAUUGAAUAAUUUAAAUGGCCAGUAAAUCAACAGUCCGUGAGUUUUAAAUCUAUUAUGACUUAAUGUAUCUUUCUGUAUUCGUACACAGGUUAUAUUAUCAUAGUUUAAAAUUUUAAUAUUAUUUUAAAUGUUAAAAAUACUUUAAUGCUAUUAGUCUACUACACAUGUUAUAUUAUUUAUAUUAUAUUUGUAUUAAUUAAAACUUUUAAUGUAAAUUUUCUAAUUACUAUAUUGAAAAGGUAUUAUGGUUAAGAAAAAGUUUUGGCAUUUCUUCUUGAAAAUUUGAGGGUCUGCAUGACAAUUUUUCCAAAUUCUAAGGGUAUAGGUUUGAAAAUUUAAUGUUCUUUAACUUAAUGAAACAAAAGGGGGAAACCAAGAACUAUUCAAUUUUGUAUUUUUUGUUUGUAAUUCAAAAAAUGCAUCCACCAAACCAGUUUUACGCAUUAAUGCUGUCAUAAAACAAAAAACAGUUUGCCAAAAAAUGGUACCAAACAUAUCCUUAAUGUCUCACAUGAUUUCUUAGUAAGCCCAUAUUAGAUAUAUUUAUACAUUUUAGGUAUUUUAGUUAUAAAAGAAGUUGGUCCUCCCCCUAUUUAUAAAAGAUAACUUUGUUUCGAUAUUACCACUAAACUCUUACAUAGAAUUAGUGUAAUGUUAAGAGAGAGUAAAACGGUUUUCCAUUACCAUCUUUGAAAAUAGAAAGAUAUGGAUGCGUGCAUUUAAGAGUCAUCGUGAAAAUCAUACAAUUCAAUUUCCUGACAAGAAGUUGGUCCUCCCCCCCUUUUUUUUUUUUUUUCAAUUACAGUGUGAUGGAGACAUUAAGGAUGAGCAUAAUAGUUAAAGAUGACUCAUUUCUCAUUUUCUUUUUAAAGUGCUCUGCUGAAAGCCAAACUUCCUUUGGCUAAUUAAUUUAGAAGUAAAGCAGAGAAUAAAGUCCUAGAUGCCUUCUGAAAUUAGAAAUACAUUUUAUAUGCUUUAAUUAUGAUUAUUUGGUAGACUAAAGACCUAAAAGAUAUGUCAAAAGUAUAAAACAGAGCGAUUAAAGAAAAAAGAAAAAAAAAACAGAGCAUUUGUGACGUAGAACAAUUGGUAAAUAAAUCCUAAAUAUUUGAGUUGUUAAAAGCAAAUAUAACAGAGACAGUAAGAGAGAUGCUGAAACAGAAAACUAUUAGCUUAUCUUGAUUUUCCCACUAUAUUCAUUUUCGAUGCUUUUCAAACGAGAUUCUUUUAAUUCUUCUGGUGUCUCUUAUAGAUCUCCAUCCCACAUCUGCACUACGAACAAGUUGAUUAAAAUUAAAUACUGUUGGAGAUGUGGGGUGAGCGGUCAACUUGGUAAAAAAACUAUGUGUAAUAUUGUUAAUAAUAUAAAAUAUAUAAUAAUAAUUACAAAGAAUCAUAAAUUAGAAAAAUUAUUUAUUUUACAAUCUAUUUCUUAAGUAAGAUAAAUCUCGUAAUAAGUUAAGUUAUAAUGUAAAAAAUAUUUUCAAUUUAUAAUCAUUUAAGGAGUCAUUUAACAAUAAAAUCUUUCUUUUUUUGAUCAAUUGGUCAUGGUACAGAGCAUCAUCUAUAUUCAUGGUGAUAUUAUUAUUACUCCGUAUUCUCAAAAAACACGAUUUAACAUUUAGAGAAAGUUCCUACCUUUUAAAAAGAACAUGUAUGCAACAACUACCCAUACUUUAUCUUACCACGACAAAACUAAUAGUGACUAAAUCAAUUUUCUCGAAUAAAGCAAAAUUUCUUAAAAUUAAUUUAAUAUACAAAUAUGAUGACUUUUUGCAAAAAUUAGUUUUGGAAAAUUAGUGACAGAAAAUAGUAAUGAUUAUUGUUUAGAUGUGUAAAUAGCCUAAACAUGAUCCCUAAUACCAAUAUCCACGUGCAUCUUAACACCUUUCGUCAUAUUCUUUCAUUCAUGGUCACUGGUUCAAGAUUUGAAUUUGAUCAUUAAAUAUGUUCAAUAAUAUUAGAGAUCCCAACAAUUGAGUACCAACUUAAAUCCCAAUGCUAUGUGUCAUUAACAAAUGUUGUGUCAUUUAUAAUUAUUGAAUGAAUAAUUCGUUAAUUUAUUGAUAAAUGAAAAUUUAUUAAUUUAAAGAGAGAUAUUUUUUUUUUUGGGUUUUAAGAAGAGUUUUGUUGGUACAUGUACAUACUUAUAAAGAAAUAAACUUGUAAUUAUACUAUAUCUUUCUUUCUUUAUUCAGUUUGGUGGGAUAUUGUGAUAAAUCAUUGGAUUAAAAUGCAUUUCUAAAUUAAAACUUGUUAAAAUCUAAUUUAUUUGGGAAGCGCAUAUUAUUUGUCAGUCGUACUUCUCAAGUCUCAACUUAGCAAGUUAUUUCUAACUUGUCAGUCUCUAUUGGUUCUCUAAAGCUAAUAGUCUCGAAUCUCCCGCAUUUGAUAUCUUGCCAUUAUUGUUGGCAUUAACAUGUUACCUGAGAUUGGGAUUCAUUAAAAUCCUCAAUGUAAUCGGUGGAACGAAUGGAUUUCUUCUGUUCACCAAUCCACCAAAAUUUCUGUAAUUAAAUUCAAGAGUCAAGAUCUAUGCUUAUAAUCUAUUCUAACAGCUAAUAUUCUAUUUUAUAUUUACUUAAAUAUGAAGAGCUAUGCUUGUCAUUAACUUCAAAUGUGAUCGAAGCAGCCUUACAUCUGUAUAUUACUUAUUCCCAACCUUUUUUUUUUGACUUCAUAUACUUUAUUUUCAUGUUAUUUACUCUUUUUUUCCCCUUUCUGACAAUUGAGGUAGGGGGUCAAACUUGAAAGUAUCUUAAAAUCAGACAAAUUUUUUUUUUUUUAAGAUAGCUGCUAAUAUGCUCUAUUAGACAAUGACAAGUAAUAACCUAGUUGUUUGCAUUAGAAAUGAUAUUUUUUGUGGUGCUGAUAAAGAGGUUGAUUAUGAUUCAACAAUUUAAAAUAUGAAAACAUGUGGAAGACGGCCGCAAUUAAAUUGAUUGUAUGAAAAUAUUUCAAUGAAAUUUUAAAAAUUUAGUACUUGUUAUCUUAUCGAGAGUUUUUUUAAAUUAUAUUACUACUUGAACUUGGCUGCUUUUGUAUUGAAUUCCCAGCGUUGCCAUUGCUUCUACUCAAAAGCCAUUUAAGUUUGUGUAAGCUACCUAUAGUUUGAACAACAAUUUACUCAUGAAUUGUUGUUCAUAAUAGCAAUUUGAUUGAAAGUGCGGCUGCACUAAUUUUCUAGAUGAAUUUUUUCCUACAUGCUUGUUCUCGUAUGACCCAAAAUCCUGCUACAUCAGUUGUAUUAGAAAUUAAUACUGGGUUACAAUUAUGCAUCCCCACCAAUAUUUCUUGAGGAAAGAAACUCAUAUCGCCCCUAGGCUUUUAAUGAGGCUCAUUUUUAUGAAUCUGGAUGGCAUUAGAUAUCUCUCCGAAUAUUGGUGGGAGUAUAUCGCAGAUCAAUGGGCUAUACUACAAAGUGUAUGUACGUUGACUCUCAAUAAAUACAAACGAUUCUCUGAUAUGAUUCAAAACAUCAGUGCACGCAUCAUUUUAACGAGAGAGAAUAUUCUAAGAACGAAAUUGAAGGUGCAAUCAGCAACUAAAAUGAAGCCAGAAAUGUACACGCAUGAGGAAGUUUUCCUAGAAGAUUGAUAUUUCUUUAACUAGCAAACAAUACAAGUCCAAAGCUAACCAAACCAUACCUGCAAGUCCGGGGCUUAAAUGGAGUACUUGUAAGCAUAAAACAUUAAUCAAAACACAGUAUAGACACACACACACACCCCUACAUACAUACCAGCAAAUUCGAAAUAGAAAAAGGAGUGCAACUAUUCAAGUUUGUUGACAAUAUUGCAACCAUGGCAUAUUAAAGCAAAUCCUUAAAAUCAGCUAAACGAAACAAUGCCCUGUCUCAUGAAUCGAUGCUCAACUAAAAAUUGAAAUUGAAAGUCCGGCUGGUGUUGUUAUUAGAUAGAUAUAACAAGAUCUUUCUUUGACAGUUCUUAUUAGAUAGAUAUAAAAAGAUCUGCUUUGACAGUUCUUAUUAGAUAGAUAUAAAAAGAUCUUUCUUUGUUUCUCUGCUGUAAUUUGUGGCUAUCCCACUCUGUUUUGCCAGUCAAGCUGAGUCUACGUUGAGACAUAAUUUUGACAUCAGAAGCGGCCUCAAUUAGUUUGGCAUUUUUAUAACCUCCUUGAAGGUUUUACGAUAAACAUAAAUCUACUGACAAAGUGGGCAAAAAGAAAAUGCAUGUAAAAGUAUGAGUUAUCAAAUAAGAUUAAAACUCACCCAAUUCAAUCCAUCAGAUUCCGUAAGGAUACAACUGGAUGUCAUACCGCCACUCCAUAUUCUCGAAAGUCCGUAGUCCUUGUCUCAACUGUGUCUGGGGCCAGUGUAAGUCCAUUUUUGCGCAAGCUCUUUAUGCACCACAGCUCUUCUGGAAGCUUUCUCAAGUAAGCACACGGGUUGACAAUUAAGCAUUCAAGUUUCGGCAUUGCUCCAGCCCCCAUCGUCCACUCAUCUAGCCAAUACAUUGACUUCAGGUGCAAAACCUUAAGUUCGGGAAAGCUACUCAAGCCAACACAAGCAAGCUUUCUUCCUAAAUACGAGUUCUGCUUCAGUUUCAGCACUCGAAGGCGUGGAAGAUUUUCCAGAAUUGGCAUGGGAUCCUCCAUUAGCUCAGUAUUUGAUAAGCUCAGUUGGAUCAGACUUGGGGGAAAUUGGUAUUCAGACAGGACCAUCCGUGAGGGCUUGCUCUCAUUCACCAGCUUCAAGCAUUCAAGUUUGUGGAGUUCGCAUAGGCUUUUGGAAACCCCUGAAUGAUAGCAACUCAAAUCUCCAGAUAUCCGAAGAGUUUGAACAUUAGGUAGUCUGCCCAAUAUAUCAGGAGUACAACUACUGGGGUUUAAAGUUGAUAUGAAAAUGAGAUUUUUCAGGGAGCUAGAAUAAUUUUUUGGAGGUGCGGGCAGAGUGAUAGAACCAAAGUUUAGAUGCAUGAGUUUUUGCAUCUUCCAAAUAUCCUCUGGUGACUGAUCUAUGUAGCUAGAUGGCAUUUCUAGUGUUUGAAGGUUUAAAAGGGUGCAUAGCAGUGAAGGAAGGCAUUUGAGCGAAGGGAUAUUCAAUUUCAAAUACUUCAAAAGGAAUAAAUUUUCUAAUCCGGGUGGAUAUUGGUCCAGGACUGCAGAACCCAAGUUCAGUACCCGAAGGUAUUUGAACCUUUUAAAAAAAUUCUCGCAAUCUUUCGGAUUAAGAUGAUAUCUUUUUGGACUGUGAUUGAGAAAAGAUUGGAGAUACAUGUCAGAAUGUUCUAAAGAAAGGAACUCAAUCAAAUCAUCGACAAUGAAGCACCGUUUAACAUUUGCGGGUGGUUCCUCUUCCACGUCAUGCAUCCAGACAAAUCCCGUCUUCUUUGCCACCACAAACAAUGAAGUGUAGUAUACAAUACUUGGAAAAUAACACGAUUUAAUUGUGCCUCCGGCCCUUCUUUUACUCACUUGAAUGAAGCCGCGAUGGAUUAGUUCUUUCAAGUAAUGUUCGGCAGUUUCUUCACUGUUGUAUGGUAUGAAACCUUCAGCUACCCACAAAUGAUAUAAUUGCCUCGUGGAUAUCUCAAUGCCUGGAGGGAAGACACACAAAUAGAUGCAGCAGAUUUUCAAGUGAAAAGGUAACUCCAACACAGAACAAAUUCCAAUGAAAAUUGUCGGAAUCGUUUCGCCUUGAACAUAAUUUUCUAAUGGCAUACUUCCAUAGUGUAGGAUGAAAAAUUGCCAGGCUUCAUGCUUUAAUCUGAUCAAUGGUCCUCCAAUGAGCACCGAAUCAAGCCGAAUCUUCUCUCCAUUUUCCAUUUCAAGCGACGCAAGGAGGUCUGGAUCAGUGACUGUUAUCAAUACUCUGCUUCCAUUCUGAUUAUCAGGAAGAACUUCUUCAAGAUCAUCCCAUAUGUCAAUGUUAUCGCAGACAUCAUCAAGCACAAUAAAGUACUUCUUGUUUGUUAGGUAAUCUCAAAGAAUAGAUUCCUUGAAUUGAUAAUCUUCACCGAUAAUUACACUAACCCGAGAUGGAGGCAUCACAGACUUGAUUAUGUCAUCCAAUAUCUUGCCCAAAUCGUAGAAUACAGAAACCCUGACCCAAGCAAGACAGUCAAAAUAGAACCUGACAUGAUUAUUGUUGUAAGUAUCUGCAGCAAAAGCAGUCCUAUCGAAGCCACUGCUGUCGAGAAUUGCAACCACUGCAAGCCCAGAUGGUCCCUCAAUCAAUAGAUCAAACAACUUCUCUCUGCCCCUUUCAAAUUCACUGAUAUCGAGCCGAGGUUGUCCCUCAUUCAAUAGGCGAAUGAUUUCGUUACUUUUUUCACUGAUAUCAAAACCAUUGUCGCCGGGCGGAAGUUGUUGCAUCCGAUUUCUAAUAUCAAUGAUUUCACUGUGGACAUGAAGAGCCAUAUUAGUGCUGCUUUCACUUUCGUUUUCACUGUUUUGCUGCUGCAUUAUGUUGAUGAAGAAUCUGUCAAUGGCUUCCUCAGAUUCAUGGACAAAGUCAUUGAUGUGCACCAGAAUUUCCAAAAUAUCUGGUCUUUUAACGUCUUCUUCAUCGCUUUCUUCUAAGUCCAACAGUUGCAAAAAAGGAAAAGAUAUUUCGAAGUCAUCGAAUUCUUCUAGAAUGAGUUGAAACAAAUGCCGAGCCAUGUCAGCUUCAUAGUUUCCCAGAAGAGUAGCAGCAAUAAUUUCGGACUCCGUAAGAAGGUUUUGAAAAAGUGGGGUUAAAUUUGUUGAAUCUGGCAGCGGCAACGUGCCUUCUUCACCUGCUAACACCCUUUUCAACCUCUCACAAAUCAGUCGGAGGUGGAAUUCCAGCAUUUCUCCUUCUCUCCGUAGCACUCAAUUAGAAUUAUCUUCGAAUUCUAAUUUAAUUGACUAAGUAGUUAUAGCUAUUCUAUUGAUUAGGUCUAGCUAUUAUAUUCUAAAUGAUUAAUUGAGAGGUAUAGUUGAAAGAUUAAACACCAUGGAAGAAUUUGAAAGGAAAAUGCCAAGAAACUGUGUAAGUGGCUAAAUUCCACAAAUAUGACAUUAUUGCUCAUUUUUUAACUCAAAAAAAGGGUACGCAUUCAUUUAGAGAAAAGUCCAAGACGCGUGCUUUUUAAAAAGAACAGGUAUCCAACCUCUAUCUUAUUAAAUUACAACCAUGACAUAAUUGAUGGUGCUUAAAUCAAUUGUUUCUUUUUUAAUUUAAAGAAUUUUUCAUUAAAAAAAUAUUUUAAUAUCAAAUUGCCUUCAGUGGCGUAACUGCCUCAGGCCCAGUAACAGGACUAAUUAAAAAUUUUACAAUUUUUGGGCAUGGAAAUAGUAGUAUUAAACAUUAGAAAGGUAAGGUUGUUCUGUUAAAGAAUUGAUAUUGACAUAAUUUUAUUUUGGUUUUCGUGGAAAAAAAAUUUGUUGACAAGUAAGAAAAUAUUUUUAUUUUUUAAAAUUUAUUAUGCAUAUUUUAUCAUAUUAAAGUAAUUUUAAUAAUAAAUAGAAACAUAAUAUUACAAUAAAUAAAUUAUAGUUUAAAUUAUUUUGAAUAUUAUAAAAAAUAAUGUUAAUAUUAUUAAUAGGAAGACAUUUUGUUAAUUUUAAAAUCUUUUUAAUCCAAAGGUUUAUUUAAAAUCUCUAUAAUAAAUACAAAUAUAAGAUUAAAAUAAAAAUCAUAAUUUCAAAAUUUUAAUAUUAUUUUAAAUGUUAAAUAUACUUUAAUGUUAUUAGCCUACUACGUAGAUUUUAUUAUUUAUAUUAUAUUCGUAUUGAUUAAAAUUUUUUAAAGUCAAUUUUUUAGUUAGUACAUUCAAGAGGUAUCAUAGUUAAAGAAAAGAUUUUGGUGCAACUGUUUUAAAAUUUCAGGGUAUAAAUGAUAAUUUUUUUUAAAAUUUUAAGGAAGUAGGUAUUAUUUUUCCGACAAUUUAUUUUAUUUUGAGGGAAAUCCGAUGAGAAAUAUCAUCAGAGAACAUUAAUUUAACAUUCUUUACCUUUAUGAAAAAAGUGGAAACCAAGAACUAUUCAAAUUUUUUUUUUUUGUGUAAUUCAAAAAAUGCAUCCACCAAACAAGCUUAUCAUAAUUUUCCCACUUUAUUCAUUUUCGAUGCUUUUCAAAAGAGGUUCCUUUAAUCCAUCUAGCAUCUGCAGCCCCCACUAUUUUACAAAUCUCCAUCCCACAUCUACACUAUCAAAAAAGUUGAUGGAAAUUGAACCCAUUAAGUUAUGUUCAUUACUGGUCAUUAUCUUUCUAUGAGCCACUUAUUUUGAGCAUUAGCGAUCUUCUAAGGAAUCAUGCCUUUUCAGGAUCGUUUUCUUUCAUUUCCUUAUUGUAGUAGUUAAUUAAAUAAAGAACGAACAAGUGAACUUUGUCUAUUUCGAGGAAGAACUAGGUUUCCAACACUAGAGGAACUUUGAAGAAAAUUAAUUGGAAGCCUUUAUUCAUCUUUGAAGAAAAUUACGUGCCAAUGUAACCAAGGCUUUUAUUCAUCUUCGGACUAUGAAUUUAUACAAAAACAUUAACAGAAAAUAACAAAGACACAGCUAAAUGAUAGCAACAAGUGUUGAUUUAGUGGACCACUUCUACAAGUAAAUAAAAACUAAAUAUUUAUUUAAGGAGGGCUUUUGUUAGUAGAGUUUUUAUAAAUAGAAAUUUAACAAAAAAAAAUUAUAGUUAUUUAGUUGUCAAUGUCCAAAUUGAUGAAUUAUUGUUCUUUUUGUUAACAUGUGUUUGUUUUACUUAAUAAUAAAAGUUUAGUUUACAAUUACACCGGUGUCAAAUCAGCAGAGCAUUUUUGCAGCCAGUCACAUUAUACAUUAUAUACUAAUAGCAUCGGCAAGAGUUUUCGAUUGUUGCAACUUGCAAUGCACGCGAUGCGAGAAAAUGAGAAUCUUGUUUAAUUGCAAUAAUGACAAACCUAAUCCUUUCAUUAGGAGUAAAUUAAUAAUCGUUUGUUAUUAUUGAAUAUGUAUAAAGAAAGGACAAUUCUAUUCAUAGAUUCGACUUAUUUUUUGUUUAAAGUAAUUAAUCAUUCAACCAUCUUCAUUUGCCUCUGGCCAAUGCCCUUGUAGAUUAGUUGAAGCGUUUAUUACUUAAUUCAGAUAAUUACAACGUCCUUUUCGCUAAUUAAUUAUGAUUAUGAACAUUUUCAUAUAGCAAGUGGCAUUGUAGAUCUAAACUACGUUGCUAUUUCAAUACGUUAAUUAAGUGAUUCUCCUCAUUGUCAUCAACGUUAUAAACAGGAAUUGUGCAAACAGUACACAAUGCUGCAGCAAGGCGUGGGUGGCUAGAGUUUUGCAACCACCCUUGAGAUCCUGUGCUGCCAGUAGUAAAAGAAUUUUACGCCAAUUUGGUAAGCCCUGGUCAGCACAACAUUUGGGUAAGAAACUCACUUGUUCCAUUAGACUCUCGAGUUAUAAAUGUUUUUUAUAAUUUACCUGCUGAAAUUAAUUGUGAGUAUGCCAAGUUGCUUGACAAAUUGACCCCGCAACAAUGGAACACAAUUUUCACGACACUUACGGUAGAGGGUGCAUCGUGGGCUAAUGAGGAGGGGCAUGUAAUUAACAAGAUAGAUUUAAAACCCAUUGCUAAGGUGUGGGUGAAAUUUCUAAAAUCCAGGCUUAUGCCAACCACCCACACCACUACUGUUUCACAGGAAAGGUUGGUGCUGUUAUAUGCUAUUGUUAGAGGGCUUCCCAUAGAUGUGGGAAGCAUUAUCGAAAAAGAAAUUCGAGAUUGUGCCAUGAAAAACCACAAGGCUGCUGCCUUGUUAUUUCUUUCACUCAUAACCAGCAUAUGUGUAGUAUCAGGUGUUCGUCUUGAUGCAAAGGAUGAAAUUUGUAAUUAUAUUAUGGCUCCAUUUGGUAUAACUUUUUAAUUCGAACUUAUUUAAGGAGAAUUUUUAUUAGUAGAGUUUUUAUAAAUAGAGAUUUUACUAAAAAACAAAAAUUAUAGUUAUUUAGUUGUCAAUGUCCAAAUUGAUGAACUAUUGUUCUUUUUGUUAACAUGUGUUUGCCAGUCACAUUAUACAUUUUUGCAACUUGCAAUGCAAGCGAUGAGAGAAAAUGAGAAUCUUGUUUAAUUGUCAAUAAUGACAAACCUAAUCGUUUCAUUAGGAGUAAUUUCAUAAUCGUUUGUUAUAAUUGAAUAUGUAUAAAGAAAGGAAAAUUCUAUUCGUAGAUUCGACUUAUUUUUUGUUUAAGGUAAUUAAUCAUUCAACCAUCUUCAUUUGCCCCUGGCCACUGCCCUUGUAGAUUAGUUGAAGCGUUAAUUGCUUAAUUCAGAUAAUUACAACGUCCUUUUCGCUAAUUAAUUAUGAUUAUAUACGUUUUCAUAUAGCAAGUGGCAUUGUAGAUCUAAAUUAUGUUGCUAUUUCAAUACGUUAAUUAAGUGAUUCUCCUCAUUGUCAUCAAGUGGAAAAUAGCUCAAUUGUUUCCCUGCAUCGAUUUUCAUUGGUAAGUGAUUUCUUAUGAUAUUCGUUUGAGCUUUCCUUAUUAAAAAAGCUUGAGCCUUGAUCACCUAAUACUGAUAUCAAUUAACUUGUGAACGAUUUUGUAAUGAAAUUAGGAGUUAAAUAUAUAAGAUUUUUACGUGAUGAAUUUUGAUUUUUUUAAUUUUUUGAUGUAGUCAAUUUGCUAAUUUUAUAUAUUUCAUAUUCAACGGAAUUUGGGCACGGAAAGUUUGGAUUCUAAUAUUUAUAUAUUUAGCUUUAAUCAGCUUGACUUUAGCAAUCUUUUUCCCUCAUCAUUAAGGGAUUCAGAAUUAGAGAAACGCUAGGAAGAGGAAGAAAAUAACUUUGGAAGUAAGUAAGAGGGAAAAAAUUAUGAAAUUUGGAAUUAUUUUUUGUAAAGUAUGUUGCGUUUACUAAACUGGAAUUAGAAUGAGCUGAAAUCAGAAUGAAUAGGAAUGCGAAUGUGCUGAAAUCGGAAUAGGUAAUGAGAAUAAGAAUAAGUUGUUUACUUGAACUGUAAAAAUCAAAAUCGGAAUGAGCUGAAUUGCAAUUACUUUGUCUUGGAAUCGGAAUCGGAAUCGGAAUGAGUUAGAUUAUAACAAAUUACUGAAAAGUACUUAAUGAAUUAUUGUCAUAAUUAUUAUUUUAUAUUUUAAUUAUAGUGAUUAUUUAUUCAAAAAUUAUUAUUAUUAAUUAUUUCCAAUAAUAUAUUAAUAUGUUAAUUAAUUUUAAAAAUUAUUAAUUAAUUUAUUAUAAUAAUAUACUAAUUAAUUAUAAUUAUUAUUAUAAAAAUAUAUUAAUAAUAAAAUUACUAAUUUAAUUGUAAUAAUAUAUGAAUUAAUUAUAAUAAUUAUUAUAAUAGUAUAUGAAUUAAUUAUAAUAAUUAUUAUAAUAGUAUAUUAAUUAAUAAUAAUAAUAAAAAUAUAUUAAUUAUGUGAUUAUUUAUUCAAAAAAUAUUAUUAUUAAUAAUUAUUGUUAAUAAUGUAUCAAUAUACUAAUUAAUUAUAAUAAUUAUUAUAAAAAUAUAUUAAUUAUUAAUAAUAAAAUUACUAAUUUAAUAAUAAUAAUAAAAAUAUAUUAAUUAUGUGAUUAUUUAUUCAAAAAUUAUAAUUAUUAAUAAUUAUUGUUAAUAAUGUAUCAAUAUAUUACUUAAUUAUAAUAUAUUAAUUAAUUAUAAUAAUAUAUUAAUUAAGUAUAAAUGAGGACAAAGUGGGUAUUUUUAAUUUCACGAAGGGGCAAAAUGGUCAAUUCUAGUAAUGGGAGACUCACUCCCACCCUCUCCUUUGGGAAUGAGUCUCCCAUUCCUCAUUCCCAAAUUGUGGUGGGCCCCAUGAUUUUGACUCCGAUUUCUAACUCAAUUUUGCGAAGUAAACGCUACCAAUGAUUCCGAUUUCGGAUUCUGAUUCACUUAUCUGAGAAGUAAAAGCAACAUAAAUGUGUAUGAAUAAUUGAUACCUAUGAAUAGUUUUGGGAGUUUUAGCUAGGAGUCAUCUAUUGAAGAUGUUUAGCAAUUGAAGAUCUCUGUCUCAGUAGUUUUCCCAAUCAAAAUCAAGAAGCAAAAAAACUUGCCAUUUUUCUACUUGAUAAUUAAUUGAAAUUUAAGAAAAUACAAUGGCAUUUCAAUUAGAAUUGGUAAUUGUUUAUCUUUUUUCAUUGAUCAAAUUCUAAUCGUGAUCCAAUAGUUAUGGAUGAAGGAAAUAUUAUGAGAGGCGAUAGGCCAAGUGAAGACGUACCAGCAAAUUCAAAAUAGUCGGGAGGUGGACGUCCAGCAUAUCUCCUUCUCUCUGUAGCACCCAGAUGCAUUGUUAUUUGCUCCAAGAAAUGUUAAAAGGAUUGGCCCUAUCUCAAUGUGGUUAGUGGCAAGGGCGGAGACAGCAUAUUAAUUGACUGUGGGCUUACUCAACUGCGAUAAAAAAAAUUUAAAAAAUAAUAAAUAAUAAAUUUAAAAGAUUUAUCAUACUUCAAUAUAUGUUUAUAAUUAUCCUUUACGAGUUUUCAUACAUUGAUAACGUUGUAUUACAACUUCAUUAUCAAUAUUAUUGUGGGCUGUUUAAAAAUUUGAUUAAUAUUAAUAUUUAUAGGCUUGAUUUUAUUUUGUAAAGCCCAUCUCUUUUUAUUUGUUUUAAAAACUUAGAGUGUGAGAAUUUAAGUAUAAUUAUGUAUUAGGAACUUGAAUAUAAAUUAGUGGGGGCUUAGGAAAAAUUUAUUAGAAAUUUUUGGCAAAUCAAAUUAGUUAGUAAAAGAUUUUUUUUUUUUUUUUCAGUGGGGACUUAAGUCCCCACUGGUCCCAAGCUAGAUCCGCCACUGGUUAGUGGUGAAAAAUUAAACACCAUGGAAGGAUUUGCAAGGAAUAUGCCAAGAAACUGGCUAAGUUCCACAAAUAUGGCAUUAUUGCUCUUUUUUUUUUAAAGAAAAAUUAUACACGUUAAUUUAGCAAAAAGUCUAAGACACGUGCCUUUUGAAAAGAAUAGCUAUUACCAUGACACAAUCGAUGCGGCUGAAACCAAAAUUUUCUUUUCUUAAUGUAAAGUUUUUUUUUUAAAUAGAUUUUAAUAUCAAAAUGCCCUUCGAUGUUAUUACUCUCACAAGCCCUGUAACAGGAGUAAUAAAAAAGUUUAGAAUUUUUGGGCAUGAAAAAAGUAGUAUUAAACAUCAGCAAGCAAAGGUUGUUCUGUUAAAGAAUUGAUAUUGACGUGAUUUUAUUUUGGUUAUCGAGAAAAAAAUAUAUUUGUUGACAAGUAAGAAAAUAUUAUUAUAUUUUACAAUCUAUUAUACAUAUUUUAUUAUAUUAAAUAAUACUAAAUAGAAACAUAAAAUUAGAAUAAAAUAAAUUAAAAUUAAAAUUAAAAUUAUUUUGAAUAUUAUGUAAAAAAUAAUGUUAAUAUCAUUGUUACUUGUAAAAUAUAUUUAGCCUAAAGAUUUAUUUAAAAUUUUAUAAUGAAUAAAAAUAUAAAAAUAAAUUAAAUAUCAUAGUUUAAAAUCUUAAUAUUAUUUUAAAUAUUAAAAAUACUUUAAUGUAUCUUAAUAUUAUUUUAAAUAUUAAAAAUACGUUAAUGUUAUUAUUCUACUACACAUGUUAUAUUAUUUAUAUUAUAUUUGUAUUAAUUAAAAAUUUUAAAGUCAACUUUCUAGUAACUAUAUUCAAAGGUAUUAUGGUUAAAUAAAGGUCUUAGUGUUUCUUUUUCAAAAUUUGAGGGUCUACAUGAUAAUUUUUCCAAACCCUAAGGUAUAGGAGUCCUUUUUGUCAAUAAUUUAUUUCACUUUUGAGAGAAUACGAUGAGAAAUAAGAUCAGAGAAAUGUCAAUUUAAUGUUCUCUAGCUUAAUGAAAAAAAAAUGGAAACCAAGAACUAUUCAAUUUUGUAUUUUUUGUUUGUAAUUCAAAAAAUCCAUCCGCCAAACAAGAUUCACGCAUUUAUGUUGUCAUAAAAUGAAAAAACAGUUUGUGAAAAAAUGGCACCAAACAUACCCUUAAUGUCCCACAUGAUUUCUUAUGAAGCCCAUAUUAGAUAUAUUUAUACAUUUUACUGCAUUUAGGACAUGUUUGAUAGCCUGCAUUAUAUAGGAUAAAAACAUAAUUUUGUAUUAAAUUAAUGCACACUCACGUUUGGCGCUAAAAGUAACUCCAGCCGCAUUGCAUUAAUGGGCUGCUACUGCGGCAAUUGCCGCACUAGCUUGCCUCUUUUUCUUUUUAAUUUUAUUUAUAAUAAUAAUAAUAAUAAUAAUAAUAAUAACAUAAUAUAACUUUUAUUUUAAUAUAAUAUUAAGUAUAAUUUUUAUUUUUACAUUAUAAUUAUUGAUAUAAAUUAAUAAAUUUAUUAUUUAUUAUUCAAUAAUAUUAUAUUAUUAUUUUUUUAUUUUUACAUUAUAAUUUAUUAGUAAAUUUAUAAUUUAAUAUAAUUAAUGAUAAUAGAAAAUAUCAUUACAUGUACUACAAAACUCUUACUUGGAUUAUUUAACACAAUUUAUUUUAUUCGUGAAUAUGUUAUAACAAUUGUAUCACUUUAUUGUUUUGUUAUUAUUUUGUGGUAUGUAUAAAUUUUUAUUCUAUUAUUCAAAGAUGACUUUUGAACUAAUCUUAUAGGUUUUAACUAUUUAUUUAUGUUGUUAUAUUAUUAGAGAUUAUUUGAUUAAAUUAUUUGCUUCGAUCUUUAUUUUACAGGUCAUAUAUUUAGAAAUUACUGAAAAAUAAAUGUUCUACUUCCAAAAAAUUUAAGGCUAUAAGCUCGAUCUUUAUGAAUAAUUGUGAUAUUUUUUAACAUUUACACUAAAAAAAUUGUUAAAUUUCUAAAAUUUAAGACUUCUAUAUUUAGUAUUUUUCCAAUUACUAAUAAGUAUUAUUUUCUAAAUAUAUAAUUUAAAUUAAUCACAAAAAAUUAAUACAGUACAGUGCAAUAUCAAAUAUAAUAUAAUUAAAAAUUAUACAGUACAAUGUAGCACCAAAUAUUGUACAAUAUUAUUAUAAAAUAGUACUGAUGCAAUACAAUAUAAUACAAUAUAGUGUGCCAAACGCACCCUUAGAGUGUGUUUGGAACAUGGGAUUAUAGGGUAUUAAAACACUGUUCACAUUAGCUUAAUACCAAUAUCAUGUUUGGAAAGAAAUUUUAAGGGAUUAAAGGGGGGUGAGCUAAUGCCAUAACUGCGCCAUUAGUGUCUUGGUUUUUUUUUAAAUAAUAAUAAAAAAUAUAAAUUCCUAAUUUUAUGUAAUAUUAUAUAAUAUUAAUUUUUAUUUUCUUUGAUCUUUACAUUAUAGUAAUUAAUAUAAGUUAAUAAAUUUAUAAUUUAUUAUUCAUAUUUUAAUUUUUAUUAUAUUAAAAAUAUAACUAAAUAAUUUAAUUUUAAUUAUAUAAUAAUUAAUGUAUAAAAUUGAUUAAUAUUUAAUAAGUUAAUACAACUAGUAAUAAGUGCUUAAAUAAUAUAUAAAAAUAAAAAUAUAACAUAAUAUUACAUUAUUUAAUUAUAUUACAAUAACUAAUAUAUAAAAAUUGAUUAUUAUUUAACAAUUUAAUAUAGCUAAUAAUAGAUACUUAAAUAAUAAUUUAAUAUAACUAAUAAUGAAUAUUGAUAUAUGAAUAUAUUUAAAUAAUAUUAAUACCAAUAUAUAUAAUAAUAUAAAAUAUUAUUACAUGUACUGUAGUAUUCUUACUUGGAUUAUUUAGCGCAAUUUAUUUUAUUAGUGAAUAUGUUACAACUAUUGUAUCACUUUAUUAUUUAAAUUAAUCAAAAAAAUUAAUACAGUACAAGAUAGCACUAAACAUUGUAUAACAUUAUUAAAAUACAGUGUUAAUGCAAUACAAUAUAAGACAAUACAUCUAUAUUAAAAUAAAAUAAAAUAAUUUAAUUUAAUAUAAUACAGUAUGUCAAACGCACCUCGUAUAUUUUAAUUUCAAAAGAAGUUGGUCCUUCCGUUAUUUAUAAAAGAUAACUUUAUUUUCAGAUUACCACUAAACUCUGAAGUAGAAUUGGUGUAAUGUUAAGAGAGAGUAACACAGUUUUCCAUUACCAUCUUUGAAAAUAGAAAGAUAUGGAUCAGUGUAUUUAAGAGUUAUCGUGAAAAUCAUACAGUUCAAUUCCCUGACACAUAUAUUUAUGAGCAUAUGCCAAAAGAAUAAAUAGAUAGAAAGUAAAUUUACAAUCCUCACUUCCUCACAAUUGUUAAAAUGAAGAUGCAUUACAACUGUGAACUGUCACUAUUUUAGCCUUUUUUAUUUUUUACUUUUAGUUAUAGUGCGAUGGAGACAGUGAACAUCAAGGAUGAGAAUAAAAGUUAAAGAUGACCCACCCACUUUCUUUUUAAAGUGCUCUGCUCAAAGACAAACUUCCUCUGGCUAAUUAAUUUAGAUGUGAAGAGAGAAUAAAGUCCUAGAUGCCUUCUGAAAUUAGAAAUACAUUUUAUAUGCUUUAAUUAUGAUUAUUUGGUAGACUAUAGACCUAAAAGACAUGUUAGAUUAUAAAACAGUGCGAUUAAAAAAAAAAGAGUAUUUGUGACGUCAAAUAACAAUUGGUAACUAAAAUCCAAAAUAUUUGAGUUGUUAAAAGCAAAUAAAAAAAAAGAAGGUAAGAGUGAUGCAGAAACACAAUAUUAGCUUAUCUUGAUUUUCCCACUUUAUUCAUUCUCGAUGCUUUUCAAAACAAAUUCUUCUAAUCUUUCUGGUGUCUGCAGCCCCUUGUCACGGGACGAGAGGUUUCGAGCCCGUGCGGUACUCUCGCAUCCCAUACUGCGAGAGUAAACCUAGUGGAAGUGGCACAAUAUCGACUGGUUUCACCCUGUCUUGGGCUCAUCAGGAGAACGGCUCCAGUUCCCAACCAGUGUGUGAAGAGCUUCGCCUAAACCCCUCUUCAACGUUAAGUCCUUGACUAGCGACAAGCUCCCCAAACUCAACCAGGUUGGCCUGCCUGAACUCCAAGAAAUCUAGGAUCAUUGUAUUCCCCACACGACGCCCCUGAAGCACGUCUCCUACAAUCAGCACAACCCUUAUCGAUACCAGCGUACAAACGCAUAUCUUCGGCGUCACAAUUGCAGUCCGUGACACCCUGCUCUUGUUAUAAAACUCCACCCCAAAUCUACACUACAAACAAGUUGAUUGAAAUUAAACAAUUGCUUUUUGAAGUGGACCCAUUGAGUCGUGGUCAUUACUCGUCAUUGUCUAUUUUUUCUAUGAGCCAUUUAUUUUGAGCAAUAGUGAGCUUCUCUGAACUACUCCAAUUAUUGAUGUAACUCCAGUGGCUGCAUCCAUAGUUGAAUAUAUGACAGUAUUAGCUCUUAUUUGAGAAUAUAGGGGGAUCUUUCUUUGUUUCUUUGUUGCAGUGUUCUAGUUUAUAGUCUUGCUGUUAAUGAAUUCACUGAGGCAUUAUUAAUUUAAUUUCAGUGAAGUAAUUAUGGAUGAAAAAUAAAUAAAGGAUAACAGAAUAGAGCUGAAGUGCUGAAUCGGCUAUUAAAGAAAGUGUCACGUGAUCACAAUCACACUGAUGCACAACUCUCUCUAUGUACUCCAAAUUCAGCCAAACCAUACAUGCCUCAACAAAAUUAAACCGUAGUUCUCAUCACUACAGUAAAUGAAGCCCACAAAGACAGCUGAAAUGGAAAAUAUUGACUAUUGAAUGGAUCAAUGCUGAAUUACACUUGAAAUGGGAAGCUUGGCUGCGGUUACGAUGUUUCCCCCUCUGAUUUUUCUCCAAAACAAAUUCCGUUGUAAAUAAUAUUCAAUGUAGCAACACUUUAUUCAGCAAAGAAAAUACCUAAUUUUUCAACUAACAAAUUCUCUUGUCUAAACUAAAAAAACUCACAUCUCUCCAAUCUAUCUACAAAAUAUUGGAGAUGAGAGGUGAUUUGUCAACUCGAUAAAUAAAUUCAUGCAUAAUGUUACCAAUAAUGAUAAAUUACUUAAUAAUUCUUAUAAAGAAUCAUAAAUAAGGAACAUUAACCAUUUUACAGUCUAUUACAUAAGUAAGAUUAAUCUUAUAAUAAGUUAACUUAUAACGUAAUAAAUAUUUCAAUUCAUAAUUAUUUAAGAAGUCACUUAACAAUAAAAUAUUUUUUUAUUUAAUUGAUCAUGUCAUAUAACGUUAUCUAAACUCCUGACGAUAUUAUUAUUACUCACUUUUCUCAAAAAAACAUGACUAACGUUUAGAGAAAAGUCAUGCCUUUUAGAUAGAUAGAAUAUGAUUACAAGCUAUCCAUACUUUAUCUUACCAUGACAAAAUUGAUGGUGAUUAAAUCUAUUUUUAAAAUAGAUUUAAUGCACAAACAUGAUGACUUUUGCCAAAAAUUAGUUUCAGAAGAUAACUAAAUUAAGUUGCAAAGGAGCUUACUUCAAUUUCUAAGCUUUUCAAUCAUGAUUCCUCCAUGCCUUCCUCUGAUACCAUUUUGUUACGUGCCAACGUAAUUGACCUUGUAAUUGGUUUGUAUAAGGAAUGAAGCCCUUUCAAGAUCGUUUCUUUUGUGUCCAUAUUGUAGUAGACUAGUAGUCAAGUAAAUAAAGAGUGAAUAACUGAAUUUGGUCUAUUUCGAAGAAGACUAUGGCCUCCACACUACAAGAAAAUAGGCGAUAGAUAACGGGAAAUAACCGUCAUAAAAGGUGGUGUAUGACAGACAGUUUAUUCGUCAUCUAUGUCACUGUCAUUAAUUUAUGACAGAAUAUUUUCCGUCAUGAAUUCUUGAUGUUAUUUUACAAUCAUAUAUCCAUCACACAAUAUUUUAAUGAGAAAAAAUAAUUAAAUAAAAUUUGAAUUUAUUAAAAUUUUUGCUCUAUUUUUUAAUUUUUUGGCGGAAAAUUAAAUUGUCAUUUGUAAAUUUCUUAUUCAAUUUUGGUGGAAAAUUUUUUUAUGACAGACUUUAUGAUGUGUAUUUCCCAUCAUAAAGUUAAUUUUUUUAAAUUAUAUUGUGAUUAUAGUUUAUUUCUGAAUUCCUGUUUACAAAUUUAAUUAAUUAAUAAAAAAUGAAUAUUGUCAAAAAAUAAAAAAAUAAUAGUAACUAAAAUCCAUUCAAUCCAACAAAUUAAUUUCAAAAUAAAUACAUCUAAUAUUCAAUGUCAUUACCACUAAUACAUAAUAAAACAUCCCAAAUUAAAAAAAAGAAUGUCAAAAUAUAAAACAAUAGUUAAAUUCCAAUUAAAUUCCAAGAAAUGUAAUUCAAAUUCCGGACACCGAGCCAAGCUCCCCAGCAAAACUUCCAAAGAUUAAUGGAAAUAUUCCAAUAGCAAGACUUCCAGAAGCAAUACCCUCUUCCAGUGGCAAUACAUUGACUAAUCUUUGAAGCCAUGACUCCUCAAGCCAAUGCCAAAAAUGUGUGCAAAAUUAAUGCUCUAUCCACAAAAAUUUCAGUCUAUAUUGGUAAGAAGAAACAUGAAGAAACAAUUACCUCAGCAUCAUCGUCAUUGGAAGCCAAAUCAGCUGUAAAGACCACAAAAUGUUUGGUUAGAACUAGUGGAAGUCUUACUCUAAAACUUUUAAUUUUUGAAUUUCGAAAGAUCUAGUAAUGACAAAGAUUCUCAUAUCCAGUGACCAAGUUUUGAAAAUUAGAAUACGGAAUAACGUCAACUAAAUUCACUAAUAUAGGGUGCAUUUGAGAUUGAGGUUGGACAGCUGUAGCUUAAAAGCUACAGUAGUAAAGUGUUUGGUAAACACUAGUUGCUGUAAUUUAAAAACUAUGUUGAUAUGAUUUUUCACUUGUAUAAUGGAGAAUCUAUUUUUUUAAAUAAUUAUGUCAAAAUUAUUAUUUAAAAUUUAUAUUUACUACAUAUUAUUAAUUUUUGUUUCAUAGUCACAGUUUUUUUUCCACAGCAGUUGUAAAGCUACAUCACCUCAAUCCCAAACGCACCCUAAGCUAGAGGAAUCCCUAGUUGAUAUAGCACACAUGCACACAUGAUAUGCAUGCAUCAGAAUACACAAUAAUAAAUUAUCUCAAAGUCAAUAAGAAGCCAAAACUAGAGAUAAACCUUUAGCCACUAUAAGGAAGACUGAUAUUUGCAGUGUGAUUACAAUAAACAAACAGAAACUUCACUACCCAUAAGUAAAGCAAAAUAAAUAAAGGAUAAUAACUAACCAAGAAAUGGAAAAGCUCACAUUCUCUGAACACGCACCCCAAAAAGAAAGAAAGAAAUAAAUGUUCCCAUUGGAUCUGAAGCACAAGCAAUCCACUGACAUCCUUCUAUAAUUAGGUAAUUUAAAGGGGUUAAGCUCACAUCUUUUACGGAAGCAACAAGAGAAUUAACAACAUUCCAGAGGAUUUAGGGAAAAACCACGAGGCAAGAAAAAAGAAAGAUCCUUCUUCAAUCUAGAUAUCUUGACACUGCUCACCAUCUACAGCAGUCUGGGGCUUAAAAAGCAUGAUCUCUCCCCCCCUCUGGCACCAUUUUCUCUCAUGUGAAUCUGUCAUUGCCCGUAGAAACAAACCAGAACUGCAUAAAUUCUCUUAUCUUCCAGCAGCUUCUUUUCUCCAGAAAUAGGCACAACUAUUUGACAUGGAAACAAUUUAUCUAACAUGGCCACCUUUAAAGACAAAGACAUACUAAGGACAUGGUUUUAGAUACGGAUACAAGAAACAAUCACAAAAUGUAAAAUCUAUACAUAUGAUAUUAAUUUCCAAUGGAUACAGCACUUCAUUCUUUGACUUAACUUCAUUAGAUUACUAGGUUUGAUUAGGUUAUACACACAUUUAUUCAUUUAUGGUUUUCAACCUAUAAUCUACAUGCACUUAGAAUGAGAGGUACCUAUAAAAACAAGUUACCAGAAAACAAUACAGCUAGAAAACAUUAAAACAUUAAUCUAAGCAGUUCUAUAGGUUUAACUAACUGCAGGAAAAAACCGUUGAUUUUGUCCGUCGGAUUAUUGAGAUCCUAAUUCUGGUAAAAAGAAAAUGAGAUAAUAGAAAAUCAAAAAUUAAAUAGACACAAAAUGAGAAAUCAAGAUCAUACGGCAACUAAUAUAUAGCAUGGGCUGCAGCUAACAAGCAAUAUAAGCCAUGAUAUUAUGCCAGAUACAAAAUUUUGAGAUCCAAGAGAGAUCAAGAAGCAUGAAUAUUGAAAGAAGUGAGUGCAGAAGGAUAAGAAAUCAGGUUGAUAUUCUUCAUACUUUGGGUCAACACGUAGUGAUGCAAUAAACUUGUAAUUAGCUUCAAGUGUAUAGGCUACCAUGUCAACAUUUCCGAAAACACACAAGAUUGUGCUGGAUUCAUAUAUAGUACAUAUAUAAAAAAACAAUCUGCUUCUAAACUUCAUGAGAACAUCGAAUAAUGAACUUACAAUUUGAUCCCUCAUCAUCUUCAUCGCACCAUUUGUUCCAAUCAACCUUAAUGUAAGGUGCUGGUUUCUCUUCUGACUUGAGUAGCCUUUUCCACCAACCUUUCUCUUCUUUUUGCACCGAGCAUAUUAUGUUCCUUAAGCCAACUUUAGUCUUACAUUUCUGCACCACCAGCAACAAAAUUCAAAGCAUUACAAAAGAGGUAUAUUUAGCCGCUCUUGACUCGAGUGAGAGAACAGGAUAAACAGCCUAGGUAUAUCCACAUCCAUGUUAUGAGAUUAAUUAUGCAACAACUAACUUUAAUAUAAAGUUUGUGCUCCAACAAAGACUAAAAUGUUUGUAAUUGUUAUGCUUCCGGAGCUAAAAUGUUUCGCAAACACUCACUUUUACUCUGCAGCUAAUAUCUAGCACCCAGCCACACAAAGUCCGUAGUCUUUGUCUCAACUUUGUCUGAGGCCAAUGUAAAUCCAAUUUGCACAAGCUCUCUAUGCACCACAGCUCUUCUGGAAGCUUUCUCAAGUACGCACAAGGGUUGACAAUUAAGCUUUCAAGUUUUGGUAUUGCUCCAGCCCCCAUCGUCCACUCAUCUAGCCAAUACAUUGAUUUCAGGCGCAAAACCUUAAGUUCCGGAAAGCCACCCGAGCAAGCACAGGCCAGCUUUCUUCCUAAAUACAAGCUCUGCUUCAGUUUCAGCACUUGAAGGCGUGGAAGCUUUUUGAUAAGGAAAGGGAGCCACGGAGGUCAACAAAGGUUCAUAAGCCUAACUACAGAUACGAGGGCUUUGUUUGAACAUUCGUAAGUCUCAUGCAGCCAUGCAUGCGGUCAUGCAUGUUGCAUGCAAUACCAUGCAAGACUUAUUUACGCAUGGAUUAAAGAGUAGUCUGUUUCUAGUUUUUUAUUUAAGAUUGCUCAGUUAUUUAAAUUGAUUUUAGCCGUGAAUUGUGGCUACAAAUCCUUAGUAGUGUUUGUAUUAACUACUAUAAAUAAGCUCCAGCAAUUAAUAAAAGGAUUAUGCAAAAAAUUAUCUCAAAGUACUAUUCUUGGUCGUUUUCACCGUAAGUAGAACAACGUAAACUUAGCUAUUGUUGAACGUUUUUGAUUGGGACCUAUCACUUUUCCAGCCUUGGCAUGGGAUCCUCCAUUAGCUCAGUAUUUGAUAAGCUCAGUUGGGUCAGACUUGGAGGAAAUUGGUAUUCAGACAGGACCGUCCGUGAGAGCUUGCUUUCAUUCACCAGCUUCAAGCAUUCAAGUUUCUCUAGUUCGCAUAGGCUUUUGGAAAUCCCAGAUUGAUAGUAACUCAAAUCUCCAGACACUCUAAGAGUUUGAAGAUUAGGUAGUCUGCCCAAUAUAGCUGGAGUGCAACUACUAGGGUGUAAGGCUGAUAUGAAAAUGAGAUUUUUCAGAGAGCUGGAAUAAUUUUUUGGAGGCGCAGGCAGAGUGAUGCAACCGAAGUUUAAAUGCACGAGUUUUCGCAUCAUCCAAAUAUCCUCUGGUGAAUGAUCUAUGUAGCUUGAUGGCAUUUCUAGUGUUUGAAGGUUUAAAAGAGUGCAUAGCAGUGAAGGAAGGCAUUUGAGCGAGGGGAUAUUCAAUUUCAAAUACUUCAAAUGGAAAAAGUUUCUAAUCCGGGCGGAUAUUGGUCGAGAAUUGCAGAACCCAAGUUCAAUACCCCAAGGUGUUUGAACGUUUGACGAAAAUUCUCGCAAUCUAUCAGAGCGAGAUGAUCGCUUUCUGAACUGUGAUUCAGAAAAGAUUGGAGAUAGAUGUCAGGAUGUUCUAAAGAUAAAAACUGAAUCAGAUGUUCCAAAAUGAAGCACCGUUUAACAUUUGCCAGUGGUUCCUUUUCCCUUUCAUGCAUGCAGACAAAUUCCGUCUGCGCUGCCACCAAAAACAAUGGAGUACAUAAAAAACUUGGAACAUAACACGCUUUAAUUGUGCCUCCGGCUCUUCUCUUACUCACUUGAAUGAAGCCGCAAUAGAUUAGUUCUUUCAAAUAAUGCUCGGCAGUUUCUUCACUGUUGUAUGGUAUGAAACCUUCAGCUACCCACAAAUGAUAUAAUUGCCUCGUAGAUAUUUCAAUACUUGGACGAAAGACACACAAAUAGAUGCAGCAGACUUUCAAGUGAAAAGGUAACUCCAUCAAAGAAUAACUGUGUCUCUAAAUUGUCGGAAUCGCUACGCCUUGAACAUAAUUUUCUAAUGGCAUACUUCCAUAGUGUAGGAUGAAAAAUUGCCAGGCUUUAUGCUUUAAUCUGAUCAAUGGUCCUCCACUGAGCACUGAAUCAAACCGAAUCAUCUCUCCGUUUUCCAUGUCCAACAGCGUAAGGGGGCAUGGAUCAGUGACCAAUAUCAAUACUCUGCUUCCAUUCUGAUUGUCAGGAAGAACUUGUUCAAGAUCAUCCAAUACAUCGUCACUCUCUUCACAGUAAUCAUCAAGCACAAUAAAGUACUUCUUGUUUGUUAGGAAAUCUCGAAGAAUAGAUUUCUUCAAUUGAUAAUGUUCACCGAUAAUUACACUAACCCGAGAUGGAGGCAUCACAGACUUGAUUAUGUCAUCCAAUAUCUUGCCAAAAUCGUAGAGUACAGAAAUCCUGACCCAAGCAAGGCAGUCAGAGAAUUGCAACCACUGCAAGCCGAGGAUGUCCUUCAAUCAAUAAAUCAAACAACUCCUCUCUACCACUUUCAAAUUCGUUGAUAUCAAGCCGAGGUUUUCCCUCAAUCAAUAAGUGAAUGAGUUUGUCCCUUUGUUCAGUGAUUACGAAACCAUUGUCGCCGGGUGGAAGUUGUUGCAUCCGAUUUCUAAUAUCAAUAAUUUUACUGUGGAGUCCAACAAGAAGAGCCAUAUUAGUACUGCUUUCACUUUCUUCUUCACUGUUUUGCUGCUGCAUGAUGUUGAUGAAGAAUGUGUCAAUGGCUUCCUCAGAUUCAUGGACAAAGUCAUUGAUGUCCUUCACAAUUUCCAGAAUGUCUGAUCUUUUAACGUCUUCAUCGCUUUCUUGUAAAAAAGCCAAAUAUAUUUCGGAUUCAUCGAAUUCUCCUCUAAUGAGUUGAAACAAAAGCCGAGCCAUGUCAGCUUCAUAGUUUCCCACCAGAGUAGUAGCAAUGAUUUCUGACUCCGUAAGAAGGUUCUGAAAAAGUGGAGUCAAAUUUGUUCAAUCAGGCAACGUUAACGCGCCUUCUUCACCUGCUAGCACCCUUUUCAACCUCUCACAAAAUAGUCGGAGGUUCACGUCCACCAUAUCUCCUUCCCUCCGUAGCACUCAGAGAAGAUUGGUCCUAUCUCAAAGUGGUUAGUGCUGUAAAAUUAAACACCAUGGAAGAAUUUGAAAGGAAUAUGCCAAGAAACUGGCCAAGUGGCUAAAUUCCACAAAUAUGACAUUAUUGCUCAUUUUCUCUCAGACACGUGAUACACGUUGAUUUAGAGGAAAGUUCAAGAAUUUUGCUUUAAAAAAAAAAAUUGAUGGUGCUUAAAUUAUUAUUUUUUUAAUUUAAAGAGUUUUGCUUUUAAAAAAAAAUUAAUAUCAAAAUGCCUUCAAUGUUAUUACUGCCACAAGCCCAGUAACAAAACUCAUUAAAAAUUUUAGAAUUUCUGGCCAUGGAAAGAGUAGUAUUAAACAUCAGAAAGCAAAGGUUGUUCCGUUAAAGAAUUGAUGUUGACAUAAUUUUAUUUUGGUUUUCGGGAAAAAAAAAAUAUUUGUUGGCAAGCAAAGAAAAUAAUUUUAUACUUUACAAUCUGCUAUACAUAUUUUAUCAUAUUAAAGUAAUUUUAAUAUCUAUCAAAAAAAUAAAUUUAAUAAUAAUUGGAACAUAAUAUUACAAUAAAUAAAUUAAAAUUAUUUUAAAUAUUAGGAAAAAAAUAUUAUUAAUAGGAAGAUAUUUUGUUAAUUGUAAAAUCCUUUUAUUCCAAAUAUUUUAUUUAAAUUUUUUAUAAUAAAUAAAAAUAUAAAAUUAAAAUAAAUAUCAUAAUUUAAAUUUUUUAUAUUAAAAAUAUUUUAAUGUUAUUAGUCUACUACAUAAAUUAUAUUAUUUAUAUUAUAUUCGUAUUGAUUAAAAUCUUUUAAAGUUAAUUUUAUAGUUACUAUAUCCACAGGGUAUUAUAUUAUAUUUAAGAGUAAUUUUUUCAAAUUUUAGGAUUGCAGAUGUCCUUCUUCCGAUAAUUUAUUUCACUUUUGAGAGAAUCCAAUGAGAAAUAUGAUAAGAGAUGGUCAGUUUAAUGUUCUCUGCCUUUAUGGAAAAAAAGUAAAAAGUAAAAACUAUUCAAUUUUGUACUUUUUGUGUCCACCAAAUAAAUUUUACACAUUUAUGUUGUCAUAAAACGAAAAAAAAGGGUUUGCCAAAAAAUGGUACCAAGCAUACCUUUAAUGUCCCACGUGAUUUCUUAUUAAGCCCAUAUUAUAUAUAUUUAUACAUUUUAUUGCAUUAAACAUUUUUAUUAUAAAAGAAGUUGGUCCUUCCCCUAGUGAUAAAAGAUAAAUAUGAUAAUGUUUGAGAUGGGUUUAGUCUUUUAUAUUUGCUGAGUCCAGUGGGUUAAAGAAUUAGAGUAAAGCAUCUGGGCAUUCUUUCAUGCAAAACUAAAAAUCCUGAAAAUAGUUGGCUUUAACUGAUUAAGACAAGCUUGGUCGAAUUGAGUUGAACUUCAUAUAUAAAAGCCAAAUAUAUUGCGGAUUCAUCGAAUUCUUCUCUAAUGAGUUGAAACAAAAGCCGAGCCAUGUCAGCUUCAUAGUUUCCCACCAGAGUAGUAGCAAUGAUUUCUGACUCCGUAAGAAGGUUUUGAAAAAGUGGAGUCAAAUUUGUUAAAUCAGGCAACGUUAACGCGCCUUCUUCACCUGCUAACACCCUUUUCAACCUCUCACAAAAUAGUCGGAGGUUCACGUCCAGCAUAUCUCCUUCUCUCCGAGAAACUGUGUAAGUGGCUAAAUUCCAGAAAUAUGACAUUAUUGCUAUUUUUUUAACUCAAAAAAAUGGUACGCGUUCAUUUAGAGAAAAGUUCAAGACGCGCGCCUUUUGAAAAAUGGUACCCGUUCAUGUAGAGAAAAGAACAGGUAUCCCAAUCGGUAUCCAACCUUUAUCUUCUUUAAUUACCACCACGACAUGAUUUUUUUUUUUUUUUUUUGAUGACAUGAGACUAUUGCUUAAAUUACAACUCAAAUUACAACUCAUAUUACAUGAGAGUAUAAUUGAUAUGUACAAUCAUAUAUACAUACUGAGAUCUAUUGACAUUAAUGCUGAUAUGACACUGCUCAGAUUUUUGUAACCCUCUCAAAUAUUCGAGGGACGUCAAACUCCUAUCCUGGGAGAAAGACUGCCUUCACUCGAGCUCUGUGGCUCCAAGGAAGGAAAUAUAAAUUAAACCUCUACAAUGCGACUGCGGAGGCUCGAACCCCUUCCCUCACAUAUGUGAGGGAGUGGCUCUAGCCACUUGGGCUAGCCCAAGUGGUUCCACGACAUGAUUGAUGGUGCUUAAAUCAAUUGUUUCUUUUUUAAUUUAAAGAAAUUUUCAUUAAAAAAAUAUUUUAAUAUCAAAUACCCUUCAAUGGCAUAACUGCCGCAAUCCCAGAAACAGGAUUAAAUAUUUUUUUUUUUUUGAAUUUUUGGGCAUGGAAAGAGCAGUAUUAAAAAUCAGAAAGCUAAGGUCGUUCUGUUAAAGAAUUGAUAUUGACAUAAUUUUUUUUUGGUUUUCGGGGGAAAAAAAAAAUUGUUGACAAGCAAGAAAAUAUUUUUAUAUUUUACAAUUUAUUAUACAUAUUUUUUUUUUUUGGAUCAAUAAUGGGCUCUAAAAGAGCUAAAGCACCAGUAAACGGGAGUGGGCAACCCCAGACACAUCGUUAUGAAGAAUACUCUGUAAAUUAGGAGGAGCAACAGUAAGUAACUGCAAUCCUAAAGGACAAGACAAAUUAAAUGAGGCCAGAAAAUCUGCUGCUAUGUUUGCUUCUCGAUAGAUGUGGUUCACUUUCACGACCCAGUCCCUGCUGAUCAGCUCACGAAUGGCAAGGAUAAGAGAAUGAUGCUCAUUAACAGGAGUGGUCGGAUUCUCCAAGAUUUGAGAUUUAUUAUACAUAUUUUAUCUUAUUAAAGUAAUUUUAAUAAUAAAUAGAAACAUAAUAUUACCAUAAAUAAAUUAAAGUUUAACUUAUUUUGAAUAUUAUAAAAAAUAAUUUUAAUAUUAUUAAUAGGAGGACAUUGUAUUAAUUUUAAAAUUUUUUAACCCAAAGGUUUAUUUAAAAUCUUUAUUAUAAAUACAAAUAUAAAAUUAAAUAUAAUAAUUUAAAAUUUUUAAUAUUAUUUUAAAUAUUAAAAAUAUUUUAAUGUUAUUAGUCUACUACAUAGAUCAUAUUACUUAUAUAAUAUUUGUAUUAUUAAAAAUUCUUAAAAUCAAAUUUUUAGUUAGUAUAUUUAUGAGGUAUUAUGGUUAAAAAAAAAACCUUAUUAUUACUUUUUAAAACAUUGAGGGCCUGCGUGAUAAUUUUUUCAAAAAGAAAAUGCUUGGUAUCUAGGAGGGUUAGAGAAACAGGACUACCAAAAUCUCUCACCCUUUUUUAAUUAAAAAAAAUUAAAAUAUCAAUAAAAAAAAUAAAGAAAAUAGAAUUUUAUCUGCUCCUUACUCCAUUUUUGUAACUCUCUCACCAUCUCUGUCGAGCAGCCCUCUCUUUCACUGUCUCUCACUAUUUCACAAUCUCUCUCUCACUCACACAGUCCUUUAGAAAAGCCCAAAAUAGGCCCAAUAAGCCCAUAAUUAAAAUAAUCGAAUCGAAUUAUUUCAAUUAAUCGAGUAUUUGAUUAUUUCGGUAAUUUGAUUAAUCGCGAUUAUGAUUUUAAAAUAAUCGUAAUCGAACGAUUAUGAAAAAUUUAGUAAAAAACCGAAUUGAACCGAACCGCACCCACCCCUACAUAAAAGAACAACAAUUACUUGUCAUUUUCAAUUUUUUCUAUAAGCUAUUUAUUUUGAGCAUUAGUGAUCUUGUCUGGACUACUCCAAUUAUUGACGUAACUCCAGUGGCUGCAUCCACUGGAAAAAGUGGAUGAGAACAUUUUUUUUUUUCAUAAAGGUAACUACUCCAAUUAUUGACAUAAUUGAUGGUGCUUAAAUCAAUUUUUUUUUUUAAUUUAAAGAAUUUUGCUUUAAAAAAUAAUUAAUAUCAAAAUGCCUUCAAUGUUGUUACCGCCACAAGCCCAGUUAGAGGACUCAUUAAAAAUUUUAGAAUUUUUAGGCCUGGAAAGCGUAGUAUUAAACAUCAGAAAGCAAAGGUUGUUAUGUCGAAGAAUUGAUGUCGACAAAAUUUUAUUUUAGUUUUCGGAAAAAAAAAAAAAUUUGUUGACAAGCAAGAAAAUAUUUUUUAUACUUUACAAUCUGCUAUACAUAUUUUAUCAUAUUAAAGUAAUUUUAAUAAUAUAUGGAAACAUAAUAUUAUAAUAAAUAAAUUAAAAUUACUUUGAAUUAUUGAAUAUUACAAAAAGAUAAUUUUAAUAUUAUUAAUAGGAAAACAUUUUUAAUUGUAAAAUCUUUUUAAUACAAAAAUUCAUUUAAAAUCUUUAUAAUAAAUACAAAUAUAAAAUUAAAAAAAUAUCAUAAUUUAAAUUUUUUAAAAUUAUUUAAAUAUUAAAAAUACUUUAAUAUUAUUAGUCUACUACAUAAAAUAUAUUAUUUAUAUUAUAUUCGUAUUGAUUAAAACGUUUUAAAGUCAAAUUUUUAAUUAGUGUAUUCAAAGAUACAAAAGAUUUUAGUAUUAUUUUUAAAAAAUUUCAGGAUAUGAAUGAUAAUUUUUUCAAAUUUUAAAGAUGUAAGAAUCUUUUUUUCUGAUAAUUUAUUUCACUUUUGAGAGAAUCCGAAAACGUUAAUUUAACAUUCUUUACCUUUGUGAAAAAAGUGAAAAUCAAGAACUAUUCAAUUUUGUUUUUAUUUGUAAUUCAAAAACUUUAUUCAUUUUCGAUGCUUUUCAAAAGAGACUCCUCUAAAUCCUUUUGGUGUCUGCAGCUCCUGCAAUUCUCAUAAAUCUCCAUCCCACAUCUACACUAUCAAACAAGUUGAUGGAAAUUCUUAUCAAAAAAAAAAAAAAAAACAAGUCGAUGGAAAUUGAUCAAUUACUUUUUGAAGUGGACCCAUUGAGUCAUGUUCAUUUCUGGUCAUUGUCUACUCUUUCCAUCAGCCAUUUAUUUUGACCAUUUGCGAUCUUAAAGGAUAUGAGAACGUAGCUGAAGUGCUGAAGGGGCUAUUAAAGAAGAGUGUCACUUGAUCACAAUCACAUUGAUGCACAACUCACUCGUGGCAAAUUUCGACUAUACGUUCUGCAAAUUCAGCCAAACCAUACAUGCAUGAACAAAACUAAAAUGUAGUUCUAAUCACAACUGCAGUUAUAAUGUUUACCCCUCUGAUUUUUCUCCAAAACAAAUUCAGUUCAAAACAAUAAUUAAAUAGCCACAUUUUGUUCGUCAAAAUAAAUGCCCAAAUUUUCAAUUAACAAAUCAUCUUCUCUAAACUAAAAAUCCCACAUCUCUAAAAUCAAUCUACAUAAUGUUGGAGAUGAGGGGUGAAUUGUUAACUCAGUAAAAAAAACUCAUGCAUAAUAUUACUAAUAAUAUAAAAUAUAUAUUAAUCAUUAUAAAGAAUCAUAAUUAGAAAAAUUAAUCAUUUUAUAAUUUAUUACACAAGUAAGAUAAAUCUCAUAAUAAGUUAUAACAUAAAAAAAACGUUAUCAAUAUAUAAUCAUUUAAGAAGUCAUUUAACAAUAAAAUCGUUCUUUAAUCAGUUGGUCAUGUCACAUAGUGUCAUCUAUAUUUACGGUGAUAAUAUUAUUACUCAGUAUUAUCAAAAAACAUGAUUUAACAUUUAGAGGAAAUUCUUGCCUUUUAAAAAAAACAUGUAUGCAACAACUACCCAUGCUUUAUCUUACCAUGACAAAUAUUUUCUCAAUGAAAGAAAAUUUUUUAAAAAUUGAUUUAAUGCACAAAUAUGAUGAUUUUUCCAAAAAUUAGUUUUGGAAAACAUAGUGAGAGAAAAUAGUGACGAUUAUUGUUUAGAUGUAUAAAUAGCCUAAACAUAAUCCUUAAUACCAAUAUCCUAAUGCAUCUUAUCAUCUUUCAUGAUAUUCUUUCAUUUAUGUCCAUUGGUUCAAGAUUUGAAUUUGAUCAUUAAAUCAUGUUCAAUAAUAUUAGAGAUUCUAACAAAUGAGUACCAACUUAAAUCCCAAUGUUAUGUGUCAUUGACCAAUUUUGUGUCAUUUUGUUAUUAACUAGGUGAUGAAUUUGUAGUUGAUAAAAUCACUUAAAAAUAUCUUAAAAAUCAAACAAUAGUUUGCUUAAUUUUUCCAAGUUAACUGCUCAAGAUGCUCUAUUAUAAAUAAUAACCUAAUUAUAUUCAUAAAAAAUGAUAUUUUUUUUGUGGUGUUGAUAAUGAGAUUAUCAUUCAACAUUUUAAAAUGUGAAAACAUAUGGAAGAUGGUUGUAAAUUGAUUGAAUGAAAACAUUUCAGUGAAGUCUCAAAAAUUUGGUACUUGUUGUCUUAUCGAAAGUUUUCUAAAUUAUAUUCGUGGCACAGCCACUAUCCAAACCAUACAAGUCCAAAGCUAUCCAAACCAUACCUGCAAGUCCGGGGCUUAAAUGGAGUACUUCUAAGCAAAAAAACAUUGACUAAAAUAGAAUAUAUACAUACAGACACACAUACAUACCAGCAUAUUCAAAAUAGCAAAAGGAGUGCAAAAGUUCAAGUUUGUAGACAACAUUGCAACCAUAGCAUGUUUAUAGCAAAUCCUCAAAAUCUGCUAAAUAAAACAAUGCCCUGUCUCAUGAAUCAAUGCUGAAUUAAAAUUGAAACUGAAAGUCUGGAUGGUUUUGUUUGUUGAGAAUGUCAAAUAAAACGGCAUUGAAGGAAGUUUUCAAAGGCAGAAUCCGCACUUGUCAAAGGGAUGAUCUGCACUUGUCAAAGACACUAUCCGCGCCGAACGGAUCGACACAUUUCCUUCCGUAUUCACAUAUGUAAUCUUUGAAAAAAUAUAGCUUCUGCAUCUAUAAAUAACGCUCAGUGUAUAAUGUUUUAUUCAAGAAAUAAAAACAAGUUUCUACAUGGUAUCAGAGCCAUGAAUGCGCUCAAGUUUCUUCAAGUUUCGCUGCUCUGUUUGUCACAAAAACAGAGGAAACCAAUUAAAUUCGUCCCACAACCAUUUUUUCCACCAUUUUCUUCCUUAAAAUCAUUCCUAACAUUACAGAAAUCCAUGCCGAUCAAAAAACAUGAAAGACAAAUUACACAUGUGCAGUAACCAAUGAUCAUAUUUCGUUACUGUCAAACACAAUGCAUCUGAGCAAAACAUUGGAAGCCAACACCAGAAUACAUAUGAAUAAACAAUUAAAGAUAGAGAAAAAAGGCUUAAACCUUGGGGGGAAAAAGUGAAAAAACAUGAAAGACAAAUUACACAUGUGCAGUAGCCAUCGAACUUAUCAGUGACAGCUGCAUCCAUUACAUUGCUCCAACAACACAAUGGCAAACCACCAGUUUCAAAUUGAGGAUAGCUAUCGAGAAUGAGAAAGUGUCCAAAACGUCAUAAAUAGACAUGUUCCGAUUGUGCAUAAUUUACAUUAUAGGCAAAUAUUCUUAUACCAUCAAAGGCAAAACAUGACACUAACAAUUGAUCACCCCCCCCCCCCCCCCCCCAACAACAAAAAAAAGGAAAAAAACAAUACAGAAAAGAUUGAAACAGAUAAGGCUACACUGAGCACAGGAUGCCAUGAAACAUAAUCCAGGAACCAAAUUAAUAAAAAAGGAAGCCAAACCAUUAUUUAACAAUCUGUUUUGUAUUUGGGAAAGUCUGAUAAAAUCUACUUGGGGAUAAUUAGAGAACCUCAACUAUUAAUCACACCUCAUAAAUGAACUAACAUUAAACAUCUACCAUCCCAACGUCACACAAACAUUCUCUACACUUCUGAACCUAAUACUUCCAUCUUCAAUUGGGGUUUUUUUUUCUUUUUCUUUGGGGGGGGGGGGGGGGGGGAUUGAAAUGCUGAUUUCGAAUCACUAACAGUAAAAUUGGAAGCUCAUGAAAAAAUAGUUUUAUCUCAAAAUUACAUCUCGAUAUAAAUUCUCUUUUCAUUUCCUUCAACUUUCUAAUUAAGCUUAAAAAAUGUACCUUCAACCACAAAGGGGUUUAAAAUUUAAAAUAUAAAAAAUAAAUUCAGAUAACAAUAAUUAAUUUAAUUAAAAAUAUAAAUAGAGUUACAGAGAAAGAGAAAAUAGAGAAAGACGUAAUGUUGAGUCCUUUGGCGCAAGUCUCUUCAUAGGUCCGAACCAUUUCUUCGGGCGUGGGUUUCGGGUCUUUAGGAUACUCCAUAGUGAUAAGCCAGUGAUUGUAAUCGCAACCCUCGAACAGAAUCGUGUCGGGUGUGAUCUCGUCGCCGUCCUUAUACAAGUGGUACGUCUUGUUAACCGACGGCGUAGACGAGAGGGAGAUCGUCGGGGACGAUCUGAACGGCCGAGAUUGGAUAAUGAUGGAGGAGGAGAAGAUUAGCGAUGACGACGCCGAUGAAAUGGAAGGGUUUACCAGAGGAGUGGAUGCGAAGAAUGCAGGGACGGCCGCAAAGAGAGAGCGGCGGAGAGCGGCGACGGACGGUAGUGACCAGCGGAGGCGGAAAAUGGCGGUAUGGGCCAUUGCUUGCGCGUCGGUGAGUGUCUCGAGUGAGAGAGUGAAGGGUUUUGGGAAAUGAAAAAUGCAAAUGUUUGAUUUUGUUGCUAGAAACUUCUUCUGCCGCUGCCUUUUAUUUUCGCUAUAAUAAUAAUAAUUUGUUAAUCAAAUAUUUUCUUAAAAAAGAUAAAUUUCUACAACAAAAUUUAUAUUAAAUCAAAUUGUAAAAAUGUCUAUUAGGGUUAAUUUCUCCUUAAUAUUAUUAUUAGUAGAUGUAGAUUUUCGAAUUAGUCUUGAUAUAUUUCAGAGUUGUAUUAUAAAUGUAUAUGUAUCUGGAUUGCAAUUAUAUUUUUAAAAAAUAUAAUUUUUUUAAUUAUUGCACAAUAAAUGUAAAUAGUAUCUAUAAAAUAAUAUUAUUAGGACUACGAAAAAAAUAUUAUUUUAGAGAAGUUAUUUAUUUAUUAUUGAAUGAAUAAAAAAAUUAGUUUGGCAUUUUUAUAACCUCCUUGAAGGUUUUACGAUAAACAUAAAUCUACUGAGAAAGUGGGAAAAAAAAAAGAAAAUGCAUAUAAAAGUAUGAGUUAUCAGAUAAGAUUAAAACUCACCCAAUUCAAUCCAUCAGAUUCCGUAAGGAUAUAACUGGAUGUCAUACCGCCACUCCAUAUCCUCGAAAGUCCGUAGUCCUUGUCUCAACUGUGUCUGAGGCCAGUGUAAGUCCAAUUUGCGCAAGCUCUUUAUGCACCACAGCUCUUCUGGAAGCUUUCUCAAGUAAGCACAUGGGUUGACAAUUAAGCUUUCAAGUUUCGGCAUUGCUCCAGCCCCCAUCGUCCACUCAUCUAGCCAAUACAUUGAUUUCAGGUGCAAAACCUUAAGUUCGGGAAAGCUACUCAAGCCAACACAAGCAAGCUUUCUUCCUAAAUACGAGUUCUGCUUCAGUUUCAGCACUCGAAGGCGUGGAAGAUUUUCCAGAAUUGGCAUGGGAUCCUCCAUUAGCUCAGUAUUUGAUAAGCUCAGUUGGAUCAGACUUGGGGGAAAUUGGUAUUCAGACAGGACCAUCCGUGAGGGCUUGCUCUCAUUCACCAGCUUCAAGCAUUCAAGUUUGUGGAGUUCGCAAAGGCUUUUGGAAACCCCAGAUUGAUAGUAACUCAAAUCUCCAGAUAUCCGAAGAGUCUGAACACUAGGUAGUCUGCCCAAUAUAUCAGGAGUACAACUGCUACGGUUUAAAGCUGAUAUGAAAAUGAGAUUUUUCAGAGAGCUAGAAUAAUUUUUUGGAGGUGCGGGCAGAGUGAUAGAACCAAAGUUUAGAUGCAUGAGUUUUUGCAUCAUCCAAAUAUCCUCUGGUGACUGAUCUAUGUAGCUAAAUGGCAUUUCUAGUGUUUCAAGGUUUAAAAGGGUGCAUAGCAGUGAAGGAAGACAUUUGAGCGAAGGGAUAUUCAAUUUCAAAUACUUCAAAAGAUAUAAAUUUUCUAAUCCGGGCGGAUAUUGGUCCAGGACUGCAGAACCCAUGUUCAAUACCCGAAGGUGUUUGAACUUUUUACAAAAAUUCUCGCAAUCUAUCAGAGCGAGACGAUCGCUUUCUGAACUGUGAUUCAGAAAAGAUUGGAGACGCAUGUCAGAAUAUUCUAAAGGAAAGAAGUCAAUCAGACGUUCCACAAUGAAGCACCGUUUAACAUUUGCCACUGAUUCCUCUUCCAUGUCAGGCGUCCAGACAAAUCCCGCCUUCUUUGCCAGAAAAUACAAUGAAGUGUAUACAAAACUUGGAACAUAACACGCUUUAAUUGUGCCGCCGGCGCUUCUCUUACUCACUUGAAUGAAGCCGCGAUGGAUUAGUUCUUUCAAGAAAUGGUCGGCAGUUUCUUCACCGUUGUAUGGUACGAAACCUUCAGCUACCCACAACUGAUGUAAUUGCCUCCUGGAUAUCUCAAUACUUGGAGGGAAGACACACAAAUAGAUGAAGCAGACUUUCAAAUGAAAAGGUAACUCCAUCACAGAAAAAAUUUGUCUCCAAACUGUCGGAAUCGCUUCGCCUUGAAGAUAAUUUUCUAAUGGCAUACUUCCAUAGUGUAGGAUGAAAAAUUGCCAGGCUUCAUGCUUUAAUCUGAUCAAUGGUCCUCCAAAGAGCACUGAAUCACGCCGAAUCUUCUCUCCGUUUUCCAUUUCCAACGACGCAAGGAGGUCUGGAUUAGUGACUGUUAUCAAUACUCUGCUUCCAUUCUGCUUAUCAGGAAGAACUUCUUCAAGAUCAUCCCAUAUGUCACUGUCAUUGAAGACAUCAUCAAGCACAAUAAAGUACUUCUUGUUUGUCAGGUAAUCUCGAAGAAUAGAUUUCUUCAAGCGAUAAUCUUCACUGAUAAUUACCCUAGCCCGAGAUGGAGGCAUCAAAGAAUUGAUUAUGUCAUCCAAUAUCUUGCCAAAAUCGUAGGCUAUAGAAACCCUGACCCAAGAAAGACAGUCAAAAUAGAACUUGACAUGGUUAUUAUUGUAAGUAUCUGCAGCAAAAGCAGUCUUAUCGAAGCCACUGCUGUCGAGAAUUGCAACCACUGAAAGCCCAGAUGGUCCCUCAAUCAAUAGAUCAAAAAACUUCUCUCUGCCCCUUUCAAAUUCACUGAUAUCGAGCCGAGGUUGUCCCUCAUUCAAUAGGCGAAUGAUUUCGUUACUUUUUUCACUGAUAUCAAAACCAUUGUCGCCGGGUGGAAGUUGUUGCAUCCGAUUUCUAAUAUCAAUGAUUUUAGUGUGGAGUCCAACAAGAAGAGCCAUAUCAGUACUGCUUUCACUUUCGUUUUCACUGUUUUGCUGCUGCAUUAUGUUGAUGAAGAAUCUGUCAAUGGCUUCCUCAGAUUCAUGGACAACGGGAUUGAUGUCCUCCAGAAUUUCCAAAAUAUCUGCUGUUUCAACGUCUUCUUUAUCGCUUUCUUCUAAGUCCAACAGUUGCAAAAAAGGCAAUGAUAUUUUGGAGUCAUCGAAUUCUUCUCUAAUGAGUUGAAACAAAUGCCGAGCCAUGUCAGCUUCAUAUUUUCCCAGCAGAGUAGUAGCAAUAAUUUCGGACUCCGUAAGAAGGUUUUGAAAAAGUGGAGUUAAAUUUGUUGAAUCAGGCAAAGUUAACGUGCCUUCUUCACCUGCUAACACCCUUUUCAACCUCACACAAAACAGUCGGAGGUGGAGUUCCAGCAUAUCUCCUUCUCUCCGCAGCACUCAGAGGUAUAGUUGAAAGAUUAAACACCAUGGAAGAAUUUGAAAGGAAUAUGCCAAGAAACUGUGUAAGUGGCUAAAUUCCACAAAUGCGGCAUUAUUGCUCAUUUUUAACUCAAAAAAUUGAUACGCGUUCAUUUAGAGAAAAGUCCAAGACGCGUGCCUUUUGAAAAGAACAGGUAUCCCAAUCGGUAUCCAACCUCUAUCUUAUUUAAUUACUAUCAUGACAUAAUUGAUGGUGCUUAAAUCAAUUGUUUCUUUUUUAAUUUAAAGAAUUUUUCAUUAAAAAAAUAUUUUAAUAUCAAAUUGCCUUCAGUGGCGUAACUGCCUCAAGCCCAGUAACAGGACUAAUUAAAGAUUUUACAAUUUUUGGGCAUGGAAAUAGUAGUAUUAAAUAUUAGAAAGGUGAGGUUGUUCUGUUAAAGAAUUGAUCUUGACAUAAUUUUAUUUUGGUUUUCGUGGAAAAAUAAAAUUUGUUGACAAGCAAGAAAAUAUUUUUAUAUUUUAAAAUUUAUUAUGCAUAUUUUAUCAUAUUAAAGUAGUUUUAAUAAUAAAUAGAAACAUAAUAUUACGAUAAAUAAAUUAAAAUUUAACUUAUUUUGAAUAUUAUAAAAAAAAUUUUAAUAUUAUUAAUAGGAAGACAUUGUAUUAAUUUUAAAAUUUUUUAACCCAAAGGUUUAUUUAAAAUCUUUAUUAUAAAUACAAAUAUAAAAUUAAAUAUCAUAAUUUAAAAAUUUUAAUAUUAUUUUAAGUAUUAAAAAUAUUUUAAUGUUAUUAGUCUACUACAUAGAUCAUAUUACUUAUAUAAUAUUUGUAUUAUUAAAAAUUCUUAAAAUCAAAUUUUUAGUUAGUAUAUUCAUGAGGUAUUAUGGUUAAAAAAAAAAAAGACCUUAUUAUUACUUUUUAAAAAAUUGAGGGUCUGCGUGAUAAUUUUUUCAAAAAGAAAAUGCUUGGUAUGUAGGAGGGGUAGAGAAACAGGACUCCCAAAAUCUCUCACCCUUCUUUAAUUAAAAAUAAAUAAAAUAUUAAUAAAAAAUAAUAAAGAAAAUAGAAUUUUAUCUGCUCCUUACUCCAUUUUUGUAACUCUCUCACCAUCUCUGUCGAGCAGCCCUCUCUUUCGUUGUCUCUCACUAUUUCACGAUCUCUCUCUCACUCACACAGUCCUUUAAAAAAGCCCAAAAUAGGCCCAAUAAGCCCAUAAUUAAAAUAAUCGAAUCGAAUUAUUUUAAUUAAUCGAGUAUUUGAUUAUUUCGGUAAUUUAAUUAAUCGCAAUUAUGAUUUUAAAAUAAUCGUAAUCGAACGAUUAUGAAAAAUUUAGUAAAAAAACCGAACUGAACCGAACCGCACCCACCCCUACAUAAAAGAACAUCAAUUACUUGUCAUUUUCAAUUUUUUCUAUAAGCUAUUUAUUUUGAGCAUUAGUGAUCUUGUCUGGACUACUCCAAUUAUUGACGUAACUCCAGUGGCUGCAUCCACUGGAAAAAGUGGAUGAUAACAUUUUUUUUUUUUUCAUAAAGGUAACUACUCCAAUUAUUGACAUAAUUGAUGGUGCUUAAAUCAAUUUUUUUUUUAAUUUAAAGAAUUUUGCUUUAAAAAAUAAUUAAUAUCAAAAUGCCUUCAAUGUUGUUACCGCCACAAGCCCAGUUAGAGGACUCAUUAAAACUUUUAGAAUUUUUAGGCCUGGAAAGCAUAGUAUUAAACAUCAGAAAGCAAAGGUUGUUAUGUCGAAGAAUUGAUGUCGACAAAAUUUUAUUUUAGUUUUCGGAAAAAAAAAAUUUGUUGACAAGCAAGAAAAUAUUUUUUAUACUUUACAAUCUGCUAUACAUAUUUUAUCAUAUUAAAGUAAUUUUAAUAAUAUAUGGAAACAUAAUAUUAUAAUAAAUAAAUUAAAAUUAAAAUUACUUUGAAUUAUUAAAUAUUACAAAAAGAUAAUUUUAAUAUUAUUAAUAGGAAAACAUUUUUAAUUGUAAAAUCUUUUUAAUACAAAAAUUCAUUUAAAAUCUUUAUAAUAAAUACAAAUAUAAAAUUAAAAAUAUCAUAAUUUAAAAUUUUUAAUAUUAUUUUAAUAUUAAAAAUACUUUAAUAUUAUUAGUCUACUACAUAAAAUAUAUUAUUUAUAUUAUAUUCGUAUUGAUUAAAACGUUUUAAAGUCAAAUUUUUAAUUAUUGUAUUCAAAGGUACAAAAGAUUUUAGUAUUAUUUUUUAAAAAUUUUAGGAUAUGAAUGAUAAUUUUUUCGAAUUUUAAAGAUGUAAGAAUCUUUUUUUCUAAUAAUUUAUUUCACUUUUGAGAGAAUCCGAAAACGUUAAUUUAACAUUCUUUACCUUUGUGAAAAAAGUGAAAAUCAAGAACUAUUCAAUUUUGUUUUUAUUUGUAAUUCAAAAACUUUAUUCAUUUUCGAUGCUUUUCGAAAGAGAUUCCGUUAAAUCCUUUUGGUGUCGGCAGCUCCUGCUAUUCUCAUAAAUCUCCAUUCCACAUCUACACUAUCAAACAAGUUGAUGGAAAUUCUUAUAAAAAAAAAACAAGUCGAUGGAAAUUGAUCAAUUACUUUUUGAAGUGGACCCAUUGAGUCAUGUUCAUUUCUGGUCAUUGUCUACUCUUUCCAUCAGCCAUUUAUUUUGACCAUUUGCGAUCUUAAAGGAUAUGAGAACGUAGCUGAAGUGCUGAAGGGGCUAUUAAAGAAGAGUGUCACUUGAUCACAAUCACAUUGAUGCACAACUCACUCGUGGCAAAUUUCGACUAUACGUUCUGCAAAUUCAGCCAAACCAUACGUGCAUGAACAAAACUAAAAUGUAGUUCUAAUCACAACUCCAGUUAUGAUGUUUACCCCUCUGAUUUUUCUCCAAAACAAAUUCAGUUCAAAACAAUAAUCAAAAUAGCCACAUUUUGUUCGUCAAAAUAAAUGCCCAAAUUUUCAAUUAACAAAUCAUCUUCUCUAAACUAAAAAUCCCACAUCUCUAAAAUCAAUCUACAUAAUGUUGGAGAUGAGGGGUGAAUUGUUAACUCAGUAAAAAAAACUCAUGCAUAAUAUUACUAAUAAUAUAAAAUAUAUAUUAAUCAUUAUAAAGAAUCAUAAUUAGAAAAAUUAAUCAUUUUAUAAUUUAUUACACAAGUAAGAUAAAUCUCAUAAUAAGUUAUAACAUAAAAAAAACGUUAUCAAUAUAUAAUCAUUUAAGAAGUCAUUUAACAAUAAAAUCGUUCUUUAAUCAGUUGGUCAUGUCACAUAGUGUCAUCUAUAUUUACGGUGAUAAUAUUAUUACUCAGUAUUAUCAAAAAACAUGAUUUAACAUUUAGAGGAAAUUCUUGCCUUUUAAAAAAAAACAUGUAUGCAACAGCUACCCAUGCUUUAUCUUACCAUGACAAAUAUUUUCUCAAUGAAAGAAAAUUUUUUAAAAAUUGAUUUAAUGCACAAAUAUGAUGAUUUUUCCAAAAAUUAGUUUUGGAAAACAUAGUGAGAGAAAAUAGUGACGAUUAUUGUUUAGAUGUAUAAAUAGCCUAAACAUAAUCCUUAAUACCAAUAUCCUAAUGCAUCUUAUCAUCUUUCAUGAUAUUCUUUCAUUUAUGUCCAUUGGUUCAAGAUUUGAAUUUGAUCAUUAAAUCAUGUUCAAUAAUAUUAGAGAUUCUAACAAAUGAGUACCAACUUAAAUCCCAAUGUUAUGUGUCAUUGACCAAUUUUGUGUCAUUUUGUUAUUAACUAGGUGAUGAAUUUGUAGUUGAUAAAAUCACUUAAAAAUAUCUUAAAAAUCAAACAAUAGUUUGCUUAAUUUUUCCAAGUUAACUGCUCAAGAUGCUCUAUUAUAAAUAAUAACCUAAUUAUAUUCAUAAAAAAUGAUAUUUUUUUUGUGGUGUUGAUAAUGAGAUUAUCAUUCAACAUUUUAAAAUGUGAAAACAUAUGGAAGAUGGUUGUAAAUUGAUUGAAUGAAAACAUUUCAGUGAAGUCUCAAAAAUUUGGUACUUGUUGUCUUAUCGAAAGUUUUCUAAAUUAUAUUCGUGGCACAGCCACUAUCCAAACCAUACAAGUCCAAAGCUAUCCAAACCAUACCUGCAAGUCCGGGGCUUAAAUGGAGUACUUCUAAGCAAAAAAACAUUGACUAAAAUAGAAUAUAUACAUACAGACACACAUACAUACCAGCAUAUUCAAAAUAGCAAAAGGAGUGCAAAAGUUCAAGUUUGUAGACAACAUUGCAACCAUAGCAUGUUUAUAGCAAAUCCUCAAAAUCUGCUAAAUAAAACAAUGCCCUGUCUCAUGAAUCAAUGCUGAAUUAAAAUUGAAACUGAAAGUCUGGAUGGUUUUGUUUGUUGAGAAUGUCAAAUAAAACGGCAUUGAAGGAAGUUUUCAAAGGCAGAAUCCGCACUUGUCAAAGGGAUGACCUGCACUUGUCAAAGACACGAUCCGCGCCGAACGGAUCGACACAUUUCCUUCCGUAUUCACAUAUGUAAACUUUGAAAAAAUAUAGCUUCUGCAUCUAUAAAUAACGCUCAGUGUAUAAUGUUUUAUUCAAGAAAUAAAAACAAGUUUCUACAUGGUAUCAGAGCCAUGAAUGCGCUCAAGUUUCUUCAAGUUUCGCUGCUCUGUUUGUCACAAAAACAGAGGAAACCAAUUAAAUUCGUCCCACAACCAUUUUUUCCACCAUUUUCUUCCUUAAAAUCAUUCCUAACAUUACAGAAAUCCAUGCCGAUCAAAAACAUGAAAGACAAAUUACACAUGUGCAGUAACCAAUGAUCAUAUUUUGUUACUGUCAAACACAAUGCAUCUGAGCAAAACAUUGGAAGCCAACACCAGAAUACAUAUGAAUAAACAAUUAAAGAUAGAGAAAAAAGGCUUAAACCUUGGGGGAAAAAGUGAAAAAACAUGAAAGACAAAUUACACAUGUGCAGUAACCAUCGAACUUAUCAGUGACAGCUGCAUCUAUUACAUUGCUCCAACAACACAAGGGCAAACCACCAGUUUCAAAUUGAGGAUAGCUAUCGAGAAUGAGAAAGUGUCCAAAACGUCAUAAAUAGACAUGUUCCUAUUGUGCAUAAUUUACAUUAUAGGCAAAUAUUUUUAUACCAUCAAAGGCAAAACAUGACACUAACAAUUGAUCACCCCCCCCCCCCCCCCCCCCAACAACAAAAAAAAGGAAAAAACAAUACAGAAAAGAUUGAAACAGAUAAGGCUACACUGAGCACAGGAUGCCAUGAAACAUAAUCCAGGAACCAAAUUAAUAAAAAAGGAAGCCAAACCAUUAUUUAACAAUCUGUUUUGUAUUUGGGAAAGUCUGAUAAAAUCUACUUGGGGAUAAUUAGAGAACCUCAACUAUUAAUCACACCUCAUAAAUGAACUAACAUUAAACAUCUACCAUCCCAACGUCACACAAACAUUCUCUACACUUCUGAACCUAAUACUUCCAUCUUCAAUUGGGGGUUUUUUUUUUCUUUUUCUUUGGGGGGGGGGGGGGAUUGAAAUGCUGAUUUCGAAUCACUAACAGUAAAAUUGGAAGCUCAUGAAAAAAUAGUUUUAUCUCAAAAUUACAUCUCGAUAUAAAUUCUCUUUUCAUUUCCUUCAACUUUCUAAUUAAGCUUAAAAAAUGUACCUUCAACCACAAAGGGGUUUAAAAUUUAAAAUAUAAAAAAUAAAUUCAGAUAACAAUAAUUAAUUUAAUUAAAAAUAUAAAUAGAGUUACAGAGAAAGAGAAAAUAGAGAAAGACGUAAUGUUGAGUCCUUUGGCGCAAGUCUCUUCAUAGGUCCGAACCAUUUCUUCGGGCGUGGGUUUCGGGUCUUUAGGAUACUCCAUAGUGAUAAGCCAGUGAUUGUAAUCGCAACCCUCGAACAGAAUCGUGUCGGGUGUGAUCUCGUCGCCGUCCUUAUACAAGUGGUACGUCUUGUUAACCGACGGCGUAGACGAGAGGGAGAUCGUCGGGGACGAUCUGAACGGCCGAGAUUGGAUAAUGAUGGAGGAGGAGAAGAUUAGCGAUGACGACGCCGAUGAAAUGGAAGGGUUUACCAGAGGAGUGGAUGCGAAGAAUGCAGGGACGGCCGCAAAGAGAGAGCGGCGGAGAGCGGCGACGGACGGUAGUGACCGGCGGAGAGCGGAAGAUGGCGGUAUGGGCCAUUGCUUGCGCGUCAGUGAGUGUCUCGAGUGAGGAGUGAAGGGUUUUGUACUUUUGUUUAGGGUUUUGGGAAAUGAAAAAUGCAAAUGUUUGAUUUUGUUGCUAGAAACUUCUUCUGCCGCCGCUUUUUAUUUUCGCUAAAUAAUAAUAAUAAUUUGUUAAUAAAAUACUUUCUUAGAAAAGAUAAAUUUAUAGAACAAAAUUUAUAUUAAAUCAAAUUGUAAAAAUGUGGAAUAGGGCUAAUUUCUCCUGAAUAUUAUUAUUAGUAGAAGUAGAUUUUCGAAAUAGUCUUGAUAUAUUUCAAAGUUGUAUUAUAGAUGUACAUGUAUCUGGAUUGUAAUUAUAUUUUAAAAAAUAUACAUUUUUUUUCAUUAUUGCACAAUAAAUGUAGAAAGUGUCUAUAAAAUAAUAUUAUUAGAACUAUGAAAAUAUAUUAUUUUAGAGUAGUUAUUUAUUUAUUUUUGAAUAAAUAAUUUAUUAAUUUAUUAAUUUAUUGAUAAAUUAAUAAAUAUUAAUUUAAAGAGAGAUUUUUUUUUUUGGGGGUUUUUAAGAAGAGUUUUGUUGGUAUAUGUACAAACUUAUAAAGAAAUACAAAAAAUGCUUCCUCAAGUCAAUAGUAUUUACUUUAAUUCAUAAUAGUAUAGUUUAAUCAAGAAACUUAUAAUUAUACUAUAUCUUUCUUUCUUUGUUCUAUUUGGUGGGACAUUGUGAUAAAUCAUUGGAUUAAAAUGCAUUUCUAAAUGAAAACUUGUUAAAACCUAAUUUAUUUGGGAACGACAUUUUAUUUGUCAGUCGUAUUUCUCAACUUCGUAAGUUAUUUCUAAUUUAUCGGUCUCUAUUGGUUCUCUUAAGUACCUAUUUGGCAUGACUUAUUUAAUAGUAAUAAGUGCUUAUUUAAUCUCAUAAGUUUUUUCCCUCUCUGACAAUUGAGUUAGGGGGUCAAACUUGAAAGUAUCUUAAAAUUAGACAACAAUUUAACUAUUUUUUUUUUUUUAGAUAACUGCUAAUAUGCUCUAUUAGACAAUGAUGAGUGAUAACCUAGGUGUUUGCAUUUAAAGGGAUACUUUUUGUGGUGUUGAUAAAGAGGUUAAGUAUGAUUCAACAAUUUAAAAUAUGAAAACAUAUGGAAGACGGCCGCAAUUAAAUUAAUUGUAUGAAAAUAUUUCAAUGAAAUUUUAAAAAUUUAGUAUUUGUUAUCUUAUCGAGAGUUUUUUAAAAUUAUAUUACUACUUGAACUUGACUGCUUUUGUAUUUAAUUCCUACCGUUGCCAUUGCUUCUACUCAAAAGCCAUUUAAGUUUGUGUAAGCUACGUAUAGUUUGAACAACAAUUUACUCAUGAAUUGUUGUUCAUAAUAGCAUCAGUGCAUGCAUCAUUUUAAUGAGAAAGAAUAUUCUAAGAACGAAAUUGAACGUGGGAGGUAUCGGGAAGGAAUUGGAAUGGAAUAAUAUCGAUUCAUAUAGAUACAGAAGAAAAAGUUCUCUAUUGAUUCAAAUGCUGUGCCUAUGGGAUAAGGAUAGAGAAAGAGGAAAAAACCGAAGCCAGAAAUGUACACGCAUGAGGAACUUUUCCUAGAAGAUUGAUAUUUCUUUGACUAGCAAACCAUACAAGUCCAAAGCUAGCCAAACCAUACCUGCAAGUCGGGGGUUUAAAUGGAAUACUUCUAAGCAUAAAACAUUGAUUAAAACAGAAUACACACAUACAUACCAGCAAAUUCAAAAUAGCAAAAGGAGUGCAAAAGUUCAAGUUUGUAGACAACAUUGCAACCAUGGCAUGUUUAUAGCAAAUCCUCGAAAUCUGCUAAAUAAAACAAUGCCCUGUCUCAUGAAUCAAUGCUGAAUUAAAAUUGAAACUGAAAGUCCGGCUGGCGUUGUUUCCCUCUCCAAUUUUGCCUACAUAAGUGAAAAUAAGAAUAAUAAAUGAAAAUCUGCUUUUACGGUUCUUAUUAGAUAGAUAAAAGGGGGAUCUUUCUUUGUUUCUCUGCUGCAAUGUGUGGCUAUCCCACUCUGUUUUGCCACCCAAGCUGAGUCUAUGCUGAGACAUAAUUUUGACAUCAGAAGCAAUCUCAAUUAGUUUGGCACUUUUAAGCAAUCUCAUAUUUUGCUCACUUGAAGGUUUUACGAUAAACAUAAAUCUACAGAGAAAGUGGGAAAAAAAAAAGAAAAUGCAUAUAAAUAUAUGAGUUAUCAGAUAAGAUUAAAACUCACCCAAUUCAAUCCAUCAGAUUCCGUAAGGAUAUAACUGGAUGUCAUACCGCCACUCCAUAUCCUUGAAAGUCCGUAGUGUUUGUCUCAACUCUGUCUGAGGCCAAUGUAAAUUCAAUUUGCGCAAGCUCUUUAUGCACCACAGCUCUUCUGGAAGCUUUCUCAAGUAAGCACAUGGGUUGACAAUUAAGCUUUCAAGUUUCGGCAUUGCUCCAGCCCCCAUCGUCCACUCAUCUAGCCAAUACAUUGAUUUCAGGUGCAAAACCUUAAGUUCCGGAAAGCUACUCAAGCCAACACAAGCAAGCUUUCUUCCUAAAUACGAGUUCUGCUUCAGUUUCAGCACUCGAAGGCGUGGAAGAUUUUCCAGAAUUGGCAUGGGAUCCUCCAUUAGCUCAGUAUUUGAUAAGCUCAGUUGGAUCAGACUUGGGGGAAAUUGGUAUUCAGACAGGACCAUCCGUGAGGGCUUGCUCUCAUUCACCAGCUUCAAGCAUUCAAGUUUGUGGAGUUCGCAAAGGCUUUUGGAAACCGCAGAUUGAUAGUAACUCAAAUCUCCAGAUAUCCGAAGAGUCUGAACACUAGGUAGUCUGCCCAAUAUAUCAGGAGUACAACUACUAGGGUUUAAAGCUGAUAUGAAAAUGAGAUUUUUCAGAGAGCUGGAAUAAUUUUUUGGAGGUGCGGGCAGAGUGAUAGAACCAAAGUUUAGAUGCAUGAGUUUUUGCAUCAUCCAAAUAUCCUCUGGUGACUGAUCUAUGUAGCUAGAUGGCAUUUCUAGUGUUUCAAGGUUUAAAAGGGUGCAUAGCAGCGAAGGAAGGCGUUUGAGCAAAGGGAUAUUCAAUUUCAAAUACUUCAAAAGGAAUAAAUUUUCUAAUCCGGGUGGAAAUUGGUCGAGAACUGCAGAACCGAAGUUCAGUACCCGAAGGUGUUUGAACUUUUUACAAAAAUUCUCGCAAUCUAUCACAGCGAGAUGAUCGCCUUCUAAACUUUGAUUGAUAAAAGAUUGGAGAUAGAUCUCACCAUGUUCUAAAGAAAUGAAGUCAGUCAGAUGUUCCAAAAUGAUGUAGCGUUUAACAUUUGCAAAUGGUUCCGCUUCCAUUCCAGGCAUCCAGAGAAAUUUCGUCUUGUCUGCCACCAAACCCAAUGAAGUAUAUACAAAACUUGGAACAUAGCAAGCUUUAAUUGUGCCGCCGGCUCUUCUCUUACUCACUUGAAUGAAGCCGCGAUGGAUUAGUUCUUUCAAGUAAUGUUCGGCAGUUUCUUCACCGUUGUAUGGUAUGAAACCUUCAGCUACCCACAACUGAUAUAAUUGCUCCGUAGAUAUCUCCAUACUUGGAGGGAAGACCAACAAAUAGAUGCAGCAGACCUUCAAGUGAAAAGGUAACUCCAUCACAGAAAAAAUUUGUCUCCAAACUGUCGGAAUCGCUUCGCCUUGAAGAUAAUUUUCUAAUGGCAUACUUCCAUAGUGUAGGAUGAAAAAUUGCCAGGCUUCAUGCUUUAAUCUUAUCAAUGGUCCUCCAAUGAGCACUGAAUCACGCCGAAUUUCCUCUCCAUUUUCCAUUUCCAACGACACAAGGAGGUCUGGUUCAGUGACUGUUAUCAAUACUCUGCUUCCAUUCUCAUCAUCAGGGAGAACUUCUUCCAGAUCAUCCCAUAUCUCACAGUCAUCGAAGACGUCAUCAAGCACAAUAAAAUACUUCUUGUUUGUUAGGUAAUCUCGAAGAAUAGAUUCCUUGAAUUGAUAAUCUUCACCGAUAAUUACACUAACCCGAGAUGGAGGCAUCACAGACUUGAUUAUGUCAUCCAAUAUCUUGCGAAAAUCGUAGAGUAGAGAAACCCUGACCCAAGCAAGACAGUCAAAAUAGAACUUGACAUAGUUAUUAUUGUAAGUAUCUGCAGCAAAAGCAGUCUUAUCGAAGCCACUGCUGUCGAGAAUUGCAACCACUGAAAGCCCAGAUGGUCCCUCAAUCAAUAGAUCAAACAACUCCUCUCUGCCCCUUUCAAAUUCACUGAUAUCAAGCCGAGGAUGUCCCUCAUUCAAUAGGCGAAUCAUUUCGUUACUUUUUUCACUGAUAUCAAAACCAUUGUCGCCGGGUGGAAGUUGUUGCAUCCGAUUUCUAAUAUCAAUGAUUUCACUGUGGAGUCCAUCAGGAAGAGCCAUAUUAGUGCUGCUUUCACUUUCGUUUUCACUGUUUUGCUGCUGCAUGAUGUUGAUGAAGAAUGUGUCAAUGACUUCCUCAGAGUCACGGACAAAGUUAUUGAUGUCCUUCAGAAUUUCAAAAAUAUCUGCUGUUUCAACGUCUUCUUCAUCGCUUUCUUCUAAGUCCAACAGUUGCAAAAAAGGCAAAGAUAUUUUGGAGUCAUCGAUAUCUUCUCUAAGGAGUUGAAUCAAAUGCCGAGCCAUGUCGGCUUCAUAGUUUCCCAGAAGAGUAGUAGCAAUAAUUUCGGACUCCGUAAGAAGGUUUUGAAAAAGUGGAGUUAAAUUUGUUGAAUCUGGCAGAGGCAACGUGCCUUCUUCACCUGCUAACACCCUUUUCAACCUCUCACAAAACAGUCGGAGGUGGACGUCCAGCAUAUCUCCUUCUCUCUGUAGCACCCAGAGGUAUUGUUUUUUGCUCCAAGAAAUAUUAAAAGGAUUGGUUCUAUCUAAAAGUGGUUACUGGUGUAAAAUUAAACGCCAUGGGAGAAUUUGAAAGGAAGAUGCCAAGGAACUGGCGAAGUGGCUAAAUUCCACAAAUACGGCAUUAUUGCUCAUUUUUAACUCAAAAAAUUGAUACGCCUUCAUUUAGCGAAAAGUCCAAGACGCUUGCCUUUUGAAAAGAAGAGGUAUCCAUAGAUAUCCAACAUUUAUCUUAUUUUAAUUACUACCACGACAUGAUUGAUGGUUGUUAAAUCAAUUGUUUCUUUUUUAAUUUAAAGAAAUUUUCAUUAAAAAAUAGUUUAAUAGACACAUAAUAUUACAAUAAAUAAAGUAAAGUUUAAAUUAUUUUGAAUAUUAUAAAAAAUAAUUUUAAUAUUAUUAAUAGGAAGACAUUUUGUUAAUUUUAAAAUCUUUUUAACCCAAAGGUUUAUUUAAAAUCUUUAUUAUAAAUACAAAUAUAAAAUUAAAUAUCAUAAUUUAAAAUUUUUAAUAUUAUUUUAAGUAUUAAAAAUAUUUUAAUGUUAUUAGUCUACUACAUAGAUUUUAUUAUUUAUAUUAUAUCUGUAUUGAUUAAAAUUUUUUAAAGUCAAUUUUUUAGUCAAUAUAUUCAAGAGGUAUUAUAGUUAAAGAAAAGAUUUUGGUGUUAUUUUUUGAAAAUUUUAAGGUUUAAAUGAUUUUUUUUUUAAUUUUAAGGAUGUGGGUAUUAUUUUUCCGACAAUUUAUUUUAUUUUUGGGGAAUCCGAUGAGAAAUAUCAUGAGAGAAGGUUAAUUUUACAUUCUUUACCUUUAUGAAAAAAGUGGAAACCAAGAACUAUUCAAUUUUGUAUUUUUUGUUUGUAAUUCAAAAAAUGCAUCCACCAAACAAGCUUAUCUUGAUUUUCCCACUUUAUUCAUUUUCGAUCCUUUAAUCCAUCUAGCAUCUGCAGCCCCCGCUAUUUUCACAAAGAGUAAUGAUACAGCCACAAAUUCUUGUACAAAUUUAUUUUGUAUAAACUGACGUGGCAUGAUAAGAUUGGUUGAAUUAAAUAUCACUUGGCCCACAUGAUUUGUUUUUAUUAUUUUAUAUUUUUAUUCAACCAAUGAAUUAAUGCCACGUCAGUUUGUACAAAAUAAAUUUGUACAAGAGUUUGUGGCUGUAUCAUUACUCUGUCAAGAAUCUCCAUCCCACAGCUACACUAUCAAACAAGUUGAUGGAAAUUGAACAAUUGCUUUUUGAAGUGGACCCAUUAGGUUAUGUUCAUUACUGGUCAUUGUCUAUUCUUUCUAAGAGCCACUUAUUUUGAGCAUUAGCGAUCCUAUCUGGACUACUCCAAUUAUUGAUGUAACUCCAAUGGUUGCAUCAACAGUUGAAUGUAAGAUAGUGUCAGUUCUUUUUUGAGAAUAUAGAGGGAUCUUUAUUUGUUUCUCCGUUGCAGCGUAUUAGUAUAAAUUUCUUGACCUUACAGUUCCUACAGUCUUCCUGUUAAUGAAUUCGCUGAGGCAUUAUUGAUCCAAUCUCAGUGAAGUAAUUGUGGGUGAAAAAAAAAUAAAGGAUAAGAGAACGUAGCUCAAGUGCUGAAUUGACUAUUAAAGAAGAGCGUCACCUGAUCACAAUCACAUUGAUGCACAACUCACUCGAGGCAAAUUUCAUCUAUAUAUACUGCAAAUUCAGCCAAGCCAUGCAUGCAUGAACAAAACUAAAAUGAAGUUCAUAAUCACAACUGUAAUUAGAGCUACAAAAGGUGGCAAACCAUACAUGCAUGAACAAAAUUAGACAUAAAUUGAAGCCACAACAUUAAUUGAAGCCACAAAAGCCAGCAAAUCCAAAUGAAAACUUAAAAGGAAGAUCUUAUCGAAGUUUGUCCCCAAAAGACAGCGGAAAUGAAAAAUAUUGACUAUCGAGUGGAUCAAUGCUGAAUUACAUUUGACCUGGAAAGCUUGGCUGCAGUUGCGAUGUUCCCCCUCUGAUUUUCCCUAAAACAAAUUCAGUUGUAAACAAUAACUGGAGUAGCAACAAUUUAUUCAUUAUAGAAAAUACCUAAAUUUUCAACUAUCAAAUCCUCUUGUCUAAACUAAAAAACUCAUAUCUCUAAAAUCUAUAUACAAAAUGUCAUAAAUGAGGGUGAUCUCUCAAUUCGGUAAACAAAUUCAUGCAUAAUAUUACCAAUAAUGAUAAAUUACAUAAUAAUUAUUAUAAAGAAUCAUAAAUUGGAAACAUUAAUCAUUUUAAAAUCUAUUACAUAAUAAAAAUAAAUCUUAUAAUAAGUUACGUUAGAACAUAACAAAUAUUUAAAAUGAUAUAUAUAAUUAUUUAAGAAGUCUUUUAACAAUAAUUUUUUUUUUCUUUUUCAGUUGAUCAUGUCAUAGCGUUAUCUAAAAUGCUAGCGAUAUCAUUAUUCCCCACUUUUCUCAAAAAAAAGAAAAAGAUAAAGAAAAAAGAAAUAUGAUUAACGUUUGGAGAAAAGUCAUGCCUUUUAAAAAGAAUAUGUAUACAAUACCAAUUCAUACUUUAUCUUACCAUAAAAAAAUUGUUUAAAAUAGAUUUAAUGCACAAAUAUGAUGACUUUUGGCAGAAAUGAGUUUCGGAAAUAUUGGGAUGAAAACCAUAUUGGUUCAGACUUAAAAUUACUUAAUAAAAUUACUUAACUACCAUUUAAUAAAUAAAAAUCAUAUUAGUUGAAAGUUAAAUUAAGAUUUAAAUGUUGAGAUAUCUAACGUUACUCAAUCAGAAUAAACAAUAAUCAAUUCAAAUUAUGACUAUCAUGUAGAAGCAAAUGUUUAUGCUUGGGUCUUUUACUUCUUGAAUUUGAUUGGAAAAAUUUCUGAGACAGGGAAGUGAGUGUUUUGGAUAAUAUUUUUCGGGAUUGAAACCACAAGUUGGUCGAGGAAAAUAAUUUUGGACAAAUUUUUAUUAUAUUGUAGAACCUUUUUGGUUCCUUUUGUGUCGGCAGCCCCUCACUAUUCUCUUAACCCUGAGUUUUGAGAUAGAAAUUUCCCGAACUCCAACCCCACAUCCACAGACAAGUUGAUUGAAACAAUUGCUCUUGUAAUUAAGAGGAUGAGUUAGGGUUCAGUUCUUAUCAUUGUCUGUUAUUUCUUUGAAUCAUUAUCUUAGUUAAUUACAUCAAUUGUUUCUUUUCUUAAUUUAAAGAAUUUUUCUUUUAAAAAAAUAUUUUAAUAUCAAAAUGCGUUAAAUGGUAUUACUGCCGCAAUCCCAGUAACAGGAUUAAUUAAAAAAAUAUUCUUAGGAAGAUAUUUUGUUUAUUGUAAAAUCUUUUUAACCCAAAGGUUUAUUUAAAAUCGUUAUAAUAAAUAAAAAUAUAAAAAAAAAUAAAUAUCAUAAUUUAAAAUUUUAAUAUUAUUUUAAAUAUUAAAAAUACUUUAAUGCUAUUAGUCUACUACACAGGUUAUAUUACUUAUAUUAUAUUUGUAUAAAUUAAAACUUUUAAAGUUAAAUUUUUAAUUACUAUAUUGAAAAGGUAUUAUGGUUAAAAAAAGUUUUGGCAUUUGUUUUUUGAAAAUUUGAGGGUCUGCAUGACAAUUUGUCCAAAUCCUAGAGGUAUAGGUGUCUUUUUUUUUCGAUAAUUCAUUUUACUUUUGAGGGAAUCCGAUGAGAAAUAAGAUAAGAGAAACGUCAAUUUAACGUUCUCUAGGGAAAACCAAGAACUAUUCAAUUUUGUAUUUUUUGUUUGUAAAACAAAAAACAGUUUGCCAAAAAAGGUACCAAACAUAUCCUUAAUGUCUCACAUGAUUUCUUAUUAAGUCCAUACUCGAUAUAUUUAUACAUUUUAGGUAUUUUAGUUAUAAAAGAAGUUGGUCCUCCCUCUGUUUAUAAAAGGUAACUUUAUUUCGAGAUUACCACUAAAGUCUUACAAAGAAUUAGUGUAAUGUUAAGAGAGACUAACACAGUUUUCCAUUACCAUUUUGAAAAUAGAAAGAUAUGGAUGUGUGCAUUUAAUGGUGCGUUUACUUGCCGGAUUGGGGAAUCAGAAUCUGGAAUCAGAAUGAUUGAUGGUGUUUACUUCACAAAUAUGGAGCAGGAAUCGGAAUUGGAAUGGUGGGGCCCACCACUAUUUGGGAAUGGGAGAUUGAUUCCCAUGGGGGAAGGUGGGAAUGAGUCUCUCAUUCCCUGGAUUGACCAUUUUGCCCUCCCUCAAAAUUAAAAAUGCCUACUUUGUCCUCUUUUAUAAUUAAUUAAUAUAAUAUUAUAAUUAAUUAAUUAAUAUAUAAAUAUUUUAUUAACUAUAAUUAUUAAAAAUUAUAGUUCUUGAAUAAAUAAUCACAAUAAUUAAUUUAUUAUUAUUAUUGUUAAUGAAUUAAUAUAAUUAUUACUAUUAAUUAAUAUAUUAAUAUAUUAUUAACAAUAAUAUAUUAAUAAUUAUUGUUCGUGAAUAAAUAAUCACAAUAAUUAAUAUAUUAUUAUUGAAAUUAAUUAAUUAAUAUACUAUUAUAAUAAUUAUUAUAAUUAAUUCAUAUAUUAUUAUUAAUUAAUUAAUAAAAUUAAAAUUAUUAAUUAAAUAAAUAAUAUAAUUAUUACUACUAAUUAAUAUAUUAAUAUAUUAUUAAAAAUAAUUAUUAAUAAUUAUAAUUUUUGAAUAAAUAAUCACAAUAAUUAAUAUAUUAUUUUAAUUAAGUAAUUAAUAUUAAUAUUAUUAGUUAAUAUAUUUUUAUAAUAAUUUUUGAUAUAGUUAUUAUAAUUAAUUAAAAUUUUUUACAAUUAAUUAAUAUAUUAGUUAAUAAUAAUUAUGACAAUAAUUCAUUAAGUACUUUUUAGUAAUUUGUUACAAUCUAAUUCAUUCCGAUUCCGAUUUCAAGACAAAGUAAACACAUUAAUGGCAAUCUAGCUCAUUCCGAUUUCGAUUCUUACAGUUCAAGUAAACAACUUAUUUUGAUUCCCAUUACCUAUUCCCAUUCCAGCCCAUUCUCAUUUCUGCCCAUUUCAAUUCCAGCUCAUUCCGAUUCCAGUUUAGUAAACGCAGCAUAAGAGUUAUCAUGAAAAUCAUACAAUUUAAUUUCCUGAAAUAUAUAUUUUAUUCACAUGUGCCAAAAGAAUAAAUAGAUAGAAAGUAAAUUUACAAUCCUCACUCCCUCAUAAUUGUUAAAGUGAAUAUGCAUUACAACUGUGAACUGUCACUACUUUAGCCCUUUAUUUGUUUUUUCAAUUAUAGUGUGAUGGAGACAGUGAACAUUAAGGAUAAAGUGCUCUGCUGAAAGCCAAACUUCCUUUGGCUAAUUAAUUUAGAAGUAAAGCAGAGAAUAAAGUCCUUGAUGCCUUCUGAAAUUAGAAAUACAUUUUAUAUGCUUUAAUUAUGAUUAUUUGGUAGACUAUUGACCAAAAGACAUGUUAAAGUAUAAAACAGAGCGAUUAAAGAAAAAAAAAAGGAGCGUUUGUGACGUAGAAUAACAAUUUGUAAGCAAAGUCCUAAUUUGAGUUGUCAAAAAGCAAACAUAACAGAGAAGGUAAGAGAGAUGCAAAAACAGAAAACUAUUAGCUUAUCUUGAUUUUCCCACUAUAUUCAUUUUCGAUGCUUUUCAAACGAGAUUCUUUUAAUCCUUCUGGCGUCUGCAGCCCCUGCUCUUCUUAUAAAUCUCCUUCCCACAUCUGCACUACGAACAAGUUGACUAAAAUUAAAUAAUGUUGGAGACGAGGGGUGAGCCGUCAACUUAUUAAAAAAAACUCAUGUAUAAUAUUAUCAAUAAUAUAAAAUAUAUAAUAAUUAUUAUAAAGAAUCAUAAAUUAGAAAAAUUAAUUAUUUUACAAUUUAUUUCUUAAGUAAGAUAAAUCUCGUAAUAAGUUAAGUUUAAUGUAAAAAAUAUUUUCAAUUUAUAAUCAUUUAAGAAGUCAUUUAACAAUAAAAUCUUUUUUUUGAUCAGGUGGCCAUGCCAUAGAGUAUCAUCUAUAUUCGUGGUGAUAUUAUUAUUACUCAAUAUCCUCAAAAGACACUAUUUAACAUUUAGAGAAAAUUUCUGCCUUUUAAAAAGAACAUGUAUGCAAUAGCUAGCCACACUUUAUUUUACCACGACAAAAUUGAUAGUGAUUAAAUCAAUUUUCUCAAUUAAAGAAAUUUUUUUUAAAUUGAUUUAAUGCACAAAUAUGAUGAGUUUUUGCAAAAAUUAGUUUUGGAAAAUAUAGUGAGAGAGAAUGGUGACGAUUAUUUUUCAGAUGUGCAAAUAGCCUAAACAUAAUCUCUAAUACCAAUAUCCUUGUGCAUCUUAACACCUUUCAUGAUAUUCUUUCAUUCAUAACCAUUUGUUCAAUAUUUGAAUUUGAUUAUUAAAUUAUGUUCAAUAAUGUUAGAGACCCCAACAAUUGGGUACCAACUUAAAUCCCAAUGCUAUGUGUCAAUGUAACAUAGCAAAAUCCCAUUAACAAAUGUUGUGUCAUUUAUCAUUAUUGAAUGAAUAAUUCGUUAAUUUAUUGAUAAAUGAAAAUUUAUUAAUUUAAAGAGAGAUUUUUUUUUUUGGUUUUAAGAAGAGUUUUGUUGGUACAUGUACAUACUUAUAAAGGAAAAACUUGUAAUUAUACUAUAUCUUUCUUUCUUUGUUCAGUUUGGUGGGAUAUUGUGAUAAAUCAUUGGAUUAAAAUGCAUUUCUAAAUUGAAACUUGUUAAAAUCUAAUUUAUUUGGGAAACGCAUAUUAUUUGUCAGUCGUACUUCUCAACUUAGCAAGUUAUUUCUAACUUGUCGGUCUCUAUUGGUUCUCUUAAAACUAAUAGUCUCGUAUCUCCCGCAUUUGAUAUCUUGCCAUUACUGUUGGCAUUAACAUGUUACCUGAGAUUGGGAUUCAUUAAAAUCCUCAAUGUAAUCGGUGGAACGAAUGGAUUUCUUCUGUUCACCAAUCCACCAAAAUUUCUGUAAUUAAAUUCAAAAGUCAAGAUCUAUGCUUAUAAUCUAUUCAACAGCUAAUAUUCUAUUUUAUAUUUACUUAAAUAUGAAGAGCUAUGCUUGUAGUUAACUUCAAAUGUGAUCGAAGCAGCCUUACAUCUAUAUAUUACUUAUGCCCAACCUUUUUUUUUGACUUCAUAUACAUUCUUUUCAUGUUAUUUACUCUUUUUUCCCCCUCUCUGACAAUUGAGGUAGGGGGUCAAACUUGAAAGUAUCUUAAAAUCAGACAAUAAUUUUUUUUUUUUAAAGAUAGCUACUAAUAUGCUCUAUUAGACAAUGAUAAGUAAUAACCUAGUUGUUUGCAUUAGAAAUGAUAUUUUUUGUGGUGCUGAUAAAGAGGUUGAUUAUGAUUCAACAAUUUAAAAUAUGAAAACAUGUGGAAGACGGCCGCAAUUAAAUUGAUUGUAUGAAAAUAUUUCAAUGAAAUUUUAAAAGUUUAGUACUUGUUAUCUUAUCGAGAGUUUUUUUAAAUUAUAUUACUACUUGAACUUGACUGCUUUUGUAUUGAAUUCCUACCGUUGCCAUUGCUUCUACUCAAAAGCCAUUUAAGUUUGUGUAAGCUACCUAUAGUUUGAACAACAAUUUACUCAUGAAUUGUUGUUCAUAUUAGCAAUUUGAUUGAAAGUGCGGCUGCACUAAUUUUCUAGAUGAAUUUUUUCCUACAUGCUUGUUCUCGUAUGACCCAAAAUCCUACUACAUCAGUUGUAUUAGAAAUUAAUCAACUGGGUUACAAUUAUGCAUCCCCACCAAUAUUUAAGCAAUUUAAUUACAGAAAUAUUUCUUGAGGAAAGAAACUCAUAUCGCCACUAGGCUUGUAAUGAGGCUCAUUUUUAUGAAUCUGGAUGGCAUUAGAUAUCUCUACGAAUAUUGGUGGGAGUAGAUCGCAGAUCUCUGGGCUAUACUACAAAGUUUAUGUACGUUGACUCUCAAUAAAUACAAACGAUUCUCUGAUAUGAUUCAAACAUCAGUGCAUGCAUCAUUUUAAUGAGAAAGAAUAUUCUAAGAACGAAAUUGAAGGUGCAAUCAGCAGCUAAAAUGAAGCCAGAAAUGUACAUGCAUGAGGAAUUUUUCCUAGAAGAUUGAUAUUUCUUUGACUAGCAAACCAUACAAGUCCAAAGCUAGCCAAACCAUACCUGCAAGGUGGGGGUUUAAAUGGAAUACUUCUAAGCAUAAAACAUUGAUUAAAACAGAAUACACACAUACAUACCAGCAAAUUCAAAAUAGCAAGAGGAGUGCAAAAGUUCAAGUUUGUAGACAACAUUGCAACCAUGGCAAGUUUAUAGCAAAUCCUCGAAAUCUGCUAAAUAAAACAAUGCCCUGUCUCAUGAAUCAAUGCUUAAUUAAAAUUGAAACUGAAAGUCUGGCUGACGUUGUUUCCCUCUCCAAUUUUGCCUACAUAAGUGAAAAUAAGAAUAAUAAAUGAAAAUCUGCUUUUACAGUUCUUAUUAGAUAGAUAUAAAUGGAUCUUUCUUUGUUUCUCUGCUGUAUUUUGUGGCUAUCCCACUCUGUUUUGCCAGUCAAGCUGAGUCUAUGUUGAGACAUAAUUUUGACAUCAGAAGCAAUCUCAAUUAGUUUGGCACUUUUAUGACCUCCUUAAAGGUUUUACAAUAAACAUAAAUCUACUGAGAAAGUGGGAAAAAAAAGAAAAUGCAUAUAAAAAUAUGAGUUAUCAGAUAAGAUUAAAACUCACCCAAUUCAAUCCAUCAGAUUCCGUAAGGAUAUAACUGGAUGUCAUACCGCCACUCCAUAUCCUUGAAAGUCCGUAGUGUUUGUCUCAACUCUGUCUGAGGCCAAUGUAAAUUCAAUUUGCGCAAGCUCUUUAUGCACCACAGCUCUUCUGGAAGCUUUCUCAAGUAAGCACAUGGGUUGACGAUUAAGCUUUCAAGUUUCGGCAUUGCUCCAGCCCCCAUCGUCCACUCAUCUAGCCAAUACAUUGAUUUCAGGUGCAAAACCUUAAGUUCGGGAAAGCUACUCAAGCCAACACAAGCAAGCUUUCUUCCUAAAUACGAGUUCUGCUUCAGUUUCAGCACUCGAAGGCGUGGAAGAUUUUCCAGAAUUGGCAUGGGAUCCUCCAUUAGCUCAGUAUUUGAUAAGCUCAGUUGGAUCAGACUUGGGGGAAAUUGGUAUUCAGACAGGACCAUCCGUGAGGGCUUGCUCUCAUUCACCAGCUUCAAGCAUUCAAGUUUGUGGACUUCGCAAAGGCUUUUGGAAACCCCAGAUUGAUAGUAACUCAAAUCUCCAGAUAUCCGAAGAGUCUGAACACUAGGUAGUCUGCCCAAUAUUUCAGGAGUACAACUACUAGGGUUUAAAGCUGAUAUAAAAAUGAGUUUUUUCAGAGAGCUAGAAUAAUUUUUUGGAGGUGCGGGUAGAGUGAUAGAACCAAAGUUUAGAUGUAUGAGUUUUUGCAUCAUCCAAAUAUCCUCUGGUGACUGAUCUAUGUAGCUAGAUGGCAUUUCUAGUGUUUCAAGGUUUAAAAGGGUGCAUAGCAGUGGAGGAAGGCAUUUGAGCGAAGGGAUAUUCAUUUUCAAAUACUUCAAAAGAUAUAAAUUUUCUAAUCCAGGUGGAAAUUGGUCGAGAACUGCAGAACCGAAGUUCAGUACCCGAAGGUGUUUGAACUUUUUACAAAAAUUCUCGCAAUCUAUCACAGCGAGAUGAUCGCCUUCUGAACUUUGAUUGAUAAAAGAUUGGAGAUAGAUCUCACCAUGUUCUAAAGAAAUGAACUCAGUCAGAUGCUCCAAAAUGAUGUACCGUUUAACAUUUGCAAAUGGUUCCGCUUCCCUGUCAGGCAUCCAGAGAAAUUUCGUCUUGUCUGCCAUCAAACCCAAUGAAGUAUAUACAAAACUUGGAACAUAGCAAGCUGUAAUUGUGCCGCCGGCUCUUCUCUUACUCACAUGAAUGAAGCCGCGAUGGAUUAGCUCUUUUAAGUAAUGUUCGGCAGUUUCCUCACCGUUGUAUGGAAUAAAGCCUUCAGCUAUCCACAACUGACAUAAUUGCCUGGUAGAUAUCUCAAUGCCUGGACGGAAGACACACAAAUAAAGGCAGCAGACUUUCAAGUGAAAAGGUAACUCCAACACAGAACAAAUUCGACUCAAGAGUGUCAAAACCACUUUUUCAUCCAUAUAAUUUACUAAUGGGGCACUUCCAUAGUGUAGGAUGAAAAAUUUCCAGGCUUCAUGCUUUAAUCUGAUCAAUGGUCCUCCAACAGGCACUGAAUAAAGCGGAAUGAUCCCUCCAUGCUCCAAUUCAAAAAAGGUAAGGAGGAAUGGAUCAGUGACCAAUAUCAAUACUCUGCUUCCAUUCUGCUUAUCAGGAAGAACUUCUUCAAGAUCAUCCCAUAUGUCACUGUCAUUGAAGACAUCAUCAAGCACAAUAAAGUACUUCUUGUUUGUCAGGUAAUCUCGAAGAAUAGAUUUCUUCAAGUGAUAAUCUUCACCGAUAAUUACCCUAGCCCGAGAUGGAGGCAUUAAAGAAUUGAUUAUGUCAUCCAAUAUCUUGCCAAAAUAGUAGCCUAUAGAAACCCUUACCCAAGCAAGACAGUCAAAAUAGAACUUGACAUGAUUAUUAUUGUAAAUAUCUGCAGCAAAAACAGUCUUAUGGAAGCCAUUGCUGUCGAGAAUUGCAAUCACUGAAAGCCCAGAUGGUCCCUCAAUCAAUAGAUCAAACAACUCCUCUCUGCCCCUUUCAAAUUCACUGACAUCAAGCCAGUGUUGUCCCUUACUCAAUAGGCGAAUGAUUUUGUUACUUUGUUCAGUGAUAUCAAAACCAUUGUCGCUGGGUGGAAGUUGUUGCAUUCGAUCUCUAAUAUCAAUGAUUUUACUGUGGAGUCCAACAAGAAGAGCCAUAUUAGUACUGCUUUCACUUUCGUUUUCACUGUUUUGCUGCUGCAUGAUGUUGAUGAAGAAUGUGUCAAUCGCUUCAUCAGAUUCAUGGACAAAGUGAUUGAUGUCGUCCAGAAUUUCCAAAAUGUCCCGUCUUUUUACGUCUUCAUCAGUGUCUUCUAAGUCUAACAGUUGCAGACAAAGCCAAGCCAUUUCAGCUCCAUUGAGUUGUUCUCUAAUGAUGCGUCGAAUCACACGACGAGUCAUGUCACCUUCAUAGUUCCCGAGCAGAGUAGUAAUAAUUUCAGUCUCCGUAAAAAGGUUUUGAAAAAGCGGGGCUAAGUUUGUUGAAUCAGGCAACGUUAACGUGCCUUCUUCACCUGCUACCACCCUUUUCAACCUCUCACAAAAUAGUCGGAGGUGGACGUCCAGCAUAUCUCCUUCUCUCUGUGGCACCCAGAGGUAUUGUUAUUUGCUCCAAGAAAUGUUAAAAGGAUUGGUCCUAUCUCAAAGAGGUUAGUGGUGUAAAGUUAAACACAAUGGAAGAAUUUGAAAGGAAUAUACCAAGAAACUGUGUAAGUGGCUAAAUUCCACAAAUAUGGCAUUGUUGCUCAUUUUUAACUCAAAAAAAUACACGUUAAUUUAGCGAAAAGUCCAAGACACGUGCUUUUUGAAAAGAACAGGUAUCCCAAUAGGUAUCCAACCUUUAUCUUAAUCAAUUACUACCAUGACAUACUUGAUGGUGCUUAAAUCAAUUUUUCUUUUCUUAAUGUAAAGAUUUUAUUUUUUUAAAACAGAUUUUAAUAUCAAGAAAAAAUAUCACUCGUAUAUCCUUAAAUGACACUUGUAUCAAACGUACUACAACACUUUUAACAUGUAUCACUUGUAUACCUUAAGUUGACAAAUUGUGUCUACCAUCCACCAAACCGUUAGUUGCCGUUUGCAAGCGCUGACAUCAUAAAGGUAAUCUAGUCUUUUCAAAUGGAAGAAACUUUGAUUAAAAAAACGACAUGUCAUCCCAUUUACCUCGUAAAAAAUGACAUAUCAUAUGAUAUAUAUUGACAAAAAAUGACAUGUCAUCCCAUUUAUCGGAAGAUGAUGUCAUCUAUGUGAAACAACGUUGUUUCAACGGGACUAAAAAAAAAAUGAUACUCCACAACCGAAUCGACUCCUCCAAACUUUAACUUGAAUAUUUGAAGAUCUACUCAUCCAAGCUCCAACUGGAAUUUUUUAUGGUAUAAUAUGUUGUUAAUAAUUUUUUAUGGUAUAAUAUGGAUUAUUUUUUAUGGAUAAUUGUUAAUAAUACGUACCAUUAAUAAUUCAUUUUUUAAUAAAAAAUGUAUUGUUAAUAAAAAAUAAAAAAUAUAUUGAAAAUUUACGUUAAUUUUUUGGGCAAAUAUGUAUUUUUACCUUAUUUUGAGUUUCAAGGGCGAAAUAGUCAAUUUGUCAUAAUUCUGUUAACUUUCUAAUGGUAGCUAACAGUUUGGUGGACAGCAGACACAUUUUGUCAACUUAGGGUGUACGAGUAAUACAUGUUAAAAGUGCUGCAAUACGUUUGAUACAAGUGUCAUUUAAAGGUAUAUGAGUGAUACAUGUUAAAAGAGUUGUAGUACAUUUGAUACAAGUGUCAUUUAAGGGGAUAUAAGUGAUAUUUUCCCUAAUAUCAAAUUGCCUUCGAUGUUUUUACAGCUACAAGCUCAGUAACAGGAUUAAUUAAAAAGUUUAGAAUUGUUGGGCGUGCAAAGAGUAGUUUUAAACACCAGAAAGCAAAGGUUGUUAUUGACAUAAUUUUAUUUUUGUUUUCGAGGGAAUUUGUUUUUUUUGUUGACAAGAAAAUAGUAUUAUAUUUUACAAUCUAUUAUACAUAUUUUAUCAUAUUAAAGUAAUUUUAAUAUUAAAUGGAAACAUUAAAUUUAAAUUAAUUAAUUAAAAAUUGAAUUAUUUUGAAUAUUAUGUAAAAAAUUAUUUUAAUAUCAUUAAUAAGGAGAUAUUUUGUUAAUUGUAAAAUAUUUUUAACCCAAAUAUAUAUUAAAUUUUUUAUAAUAAAUACAAAUACAAAUAUAAAAAUAAAAUAAAUAUCAUAGUUUAAAAUUUUAAUGUUAUUUUAAAUAUUAAAAAUAAUUUAAUGCUAUUAGUCUAUUACACAGGUUAUAUUAUAUUUGCAUUAAUUAAAAGUUUUAAAGUCAAUUUUCCAGUUUCUAUAUUCAAAGGUAUAAUGGUUAAAAGAAAGUUCUUGGUGUUUCUUUUUAAAAAUUUGAGGGUCUUAAUGAUAAUUUUUCUAAAUCGUAAGGGUAUAGGUGUCUUUUUUUCCGAUAAUUUAUUUCACGGGUAUCCAAUAAGAAACAUGGUAAGAGAACGUCAAUUACUUAUCAUUUUCUAUUUUUUCUAUGAGUCAUUUAUUUUGAGCAUUAGUGAUCUUAUCUGGACUACUCCAACUAUUGAUGCAACUCCAGUGGCUGCAUCCACAGUUAAAUAUAUGAUAGUGUUAGCUCUUAUUUGAGAAUUUAGAGGGAUCUUUCUUUGUUUCUCUGUUGCAAUGUGCUAGUAUAAAUUUCUUUACCUUAAAAUUUAUAUAGUCUUGCAGUUAAAGAAUUCACUGAGGCAUUGUUGAUUCAAUUUCAGUGAAGCAAUUGUGGGUGAAAGAUAAAUGAAGGAAAAGAGAACAGAGCUGAAGUGCUAAAUUGGCUAUUGAAGAAGGAUGUCACAUGAUCACAAUCACAUUGAUGCACAACUCUCUGGAGGCAAAGUUUGUCUAUAUGUACUCUGAAUUCAGCCAAGCCAUACAUGCAUGAACAAAAAUUAAACCGUAGUUCUAAUCACAACAGUAAUUGAAGCUACAAAAGCCAGCAAAUCUGAACGAAGACUUAAAAGAAAGAUCUUAUUCAAGUUUGUCCCCAAAAGACAGCUGAAAUGAAAAAUAUUGACUGUUGAAUGGGCCAAUGCUGAAUUACAUUUCAAAUGGAAAGCUUGGCAGCAGUUACAAUGUUUCCCCCUCUGAUUUUCCUCCAAAACAAAUUCAGUUGUAAACAAUAACCGAAGUAGUAAUAAUUUAUUCAUCAAAGAAAAUGCCCCCAAGUUUUCAAUUAAAAAAUCCUCUUGUCCAAACUAAAAGAACUCAUAUCUCUAAAAUUUAUUUGCAAAAUGUUGGAAAUGAGGAGUGAUCCGUUAACUCUGUAAAUAAACUCAUGCAUAAUGUUAACAAUAAUGAUAAAUUACAUAAUAAUUAUUAUAGAGAAUCAUAAAUUGGAAACGCUAAUCAUUCUACUAUUAUAUAAGUAAGAUAAAUAUCAUAAUAAGUUAAGUUAUAAUGUAAUAAAUAUUUGCAAUAUAUAAUUAUUUAAGAAGUCAUUUAACAAUAAAAUAUUUUUUUAUCCAGUUGAUCAUAUAGCGUUAUCUAAACUCUUGACAAUAUUAUUAUUACUCACUUUUCUCAAAAAAACAUGAUUAACUUUUAGAGAAAGUCAUGUCUUUGAGAAAGAAUAUGUAUACAAGCUAUCCAUACUUUAUCUUACUGUGACAAAAUUGAUGGUGAUUAAUUGUAUUUUUUAAAAUAGAUUUAACGCACAAAUAAGAUGACUUUUGGCAAAAAUUAUUUUCGGAAGAUAUAGUGAUAGAAAAUAGUGAUGAUAAUUAUUGUUUAAAUGUGUAAAUAGCCUAAGCAUAGCCCGUAAUACCAAUAUUCAUUUGCACCUUGAAAGAAACUUAGUUCUAUAUUGUUUGGCAAGCAAGAAAGUAAAGGAAAAUGAAAGAGAACUCUAAAGAACCUUUUUUAUUAUACUCAGAUAUCUCAACUUAAUGAAUACUGAUUGACAUUUAUACUAAGCUACAAUCUUCACUACACACACGAGUUUGUAACAUCACAUAACCAUUUGCUGCAUAACUAACUUUACACAUCAGCUCAACCAGCUAACUAACUUUGACAGGUCAGCUCAGUGAGUUGAUCUGCUACAACCAGCUACACAGCAACAGCAUGCUCUGCUCCAGCUAUACAGCAACAUCAUGCUCUGUUCCAGCUUUAUCCGCUCUGCUUUGCUCUGCUCCAGCUUUGACAGGUCAGCUCAGUGAGUUGAUCUGCUACAACCAGCUACACAGCAACAACAUGCUCUGCUCCAGCUAUACAGCAACAUCAUGCUCUGCUCCAGCUUUAUCCAAUUCACUAACAUCCCCCCUCAAGCUAAAAUGUUUAGGAUGAACAUUCAGCUUGCUUCUGAAGUAACUGAAUUGUUUGAAAGUAAGAGCCUUAGUUAACACAUCUGCUGUUUGAUCUGGACUAGGCACAUAGCAUACUGCAACCUCUUUAGCAGUGACCUUAUCUCGGAUAAAAUGUAUAUCCAAUUCAACAUGCUUAGUCUUAGCAUGAUAAACUGGAUUAUAAGCUAAAGCAAUUGCUCCUUGAUUAUCACACCACAUUAUAGGAGUGGAGCUUAAUGUGAUACUAAGUUCACCAAGUAAGGAUUUAAUCCAGGUAACCUCUGAAGCAGCAUGGGCAAGAGAUCUAUACUCAGCUUCUGUGCUGGAUCUGGAAACAACAACUUGUUUCUUUGACGACCAGGAAACAAGAUUAGGACCUAGAUAAACAGCAAAGCCAGCCACUGACUUCCUAUCAUCAUGAUCACAAGCCCAAUCAGAAUCUGAAAAACAAUGUAAUUGCAGAGCUCCUUGAUUGUAGAAAUGCAGCCCCAGAUGGAUAGUGCCUUUUAAGUACCUCAAUAACCUUUUACAUGCUUCCCAAUGUUGAGUUCUAGGACUGGAAAGGAACUGACUUAACUUGUUUACAGAGAAGGCAAUGUCAGGUCUGGUAAGAGUAACAUAUUGAAGAGCUCCUAUAACACUUCGAUAUUGAGAAACAUUUUCAAGUGGCUCUCCUGAGUCUUUGGUGAGAUAAAAGCCUGUAGACAUUGGAGUUGGCACAGGACUGCAGUCUGUCAUGCCAUGUUUAUCCAGAAUAUUAGCAAUGUACUUUGCUUGUGUCAAGGAAACCCCUUGUGAAGAUUUGCUGACUUCAAUCCCCAGAAAAUAGUGAAGUUCCCCCAGGUCUUUUAAAGCAAAAGCUUGAUGCAUAUGCUGGAUAACUUGUUGAAUUAUGGAUGGACUGGAACCAGUGAUGAUAAUAUCAUCAACAUAGACCAAAACAACAGUUAGAUGACCACUGUUCCAGGCAUAAAAGAGAGAGUUAUCAGACCUGGAAUGCUGAAAAUGCCACUUGGAGAUCAUUGCAUCCUUAAACCUAUCAAACCAGGCUCUAGGAGCUUGUUUUAAGCCAUACAAAGCCUUAUUUAGCUUGCAGAUAUGAUUAGGUUUAGUUGAAUCAACAAAACCUUGAGGUUGAGCCAUGUACACAUCUUCAAUUAAAAUGCCAUUUAGAAAGGCAUUGUUAACAUCCACCUGCCUUACAACCCAGUGACUCAAUACUGCUAAGCUAAGAAUAACUCUAACAGUGGAGGACUUAACCACUGGACUGAAGGUUUCUGUGUAGUCAAUCCCAUGUGUCUGAUGAAACCCUUUAGCCACAAGCCUGGCUUUAUACCUUGAAACUGAACCAUCUGAGUUAUACUUUACUCGAAAUACCCACUUGUUGCCAACUAUCUUCACUGGAGUAGCAGGUAAGACUAAAUCCCAGGUGUGAUUGGUUUUAAGAGCUAGAUACUCUUCUUGCAUAGCUUUAUACCACAUAGGAUCAGAAAGUGCUUUGGAAACAGAGGUUGGUUCUGACUUCUGAGCUAGUAAAGCUGACAAGUAGAUCUUGGGCUUGAAGAUACCUGCUUUUGACCUGGUUAUCAUUGGAUGACCAGAUGAUGCAGGUUGUGACAAGGUAUGUGGAGGUGAAUGAUGGGAUGGUGAAGAAGGAGAAGAAGAAGUGGAAUUGAAAUUAUCAGAAAAGUAAACUGGAGUAGAAUUUGGGAAGGAAAUAGAAGCAUGUGACUGAGAAUCAUUAAGAAGAUAUUCUGAUGAUGCUGCUAAAGGUGCUUGUAACUGAGUAACAAAAGGAGUAGAAGAAUUAAAAGAAGACUCAGAAUGAGUUGAUGACUGACAGUUUGAAGAAACUGAAGAAAAAUCUGUUCCUGACUCAUAAGGAAAAGAACGUUCAUAAAAGGUUACAUGAUUUGAAAUAUAGACCCUCCCAGAAGAGUGAAGACACUGAUAUCCCUUGUGUUGUGAACUGUAGCCAAUGAAUAUACAUCUAGCUGUUCUGAAAUCAAACUUAUGUCUAUUGUAUGGUCUGAGUGUUGGAUAACAAGCACAGCCGAAAAUUUUAAGUGUUGAAUAAUCUGGUUGGGAAUGAAACAACUUUUGAAAAGGAGAAAUGCUGUUUAGAACUGGAGUUGGAAGUCUGUUUAUCAAGUAGACAGCUGUAUGGAAUGCAUUCCACCAAAAUUUGAGUGGUAAAUGUGCUUGAGCUAAUAAAGUCAGUCCUACAUCAACUAUGUGUCUAUGUUUCCUCUCAAUUUUUCCAUUUUGAUGAUGAAUGUGGGGGCAAGGAUGUCGAAAAUGGAUGCCAGAAGUGGUGAGUAAUGAUGAAAAUGUUCUGAACUCCCCUCCCCAGUCAGUUUGGACAGUUUUGAUGGAAAGUUGAAGAUGCUUCUCAAUGAAUAUUUUGAAAUUGGUAAAAACUUCAAGAGCAUCAGAUUUUGCUGAUAAGGGAAAAAUCCAGGUAAACCUACUGUAAUCAUCUAGGAUUGACAAGUAGUAAUUAUAUCCUUGGGUAGAACAAACAUGAGAAGGGCCCCAAAGAUCUGCAUAUAUCAGUUGUAAAGGUGCUGAAGUUUUUGUUUCUACUGAAUCAAAAUGCAGCAUGUGAUUUUUACCAUAUUGGCAUGCUGAACAAAAUUUCAAACUGUCAACUUUAUUAAAAGCAGUAGAGUUGUUACAAGCUUUGAGAAUGGUUUUGAGAGUAUAAGAUGCUGGGUGUCAUAAUCUUCUAUGAAGAAGAUUUACAUCAAUAGAACCCUUUACAACAACUGACAGACAUGACUUUUUAUUCAACUCAUAAGAGCUAACAGUAGAGAGCUGAGCAGAAUUAAAAACAGGAGAACAAGCAAAAAGAGACUGAAUUUUGUUUUGACCAACUGAACUGAGAAAGACUGAAUGAACAGCAGCAUGAGAAGAGACUUUAUACAAGCUGUUGUGCAAAUUUUAAUGUACUCGCAAGCGCACGAAUCUAUUAUAGUAUAGAUCAAUGGUGACGAGUGUCGAUCCCACGAGGAGGUAGAUUUUAAUUGUGUAUAGAAUUAAUUUUGCAAAUGGUUGAUUGGAUUUGUAGUGGAAAUGAUUAGGAAUAUGCUAAAACUUAAAUUAAAAUGGCGAGAAUAAAUUCUAAAAUUGGAAUUGCAAUGGCGAGAAUAAAUUGAAGAGAAAUGUAUUGAAAUGACGUACUUGGGUAUCUGGAUCCGUAUCAACAUGCAUCAUGGGCUAAAUAAUCCGUAUUAAUGCCAAUUAAAUCAUGAGGGGGGAAUCCACACCUCAUGAACCACGCUCUAAUCAAUAUGGUGCUAAGGGCUUAUCGUGCCAAAUAAUAAUAACCUUAUACUAGAGAGCCGGUGUAACCAAGGCGGUAUCUAGACAAGAUCAGUAUUAUUUGUCGACGAUAAGUCAAAUCAUCCACAAAAACUAGAGGGGAAAAGAAAAUAAAUUUACCAAAUAAAGCCCAUGACACAUGUUGAGACUUCACCUUCAACCCAAGCUUGAAAGGAAAUUAGCUACUCAUAAUUGAACUAGGGGCAAAAUGGGAAUUUAUUAAAAUACAAAGAAAAUACAAGAUGGAGAGGGAAUUACAGAAAAUGGAUCCCAAAAAUGGAUUCAGAGAUAUCAAAUUAGGGGGGGAGGCCCAUUUUUUAUAGAUACAUGGAGUAAAUCAUGGCCAUCGGAUUAAAAACAGUUUGGACGCUCAGGAUUGCGCCACGUCAUCAGUCAACAGUCAACGGUUUGACCACGCGGAUGAACAGUAACAUGGUUUGGUUGAAAAUAAUCCUGUGUGAUGCAUACACCGUACGCGAGAUUUUUCGUCCACUGAUAUGCUGCCACGUCACCAUCAACAGUACAUAAGAAUUUUAGUCCAACAGGAUCGUGACACCUCAUCAGUCAAUGCCACAUCAUCGGUCAAUGCCACGUCAUCGAUCCGUCUAUGUGAACAGUGUCGUGAACAGUAACGUAGACAGUACCGUAUACGUGAAUAGUACCGUACAUGUGAAUAGUGCCAUUUUUCCUUUUAUGCUCCUCCUAAGGUUUUCGACCGUCCUGAGUUCAAAAGUGAUGUCCGUUUUGCCGUCUGAUCUCUCCUUUAUUGUGAAAUGACUAUAAUGCCCCUAAAAUACAUAAAAUACUUAAUUAAAAUAACACACACGUAAUUACAUCACAAGAGGGUUAAAUACAUAAAAGUAAGGGUUGUUAGUAAGACUUGAAACGUAAAAUGACGGUUUUCUCCUUUAUAAAUAUGCAUUUUCUAACACUCAACACAAGCCACCUUUAGCAACACCUUCAAGUAAAAUUUUCCCUGUGUUCCUGGCCUUUAUAAAACACAAAUUACCAAGAAAUUCAACAGUAACUGGAUUGUCAGCCAACAAUUUUGAGAUGCUAAGCAAAUUCUUAGUAAUAAAAGGGACAUGAAGAACAUGGUUAAGAAAUAAGGAUUGAGAAGCUGAAGUAUUUAGCACAACUGACCCUACAUGUGUAAUAGCUAAUGCAUUUCCAUCUCCAACAAAUAACCUUUCAGUACCAGUGUAAACUUUUGAAUCCAGAAGCUUACCUAGAUCAUUGGUAAUAUGAUUUGUUGCUCCACUAUCAAUAUACCAGGAAGGAUCUUCAAUGUGUUCAGGUGGGAGUGAAGAAGACAUAGCAGAGGAGGAGGAAGCACUUGACUGUUCCAGAUUAUUAUGUCCUAGACAGAAACAAAAUUAGAUGAUCCAGGGUUGAAUGAGAAAUAAGCAGAUGGGUUGCUUUCUGGAUAUACUAUAUUUCCUUGAUAGCCAAAACCCCUGGGGGCAUUACCAAAACCAACAUUUUGUCCAAAACCAGCAUUUGAACCAAAACCUCCAAAACCUCUUCCACUAUUACCAUUAAAGGCUCUUCCUCGACCAUAUUGCCCUUGAUUAAAACCUCUGCCACCAUUCAUAUUACCUCUACCAUGGUUCCUCUGUGGAACAAAAGAUGAGUUGUACCUAUUUCUGCAUUUAUAGGCUGCAUGACCAGGUAUGAAGCAAAUUUGGCAAACAACUUCAGAGAAAUUACUAUUAUUAUUAAACUGACCAUAUCCAUAUCCAGAAUUAUUACCACCUCCAGAGUUAUUUCCAUACUGUUUCUGAAAAUUUCCAUUAUUCUUUCCAGCAUAUGAGUUCUUCUGAACAAUAUUUGCUGUCAUGUUAUGCAUCACAUCACCAGCAAUUUUUCCUUUCUUUUGCUCAACUCUAUUUUCAUGAUUCAACAGCAAAGAAUAUAGUUCAUCUAAUGUUAUCUUUUCACCUCGAGCUAACACAGCAGUGACUAAAGAUUCAUAAUCUGAUGAAUCAAGACCAGUUAAUACAUGCAUCACAAGAUCAUUUAACUCAACAGGUUUUCCAGCUAGAGCUAAAGUAUCAGCUAUACGUUUUACUUUUACAAAGUAAUCAGACAUAUGCAUUGCACCUUUCUUAAUAGUUUGAAUCUGCAUUCUAAGUGUUUGAAUUCUAGCUUGUGAUUGAGAGAUAAACAUACUAGCAAGAGUCUCCCAAAGCUGUUUUGAGGUUGUUGAGUCAAUCACAGUAGCAAGCAGAUUUUGUUGUAUCAAUGACAUCAUCCAACUCAGCAGAAGUUGAUCAGCCUUCAUCCAAGCUACGAACUCUGGAUUAACAGAUCUGGAUCCAGAUUCAGUAACAGAUCUGGAUCCAGAUUCAAUUAAGAUUUCAGCUCCAUUGUUGUUGCCAGAAGAAAGAAACUGCUCAGGACAUUCUCGAUCACCAUUGAUAAAACCUUCCAAACCAUUUCCUUUGAUCGAAGCUAGAAUUUGUGUGCGCCACAAAAUAUAGUUGUUUUGAUCUAGCUUUACAGGCGUAACAAAACUAAAAGAGUUGUUGUUUUGAACUGUAUUUGCCAUUUAUGGCUCUGAUACCAUGAAAGAAACUUAGUUCUAUAUUGUUUGGCAAGCAAGAAAGUAAAGGAAAAUGAAAGAGAACUCUAAAGAACCUUUUUUAUUAUACUCAGAUAUCUCAACUUAAUGAAUAUUGAUUGACAUUUAUACUAAGCUACAAUCUUCACUACACACACGAGUUUGUUACAUCACAUAACCAUUUGCUGCAUAACUAACUUUACACAUCAGCUCAACCAGCUAACUAACUUUGAUAGGUCAGCUCAGUGAGUUGAUCUGCUACAACCAGCUACACAGCAACAGCAUGCUCUGCUCCAGCUAUACAGCAACAUCAUGCUCUGCUCCAGCUUUAUCCGCUCUGCUCUGCUCUGCUCCAGCUUUGACAGGUCAGCUCAGUGAGUUGAUCUGCUACAACCAGCUACACAGCAACAGCAUGCUCUGCUCCAGCUAUACAGCAACAUCAUGCUCUGCUCCGGCUUUAUCCAAUUCACUAACACACCUUCAUUUGUGUUAUCACAUUUCAUGAUAUUCUUUCAUUUAUGACCAUUGUUCAAGAUUUUAAUUUGAUUAUAAACUAAGUUGCAAGGGAGCUUACUUCAGUUUCUAAGCUUUUCAAUCGUGAUUCCUGCAUGCCAAACGUAACUGACCUUAUAAUUGGUCUGUAUAAGAAAUCAAGCCCUUUCAGGAUCGUUUUCUUUUUCUCCCUAUUGUAGUAGUCAACUAAAUAAAGAAUGAACAACUAAACUUGGUCUAUUUCGAGGAAGACUAAGGCUUCCAAUACUAGAUGAACUUUGAAGAAAAUUAAUCCGUUGUUUUUAUUCAUCUUUGGACUAUGAAUUUAUACAAAGACUUUAACAGAAAAUAACAAAGACACAGCUAAAUGAUAGCAAUAAGUGCUGACUUGGUGGACCACUUCUGCAAGUAAAUAAAAACUAAAUAUUUAUUUUGACUAUAACAACAACUACGCUGAUGAAUAGGAUUUCACAGCAGCCACGUGACAACUAAUUUCUCCUUAAUAUUAUUAUUAGUAGAAGUAGAUUUUAAAACUAGUCUUGAUAUAUUUCAAAGUUGUAUUAUCAAUGUAUAUGUGUCUAGAUUGUAACUAUAUUUUAAAAAAUAUAAAAUUUUUAAUUAUUGCACAGUAUAUGUAGCAAAAUAUCUAUAGAAUGAUAUUAUUAGGACUAAGAUUUUUUUUUAUUUUAGAUAAGUUAUUUAUUUAUUAUCGAAUGAAUAAUUUAUUAAUUUACUGAUAAAUGAAUAUUUAUUAAUUUAAAGAGAGAUUUUUUUGGUUUUAACAAGAGUUUGUUUGGUAAAUGUACACACUUAUAAAGAAACAUAAAAAGUGGUUCCUCAAGUCAAUAGUAUUUGCUUCAAUCGCAAUGGUUCAUAAUAAUAUAGCAUAGUUAGGAAAUUUGUAAUUAUAUUAUGGCUCUGUUUGGUAGUAAAACUCAUUUAAGUAGAGUUGUUGUUAAUAGAGCUUUUAUAAAUAAAGCUUUUACUAAAAAAAAUUUAGUUGUUUGCUUGUCAAUGUCCAAAUUGAUAAACUUUUGUUCUUUUGUUAAGAUAUGUUUGUUUUACUUAAUAAUAGCAUCGGCAAGAGUUUUCGAUUGUUGCAACUUGCAAUGCACGCGGUGAGAGAAAAUGAGAAUCUUGUUUAAUUGUCAAUAUAUAAUGACAAACCUAAUCCUUUCAUUAGGAGUAAUUUAAUAAUCGUUUGUUAUAACUGAAUAUGUAUAAAGAAAGGAAAAUUCUAUUCAUAAAUUUCGACUUAUUUUUUGUUUAAAGUAAUUAAUCAUUCAACCAUCUUCAUUUGCCUCUGGCCAAUGCCCUUGUAGAUUAGUUUACUUAAUUAUGAUUAUAUACAUUUUCAUAUAGCAAGUGGCAUUGUAGAUCUAAACUAAGUUGCUAUUUCAAUACCAGCAAAUUCAAAAUAGAAAAGGAGUGCAACUAUUCAACUUUGUAGACAAUAUUGCAACCAUGGCAUAUUUAUAGCAAAUCAUUGAAAUCUGCUAAAGAAAACAAUGCCCUGUCUCAUGAAUCGAUGCUCAAUUAAAAUUUAAAUUGAAAGUCCGGCUGGUGUUGUUUUCCUCUCCAGCGAAAUAAGAAUCAUAAGUGAAAAUAGGCUUUGACAGGUCUUAUUUCUUUGUUUCUCUGCUGCAAUGUGUGGUUAUCCCACUCUGUUUUGCCACUCAAGCUGAGUCUACGUUGAGACAUUAUUUCAGUAUUGAGGUAACAAUAAUUUCGGACUCCGUAAGAAGGUUUUGAAAAAGUGGAGUCACAUUUGUUGAAUCAGGCAACGUCAACGUGCCUUCUUCACCUGCUAACACCCUUUUCAACCUCUCACAAAAUAGUCGGAGGUGGACGUCCAGCAUAUCUCAUUCACAUUUGUUGAAUUUGCAUGGAAUUUGCAAGGAGUAUGCCAAAGAAUUUGCAAGGAAUAUGCCAAGAAUUUGCAAGGAAUAUGCCAAGAAACUGGCCAACCCGCUUAGCUUAAUUCCACAAAUAUGACGUUAUUGCUCAUUUUUCUCUCAAGCACAUAAUACACGUUCUUCGAGACGCGUGCCUUCUGAAAAGGACAGGUAUCCAACCUCAUCUUAAUUACUACCAUGACAUAAUUGAUGGUUGCUUAAAUCAAUUUUUUCUUCUUUUUUUUUUUUAAUUUAAAGAAUUUUCCCUUAAAAAAAAUUUAAUAUCAAAAUGCCUUCAAUGUUAUUACUGCCGAAAGCCAAACUUCCUUUGGGUAAUUAAUUUAGAAGUGAAGCAGAGAAUAAAGUCCUAGAUGCCUUUUGAAAUUAGAAAUACAUUUUAUAUGCUUUAAUUAAUCAAUUCACUGAGGCAUUAUUGAUCCAAUCCCAGUGAAGUAAUUGUGGGUGAAAAAAAAAUAAAGUGCUGAAUUGGCUACUAAGAAAGAGUGUCACUUGAUCACAAUCACAUUGAUCCACAACUCACUCGAGGCAAAUUUCAUCUAUGUGUACUGCAAAUUUAGCCAAACCAUACAUGCAUGAACAAAAUUAGGCCGUAGUCCUCAUCACAACAUUAAUUGAAGCCACAAAAGCCAGCAAAUCCAAACAAAAACUUAAAAGAAAAUGCUUGGUAUAGAGAAGCACGAGAGAAAGACGAGAAAAACAAUGAAGAAAGUGGUAGAGAGAGAGUGAGUGGGUAGAGAGAGAGCAAAAUUCUCUCGUCUUUCUCUCGUGCUUCUCUCUCUCUAUCACUACUCAAACUUAAAAGGAAGAUCUUAUUCAAGUUUGUCCCCAAAAGACAGCUGAAAUGAAAAAUAUUGACUAUUGAGUGGGUCGAUGCUGAAUUACAUUUGACAUGGAAAGCUUGGCUGCAGUUGCGAUGUUCCCCCUUCUGAUUUUCCUCCAAAACAAAUUCAUUUGUAAACAAUAACGGAAGUAGCAACAAUUUAUUCAUUAUAGAAAAUACCUAAAUUUUCAACUAUCAAAUCCUCUUGUCUAAACUAAAAAACUCAUAUCUCUAAAAUCUAUAUACAAAAUGUCAAAAACGGGUGAUCUCUCAAUUCGAUAAAUAAAUUCAUGCAUAAUGUUACUAGUAAUGAUAAAUUACAUAAUAAUUAUUAUAAAGAAUCAUAAAUUGGAAACAUUAAUCAUUUUACAAUAUAUUACAUAAUAAAGAUAAAUUUUAUAACAAGUUAAGUUAGAACAUAUCAAAUAUUUUCAAUAUAUAUAAUUAUUUAAGAAGUCUUUUAACAAUAAUUUUUUUCUUUUUCAGUUAAUCAUGUCAUAUACCGUUAUCUAAAAUGCUGGCGAUAUUAUUAUUCCUCACUUUUCUCAAACAAAAAAGAAAAGAAAAAAGAAACAUGAUUAACGUUUAGAGAAAAGUCACGCCUUUUAAAAACAAUAUGUAUACAAUAGCAAUCCAUACUUUAUAAAAUUGAUGGUGAUUACAAAGAAAAAUUGUUUAAAAUAGAUUUAAUGCACAAAUAUGAUGACUUUUGGCAAAAAUUAGUUUCGGAAAUGUUGGGAUGAAAACCAUAUUAAUUGAGAAUUAAAAUUACUUAAUAAAAUUACUUAACUACCAUCUAAUAGAUGAAAACCAUAUCAAUUGGGACUUAAAUUAAGAUUUAAAUGUUGAAAUAUCUAGCAUUACUCACAAUAACCAAUUCAAAUUAUGACUAUCAUGUAGAAGCAAAUGUUUAUGCUUGGGUUUUUUACUUCUUGAAUUUGAUUGGAAAAAUUUCUGAGAUAGAGAAGUGUUUUGGAUAAUUUUUUCGGGAUUGAAACCACAAAUUGGUAGAGGAAAUUAAUUUUGGACAAAUUUUUCUUAUAUUGUAGGACCUUCUAGUUGGAGUAGUGAUGGCUUUGUCUUCAUUUUUGGUUCCUUUUGUGUCAGCAACCCCUUACUAUUCUCUUGACCCUGAGUUUGAGAUAGAAAUUUAUCAACCUCCAACCCCACAUCCACAAACAAGUUGAUUGAAACAAUUACUCUUUUAAUUAAGAGGACCCAAAUGAUUUAGGUUUCAGUUCUUAUCAUUUGUCUAUUAUUUCUUUGAAACAUUUAUUUUGAGCGUUACUGAUCUUAAUUAUCUGUAUUUCUCCAAUUAUUGAAGAAUUUCAAGUGGCCACUUUUUCUCCUUUUUAUAUAUGUUUAUUUUUUGGAGUGAUCAAACGGGUGAAAAAUCAAGUAUUCGCUGGUCUGUAGUUUAGCCAACGAUGGCUGAUCCACACAGUUGAUUAUAUGAUACUAUUAGCUCUCAAAAUCUUUCUUAUUUGAGAACAUAAAUUGCCCAUUGAAGUUAAACUAUGUUACCCAGCUCCAUGCACAUACAUUAAAUGUUUAGGUAGUUUUACAAAAUGAUAACAGCAUGCCAAAACUUGAUGUUGUCAUAUUCGACAUUUCAAAUUGAAAAAUAUGCAAGCAAUCUUCAGUGACCAUUACGUUUUUAUUGAAUAAUUUAAAUGGCCAGUAAAUCAACAGUCCGUGAGUUUUAAAUCUGUUAUGACUUAAUGUAUCUUUCUGUAUUCGUACACAGGUUAUAUUAUCAUAGUUUAAAAUUUUAAUAUUAUUUUAAAUGUUAUAAAUACUUUAAUGCUAUUAGUCUACUACACAGGUUAUAUUAUUUAUAUUAUAUUUGUAUUAAUUAAAACUUUUAAUGUCAACUUUCUAAUUACUAUAUUGAAAAGGUAUUAUGGUUAAGAAAAAGUUUUGGCAUUUCUUCUAAAAAAUUUGAGGGUAUGCAUGACAACACUACAAGAAAAAUGACCUACCAUGACAGUCCUCUGUGUGACAGUUUUUGGUCUGCAGAGCUACUACGAUAGAUGGAUGAUAAAUUUUUUUUCUAUCAUUCAUUUAUGACAUACUUGUGAUAGAAAUUUCAUCUAUCAAGCACUUAUGAUAGACUGAUGAUAAAUUAUUUGGUUAUCAAGAAGUAAUGACAAGUUUGUGAUAUAAUUUAGAUCAUCAAGUAGCUUUUUUAUUUUGACUUUAUUUCACAAGGUUGACUGAAAAUUUUAAAAUGAAUGAAAAAAAUAAAUAAAGAAUAAACGGUACCGUUUGGAUUAAAAGUUUCUCUUUGGACAAGAAACGACACCGUUUAGAUUGAAGCUAAAUAAAAACAAAACCCUCUUCAGUUUUCACUAAUCGAAUUUUUUUUCCCUAAGUGUCGGCACUCUCACUCACUCUCGUCUCUCGCUCAGUCAUUCUCGUCAAUCUCACACUCACAAAGCCCUUUUCACCCGAAAUCCUUGCAUGGGCACUGAACCACUGCCGCCAUUCUCUUGUAUUUGACUAUCAAUUUUGGCUCUCACCGAGAACUAUAUGGAAUACCCACCAAACGCAUGUGCUUCUACUAUUGAAUUUCAAUACCCUAACUGAGAGCCCACGCUCACCCACUAUUGUAACCGUUCGAUCAAUACAGGUAAAUAAUAUUUCUAGUGUUGUGUUCCAUUUCAAUUUUAAUGUUCUUGUCAAACUCGAACCCUAUAUAUGUAAACUUAAAAACCCUAGAUGUGUUCUUGUCAAAUUCGAACCCUACACACCUAAAUCUUGUAAAACCUAGAUGUUUUCUUGUCAAAUUUGAACCCUGUACGUGUAAAACUUGAAAAUCCUAGGUGUGCUCUUGUUAAAUUUGGAUCUAUUUGAUUGGUCUUCUAUGUUUCUUUAUUUAUGGAAUUUUAAACAUUUAUUUGAUUUUUUUGGAAUUUAAUUAUUAUAGUUUUAUUGUUAAAUUAAUUUGAUUUAGGCUGUAAAGAUCCUUGCCAAUUUAAUCGUGAUGGGUGUUGGGAUAUUGUCUAGGCUGCUUUAUCUUUGGGGUUUUCUAAUAACUAAUUUUUUUUUUUCACUUUUUUGUGGAUGCAUGGAACUAUAUAUAUAGAUAAUUCUCAAAUUCGUUCACUGUGAUGCAAAGUCUUUUUUUUUUCAAUUUCAUUGGUUAAAUUCACUAAUUCGUUGAAAUUAGUGGUGAUUGUGGGCCGAGUCGCAUGUGCAGGAAGUGGUGUCAGGUCUGGGCGCACAUUGAGUCAUGCACUUGGUGGGCAAUUGGUAUUGUUUCUAUUGUGUGUGUUGGAAAUAAUGUCAAUAUCAUCCAACCAAUGUGUGUUUCUAGUGGCUGUUUUUGCACCGAGCAGAUAAUUUAUUAUUACAUCAGAGUUCCCCAUCCCUUGUUUCUCUUUUGGGUAAUGCAGGUAUUGACUAGUUCAUUUCCAUUUUCAUUUGUCUUGAGGGAAUGUUAUCAAUUUUUCGAUCUUACAAGAUAUUGAUUGAUACAUAUGUGUACAAUACAUUAAAAAUCAUUAAACAUUUUGCUCUUAGUUACAAUUUUGAAUGAAUGUCACAUGGAAAGAUCCUCUAAGAAUAUCAAUAGUAUUGUGGUUUCUACUCAAUUUCCACUCUCCGCACUCAUAUGAGCAUGGUUUGAAUCUCAAGCCUUUUGUACCAUUCAAAAAUUUAUACCAAUUAACAACAUAGCUUGCUAGCACCACAAAUUGUUUCAACUCCAAGGCAGAGAAUUCCUAGAAGAUAUAUACAUAUUGAUAUAUACUUGCAUGUAGCCGUAUGCUCACUACCUUCGAAUUGGGGAUAUAGUCACUAUUUUUGUAUUCCCUCCAAGUGUUUGAUAAAAAGCAUGAAUGAAUCUUGGCUCUUUAAUUGUUGCAGGCCAUUUCUACCUAUGAGGAGCAAAGGAAUAUGAAGCUUAUUAUAUUCAUUCACAAAGCAAAGCUGAUAUAAUUCAUGGCAAAGCUUGAUGAGGUGUUGUAUUUAAUCUUGCUCAUGAGAUCAAUUACCUAUCUUGUUGGACUUUAUUCUUGUAAUUAAGGUCCAUCCAAAGUUGAUGGCUUGUUUGUCAGAAAGAUAAUCUGAAGGCUAUGAUUGAUUACUUGCGGGCCGAUGGAAAUGUCUCCAUGAUUGGUUUAUGAGGUUGUUAAAUUACUAAAUAGGUAUAUUUACUUUUCAUGAGCUUUAUCUUCGUUUUUCCAUUAUGGAAAUGUCUCUAUGAUUGUAACUUUUAACACGUGGAACUCUUGAACCCUAUGUUUAGUUAUAUACUUAUAUUGGGACUUGUAUAAAUUAAUAUGAUGGUUUUAUUAUUAUUAUUAUUAGUAGUAGUAGUAGUAGUAGUAGCAGCUACAAAAGAUCAAAAGAACUUAAAGGUGUGGCUUGUGGCUUUCUUGCUGUUUGGGCUUUAACUGCUGCCUCACUUGUCAUUGUUGCUAAUCUGGUGUGCCACGUCCAUUUCAGUGUAAUUACAUAAGUUAGUUUGCUUGAUUAAUUAAUUAAUUAGUUAGCGGAUUGAAUAGCCAGAGUACUACAUUUUGCAUAGGUCUGAUGCUGGAUGAAUUUUCAUGUCUUGGCUUUGGGGCUGCUGGAUUUUGCUGCUGGAAGACUAGAUUUUGCAAUUUUGUUGCUGGAAGACUACAUUUUGUGUAGGUUUGUUGCUGGAUGUUGCUGAAUGCGGAGUACUUUGCUUGGUUUUGGAUUGGCCUUUGUUGUCUAUUGGCUCGACUUUGGAAUAUGGAUUAACUAAUGUAAUGUACUUUGGAUAUUUUUAUGGUUAAUAAAGUUCACUAAUUUAGUUCAUUAGUUUUGGAUUUAAUUGCAUUUAGUAAUUUAUUUUCUUUCAUAUAAUUUUAAUAAUUUUAAUAAUUUUAAUUUUUAAAUUUCAUAAUUUUUAUUUUAAAUUAAUAAAUAAAAUAAAUAAUCAAUUUUUUCAAAAAAAAUGUGAUAGAAAAUACUAGUCAUACACACAAUUGAUAUCCCAAAAAAAAAUACAAUCCAAAAAUUUCUAAAAAAAUGAAAAUAUAAAAUAAAAAAAUAAUUUCCCUCUUCUAAGUAGUAUGACAUAAUUAUGAUAGGUAAAAUCUAUCACAACUUGUGACGCGAUUUUAUCUGUCAUCUUUUCUUGACGCUGACUAUAAUGACAGUAAGGAUAACCGUCAUCUACCCCCUAAGAUGACAGUUUUUACCUAUCAUAAUAGGUCAUUUUUCUUGUAGUGCAAUUUUUCCAAUUCUAAGGGUAUAGGUUUGAAAAUUUAACGUUAUUUAACUUAAUGAAACAAAAGGGGAAACCAAGAACUAUUCAAUUUUGUAUUUUUUGUUUGUAAUUCAAAAAAUACAUCCACCAAACAAGUUUUACACAUUAAUGCUGUCAUAAAACGAAAAACAGUUUGCCAAAAAAUGGUACCGUCACAUGAUUUCUUAGUAAGUCCAUAUUAGAUAUAUUUAUACAUUUUAGGUAUUUUAGUUAUAAAAGAAGUUGGUCCUCCCCCUAUUUAUAAAAGAUAACUUUGUUUCGAUAUUACCACUAAACUCUUACAUAGAAUUAGUGUAAUGUUAAGAGAGAGUAAUGCGGUUUUCCAUUACCAUCUUUGAAAAUAGAAAGAUAUGGAUGCGUGCAUUUAAGAGUCAUCGUGAAAAUCAUACAAUUCAAUUUCCUGACAUAUAUAUUUAUGCACGUAUGCCAAAAGAAUAAAUAGACAGAAAGUAAAUUUAUAGUCCUCACUUCCUCACAAUUGUUAACGUGGAGAUGCAUUACAACUGUGAACUGUCACUACUUUAGCCUUUUUUUUUUUUAAUUAUAGUGUGAUGGAGACAUUAAGGAUGAGCAUAAUAGUUAAAGAUGACUCAUUUCUCAUUUUCUUUUUAAAGUGCUCUGCUGAAAGCCAAACUUCCUUUGGCUAAUUAAUUUAGAAGUAAAGCAGAGAAUAAAGUCCUAGAUGCCUUCUGAAAUUAGAAAUACAUUUUAUAUGCUUUAAUUAUGAUUAUUUGGUAGACUAAAGACCUAAAAGAUAUGUCAAAAGUAUAAAACAGAGCGAUUAAAGAAAAAAGAAAAAAAAAACAGAGUAUUUGUGACGUAGAAUAACAAUUGGUAAAUAAAUCCUAAAUAUUUGAGUUGUUAAAAGCAAAUAUAACAGAGACGGUAAGAGAGAUGCUGAAACAGAAAACUAUUAGCUUAUCUUGAUUUUCCCACUAUAUUCAUUUUCGAUGCUUUUCAAACGAGAUUCUUUUAAUUCUUCUGGUGUCUCUUAUAGAUCUCCAUCCCACAUCUGCACUACGAACAAGUUGAUUAAAAUUAAAUACUGUUGGAGAUGUGGGGUGAGCGGUCAACUUGGUAAAAAAACUAUGUAUAAUAUUGUUAAUAAUAUAAAAUAUAAAAUAAUAAUUACAAAGAAUCAUAAAUUAGAAAAAUUAUUUAUUUUACAAUCUAUUUCUUAAGUAAGAUAAAUCUCGUAAUAAGUUAAGUUAUAAUGUAAAAAAUAUUUUCAAUUUAUAAUCAUUUAAGGAGUCAUUUAACAAUAAAAUCUUUCUUUUUUUGAUCAAUUGGUCAUGCUACAGAGCAUCAUCUAUUCGUGGUGAUAUUAUUAUUACUCCGUAUUCUCAAAAAACACGAUUUAACAUUUAGAGAAAGUUCCUACCUUUUAAAAAGAACAUGUAUGCAACAACUACCCAUACUUUAUCUUACCACGACAAAACUAAUAGUGACUAAAUCAAUUUUCUCGAAUAAAGAAAAAUUUCUUAAAAUUAAUUUAAUAUACAAAUAUGAUGACUUUUUGCAAAAAUUAGUUUUGGAAAAUUAGUGACAGAAAAUAGUAACGAUUAUUGUUUAGAUGUGUAAAUAGCCUAAACAUGAUCCCUAAUACCAAUAUCCACGUGCAUCUUAACACCUUUCGUCAUAUUCUUUCAUUCAUGGUCACUGGUUCAAGAUUUGAAUUUGAUCAUUAAAUCAUGUUCAAUAAUAUUAGAGAUCCCAACAAUUGAGUACCAACUUAAAUCCCAAUGCUAUGUGUCAUUAACAAAUGUUGUGUCAUUUAUAAUUAUUGAAUGAAUAAUUCGUUAAUUUAUUGAUAAAUGAAAAUUUAUUAAUUUAAAGAGAGAUAUUUUUUUUUUGGGUUUUAAGAAGAGUUUUGUUGGUACAUGUACAUACUUAUAAAGAAAUAAACUUGUAAUUAUACUAUAUCUUUCUUUCUUUAUUCAGUUUGGUGGGAUAUUGUGAUAAAUCAUUGGAUUAAAAUGCAUUUCUAAAUUAAAACUUGUUAAAAUCUAAUUUAUUUGGGAAGCGCAUAUUAUUUGUCAGUCGUACUUCUCAAGUCUCAACUUAGCAAGUUAUUUCUAACUUGUCAGUCUCUAUUUGUUCUCUAAAAGCUAAUAGUCUCGAAUCUCCCGCAUUUGAUAUCUUGCCAUUAUUGUUGGCAUUAACAUGUUACCUGAGAUUGGGAUUCAUUAAAAUCCUCAAUGUAAUCGGUGGAACGAAUGGAUUUCUUCUGUUCACCAAUCCACCAAAAUUUCUGUAAUUAAAUUCAAGAGUCAAGAUCUAUGCUUAUAAUCUAUUCUAACAGCUAAUAUUCUAUUUUAUAUUUACUUAAAUAUGAAGAGCUAUGCUUGUCAUUAACUUCAAAUGUGAUCGAAGCAGCCAUACAUCUGUAUAUUACUUAUUCCCAACCUUUUUUUUUGACUUCAUAUACUUUCUUUUCAUGUUAUUUACUCUUUUUUUCCCCUCUCUGACAAUUGAGGUAGGGGGUCAAACUUGAAAGUAUCUUAAAAUCAGACAAUUUUUUUUUUUUUUAAGAUAGCUGCUAAUAUGCUCUAUUAGACAAUGAUAAGUAAUAACCUAGUUGUUUGCAUUAGAAAUGAUAUUUUUUGUGGUGCUGAUAAAGAGGUUGAUUAUGAUUCAACAAUUUAAAAUAUGAAAACAUGUGGAAGACGGCCGCAAUUAAAUUGAUUGUAUGAAAAUAUUUCAAUGAAAUUUUAAAAAUUUAGUACUUGUUAUCUUAUCGAGAGUUUUUUUAAAUUAUAUUACUACUUGAACUUGGGUACUUGUUAUCUUAUCGAGAGUUUUUUUAAAUUAUAUUACUACUUGAACUUGGCUGCUUUUGUAUUGAAUUCCUAGCGUUGCCAUUGCUUCUACUCAAAAGCCAUUUAAGUUUGUGUAAGCUACCUAUAGUUUGAACAACAAUUUACUCAUGAAUUGUUGUUCAUAAUAGCAAUUUGAUUGAAAGUGCGGCUGCACUAAUUUUCUAGAUGAAUUUUUUCCUACAUGCUUGUUCUCGUAUGACCCAAAAUCCUGCUACAUCAGUUGUAUUAGAAAUUAAUACUGGGUUACAAUUAUGCAUCCCCACCAAUAUUUAAGCAAUUUAAUUACAGGAACAUUUCUUGAGGAAAGAAACUCAUAUCGCCCCUAGGCUUUUAAUGAGGCUCAUUUUUAUGAAUCUGGAUGGCAUUAGAUAUCUCUCCGAAUAUUGGUGGGAGUAUAUCGCAGAUCUCUGGGCUAUACUACAAAGUGUAUGUACGUUGACUCUCAAUAAAUACAAACGAUUCUCUGAUAUGAUUCAAAACAUCAGUGCACGCAUCAUUUUAACGAGAGAGAAUAUUCUAAGAACGAAAUUGAAGGUGCAAUCAACAACUAAAAUGAAGCCAGAAAUGUACACGCAUGAGGAAGUUUUCCUAGAAGAUUGAUAUUUCUUUAACUAGCAAACAAUACAAGUCCAAAGCUAACCAAACCAUACCUGCAAGUCCGGGGCUUAAAUGGAGUACUUGUAAGCAUAAAACAUUAAUCAAAACACAGUAUAGACACACACACACACCCCUACAUACAUACCAGCAAAUUCGAAAUAGAAAAAGGAGUGCAACUAUUCAAGUUUGUUGACAAUAUUGCAACCAUGGCAUAUUAAAGCAAAUCCUUAAAAUCAGCUAAACGAAACAAUUCCCUGUCUCAUGAAUCGAUGCUCAAUUAAAAUUGAAAUUGAAAGUCCGGCUGGUGUUGUUUCCCUCUCCAGGUUUGCCUACAUAAGUAAAGGGAAAUGAGAAUCAUAAAUGAAAAUCUGCUUCGAUCACUGUUCACAAAUCACUGUUCACAAAUCCCUAAUUCAAAAAUUACUGUUGAUUAUCGUUUUACAGCAGCGCCUCAGCUCCAGCCUUCACCCCGCAACGCAAGCAGCAGCCAGCGCGAACCAGUCGCGCCCAACGCAAGCCCCAGCAACCCAGAUUGUUAGCUCCAGCCGCGCGCAACGUAGCUGAGCAGCAGCAGACCAGCAGCGCGAACCAGCUCUCGCGCGCAACACAACGCGAACGCAGCAGUGCGUAGAUGCAGCCCAGCAACGCAGCGCGAACCAGCAAUGCAGCCUCACCAGCGCGCAACGCAAGCCCCCGCACGCGCAGCACCAGCAUCCCGUUUCUCGCAGCGCAGCAGCGCGCAACGCAGCGCAGCACCCGCAAAGCAAGCCUCACCAGCGCGCAACGCAAGCCCGCAACGCAGCAACGAGCACGCCCUGCAACGCAACCAGCUUACGCCUUGUAUUCCAGCCGGGUAAAUCGAAAUCCGUGAGUACAAUUAUUGUAACAAUGCCGAAGAGGAAAGCAUCCACUUCCAAGUCAUCGAAAAAGACACCCAUCGCAAAGAAAUCUAAGAUUGCCGCUCCCACUACGGUUCCAUGGAACACAAUUUCAGAUUCACGCCAAGCCGUGAGACAAAGAUCGAAGCAUGGAAAAGGCAUGAGUAUUUUGCCACUUGCGGAAUCCAAUCUCGAAGGGUGCCUUGCAUUCGCGACUCAACAAGAGAAAGAGAGGUACAAAGAUAUUUCCACGGGCAAAAUACUUCCAGCUAAGAAUUUUUGGAUAUGUCUAUGUUUGAAAGAACAUGUGUGGUUGAAUUCAAGGAGGGGAGAUUUCAGUUUACUGAACCAGGACCCACUCAACUUCCGAAGAAGCUUUAUGCUAGGAGUGGUGCUACCUCUGAUGACGAGUUUGACGACGACACUGCUGCCCCGCCAACUAUUCCUUCUACAUCCGCACCACCUUUGAGCAUUCAAUUAGAGAAAAUGGAGCACAAGCUGAACAAGAUGGAGCAGAAUUUGGCCGCAUACUUCGAGAGUGUGGGAUUUACCCCACCAUUUCCGCCAAGCCCAUAGACGUUAUGUGGAUCAAAGCUCACAAUUCAGGGAAGUUUCUUUUUGCCCUUAAUCCUUUAUCCUUACGCUUUAAUUUUUAUGUGAGCUUUGAUUAUCUUACAUUGGGGACAAUGUAAGUUCUUGGUGUGGGGGAGGGAUUUUUGCAUUAUUGAUGUCUGGAAUUAUUGUUUUCACUCUACUUAUUUUUUUUUUUCACUCUACUCAUCCUUAAAUGAUUUUGGAGUUAGUAUGCUUUAUAUAUUAUUAUUUUUUCUUUUCUUUUAUUUCUCACAACUUUUUUUUUCCCAUCUAUCUCAAAUUAUUUACAUCUAUUUUUAUUCUAUCAUACUGUUUCAUCGCUCACAUUUUAUCUUUCACUUUUCAUCUUUCUCACUUCUUAUCAUUUUUACCUUUCCUUUUAUAUAUCACCCAUACCUUCUUCUCAUUCUACACCACUAUUGAUGGUUGAUUCAUUUGAAGAGUGUACAUGAUUUGAUGGCAAAUUUACCAACUUUGUGAGGAUUUGAGCCUAUGAGCAACCACUUUGCUCUAAUAUUUUUGUUAUGUGAAUAUCAAUCUUAGUUUGUUUAUUCUAGAACUUGCUUUGUUAUGCAUGUUGAAGCCGCAUUACGGGAUUUUAUGCACUAAAAUGAUAAGGGCAAACCCUUUUCCAUUUUUCUAUUCUCGCAUUUUUUUUCUCUACCCGAAGAUCUUUAUUUGCUAUCUUUGUUUGAGCCUUAACAAUUACCCAUCUAAUUCUCUCCGUCUACUUAACCAUUUUUCUUCUUUUUUUUGAGCCUCAAUUUAAGGAGAUUUUUGGACUCAUUGUGUGGAUAUAUUUUGUUGCUUUUUCUACCUUGUAAUAAAGUUUCUCAAUUAGAUCAACAAGCAUUAUGCUUGAAUUAAAUUGUGCAAGGUUCGUUUCUUUUGUUUGAUUCAAAAACAAAAACAAAAAAAAAAAAACAAAAAACAAAAAAAAAAAAGAAAAAAAAAGAAAAAAAAAAAGAAAAAGAAAAAUCACAAAAAAAAAACAAAAAAAAAUGUUUACAUUCUUGGUGACUUAAGUAGAAAUAAGCAUUUUGAUAUCAUAAGUUCAUUCAAUGAGUUCAUUUUUCUCGUUUUAAUCUCUUUUUCUUUCGUAAACCUUUCUUUUUCAUUUAACCCAUUUAACCCCAUUACAACCCUCUUAAGACCCUUAGAUUUUUGCAUUUUAUUCAUGUUUUGUGGAUUGAGAUGUGAUAUAUGAGCAAGCUUAUGGUAAUAGCAUUCUUUGAUUUGAUUUGAGUGGAUAAAUGACACCCUAAAAACUUUGAGUGCAUGGAGUGAAGUUAUUGAGAGGGCUAUUAAAUCUUGUUGCACUUGAAUUUUGAAUGGAUCUCCUUGGUGGUUGAAUGUUCUUAUUCUAUCUUAUGAAAUUCUAUGCUUUAAAAUCCUUGUCUCUCGAAUGUUAAUCGACUUAAUUUCUUGAGGUAUGCUUUCUUAAAAUUGUUUUUGGAUGAGUUGAGAUGAGAAUUGAGUGGAGAUUUGAGAUUAAUCUUGAGUUAUAUGCUUGAGGACAAGCAUCAUCUUGGUGUGGGGGAAUUUGUUAGAGUGCAAUUUAUGCACUAGUUUUGCAUUGUUUACUUCCCUUAAUAUCGAUGUUUUACACUUAAUAAUAAUGUUUUACUUGUGUUUUACUUUUGUAGGUGCAAUUCUAUUGAUUGGUGAUAAAAUUGAGCUAAAAGAUGAUGUUUAAGGAGGAUUGUUCUCUUGGAGAAAUUAUGAGCGUCGAAAGAACUUUGUUGAUAAGGCGUGGGCGCGUGCUGUCAACUGCGGACCUGCAGUUUUUAGUUUAACGUGUUUUGUAUUUUUGGUUAUUUUUGUAAUUACGAAUUUAAUAUUUCAGAUAUUAGUAUUUUAUUUUAAAUAGAAUUCUAAAAGAGAAGAGAGAGAGAGUAUUUAAGGGAGGAAUCUAUUGUGAAAAGGGGGAUUUGGAUUGGAGAAAAAGAAAGAAACCCUAGAUCUAAUUUUUCUCUUCUCUCUAUGAAGAACUAAACCUAUUUUUCUGGUUGAAGGAUAAUGACGCUUUGAUUCAUCACUACUGUGAGAUUUUUCUUAUGCUUUAAUUGUUUUAUUACUUUUUGGGUAUUUGUUUAUUCUCUGAAUUAGUUUCAUGAUUAUGUUUGUUAAUUAGGUAAUUGUCCACUAUUUAAUUAUCAACUUAAUCUAUUGUCAAUUAAAGGAUUCAUCGUAUGAAGAAUUUAAUGUUUGUGACAAAUAACAUAGCAGAGAGUUGUGUUGUGAGAAUAAACAAUCUAAUUUAAAUGAAUCAUCAUAUGUGUUGAUUAGGAUUUGGGUCUCUCUGGUUUUUCAGGCUGUCAAUUGAUUAAAUCCUAUGAUCGUAUCAAGGGUUGUCUAUUGAUUAGGGAAAUAUCCAACGGUCGUACCUUGGUUAUCGACUAGUUAAGGAGAGAUUGGCUAUUAGAGGGUCUCAAUAGCUAUAACCGGUCUAUUCAUAAGUAAUAAUAAUAUAUAUUUGAAUCAAUGAUCAGUAGUCGAAUCAAGCUGAGUUAAUUCCUUCAACCAGAGCUUUCUCCAAUUUGAAUUACAACUUUAAUUUGCAUUUUGUAUUUAAUUUGAUUUUUAUUAUUGUCUACAAUUCCCCCAUUUUAUGUUUUACGUUUCAAAAGGAUUUAAAUAAUUACCGAUCUCUGUGGACACGACCCUGCUCAAUCACUAUACACAAUUUAUUUAGAGUAGGAAUUUAUUUUUGUUGGCUUCGACACCCAUCAGUUGAUUUGUGUUGUUUAUUGCUAGAUUUCGCAUAAUUGUUUGCUGAUUACUAGAACUGGCUCUGUUUGGAUCUGAUACCAUGUUUAAAAACAUAAAAAAUCACUGAUCAGUUUGUUUGGUUGCUAAGAAAAUUUGCUCUGUUUGCUGAGAAAGUUUCAAAGAAGAUUCUCGAUUUUUUUUAUUUCAUCUUUCUUACUUCACGAAUGAUUACAAACACACCUUUUAUACACAACUCAACUAGCUAACAGAAAGAAAGCUACAAAACAGAAUCUCAGUAAGCUUAACUAAUUUUGCUGAGCUGGCAUUACACACUUAACUAACUUCGGCUAACUAAAUUCUCACAUGUGCUAAGCAUGAGCAGACUGUUUGUACACAUUAUGUGCUUCUUUAACACAAUGGAGUUUUAAAAAUUUGGUACUUGUUAUCUUAUCGAAAGUUUUCAAAAUUAUAUGAAUGUUCAAACUUAGCCCCUCCCGGCACUGCCACUGCUUCUACGUGAAAGUCAUUUAAGUUUGUGUUAGCUGCCUAUAGAUUGAAUAACAAUUUUACUCCGGAUUUUUUGUCCAUUAUGAAAAUUUGAUUGAAAGUGCGGCUGCACUAAUUUUCUAGAUGAACUUCCCUACAUGUUUUUUCUCAUAUGACCCAGAAUACUGCUAUAACAAUUGUAUUGGAAACUAUUCAACUGGGUUACUAUUCUACAUCCCCACCAAAAUUUAAACAGUCGACAUUGUGGAAAGAAACUCAUUUCGCCACUAGGCUUUUAGUGAGGCUAAUUUCUCUGAAUUUGGACAGAGUAGAUUUCUAAGCUAAUGCUUGGAAGAUCUCUGGCGAUAUUACAAAGUGCAUGUACAUUGAGUCUUAAUAAAUAUAAACGAUUCUCUAAUAUGAUUCAAAACAUCACUACAUGCAUAAGUUAAUAAGAGAAAAAAUUAUAAGAUUAUUUAUGCAUCACCAUUUAUAGUUGCACCCUCUCUAAUGAAAUUGAAGGUGCAGCCAGCAAUUAAAAUGAAGCAGAAAUGUACAUUGACCCUUAAUAAAUAGAAACUAAGGCGUUAUCGAUUCAACUUCAGUUGAUCAAUUGCGGGUGAAAGAUAAAUAAAGGAUAAGAGAAUAGAGCUGGAGUGCUAAAUUGGCUAUUGAAGAAGGGUGUCACAUGAUCACAAUCACAUUGACGCACAACUCUUUGGAGGCAAAUUUUGUCUAUGUGUACUCUAAAUUCAGCCAAACCAUACAUGUAUGAACAGAAUUUAAACCGUAGUUCUCAUCACAAUAGUAAUUGAAGCUACAAAAGCCAGAAAAUCUGAACAAAAACUUAAAAGGAAGAUUUUAUUCAAGUUUGCCCCCAAAAGACAGUUGAAAUGAAAAAUAUUGACUAUUGAAUGGGUCAAUGCUGAAUUACAUUUCAAAUGGAAAGCUUGGCAACAGUUACAAUGUUUCCCCUCUGAUUUUCCUCCAAAACAAAUUCAGUUAUAAACAAUAACUGAAGUAGGAAUAAUUUAUUCAUCAAAGAAAAUACCCUAGUUUUCAACUAACAAAUCCUGCUAUCCAAAUUAAAAAAACUCGCAUCUCUAAAAUUUAUUUGUAAACUGUUGGAAAUGAGGAGUGAUCUGUCAACUCCGUAAAUAAACUCAGGCAUAAUAUUAAUAAUAAUUAUAAAUUACAUAAUAAUUAUUAUAAAGAAUCAUAAAUUGGAAACGCUAAUCAUUCUACAAUCUAUUAUAUAAGUAAGAUAAGUCUCAUAAUAAGUUAAGUUAUAAUGUAAUAAAUACUUUCAAUAUAUAAUUAUUUAAGAAGGCAUUUAACAAUAAAAUAUUUUUUUUUCUAUUCGGUUGAUCAUAUAGUGUUAUCUAAACUCUUGACGAUAUUAUUAUUACUCACUUUUCUAAAAAAAAAACAUGAUUAACGUUUAGAGAAAAGUCAUGCCCCUUAAAAAUAAUAUGUAUACAAGCUAUCCAUACUUUAUCUUACCAUGACAAAAUUGAUGGUGAUUAAAUCUACUUUUAAAAUAGAUUUAAUGCACAGAUAUUAUGACUUCUGGCAAAAAUUAGUUUUGGAAGACAUAAUGGUAGAAAAUAGUGAUGAUCAUUAUUUAAAUGUGUAAAUAGCCUAGGCAUAGCCUGUAAUACCAAUAUCCAUUUGCCUUUAUUUGGAUUAUCACAUUUCAUGAUAUUCUUAUAUUUAUGACCAUUGUUCGAGAUUUGAACUUGAUCAUAAAUUAAGCUGCAAGAGAUUUUACUUCAGUUUCUAAGCUUUUCAAUCGUGAUUCAUCCAUGCCUUUCUUGGAUACCAUUAUGUUACGUGCCAAUGUAACUGACCUUGUAAUUGGUGUGUAUAAGGAAACAUGCCCUUUCAAGAUUGUUUUCUUUUGUUUCCUUAUUGUAGUAGUCAAAUAAAUAAAGAACGAACAAUUGAACUUGGUCUACUUCGAGGAAAACCAAGGCCUGCAAUAUUAGAUGAACUUUGAACAAAAUUAAUCUACUGCUUUUAUUCAUCUUUGGACUAUGAAUUUAUACAAAGACUUUAACAAAAAAUAACAAAGACACAACUGAAUGAUAGCAACAAGUGCUGACUUAGCGGACUACUGCAACAACUAAAUAAAAACUAAAUAUUUAUUUUGACUGUAACAACAAUUGCCCUGAUGAAUAGGACUCCACAGCAGCCACGUGACAACUAAUUUCUCCUUAAUAUUAUUAUUAGUAGAAGUAGAUUUUCAAACUAGUCUUGAUAUAUUUCGAAGUUGUAUUAUUAUCAAUGUAUAUGUAUCUAGAUUGUAACUAUAUUUUAAAAAAUAUAAUUUUUUUAAUUAUUGCACAGUAAAUGUAGAAAAAUAUCUAUAAAAUAAUAUUAUUAGGACUAAGAAAAAAAUAUUAUUUUAUAUAAGUUAUUUAUUUAUUAUUGAAUGAAUAAUUUAUUAAUUUAUUGAUAAACGAAUAUUUAUUAAUUUAAAGAGAGAUUAUUUUGGUUUUAAGAAGAGUUUGUUUGGUACAUGUACACACUUAUAAAGAAACACAAAAGGUGCUUCCUCAAGUUAAUAGUAUUUGCUUUAAUCGCUAUAGUUCACAAUAAUAUAGCAUAGUUUGGAAAAUUGUAAUUAUACUAUGUCUACGUUUGGUACAAUUUUUCAAGAAGAACUUAUUUAAAUAGAGUUUUUGUUAGUAGAACAUUUAUAAAUAAAAUUUUUACUGAAAAAAUUUAAGUUAUUUGGUUGUCAUUGUCAAAAUUGAUGAACUUUUGAUCUUUUGUUAACAUGUGUUUUUUUUACUAAAUAAUAAAUGUUAGGUUACAAUUAUUUUCAAUAGUUUUUGAAGGAAUCAAGUUAUGAAAUUUUUAUCAAUGAACUUUCAAUAUGUCAGCAUAUGGUCUGUAAAAUUUGAGAGUUUUCCAAUGAGGGAAUAAUUUAUUAAAAAUAAGAGAAUAUGGAUUGUUCUGUUUUAAGGGCCGAUUAUUGAGGACAUUUGAGGUUGAGCUUAGGAGAUGUUUAAAUUGAGAUAUUUGAGGACAUUAUGUUAGCCUAAAGGGCUACACAUAAUGUAAUUUUGAUGAUAACAAACAUGUGUCUUAAGUAAAAAUAAUAAAUAUUGUAUUUCACAUUUUCACUAGUUUUUGAAGGAUAAUAUUUAUGCAAGUGAAUCAAGUGAAAUCAAGAUUGAAGAUACUCAACGGACAACGGCGACAUCAAGAAUAUAGUUUAGAGCUCAAUGAACAAAUUAGUGCGAUAAAUUCUUGUAAAGCCGGUAUGAUUUAAUUGAUGCAUGAUUUAGCAUUUGAGAAGCUCAAGAGAUUAAUUUAAUUAAAUACUUUUCAUAAACUAAAAGGUUUUAUUUUUAUAAAGUAAAGUAUUUUGUGGAUUUGAGUAAUUUGGACUUAAAUGCUAAGAUUUGAAAUCUUUGAUUUUAAUAAGUAUUAAAUUUCGGAGUUGGACGUUUUGAUAAACAUUUGAAAUGUUUUGGGUCAUACUAUAAUUUAUAAAUAUUUUGGACUAAAGUGAAAGGUUUUGAGAACUUUGAAAAAUAUGGGUAUUAUGUUGAAAAGGACCUUUGUGCGAACUAAAAAUUUCUUUGGGGCCAUAUCAUAAUUUCAGAAAGUUUGGGAAGACAACUACUCUUAGGAAGUUCUGAAAUUGGACCUAUUUGCAAAGUUUUAUGACAUUUUGAGCCAUAGUAUAAUUAUAGAAAGUUUUGAGCCAAAGUAUAAUUUUAGUGAACAGUGUUACUAUAGCAAUUCAAAAAUAACGGUAAUAUCACUGUUCCUGAGCGGCUAGCCGGAUAAAUCAAGCGGCUAACUGCUUGGGCGAGGGAAUUUGCCUAUAACGGCUAGUUUUCAGGCUUUAACUAUAAAAACUCAGCUCAAACUUCAUUCUAAGUACUAAUGCAUGCAAAUAUAAGAUCAUACAACAUAUAUUGAGCUUCCAAAAUGCAAAUCAUCAUUGAUUGAAUCAUUGUUGAGCUAUUAGUUGCAUAUCCACUCUUAAAGAGAGUUUUUGUUGUAAUUUUCAUUUCUUAUCAAAUUGUGAGUGUGUGAGUGUGUAAGUGUGGGAAACACUUGGGGUGAAGAGAUUGGGGAGAUAAUCUCUUGGUUGUAAAGGUUCAUUGACACCUUGGAAGUCAAUUGUAAAAACUUGAACCCUUGAGAGGCUUGGAUAGUGAAAUCCUCGAGCAUGGUUGGCUUGGAGGCGUGGACGUAAGCAGGGAUUGCCGAACCACGUAAAAAUCCGCGUGUUUGUUUCUCUCUUCCCUUGCUCUUUUAUUUUUACGCUUGUUUGAAUUUAUUGUUCUCUAUUUCAUUAAGGCGUUAGAUUGAUUUAUUGUGCGAAUUGUAUUGCAUUAUUUUUAAAAACUCAAUUCACCCUCCCUCUUGGGUUGCAUUACUUGCAUUUACAUUAGAGUUUAUGAUUGAGACUCGAUUAUAUCUUAUGAGAAAUUUAUUGAUGAUUUUAGGUUGAUGAUAACAGUACGCAUUUGUUACAUGAGGAUGCCAAGAGGUAAGUAAACUAGACUUAAAAACGAAUCACAAUAAACAAUAUAUAUGUUUGACUUGUAUGAAAAGUCUAUUUUGAUAUGUACGAAUAUAGAUUUAUAUGUCUCUACUCAUGUGUUUAUGUGAUGUGUUGUUAUGUAUUGGGCGUGAUUAUGUACAUAGGCAUAUGUAUGUGUGAUGGUUCAUUGUCAUGAGCACGAAAAUGCAUUGAGUUUUCUAUGAAUGAAAAGUGGAUUUUAGCAAAUGAGAUUUCUCUUUUAUGAGAUUUUGCAUUGGGGGCCACCUCUUGAGGGCCAGAGUGCCGCAAAGUACCACGCACAACACAAAGUGCCACAUUGCAGGAUACGUAUUUUAUUGAAAGGAAAUAUGAAAGUUUGAAAGCGACAGAAAGAGAUUUUUAUGAAUUUGUUUUACAGUAUUUCCAAAAGAUCAUGGCAUAGCAUCCAUCUACAUUAUGUAUAAGUAUGCAUGUUUGCUUAUUGAGUUUUGUACUCAUUAUAGUUUAUUAUGAUUCAGUUUCCAGAAGUCAGGAUUGAUUCGUGAUGAGUGAGAAGAUGAAUUUAAAUUGAGGAUGGUAGAUGGUUUGGCUAAAUUUUUAAGUUAUUCCGCUGGCUUUUGUAUUCGAGGCUCGAAUUUUAUCGGUUGUAAAGAGUUAUUUAAAUUCAUAUGUGAGUUGUAGUCAGAUUUGCCCUCGGAGUUCGGGUUGGGGCGUUACAGAUGCAGAAACAGAAAACUAUUAGCUUAUCUUGAUUUUCCCACUAUAUUCAUUUUCGAUGCUUUUCAAACGAGAUUCUUUUAAUCCUUCUGGCGUAUGCAGCCCUUGCUCUUCUUAUAAAUCUCCAUCCGACAUCUGCACUAGGAACAAGUUGAUUGAAAUUAAAUAACAUUAGAGAUGACGGACGGUUGAGCCGUUAACUCGGUAAAAAAACUCAUAUAUAAUAUUACUAAUAAAAAAAAAUAUAAUAAUCAUUACUAAGAAUCAUAAAUUAGAAAAAUUAAUUAUUUUACAAUCUAUUUCGCAAGUAAGAUAAAUCUCAUAAUAAGUUAAGUUAUAACGUAAAAAACAUUUUCAAUUUAUAAUCGUUUAAGAAGUCAUUUAACAAUAAAAUCUUUCUUUUGGUCAGUUGGCCAUGCCACAGAGUAUCAUCUAUAUUCGUGGUGAUAUUAUUAUUACUCCGUAUUCUCAAAAAACUUGAUUUAACAUUUAGAGAAAAUUCCUACCAUUUAAAAAGAACAUGUAUGCAGCAGCUACCCAUACUUUAUCUUACCCCGACAAAAUUAAUGGUGACUAAAUCAAUUUUCUCGAUUAAAGCAAAAUUUUCUUAAAAACGAUUUAAUGCACAAAUAUGAUGACUUUUUGCAAAAAUUAGUUUUGGAAAAUAUAGUGAGAGAAAAUAGUGACGAUUAUUGUUUAGAUGUGUAAAUAGCCUAAACAUAAUUGCUAAUACCAACAUCCACGUGCAUCUUAACACCUUUCGUGAUAAUCUUUCAUUCAUGGUCACUGGUUCAAGAUUUGAAUUUGAUCAUUAAAUCAUGUUCAAGAAUAUUAGAGAUCCCAACAAUUGAGUUCCAACUUAAAUCCUAAUGCUAUGUGUCAUUGACCAAUAUUGUGUCAUUUUUUGUUAACUGGGUGAUGAAUUUCUAGUUGAUAAAAUUACUUAAAAAUAUCUUAAAAAUCAGAUAAUAGUUAGCUUAAUUUUUUGAAGCUAACUGCUCAAGAUGCUCUAUUAGAAAUGAUAACCUAAUUAUAUAAAAAAAAAAAUGAUGUAUUUUUUUCGGUGUUGAUAGUGAGAUUAUCAUUCAACAUGUUAAAAUAUGAAAACAUAUGGAAGAAGGUUGUAAAUUGAUUGAAUGAAAAUAUUUCAGUGAAGUCUAAAAAAUUUGGUACUUGUUAUCUUAUCGAAAGUUUUCUAAAUUACAUUCGUGGCACUGCCACUGCUUCCAUGUGAAGGUCAUUAAAAUUUGUGUUAGUUACCUAUAUGUUGAAUAAUAAUUUUAUUCAUGAAUUGUUGCUCAAUAUAGCAGUUUCUAGAUGAAUUUUCCUACAUGUUUGUCCUCAUAUGACCUAGAAUGCUGCCAUAUCAAUUGUAUUGGAAAUUAUUCAAGUGGGUUUGUGCUCUAUACCCCCACCAAAAUUUAAGCAAUCUACAGAACAUUCCUUGUGGAAAGAAACUUAUUUCGCUACUAGGUGGGAGUAGAUUUCUAAGCUAAUGCUCGGCAGAUCUCUAGGCUAUACUAAAAAGUGUAUGCACUUUGACUCUCAAUAUAUACGAGUGAUUCUAUGAUAUGACUGAAAACAUCAGUACAUGCAUGAUUUUAUAAGAAAGAAUAUUCUAAAAUUAUUUAUGUAUCACCAUUUGAAGUUGUACCCUCUCGAAUGAAGGUGCAAUCAGCAACUAAAAUGAAGCCCGAAAUGUACACGCGUGAAGCAGUUUUUCUAGAAGAUUGAUAUUUCUCAAACUAGCAAACCGUACAAGUCCAAAGCUAGAAAAAGGAGUGCUUCUAAGCAGAAAACAUUGAUUAAAACAGAAUGCACACAAACAUACCAGCAAAUUCAAAAUAGAAAAAGGAGUGCAACUGUUCAAGUUUGUGGACAAUAUUGCAACCGUGGCAUAUUUAUAGCAAAUCCUUGAAAUCUGCUAAAUAAACAAUGCCCUGUCUCAUGAAUCAAAGCCGAAUUAAAAUUGAAAUUGAAAGUCCGGCUGGUGUUGUUUCCCUCUCCAGUUUUGCCCACAUAAGUGAAGGGAAAUGAGAAUCAUAAACUAAAAUCUGCUUUUACAGUUCUUAUUAGAUAGAUAUAAAGGGAUCUUUCUUUGUUUCUCUGCUGCAAUUUGUGGCUAUCCCACUCUGUUUUGCCACUCAAGCUUAGUCUACGUUGAGACACAAUUUUGACAUCAGAAGCAACCUCAAUUAGUUUGGCAUUUUUAUGACCUCCUUGUACGUUUUACGAUAAACAUAAAUCUACUGAGAAAGUGGGAAAAAAAGAAAAUGCAUAUAAAAGUAUGAGUUAUCAGACAUGAUUAAAACUCACCCAAUUCAAUCCAUUAGAUUCCGUAAGGAUAUAACUGGAUGUCAUACCGCCAUUCCAUAUCCUCGAAAGUCCGUAGCCUCUGUCUCAACUCUGUCUGAGGCCAAUGUAAAUCCAAUAUGCGCAAGCUCUUUAUGCACCACAGCUCUUCUGGAAGCUUUCUCAAGUAAGCACAAGGGUUGACAAUUAAGCUUUCAAGUUUUGGCAUUGCUCCAGCCCCCAUCGUCCACUCAUCUAGCCAAAACAUUGAUUUCAGGUGCAAAACCUUACGUUCCGGAAAGCAACCAGGGCCAACGCAGGCCAGCUUUCUUCCUAAAUACGAGUUUUGCUUCAGUUUCAGCACUUGAAGGCGUGGAAGCUUUUCCAGCAUUGGCAUGGGAUCCUCCAUUAGCUCAGUAUUCGAUAAGCUCAGAUGGCUCAGACUUGGAGGAAAUUGGUAUUCAGACAGGAUAAUCCGUGAGGGCUUGCUCUCAUUCACCAGCUUCAAGCAUUCAAGUUUGUGCAGUUCGCAUAGGCUUUUGGAAACCCCGGAUUGAUAGUAACUCAAAUCUCCAGAUAUUCUUAGACUUUGGACAAGAUAUUCUUAGACUUUGGACAUUUGGUAGUCUGCCCAAUAUAGCUGGACUGCAACUACUAGGAUGUAAGGCUGAUAAGAAAAUGAGAUUUUUCAGAGAGCUUCAAUAAUUUUUUGGAGGUGCGGGCAGAGUGAUGCAACCGAAGUUUAGAUGCAUGAGUUUUUGCAUCAUCCAAAUAUCCUCUGGUGAAUGAUCUAUGUAGCUAGAUGGCAUUUCUAGCGUUUGAAGGUUUAAAAGGGAGCAUAGCAGUGAAGGAAUGCAUUUGAGCGAAGGGAUAUUCAAUUUCAAAUACUUCAAAAGGAAUAAAUUUUCUAAUCCGGCUGGAUAUUGGUCGAGAACUGCAGAACCCAAGUUCAAUACCCGAAGGUAUUUGAACUUGUCGCAAUCUAUCAGAGCGAGAUGAUCGCUUGCCGAACUGUUAUUCAGAAAAGAUUGGAGAUACAUGUCAGAAUGUCCUAAAGAUAAAAACCCAGUCAGAUCUUGGGCAAUGACGCACCGUUUAACAUUUGCCACUGGCUCCUCUUCCCUGUCACGCAUCCAUACAAAUUCCGUCUUCUCUGCCACCGAGCACAGUAAAGUAAAUUCAAAACCUGGAACAUAAAACGCUUUAAUUGUGCCGCCGGCUCCUCUUACUCACUUGAAUGAAGCCGCAAUGGAUUAGUUCUUUCAAGUAAUGUUCUGCCGUCUCCUCACUGUUGUAUGGUAUGAAACCUUCAGCUACCCACAACUGAUAUAAUUGUCUCGUAGAUAUCUCAAUGUCUGGACGGAAGACAAACAAAUAGGUGUAGCAGACUUUCAAGUGAAAAGGUAACUCCAUCACAGAAUAAAUUUGUCUCCAAAUUGUCCGAAUCGCUUAGGCUUGAAGAUAAUUUUCUAAUGGCAUACUUCCAUAGUGUAGGAUGAAAAAUUGCCAGGCCUCAUACUUUAAUCUGAUCAAUGGUCCUCCAACGAGCACAGAAUCAGGCCGAAUCUUCUCUCCAUUUUCCAUUUCCAACGACACAAGGAGUUCUGGAUCAGUGACUGUUAUCAAUACUCUGCUUCCAUUCUCAUUAUCAGGGAGACCUUCUUCGAGAUCAUCCCAUAUCUCACUGUUAUCGAAGACAUCAUCAAGCACAAUAAAGUACUUCUUGUUUGUUAGGUAAUCUCGAAGAAUAGAUUUCUUCAAUUGAUAAUUGAAAGAGUUUGUAUAUAGUGUUUGGUUUAAGAGAAACUAACAAGAAAAUAAAAGAAAAUCAUAAAGAACCAGAUCUGAAAAUGAUCAUAUUCUCAUUUUUUGACUAAUGAUUACAACUUGUUAUUUAUAGUAAAGAUCAGAGGCGUCACGUAGCUUGUCAGUUUGUUGGAUCUAAUAUGCAUGCAGUACAGUUCGUUAUCUUUGCUGCUGAGCUGGAUAACUAACUCAACACACGUAAGCAUCAGCAGCUCCAUUUAAUCAGAUGCUCUCAUCUAUACCAUAUUAUCAUACUCUAUAACAUCCUCCCUCAAGCUGAACUGACCUGGAUGGACAUUCAGCUUGCUUCUUAGAUAGUGAAACUGAUUGAAGGUUAGUGCCUUGGUAAGAACAUCGGCAUUUUGGUCUUCACUGGGAAUGAACUGAACUGUAAUUUGCUUAGCUGUUACUUUGUCUCUGAUGAAGUGAAUAUCAAGCUCAACAUGCUUAGUUUUAGCAUGAUAAACAGGAUUGUGAGCUAAAGCUAUGGCACUUUGAUUAUCACACCACAUUAUGGGGGCUGUGACAAGAUGAAUAUGUAGCUCUUUCAGUAAGGACUGAAUCCAAGUAACCUCAGCUGUAGCUUGAGCCAAAGCUCUGUAUUCAGCUUCAGUGCUUGAUCUGGAAACUACUGCCUGUUUCUUAGACGACCAAGAAACCAAAUUUGAACCAAGAUAAACAGCAUAACCAGCCACUGAUUUGCGAUCAUCCUUAUCACAUGCCCAAUCUGAGUCACUAAAACAAUUUAUCUGCAUAGUGCCGUAAUGAUAAAAAUGUAAUCCAAAAUGAAUUGUUCCUUUCAAAUAUCUAAGAAGCCUCUUACAAGCCUCCCAGUGCUCUGCUGUUGGUGAAGCUAAAAACUGACUAAGUUUGUUUACAGAGAAAGCUAUUUCUGGCCUAGUGAGAGUCACAUAUUGUAAAGCUCCAACUGCACUUCUAUAUUGAGAACUAUUUGAAAUAACACUUCCUGACCCCUUUGUAAGAUAAUGACCAGUGGCCAUGGGAGUAGGAACUGGACUGCAGUCAGCCAUAUUGUGUUUGGCUAGAAUAUCAGCUAUGUAUUUAGAUUGAGAGAGAUAAAUUCCAGAUGCUGUUUUGGUAACUUCUAUCCCAAGAAAAUAACUCAAUUUGCCCAGAUCCUUCAAAGCAAAAGCAUUUUGCAUAUUGGUAAUCACUUGCUGCACCAUUUGAUCACUUGAGCCUGUUAUGAUUAUAUCAUCCACAUAGACAAGAACAAAAAUUACUUGAUCACCUAUCCACUUGUAGAAAAGGGAGUUGUCUGACCUUGAAUUUUGGAAACCCCAUUUCACAACCAUAGCAUCUUUCAGUCUCUCAAACCAUGCCCUGGGGGCUUGUUUUAAACCGUAGAGAGCCUUUUUCAACUUACAGACAUGAAGAGGUCGAGAUGGAUCAAUGAAGCCCUCUGGCUGCCCCAUGUACACAUCUUCAACUAAUAUGCCAUUCAAAAAGGCAUUAUUCACAUCCACUUGUCUGAGCUCCCAUUUAUUCAUAACUGCCAAACUUAAAAUAACUCUGACUGUGGAUGCUUUAACAACUGGACUGAAUGUUUCUGUGUAAUCAACUCCUUGUGUCUGAUGAAACCCCUUAGCCACUAACCUGGCUUUGUAUCUAGAAAUGGUUCCAUCAGCAUGAUAUUUUAUCUUGAAUAUCCAUUUGUUACCAACUACCUUAACUGGUUCACUUGGCAAAACCAGAUCCCAUGUAUGAUUAUUCUGAAGUGCUUGAAAUUCUUCUUGCAUUGCCUUAAACCAUUUUGGAUUAGAUAAAGCAGCUGAAACAGAAGUAGGUUCUGAAGGUAUGGCUAGUAAAGCAGCUAAAUAAGAUUUAGGCUUAAAUAUACCAGCCUUGGAUCUGGUUAUCAUGGGAUGACCUAUAGGUGGUGCAGCAGGUAAUAUAUGAGGAGGAGAUUGUGUAUGAUGUAUAGGAUGUGUAUGUGAUGUCAAAGUAGAAGAUGAAGAGGAGGUUGAAGAAGGAGAGAAUACCUGUGGAGUGUCAGCAGGUAGGUAAUCACUUGCUAGAGAUUGUUGCAGGGGGGAUUGUACUUGUGGGAUUGGAACAAGAGUAACUUUGGACUCUGAAGAAAUAUCUGAGGGACUGCAAGACUGAGCAAUGGAAGAGAAGUCUAAUCCAGAUACAUAUGGAAAAGAUUGUUCAUCAAAGAUGACAUGAUUGGACACAUACACACGACCAGAUGAAUGAAGACACUGAUACCCUUUAUGAGAAGAGCUAUACCCAAUAAAAACACAUCUGUUUGAUCUAAAACUGAGCUUGUGUCUGUUAUAAGGUCUGAGAUAAGGAAAGCAAGCACAACCAAAGACCCUAAGAGAGACAUAAUCUGGUACUUGCUGAAAAAGUUUUUGGUAAGGUGAAAUGUAUUCAAAGUUGGUGUGGGUAGUCUGUUAAUAAGGAAUACAACAGUAUGAAAGGCAUUCCACCAGAACUUAAGUGGUAAAUUAGCUUGAGCUAACAGAGUGAGGCCAAUGUCCACUAUGUGUCUAUGUUUUCUCUCAAUUCUUCCAUUUUGAUGAUGGAUAUGUGGACAAGGAUGCCUGAACUGAAUUCCAAACUGAGUGAGAUAUGAUGCAAAGGUUCUAAACUCCCCUCCCCAAUCUGUUUGAACUGUUUUGAUGUGUUGUUGUAAGUGUUUUUCAAUAAAAGAUUUGAAUUCUGUGAAAACUUGGAGUGCAUCUGAUUUGGCAGUCAAAGGAAAAAUCCAUGUGAAUCUGCUAAAAUCAUCUAAAAUGGACAAAUAAUAUAUAUAGCCUUGAGUGGAUGCAACAUGUGAUGGUCCCCACAAAUCAGCAUAUAUAAGUUGUAAUGGUGCUGUUGUUUUUGUUGGAAUAGAUCCAAAAUGUAAAAGGUGACUUUUACCAUGUUGACAGGCAUUGCAAAAGUUUGGAGUUUUAUUGAGUACAUUGAAACUAUUACAAGCUUUCAAUACAGAUUUGAGUGUGUGUAAGGCAGGAUGUCCUAGCCUUUUAUGGAAAACAUUGACAUCGACUGAGCUAGUAUUGACAGCCAAGGCUGAUUUACACAGCAAAUGAUGAGACAAAGUACUCUUACUUAUUUCAGGAGAAAUAUCACUAGACAAAGGAGAAUGAAAAGCAAACAAAGACUGAGGUUUAUUGGAAGAAAGUUGACAAGACAAGGCUGAGCUAGUUUCAGAGACUUGAGCUGCAGAUUGGACUUGAUACAAUCCCCCUGUUGCAAUUCCUCUAAGCAAAGUGAUCCCUGAGUUCCUGGCCUUGACAACACAGACAUUUGCAAAAAACUCAAGUGUCACAUUAUUAUCUACUAAGAGCUUUGAAACACUGAGUAAAUUUUUCUUAAUAUUUGGAACAUGAAGAACAUGGUUUAAACACAAGGGUUUAUUUGCAGUAGUAGCUAGCAAUACUGAUCCAAUAUGCUGAAUAUGCAAUGCAGAACCAUUCCCAACAAGCAAUUUGUCAGUUCCAACAUAUGGCUUGAGAUCCAGUAAUUUACCUGGGUCAUUUGUGAUGUGGUUAGUAGCACCACUGUCAAUGUACCAAGCUGGAUCUUCAAUCAUCUCAGGUGCAUGAGCUGGAACAGGGACUGAAGGAGAUCCAGAGUAAUCUCCAGUAGGAGCAAAAGCAUGAGCAGGAGAGUAACCACCAUGAGAAUUAGAUGGUUGAUAAACAUUGAAAGCAGCUGGAUCUGAAUACAUCAAAUGGCCUUGAUAACCAGGUGCUCUUGGUAUGUUGAAAUUACCAAACUGAGAGUUACCAAUUCCAGCACCAUAUUGAGGAUUAAGAUUUCUACCAAAAUUACCAAAAUUUCCAUAAGCCAUAGAAGACCUAUUGCCAUUAGCAUAGCCAAAACCUCUACCAUACUGCCUCUGACCAGGCCUAAAAUUUCCAUUAAAACCACCUCUUCCUUGAUUUCUUGAAGGAACAAAAGCUGAGUUAAACCUAUUCCUGCAUUUAUUGGCACCAUGACCAGGAAUGAAAUAGAUCUGACAUACAAUUUGUGAGAAGUUACCAUCACUAGAUCCAGCUCCAGAAUUAUAACUUCCUCCAUACGAUCCAAUGUUAAACUUCUGAUUACCACUAGUGUUUUUACUAGGAUUGAACUGCUUUUGAGCAACAUUAGCUGACAAGUUAUGUGUAACAUCACUUGCAAUUUUUCCUCUCUUUUGUUCCACAUGAUUUUCAUGACUCAAUAACAAUGAAUAAAACUCAUCAAGACUGAUAUUAUCUCCUCUAGCUAACACAGUAGUAACUAGUGAUUCAUAAUCAGAGGAAUCCAAUCCAGUCAAAACAUGUUGAACGAAAUCAUUCACUUCAACAGGUUUUCCAGCUAAAGCCAAGCUAUCAGAUAUCCUUUUCAUUUUUGCAAAAUAAUCAGUUAUGGACAUCGAGCCUUUUUUAAGAGUUUGGAUUUGCAUUUUUAGAGGCAUUAUUCUAGCUUGUGACUGGGAAACAAACAUACUUGUAAGUGUAUCCAGCAGCUCCUUUGCAGUUGAGCAGUGGAUCACAGUUGUCAACAGAUUCGGCUGAAUAGAUGAGAGCAUCCAGCUCAGAAUCAAUUGAUCCGUCUUUAUCCACAUUGUGUAAGCUGGAUUGAUCUCUUGAUUCUCUGUUCCAGUUGAGAAACCAGCAGCAGAGCUUAUAGCAGAGAAAAAUUUUCCCGGACAGACUUGAUUUCCAUUGAUGAAAUCUUCUAAACCAUUUCCUUUAAUGGAUAUGAGAAUCUGAGUUCGCCAAACAAUGAAGUUAUUAUGAUCUAGUUUUAUCGGAGUAAUAAAACUAUAGGAUCCAGAAUUUUGAUUCGAAUUUGCCAUUUGUUAGCUCUGAUACCAUGAAAGAGUUUGUAUAUAGUGUUUGGUUUAAGAGAAACUAACAAGAAAAUAAAAGAAAAUCAUAAAGAACCAGAUCUGAAAAUGAUCAUAUUCUCAUUUUUUGACUAAUGAUUACAACUUGUUAUUUAUAGUAAAUAUCAGAGGCGUCACGUAGCUUGUCAGUUUGUUGGAUCUAAUAUGCAUGCAAUACAGUUCGUUAUCUUUGCUGCUGAGCUGGAUAACUAACUCAACACACGUAAGCAUCAGCAGCUCCAUUUAAUCAGAUGCUCUCAUCUGUACCAUAUUAUCAUACUCUAUAACAUCCUCCCUCAAGCUGAACUGACCUGGAUGGACAUUCAGCUUGCUUCUUAGAUAGUGAAACUGAUUGAAGGUUAGUGCCUUGGUAAGAACAUCGGCAUUUUGGUCUUCACUGGGAAUGAACUGAACUGUAAUUUGCUUAGCUGUUACUUUGUCUCUGAUGAAGUGAAUAUCAAGCUCAACAUGCUUAGUUUUAGCAUGAUAAACAGGAUUGUGAGCUAAAGCUAUGGCACUUUGAUUAUCACACCACAUUAUGGGGGCUGUGACAAGAUGAAUAUGUAGCUCUUUCAGUAAGGACUGAAUCCAAGUAACCUCAGCUGUAGCUUGAGCCAAAGCUCUGUAUUCAGCUUCAGUGCUUGAUCUGGAAACUACUGCCUGUUUCUUAGACGACCAAGAAACCAAAUUUGAACCAAGAUAAACAGCAUAACCAGCCACUGAUUUGCGAUCAUCCUUAUCACAUGCCCAAUCUGAGUCACUAAAACAAUUUAUCUGCAUAGUGCCGUAAUGAUAAAAAUGUAAUCCAAAAUGAAUUGUUCCUUUCAAAUAUCUAAGAAGCCUCUUACAAGCCUCCCAGUGCUCUGCUGUUGGUGAAGCUAAAAACUGACUAAGUUUGUUUACAGAGAAAGCUAUUUCUGGCCUAGUGAGAGUCACAUAUUGUAAAGCUCCAACUGCACUUCUAUAUUGAGAACUAUUUGAAAUAACACUUCCUGACCCCUUUGUAAGAUAAUGACCAGUGGCCAUGGGAGUAGGAACUGGACUGCAGUCAGCCAUAUUGUGUUUGGCUAGAAUAUCAGCUAUGUAUUUAGAUUGAGAGAGAUAAAUUCCAGAUGCUGUUUUGGUAACUUCUAUCCCAAGAAAAUAACUCAAUUUGCCCAGAUCCUUCAAAGCAAAAGCAUUUUGCAUAUUGGUAAUCACUUGCUGCACCAUUUGAUCACUUGAGCCUGUUAUGAUUAUAUCAUCCACAUAGACAAGAACAAAAAUUACUUGAUCACCUAUCCACUUGUAGAAAAGGGAGUUGUCUGACCUUGAAUUUUGGAAACCCCAUUUCACAACCAUAGCAUCUUUCAGUCUCUCAAACCAUGCCCUGGGGGCUUGUUUUAAACCGUAGAGAGCCUUUUUCAACUUACAGACAUGAAGAGGUCGAGAUGGAUCAAUGAAGCCCUCUGGCUGCCCCAUGUACACAUCUUCAACUAAUAUGCCAUUCAAAAAGGCAUUAUUCACAUCCACUUGUCUGAGCUCCCAUUUAUUCAUAACUGCCAAACUUAAAAUAACUCUGACUGUGGAUGCUUUAACAACUGGACUGAAUGUUUCUGUGUAAUCAACUCCUUGUGUCUGAUGAAACCCCUUAGCCACUAACCUGGCUUUGUAUCUAGAAAUGGUUCCAUCAGCAUGAUAUUUUAUCUUGAAUAUCCAUUUGUUACCAACUACCUUAACUGGUUCACUUGGCAAAACCAGAUCCCAUGUAUGAUUAUUCUGAAGUGCUUGAAAUUCUUCUUGCAUUGCCUUAAACCAUUUUGGAUCAGAUAAAGCAGUUGAAACAGAAGUAGGUUCUGAAGGUAUGGCUAGUAAAGCAGCUAAAUAAGAUUUAGGCUUAAAUAUACCAGUCUUGGAUCUGGUUAUCAUGGGAUGACCUAUAGGUGGUGCAGCAGGUAAUAUAUGAGGAGGAGAUUGUGUACACACUGAUCCAUGUACAACACAUCUCUUGAUUAUCUGUGUGUGUGCUGCUCAUCAAUGAUUAACAAGAUACAGUAGUUUUGUGAAGUCUCAUGUCUUGUGUUACAAAAUUUUGUGAUGGAAAGAAGGAAUAAUUCAACUAAAAAAAAAAAACACACGCGCGCAGCACACACACAGAGGGCCGCAACUAGCCCUUGAACCCCUAUUGAACUCGCACAAGAUACUAUUGAACUAAAUUCAAAAACAGCUGUUAAUAGCAUCUUAAAAUAUGGGUUCUAUCCAUACUCCCACCUGAAUCAUUUCUUGCGGCAUGACUCAAAAAUAACAAUAAGCCUGUCGCACCGAUAACUCAUUAGUGCAAUUUUUUUAACUCAAAAAAUUGAUACGCGUUCAUUUAGCGAAAAGUCCAAGACGCUUGCCUUUUGAAAAGAAGAGGUAUCCAAUAGAUAUCCAACCUUUAUCUUAUUUAAUUACUACCACGACAUGAUUGAUGGUGCUUAAAUCGAUUGUUUCUUUUUUAAUUUAAAGAAUUUUUCAUUAAAAAAUAUUUUAAUAUCAAAUUGCCUUCAAUAGCGUAACUGCCGCAGGCCCAGUAACAAGAUUAAUUAAAAUUUUUUGAAUUUUUGGGCAUGGAAAGAGUAGUAUUAGACUUCAGAAAGCUUAAGGUUGUUAUGUUAAAGAAUUGAUAUUGACAUAAUUUUAUUUUGGUUUUCGGGAAACAAAUUAUUUGUUGACAAGCAAGAAAAUAUUUUUGUAUUUUACAAUUUAUUAUACAUAUUUUAUCAUAUUAAAGUAAUUUUAAUAAUAAAUAGACACAUAAUAUUACAACAAAUAAAGUAAAGUUUAAAUUAUUUUGAAUAUUAUAAAAAUAAUUUUAAUAUUAUUAAUAGGAAGACAUUUUGUUAAUUUUAAAAUCUUUUUAACCUAAAGGUUUAUUUAAAAUCUUUAGAAAUCUCCAUCCCACAUCUACCCUAUUAAACAAGUUGAUGGAAAUUGAACAAUUGCUUUUUGAAGUGGACCCAUUGAGUUAUGUUCAUUACUGGUCAUUGUCUAUUCUUUCUAAGAGCCACUUGUUUUGAGCAUUAGCAAUCCUAUCUGGACUACUCCAAUUAUUGAUGUAACUCCAAUGGUUGCAUCAACAGUUGAAUGUAAGAUAGUGUUAGUUCUUUUUUGAGAAUAUAGAGGGAUCUUUAUUUGUUUCUCCGUUGUAGCGUAUUAGUAUAAAUUUCUUUACCUUACAGUUCCUACAGUCUUCCUGUUAAUGAAUUCGCUGAGGCAUUAUUGAUCCAAUCUCAGUGAAGUAAUUGUGGGUGAAAAAAAAAAAUAAAGGAUAAGAGAACGUAGCUGAAGUGCUGAAUUGACUAUUAAAGAAGAGCGUCACCUGAUCACAAUCACAUUGAUGCACAACUCACUCAGAUCAUUACAACGUCCUUUUCGCUAAUUAAUUAUGAUUAUAUACAUUUUCAUAUGGCAAGUGGCAUUGUAGAUCUAAACUACGUUGCUAUUUCAUUACGUUAAUUAAGUGAUUCUCCUCAUUGUCAUCAGCGCUUUUUGGGCAUGGAAAGAGUAGUAUUAAACAUUAGAAAGCAAAGGUUGUUCUGUCAAAGAAUUGAUAUUGGCAUAAUUUUAUUUUUGCUUUCGAGUAAAAAAAAAAAAAUUGUUGACAAGCAAGAUACUGUUUUUAUAUUUUACAGUCAGUUAUACAUAUUUUAUCAUAUUAAAGUAAUUUUAAUAAUAAAUGGAAACAUAACAUUACAAUAAAUCAAUUAAAGUUUAAAUUAUUUUGAAUAUUAUAAAAAAUAAUUUUAAUAUUAUUAAUAGGAAGAUAUUUUGUUUAUUGUAAAAUCUUUUUAACCCAAAGGUUUAUUUAAAAUCGUUAUAAUAAAUAAAAAUAUAAAAACAAAAUAAAUAUCAUAAUUUAAAAUUUUAAUAUUAUUUUAAAUAUUAAAAAUACUUUAAUGCUAUUAGUCUACUACCCAGGUUAUAUUACGUAUAUUAUAUUUGUAUAAAUUAAAACUUUUAAAGUUAAAUUUUUAAUUACUAUAUUGAAAAGUUAUUAUGGUUAAAAAAAGUUUUGGCAUUUCUUUUUGAAAAUUUGAGGGUCUGCAUGACAAUUUGUCCAAAUCCUAGAGGUAUAGGUGUCUUUUUUUUUUUUCGAUAAUCAUUUUACUUUUGAGGGAAUCCGAUGAGAAAUAAGAUAAGAGAAACGUCAAUUUAAGGUUCUCUAGGGAAAACCAAGAACUAUUCAAUUUUGUAUUUUUUGUUUGUAAAACGAAAAACAGUUUGCCAAAAAAGGUACCAAACAUAUCCUUAAUGUCUCACAUGAUUUCUUAUUAAGUCCAUACUCGAUAUAUUUAUACAUUUUAGGUAUUUUAGUUAUAAAAGAAGUUGGUCCUCCCUUUGUUUAUAAAAGGUAACUUUAUUUCGAGAUUACCACUAAAGUCUUGCAAAGAAUUAGUGUAAUGUUAAGAGAGAAUAACACAGUUUUCCAUUACCAUUUUGAAAAUAGAAAGAUGUGGAUGUGUGCAUUUAAUAUUGCGUUUACUUGCUGGAUUGAGGAAUCGGAAUCUAGAAUCGGAAUGAUUGAUGGUGUUUACUUUGCAAAUAUGGAGCAGGAAUCGGAAUUGGAAUGGUGGGGGCCACCACUAUUUGGGAAUGGGAGAUUGAUUCUCAUGGGGGAAGGUGGGAAUGAGUCUCCCAUUCCCUGGAUUGACCAUUUUGCCCUCCCUCAAAAUUAAAAAUGCCUACUUUGUCCUCUUUUAUAAUUAAUUAAUAUAAUAUUAUAAUUACUUAAUUAAUAUAUAAAUAUUUUAUUAACUAUAAUUAUUAAAAAUUAUAGUUCUUGAAUAAAUAAUCACAAUAAUUAAUUUAUUAUUAUUAUUGUUAUUUUAAUUAAUUAAUUAAUAUACUAUUAUAAUAAUUAUUAAUAUAAUUAAUUUAUAUAUUAUUAUUAUUAUUAAUGAAUUAAUAUAAUUAUUACUAUUAAUUAAUAUAUUAAUAUAUUAUUAACAAUAAUAUAUUAAUAAUUAUUGUUCGUGAAUAAAUAAUCACAAUAAUUAAUAUAUUAUUAUUGUAAUUAAUUAAUUAAUAUACUAUUAUAAUAAUUAUUAAUAUAAUUAUUAUAAUUAAUUCAUAUAUUAUUAUUAAUUAAAUUAAUAUUAUUAAAUAAAUAAAUAAUAUAAUUAUUACUACUAAUUAAUAUAUUAAUAUAUUAUUAAAAAAUAUUAAUAAUUAUAAUUUUUGAAUAAAUAAUCACAAUAAUUAAUAUAUUAUUUUAAUUAAGUAAUUAAUAUUAAUAUUAAUAUUAUUAGUUAAUAUAUUUUUAUAAUAAUUUUUAAUAUAGUUAUUAUAAUUAAUUAAUUUUUUUUACAAUUAAUUAAUAUAUUAGUUAAUAAUAAUUAUGACAAUAAUCCAUUAAGUACUUUUUAGUAAUUUGUUACAAUCUAAUUCAUUCCGAUUCCGAUUUCAAGACAAAGUAAACACAUUAAUGGCAAUUUAGCUCAUUCUGAUUUUGAUUCCUACAGUUCAAGUAAACAACUUAUUUUGAUUCCUAUUACAUAUUCCCAUUCCAACCCAUUCUCAUUUCUGUCCAUUCUCAUUUCUGCCCAUUCCGAUUUUAGCUCAUUCCGAUUUCAGUUUAGUAAACGCAGUAUAAGAGUUAUCAUGAAAAUCAUACAAUUCAAUUUCCUGAAAUAUAUAUUUUAUUCACAUGUGCCAAAAGAAUAAAUAGAUAGAAAGUAAAUUUACAAUCCUCACUCCCUCACAAUUGUUAAAGUGAAUAUGCAUUACAACUGUGAACUGUCACUACUUUAGCCCUUUUUUUUUUUUCAAUUAUAGUGUGAUGGAGACAGUGAACAUUAAGGAUAAAGUGCUCUGCUGAAAGCCAAACUUCCUUUGGCUAAUUAAUUUAGAAGUAAAGCAGAGAAUAAAGUCCUAGAUGCCUUCUGAAAUUAGAAAUACAUUUUAUAUGCUUUAAUUAUGAUUAUUUGGCAGACUAAAGACCUAAAAGAUAUGUCAAAAGUAUGAAACAGAGAGAUUAAAGAAAAAAGAAAAAAAAAAAAAAACAGAGUAUUUGUGACGUAGAAUAACAAUUGGUAAAUAAAUCCUAAAUAUUUGAGUUGUUAAAAGCAAAUAUAACAGAGACGGUAAGAGAGAUGCAGAAACAGAAAACUAUUAGCUUAUCUUGAUUUUCCCACUAUAUUCAUUUUCGAUGCUUUUCAAUCGAGAUUCUUUUAAUUCUUCUGGUGUCUGCAGCCCCGGCUCUUCUUAUAAAUCUCCAUCCCACAUCUGCACUACGAACAAGUUGACUGAAAUUAAAUAAUGUUGGAGAUGAGGGGUGAGCCGUCAACUUGUUAAAAAAAACUCAUGUAUAAUAUUAUCAAUAAUAUAAAAUAUAUAAUAAUUGUUACAAAGAAUCAUAAAUUAGAAAAAUUAAUUAUUUUACAAUCUAUUUCUUAAGUAAGAUAAAUCUUGUAAUAAGUUAAGUUAUAACGUAAAAAAUAUUUUCAAUUUAUAAUCAUUUAAGAAGUCAUUUAACAAUAAAAUCUUUCUUUUGAUCAUGUGGGCAUGCCAUAGAGUAUCAUCUAUAUUCGUGAUGAUAUUAUUAUUACUCAGUAUCCUAAAAAAAACACGAUUUAACAUUUAGAGAAAAUUCCUGCCUUUUAAAAAGAACAUGUAUGCAAUAGCUAGCCAUACUUUAUUUUACCACAACAAAAUUGAUGGUGAUUAAAUCAAUUUUCUCAAUUAAAGCAAAAUUUUAAAAAUUGAUUUAAUGCACAAAUAUGAUGAGUUUUUGUAAAAAUUAGUUUUGGAAAAUAUAGUGAGAGAAAAUGGUGACGAUUAUUUUCAGAUGUGCAAAUAGCCUAAACAUAAUCUCUAAUACCAAUAUCCAUGUGCAUCUUAAUACCUUUCAUGAUAUUCUUUCAUUCAUGGCCAUUUGUUCAAGAUUUGAAUUUGAUUAUUAAAUCAUGUUCAAUAAUGUUAGAGAUCCCAACAAUUGAAUACCAACUUAAAUCCCAAUGCUAUGUGUCAUUAACAAAUGUUGUGUCAUUUAUAAUUAUUGAAUGAAUAAUUCGUUAAUUUAUUGAUAAAUAAAAAUUUAUUAAUUUAAAGAGAGAUACUUCUUCUUUUUUUGUUUUAAGAAGAGUUUUGUUGGUACAUGUACAUACUUAUAAAGAAAUAAACUUGUAAUUAUACUAUAUCUUUCUUUCUUUGUUCAGUUUGGUGGGAUAUUGUGAUAAAUCAUUGGAUUAAAAUACAUUUCUAAAUUAAAACUUGUUAAAAUCUAAUUUAUUUGGGAAACGCAUAUUAUUUGUCAGUUGUACUUCUCAACUUAGCAAGUUAUUUCUAACUUGUCAGUCUCUAUUGGUUCUCUAAAAGCUAAUAGUCUCGAAUCUCCCGCAUUUGAUAUCUUGCCAUUACUGUUGGCAUUUGUUAAGUAUAGCUGAAGCUGGUGACGUGUAUAAGCUGCUGAUGAAGCUGCUGAGUUGGCUGGCUGGUGAUGUGUAUAAACUGAAGGUGCUGAGCUGGAUUGGGUUGUUGUUCACACCAACUAAAGAUGUAACAGAUUAUCCAGCUGGCUUGUUAUGAUUGGAAGUUAGAUUAGUUUGUUAAUACAGCAAACAAUGAGCUCUGUUUUGGUAGUUAGUUUUGAGUGUAACUAUAAAUACUGGCUAACAUGUUUUCAGUGUUAAGCUUGAGUUUUAAUCAAUAAAAAUCAAUUCAGUUAAAGUUUCUUUGUUAACUUUCUUUCACUUUCUCACUUGCCAAACAACCUAUUAAUUCUAAAAUGGUAUCAGAGCUUGCACCUAUGUCAGGAUCUAAUCAUAUAGCUUCCUCAUCACUUUCAUUCAAUUUUGUUCAACCUAUAAAACUCGAUAGAUCAAACUACUUGGUGUGGAAAGCUCAAGUUAGAACAUCGAUCAUUGCUAAUGGACUUGAGAGCUUCAUCAAUGGUGAGAGUGUAUGUCCAAAAUGUUAUCUCAUUGAUUCUAUUCAAGAACUUCAAAGAUCUGGAGCUGAAACAUCACAGAAGCAGGAAAAUCCAGAGUAUAUCUUAUGGAUGAAAACUGACAAACUUCUGCAGAGCUGGAUGCUUUCGUCAAUGGUGGACAAUGUAUUAAUCAUGGUGAUCAAUUGUGAAACAUCACUUGAACUUUCGGAGAUGCUUGCUAGAAUCUUCAUGUCACAAUCCAAAGCGAGAUAUCUGCCUUUGAAGAUGCAGAUUCAAUCAACAAAUAAAGGAUCUCUCUCCAUCAGUGAUUACUUCAAAAGGAUGAAGAAAAUUGCUGAUAGCUUGGCCAUUGGAGGUAAUCCAAUUACUUCGAAUGAACUGAUUAUUCACUUGCUUACUAGAUUGGAUGAAAACUAUGAAUCCAUAGUCACAAAUAUACUUACUAGACUGGAAAAAGAGAGACUUACUGCUGAAGAGGUGUACUCUAUGUUACUUAGUCAUGAAACUAGGUUGGAAAUGAGCAAAGGAAAAUCACAUAAUGAACCUCUGCAUGAUAUGACAUCAAAUUUUGCUCAGAAAGGCCAAGGUUAUAAUACUGGUCCUGGAAGAGAUGUUGUGUGUCAAAUCUGUUACAUUCCAGGCCAUGGAGCUUAUAAGUGUAAACAUAGAUUCAAUCAAGGGUUUAUUCCUAGAAACAAAGGCUUUGGUGGUUUCAGGCCAAGAGGUGGAGGUCAGAAUUAUAGAGGAUUCCCUAGAAAUAAUCAGAAUUAUUUUGGUAGAGGUUCUGGAUACAAUAGUUCUGCUUUUGGAUCUGGAUUCAGACCUAACUUUCCCAGGCAAGCCGGACCUACUGGACCUUUCUUUGGCUAUGUUGCCUAUCAGAAUCCAGGAUUCAUGAAUCCUCAAGGUGCCUUUGACUUUCCAAGUGCAAAUGGUGAUUAUACUGGUGUUCCAACAGCAAACAUGUAUGUUGGAAAUUAUGGCAUUCCUCAUAAUGUCUCUCCCUCUGCACAAUUGGCAAACUUCAGCAAUGUAGCUGAUUCAGCCUGGUACCUUGACUCUAGAGCAACAAAUCACAUUGCUCAAGAUGCAGGUAUACUUUCUAAGUGCUCAACUUACCAUGGCCUUGAAAAACUACAUGUAGGAAAUGGUAUGGGGCUGCCUGUUCAUAAUGUUGGUUUUGUUGCUGUUAAAACCUUGACUACAACACCUAUAUACCUAAAUCAUGUUCUGCAUGUCCCUAAAAUUACUAAAAACCUUAUCAGUGUUUCCAAAUUGCUUGCUGAUAACAAUGUUUUUAUUGAGUUUUACAACCAUGUUUGUUUUGUUAAGGACAAGAAUUCAAGAAUCACAUUGCUCAAGGGGAUUGUUAGAGGAGGUCUUUAUCAAGUUUCAAGCUUAAAUACAGUCUGUGAUAACUCCAGUUCAGUGUUCCCAGUGUCAACCACUUCUGAGUUUGUUUUUACUUCAAUAAGUACAUUCCCAGCAACUCCAGUGUCUAUGUUUACUCAACUAAGUUCAUUUGAUACUAAGUUUCACUCUUGUAUGCUUGUAAAUAAUUCUCAAAUCAAUAAGAAUGUCCCUGUGGCUCACUUUGCUUCAUAUAACAAGCCUAUUGAUUAUAGUUUACUGCACAAAAGAAUGGGUCAUCCAACUACUCAUGCUUUAAAACAGAUCAUGAAAUGCCUGAACUCAAAUUUUAUUCUUCCCAAAGAUUUCACAACACAGUUCUGUGAUGCCUGUCAACUAGGCAAGUGCCAUACGCAGCAUUUUCCCUCCAUAGAAACUUCAACCACUCAGCCCCUUGAAUUACUACAUGCUGACCUUUGGGGACCAGCUCCCAUUACCUCUUCACAAGGUUACACCUACUAUCUAUCUAUCUUAGAUGACUACACUCGAUACACUUGGAUUUUUCCUCUCAUUGCCAAAUCCAAAACCUUGUCAGCCUUUAUUGAAUUCAAAAACAUGAUUGAAAACUGCCUGAACUUGAAAAUUAAAUGUUUACAAACUGAUUGGGGUGGAGAAUUCAGGCCUUUUGUGUCAUAUCUUUCUAACCAGGGUAUACAAUUUUGACAUCCCUGCCCUUAUAUCCAUCAUCAACAUAUUACCUGAGAUUGGGAUUCAUUAAAAUCCUCAAUGUAAUCGGUGGAACGAAUGGAUUUCUUCUGUUCACCAAUCCACCAAAAUUUCUGUAAUUAAAUUCAAGAGUCAAGAUCUAUGCUUAUAAUCUAUUCAACAGCUAAUAUUCUAUUUUAUAUUUACUUAAAUAUGAAGAGCUAUGCUUGUCAUUAACUUCAAAUGUGAUCGAAGCAGCCUUACAUCUGUAUAUUACGUAUUCCCAACUUUUUUUUGACUUCAUUUACUUUCUUUUCAUGUUAUUUACUCUUUUUUCCCCCUCUCUGACAAUUGAGGUAGGGGGUCAAACUUGAAAGUAUCUUAAAAUCAAACAAUUUUUUUUUUAAGAUAGCUGCUAAUAUGCUCUAUUAGACAAUGAUAAGUAAUAACCUAGUUGUUUGCAUUAGAAAUGAUAUUUUUUGUGGUGCUGAUAAAGAGGUUGAUUAUGAUUCAACAAUUUAAAAUAUGAAAACAUGUGGAAGACGGCCGCAAUUAAAUUGAUUGUAUGAAAAUAUUUCAAUGAAAUUUUAAAAAUUUAGUACUUGUUAUCUUAUCGAGAGUUUUUUAAAUUUUUCUACUUGAACUUGACUGCUUUUGUAUUGAAUUCCUAGCGUUGCCAUUGCUUCUACUCAAAAGCCAUUUAGUUACUCAUGAAUUGUUGUUCAUAAUAGCAAUUUGAUUGAAAGUGCGGCUGCACUAAUUUUCUAGAUGAAUUUUUUCCUACAUGCUUGUUCUCGUAUGACCCAAAAUCCUGCUACAUCAGUUGUAUUAGAAAUUAAUCAACUGGGUUACAAUUAUGCAUCCCCACCAAUAUUUAAGCAAUUUAAUUACAGAAACAUUUCUUGAGGAAAGAAACUCAUAUCGCCACUAGGCUUUUAAUGAGGCUCAUUUUUAUGAAUCUGGAUGGCAUUAGAUAUCUCUCCGAAUAUUGGUGGGAGUAGAUAUGCUACAAAGUGUAUGUACGUUGACUCUCAAUAAAUACAAACGAUUCUCUGAUCUGAUUCAAAACAUCAGUACAUGCAUCAUUUUAAUGAGAAAGAAUAUUCUAAGAACGAAAUUGAAGGUGCAAUCAGCAGCUAAAAUGAAGCCAGAAAUGUACACGCAUGAGGAAGUUUUCCAAGAAGAUUGAUAUUUCUUUGACUAGCAAACCAUACAAGUCCAAAGCUAGCUAAACCAUACCUGCAAGUCGGGGGUUUAAAUGGAGUACUUCUAAGCAUAAAACAUUGAUUAAAACAGAAUACACACAUACAUACCAGCAAAUUCAAUAUAGCAAAAGGAGUGCAAAAGUUCAAGUUUGUAGACAACAUUGCAACCAUGGCAUGUUUAUAGCAAAUCCUCGAAAUCUGCUAAAUAAAACAAUGCCCUGUCUCAUGAAUCAAUGCUGAAUUAAAAUUGAAACUGAAAGUCUGGCUGGCGGUGUUUCCCUCUCCAAUUUUGCCUACAUAAGUGAAAAUAAGAAUAAUAAAUGGAAAUCUGCUUUUACAGUUCUUAUUAGAUAGAUAUAAAGGGAUCUUUCUUUGUUUCUCUGCUGUAAUUUGUGGCUAUGCCACUCUGUUUUUCCAGUCAAGCUGAGUCUACGUUGAGACAUAAUUUUGACAUCAGAAGCAACCUCAAUUAGUUUGGCAUUUUCAUGACCUCCUUGAAGGUUUUAUGAUAAACAUAAAUCCACUGAGAAAGUGGGAAAAAAAGAAAAUGCAUAUAAAAGUAUGAGUUAUCAGAUAAGAUUAAAACUCACCCAAUUCAAUCCAUCAGAUUCCGUAAGGAUAUAACUGGAUGUCAUACCGCCACUCCAUAUCCUCGAAAGUCCGUAGUCCUUGUCUCAACUGUGUCUGGGGCCAGUGUAAGUCCAAUUUGCGCAAGCUCUUUAUGCACCACAGCUCUUCUGGAAGCUUUCUCAAGUAAGCACAUGGGUUGACAAUUAAGCUUUCAAGUUUCGGCAUUGCUCCAGCCGCCAUCGUCCACUCAUCUAGCCAAUACAUUGAUUUCAGGUGCAAAACCUUAAGUUCGGGAAAGCUACUCAAGCCAACACAAGCAAGCUUUCUUCCUAAAUACGAGUUCUGCUUCAGUUUCAGCACUCGAAGGCGUGGAAGAUUUUCCAGAAUUGGCAUGGGAUCCUCCAUUAGCUCAGUAUUUGAUAAGCUCAGUUGGAUCAGACUUGGGGGAAAUUGGUAUUCAGACAGGACCAUCCGUGAGGGCUUGCUCUCAUUCACCAGCUUCAAGCAUUCAAGUUUGUGGAGUUCGCAAAGGCUUUUGGAAACCCCAGAUUGAUAGUAACUCAAAUCUCCAGAUAUCCGAAGAGUCCGAACACUAGGUAGUCUGCCCAAUAUAUCAGGAGUACAACUACUAGGGUUUAAAGCUGAUAUGAAAAUGAGAUUUUUCAGAGAGCUAGAAUAAUUUUUUGGAGGUGCGGGCAGAGUGAUGCAACCGAAGUUUAGAUGCAUGAGUUUUUGCAUCAUCCAAAUAUCCUCUGGUGACUGAUCUAUGUAGCUAGAUGGCAUUUCUAGUGUUUCAAGGUUUAAAAGGGUGCAUAGCAGUGAAGGAAGGCAUUUGAGCGAAGGGAUAUUCAAUUUCAAAUACUUCAAAAGAUAUAAAUUUUCUAAUCCGGGUGGAUAUUGGUCCAGGACUGCAGAACCCAUGUUCAAUACCCGAAGGUAUUUGAACCUUUUAAAAAAAUUCUCGCAAUCUUUCGGAUUAAGAUGAUUGCUUUUUGAACUGUGAUUCAGAAAAGAUUGGAGACACAUGUCAGAAUGUUCUAAAGAAAAGAACUCAAUCAGAUCAUCGUCAAUGACGCACCGUUUAACAUUUGCCACUGAUUCCUCUUCCACGUCAUGCAUCCAGACAAAUCCCGUCUUCAUUGCCACAAUAUACAAUGAAGUGUAUACAAAACUUGGAACAUAACACGCUUUAAUUGUGCCUCUGGCUCUUCUCUUACUCACUUGAAUGAAGCCGCGAUGGAUUAGUUCUUUCAAGUAAUGUUCGGCAGUUUCUUCACCGUUGUAUGGUAUGAAACCUUCAGCUACCCACAACUGAUAUAAUUGCUCCGUAGAUAUCUCAAUACUUGGAGGGAAGACAUACAAAUAGAUGCAGCAGACUUUCAAGUGAAAAGGCAACUCCAUCACAGAAAAAAUUUGUCUCCAAACUGUCAGAACCACUUCGCCUUGAAGAUAAUUUUCUAAUGGCAUACUUCCAUAGUGUAGGAUGAAAAAUUGCCAGGCCUCAUGCUUUAAUCUGAUCAAUGGUCCUCCAAAGAGCACUGAAUCACGCCGAAUCUUCUCUUCAUUUUCCAUUUCCAACGACGCAAUGAGGCCCGGAUCAGUGACUGUUAUCAAUACUCUGCUUCCAUUCUCAUCACCAGGAAGAAGUUCUUCGAGAUCACUCCAUAUCUCACUGUUAUCGAAGACAUCAUCAAGCAAAAUAAAGUACUUCUUGUUUGUUAGGUAAUCUCGAAGAAUAGAUUUCUUCAAUUGAUAAUCUUCACCGAUAAUUACACUAACCCGAGAUGGAGGCAUCACAGACUUGAUUAUGUCAUCCAACAUCUUGCCAAAAUCAUAGAAUAUAGAAACCCUGACCCAAGCAAGACAGUCAAAAUAGAACUUGACAUGGUUAUUAUUGUAAGUAUCUUCUGCAAAAGCAGUCUUAUCGAAGCCACUGCUGUCGAGAAUUGUAACCACUGCAAGCCGAGGGCGUCCUUCAAUCAAUAAAUCAAACAACUCCUCCCUGCCCCUUUCAAAUUCAUUGAUAUCAAGCCGAGGUUGUCCCUCACUCAAUAGGUGAAUGAUUUCGUUACUUUUUUUACUGAUAUCAAAACCAUUGUCGCCGGGUGGAAGUUGUUGCAUCCGAUUACUAAUAUCAAUGAUUUUACUGUGGAGACCAGCAAGAAGAGCCAUAUUAGUACUGCUUUCACUUUCGUUUUCACUGUUUUGCUGCUGCAUAAUGUUGAUGAAGAAUGUGUCAAUGGCUUCCUCAGAUUCAUGGACAAAGUCAUUGAUGUCCUUCACAAUGCCCAAAAGGUCCGCUCUUUCAACUUCUUCUUCAUCGCUUUCUUCUAAGUCCAACAGUUGCAAAAAAGGCAAAGAUAUUUUGGAGUCAUCGAAUUCUUCUCUAAUGAGUUGAAAGAAAUGCCGAGCCAUGUCAGCUUCAUAUUUUCCCAGCAGGGUAGUAGCAAUAAUUUCGGACUCCGUAAGAAGGUUUUGAAAAAGUGGGGUUAAAUUUGUUGAAUCAGGCAGCGUUAACGGGCCUUCUUCACCUGCUAACACCCUUUUCAACCUCUCACAAAACAGUCGGAGGUGGAAUUCCAGCAUAUCUCCUUCUCUCCGUAGCACUCAGAGGUAUAGCUGAAAGAUUAAACACCAUGGAAGAAUUUGAAAGGAAAAUGCCAAGACAUUAUUGCUCAUUUUUUAACUCAAAAGAUUGAUACGCGUUCAUUUAGAGAAAAGUCCAAGACGCGUGCCUUUUGAAAAGAACAGGUAUCCCAAUCGGUAUCCGACCGAUAUCUUAUUAAAUUACAACCAUGACAUAAUUGAUGGUGCUUAAAUCAAUUGUUUCUUUUUUAAUUUAAAGAAUUUUUCAUUAAAAAAAUAUUUUAAUAUCAAAUUGCUUUCAGUGGCGUAACUGCCUCAAGCCCAGUAACAGGACUAAUUAAAAAUUUUACAAUUUUUGGGCAUGGAAAUAGUAGUAUUAAACAUUAGAAAGGUAAGGUCGUUCUGUUAAAGAAUUGAUAUUGACAUAAUUUUUUUUGGUUUUCGGGGGAAAAAAAAUUGUUGACAAGCAAGAAAAUAUUUUUAUAUUUUAUAAUUUAUUAUACAUAUUUUAUCUUAUUAAAGUAAUUUUAAUAAUAAAUAGAAACAUAAUAUUACGAUAAAUAAAUUAAAGUUGAACUUAUUUUGAAUAUUAUAAAAAAUAAUUUUAAUAUUAUUAAUAGGAAGACAUUGUAUUAAUUUUAAACUUUUUUAACCCAAAGGUUUAUUUAAAAUCUUUAUUAGAAAUACAAAUAUAAAAUUAAAUAUCAUAAUUUAAAAUUUUUAAUAUUAUUUUAAGUAUUAAAAAUAUUUUAAUGUUAUUAGUCUACUACAUAGAUCAUAUUACUUAUAUAAUAUUUGUAUUAUUAAAAAUUGUUAAAAUCAAAUUUUUAGUUAGUAUAUUCAUGAGCUAUUAUGGUUAAAAAAAAAAAGACCUUAUUAUUACUUUUUUAAAAAUUGAGGGCCUGCGUGAUAAUUUUUUCAAAAAGAAAAUGCUUGGUAUGUAGGAGGGGUACAGAAACAGGACUCCCAAAAUCUCUCACCCUUUUUUAAUUAAAAAAAAAAAUUAAAAUAUCAAUAAAAAGUAAUAAAGAAAAUAGAAUUUUAUCUGCUCCUUACUCCAUUUUUGCAACUCUCUCACCAUCCCUAUCGAGCAGCCCUCUCUCUCACUGUCUCACUCACACAGUCCUUUUCACGAUUUGAAAUUCUUUGGCCCUCUGCAUUACAAGAAAUUAACGCUUUGGUUCUCCCAAGGGUAGAUUGGUUUUAUUGGGAAGCUAUUAAUUUUUUUUUUUUUUGAAUACUGAUUAAUCAUCAGAUUACUGCAUUACACAGAUAUUUACAACAACUGCUAUUGUAGCAGAGAUAUUAUACUGAUAUUUACAAUCAGAUAUACAUAAUUGGGACUUAUAUUAUGACAUUGAAUUCUAUGAAGUACAUGCCCAAACAAAUAACCCCUCACAGGAGAGGGAUGUCCAUACUCCACUCGCAUUUCGCAAGGGAGAAUGAUUUUUUGGAAGUAUAAAGAACAUUUAGCCCCCACAAUACUUUUGUGGGGGCUAGAACCGCUGCAGCAUUGUGAGGGCAGCAGCCCACCACUUCGGCCUUGGCCGAAGUGGCGGGAAGCUAUUAAUUAGAAGGAGGAAAAAGGACUAUAUUUAGAAUAUGAUUUGUUGGAGAAUCUCAGAGUUAGUCAAUUUUCAAGCCACACUUUCAAUAGCCAAUUGAUUUAGUAACCAUUAAUUACUUUAAUUUCCAUAAAUUGUAAUGACAGUGCAAAUGCAUCUGGUUGUGAUAGCUAAGGGUUAGCUUGAAGAAUUAAAUUUCAUAAGAUAUUACUGGAAAAUGCUUUGCAGAUAACGUGCUGCUUCCUUUGCUAGACUACAAUUUCAAAAAUCUCACGAGUUUUCCAUUGUUGUCACAAACCGAGAAAUUAUAAAAUACAUGGCCUGGUUCUUUGGCAAUGACCAUCUCAUCGUCGGCGGUCGUGUCGUCAUUGUCACUGUUCUUGCUCGACCGAGACAGUGAGAGAGAGGUUUGUUAGAUGGAGUUAGUGAGAGAGAGUUGUAAAGAUGGAAUGAUGAUAAAAGGAUUCUAUUUGUUUUUAUUGUUUUUUAUUAAUAUUUUAAUUUUUUAAAUUAAAAUGUGCUGCCGUUUCUCUAGCCUUUUUAGCUGCUUAACUUAACAGUAUUCUUUUCAAAAUUUAAGAAUGUAGUAGGUGUCCUUUUCUCUAAUAAUUUAUUUCAUUUUUAGGGAAUCCAAUGAGAAAUAUGAUAAAAGAACGUCAAUUACUUGUCGUUUUCAAUUUUUUCUAUAAGCUAUUUAUUUUGAGCAUUAGUGAUCUUGUCUGGACUACCCCAAUUAUUGACGUAACUCCAGUGGCUGCAUCCACUGGAAAAAGUGGAUGAGACCAUUUUUUUUUUCAUAAAGGUAACUACUCCAAUUAUUGACAUAAUUGAUGGUGCUUAAAUCAAUUUUUUCUUUCUUUUUUUUAAUUUAAAGAAUUUUGCUUUAAAAAAUAAUUAAUAUCAAAAUGCCUUCAAUGUUGUUACCGCCACAAGCCCAGUUAGAGGACUCAUUAAAAAUUUUAGAAUUUUUAGGCCUGGAAAGCAUAGUAUUAAACAUCAGAAAGCAAAGGUUGUUAUGUCGAAGAAUUGAUGUCGACAAAAUUUUAAUUUUGUUUUCGGAAAAAAAAAAAAAUUUUGUUGACAAGCAAGAAAAUAUUUUUUAUACUUUACAAUCUGCUAUACAUAUUUUAUCAUAUUAAAGUAAUUUUAAUAAUAUAUGGAAACAUAAUAUUAUAAUAAAUAAAUUAAAAUUACUUUGUAUUAUUGAAUAUUACAAAAAGAUAAUUUUAAUAUUAUUAAUAGGAAAACAUUUUUUAAUUGUAAAAUCUUUUUAAUACAAAAAUUCGUUUAAAAUCUUUAUAAUAAAUACAAAUAUAAAAUUAAAAAAUAUCAUAAUUUAAAAUUUUUAAUAUUAUUUAAAUAUUAAAAAUACUUUAAUGUUAUUAGUCUACUACAUAAAAUAUAUUAUUUAUAUUAUAUUCGUAUUGAUUAAAACGUUUUAAAGUCAAAUUUUUAAUUAGUGUAUUCAAAGGUACAAAAGAUUUAAGUAUUAUUUUUUAAAAAUUUCAAGAUACGAAUGAUAAUUUUUUCAAAUUUUAAAGAUGUAAAAAUCUUUUUUUCUGAUAAUUUAUUUCACUUUUGAGAGAAUCCGAAAACGUUAAUUUAACAUUCUUUACCUUUGUAAAAAAAGUGAAAAUCAAGAACUAUUCAAUUUUGUUUUUAUUUGUAAUUCAAAAACUUUAUUCAUUUUCGAUGCUUUUCAAAAGAGAUUCCUUUAAAUGUCUGCAGCUCCUGCUUUUCUCAUAAAUCUCCAUCCCACAUCUACACUAUCAAGUAUCAAACAAGUUGAUGGAAAUUCUUAUAAAAAAAAAAAAAAAAUUGAUGGAAAUUGAUCAAUUGCUUUUUGAAGUGGACCCAUUGAGUCAUGUUCAUUUCUGGUCAUUGUCUACUCUUUCUAUCAGCCAUUUAUUUUGACCAUUUGCGAUCUUAUCUGGACCUACUCCAAUUAUUGUUGUAACUCCGAUGGUUGUAUCUACAGUGGAAUGUAAGAUAGUGAAAGCUCUUUCUUUGAGAAAAUAGAGGGACCUUUCUCUGUUUCUCCGUUGCAACGUGCUCGUAUAAAUUUCUCUACCUUACAGUUUAUACGGUCUUGCUGUUAAUGAAUUCGCUGAGGCAUUAUUGAUCCAAUCUGAGUGAAGUAAUUGUGGGUGAAAAAUAAAUAAAGGAUAUGAGAACGUAGCUGAAGUGCUGAAGGGGCUAUUAAAGAAGAGUGUCACUUGAUCACAAUCACAUUGAUGCACAACUCACUCGUGGCAAAUUUCGACUAUACGUUCUGCAAAUUCAGCCAAACCAUACAUGCAUGAACAAAACUAAAAUGUAGUUCUAAUCACAACUGCAGUUAUGAUGUUUACCUCUCUGAUUUUUCUCCAAAACAAAUUCAGUUCAAAACAAUAAUCAAAAUAGCCACAUUUUGUUCGUCAAAAUAAAUGCCCAAAUUUUCAAUUAACAAAUCAUCUUCUCUAAACUAAAAAGCCCACAUCUCUAAAAUCAAUCUACAUAAUGUUGGAGAUGAGGGUUGAAUUGUUAACUCAGUAAAAAAAAAAAAACUCAUGCAUAAGAUUACUAAUAAUAUAAAUUAUAUAUUAAUCAUUAUAAAGAAUCAUAAAUUAGAAAAAUUAAUCAUUUUAUAAUUUAUUACACAAGUAAGAUAAAUCUCAUAAUAAGUUAUAACAUAAAAAACGUUAUCAAUAUAUAAUCAUUUAAGAAGUCAUUUAACAAUAAAAUCGUUCUUUGAUCAGUUGGCCAUGUCACAUAGUAUCAUCUAUAUUUAUGGUGAUACUAUUAUUACUCAGUAUUCUCAAAAAACAUGAUUUAACAUUUAGAGGAAAUUCUUGCCUUAAAAAAAAAACAUGUAUGCAACAGCUACCCAUGCUUUAUCUUACCAUGACAAAUAUUUUCUCAAUGAAAGAAAUUUUUUAAAAAAUUGAUUUAAUGCACAAAUAUGAUGAUUUUUGCAAAAAUUAGUUUUGGAAAACAUAGUGAGAGAAAAUAGUGACGAUUAUUGUUUAAAUGUAUAAAUAGCCUAAACAUAAUCCUUAAUACCAAUAUCCAUAUGCAUCUUAUCAUCUUUCAUGAUAUUCUUUCAUUUAUGUCCAUUGGUUCAAGAUUUGAAUUUGAUCAUUAAAUCAUGUUCAAUAAUAUUAGAGAUUCCAACAAUUGAGUACCAACUUAAAUCCCAAUGUUAUGUGUCAUUGACCAAUUUUGUGUCAUUGACCAAUUUUGUUAUUAACUAGGUGAUGAAUUUCUAGUUGAUAAAAUCACUUAAAAAUAUCUUAAAAAUUAGACAAUAGUUUGCUUAAUUUUUCCAAGUUAACUGCUCAAGAUGCUCUAUUAGAAAUGAUAACCUAAUUAUAUACAUAAAAAAUGAUGGAAAUUGAACAAUUGCUUUUUGAAGUGGACCCAUUGAGUUAUGUUCAUUACUGGUCAUUGUCUAUUCUUUCUAAGAGCCACUUGUUUUGAGCAUUAGCAAUCCUAUCUGGACUACUCCAAUUAGGAUAGUGUUAGUUCUUUUUUGAGAAUUUCUUUAUUUGUUUCUCCGUUGCAGCGUAUUAGUAUAAAUUUCUUUACCUUACAGUUCCUACAGUCUUCCUGUUAAUGAAUUCGCUGAGGCAUUAUUGAUCCAAUCUCGGUGAAGUAAUUGUGGGUGAAAAAAAAAAAAAAGGAUAAGAGAACGUAGCUCAAGUGCUGAAUUGACUAUUAAAGAAGAGCGUCACCUGAUCACAAUCACAUUGAUGCACAACUCACUCGAGGCAAAUUUCAUCUAUAAAUAAAAGAUCCCUUACUAUUCUCUUAACCCUGAGUUUUGAGAUAGAAAUUUCCCGAACUCCAACCCCACAUCCACAGACAAGUUGAUUGAAACAAUUGCUCUUGUAAUUAAGAGGAUGGGUUAGGGUUCAGUUCUUAUCAUUGUCUGUUAUUUCUUUGAAUCAUUAUCUUAAUUAAUUACAUCAAUUGUUUCUUUUUUUUAAUUUAAAGAAUUUUUCUUUAAAAAAAUAUAUUUUAAUAUCAAAAUGCCUUAAAUGGUAUUACUGCCGCAAUCCCAGUAACAGGAUUAAUUAAAAAUUUUAGAAUUUUUGGGCAUGGAAAGAGUAGUAUUAAAUAUCAGAAAGCUAAGGUUGUUCUGUCAAAGAAUUCAUAUUGGCAUAAUUUUAUUUUUGCUUUCGAGUAAAAAAAUAUAUAUAUAUAUAUUUGUUGACAAGCAAAAUACUGUUUUUAUAUUUUACAAUCAGUUAUACAUAUUUUAUCAUAUUAAAGUAAUUUUAAUAAUAAAUGGAAACAUAACAUUACAAUAAAUCAAUUAAAGUUUAAAUUAUUUGGAAAAUUAUAAAAAAUAAUUUUAAUAUUAUUUAUAGGAAGAUAUUUUGUUUAUUGUAAAAUCUUUUUAACCCAAAGGUUUAUUUAAAAUUGUUAUAAUAAAUAAAAUAUAAAAACAAAAUAAAUAUCAUAAUUUAAAAUUUUAAUAUUAUUUUAAAUAUUAAAAAUACUUUAAUGCUAUUAGUCUACUACAAAGGUUAUAUUACUUAUAUUAUAUUUGUAUAAAUUAAAACUUUUAAAGUUAAAUUUUUAAUUACUAUAUUGAAAAGGUAUUAUGGUUAAAAUAUGUUUUGGCAUUUCUUUUUAAAAAUUUGAGGGUCUGCAUGACAAUUUGUCCAAAUCCUAGAGGUAUAGGUGUCUUUUUUUUUCGAUAAUUCAUUUUACUUUUGAGGGAAUCCGAUGAGAAAUAAGAUAAGAGAAACGUCAAUUUAACGUUCUCUAUGGAAAACCAAGAACUAUUCAAUUUUGUAUUUUUUGUUUGUAAAACGAAAAACAGUUUGCCAAAAAAGGUACCAAACAUAUCCUUAAUGUCUCACAUGAUUUCUUAUUAAGUCCAUACUCGAUAUAUUUAUACAUUUUAGGUAUUUUAGUUAUAAAAGAAGUUGGUCCUCCCUCUAUUUAUAAAAGGUAACUUUAUUUCGAGAUUACCACUAAAGUCUUACAAAGAAUUAGUGUAAUGUUAACAGAGAGUAACAUAGUUUUCCAUUACCAUUUUGAAAAUAGAAAGAUAUGGAUGUGUGCAUUUAAUGGUGUGUUUACUUACCGGAUUGAGGAAUCAGAAUCUGGAAUUAGAAUGAUUGAUGGUGUUUACUUCGCAAAUAUGGAGCAGGAAUCGGAACUGGAAUGGUGGGGCCCACCACUAUUUGGGAAUGAGAGAUUGAUUCCCAUGGGGGAAGGUGGGAACGAGUCUCCCAUUCCCUGGACUGACCAUUUUGCCCUCCCUCAAAAUUAAAAAUGCCUACUUUGUCCUCUUUUAUAAUUAAUUAAUAUAUAAAUAUUUUAAUAACUAUAAUUAUUAAAAAUUAUAGUUCUUGAAUAAAUAAUCACAAUAAUUAAUUUAUUAUUUUUAUUUUUAUUUUAAUUAAUUAAUAUACUAUUAUAAUAAUUAUAAAUAUAAUUAAUUUAUAUAUUAUUAUUAUUAUUAAUGAAUUAAUAUAAUUAUUACUAUUAAUUAAUAUAUUAAUAUAUUAUUAAAAAUAAUAUAUUAAUAAUUAUUGUUCGUGAACAAAUAAUCACAAUAAUUAAUAUACUAUUAUUUUAAUUAAUUAAUAUAAUUAAUUUAUAUAUUAUUAUUAUUAUUAAUGAAUUAAUAUAAUUAUUACUAUUAAUUAAUAUAUUAAUAUAUUAUUAAAAAUAAUAUAUUAAUAAUUAUUGUUCGUGAACAAAUAAUCACAAUAAUUAAUAUACUAUUAUUUUAAUUAAUUAAUAUACUAUUAUAAUAAUUAUUAAUAUAAUUACUAUAAUUAAUUCAUAUAUUAUUAUAAUUAAUUAAUUAAAUUAAUAUUAUUAAAUAAAUAAAUAAUAUAAUUAUUACUACUAAUUAGUAUAUUAAUAUAUUAUUAAAAAUAAUUAUAAUUUUUGAAUAAAUAAUCACAAUAAUUAAUAUAUUAUUUUAAUUAAGUAAUUAAUAUUAAUAUUAUUAGUUAAUAUAUUUUUAUAAUAAUUUUUAAUAUAGUUAUUAUAAUUAAUUAAAUUUUGUUACAAUUAAUUAAUAUAUUAGUUAAUAAUAAUUAUGACAAUAAUCCACUAAGUAUUUUUGAGUAAUUUGUUACAAUCUAAUUCAUUUUGAUUCCGAUUUCAAGACAAAGUAAACACAUUAAUGACAAUCUAGCUCAUUCCGAUUUCGAUUCCUACAGUUCAAGUAAACAACUUAUUUUGAUUUUCAUUACCUAUUUACAUUCCAGCCCAUUCUCAUUUCUUCCCAUUCUCAUUUCUGCCAAUUCCAAUUCCAGCUCAUUCCGAUUCCAGUUUAGUAAACGCAGCAUAAGAGUUAUCAUGAAAAUCAUACAAUUCAAUUUCCUGAAAUAUAUAUUUUAUUCACAUGUGCCAAAAGAAUAAAUAGAUAGAAAGUAAAUUUACAAUCCUCACUCCCUCACAAUUGUUAAAGUGAAUAUGCAUUACAACUGUGAACUGUCACUACUUUAGCCCCUUUUUUUUUUUCAAUUAUAGUGUGAUGGAGACAGUGAACAUCAAGGAUAAAGUGCUCUGCUGAAAGCGGAACUUCCUCUGGCUAAUUAAUUUGGAAGUAAAACAGAGAAUAAAGUCCUACAUGCCUUCUGAAAUUAGAAAUACAUUUUAUAUGCUUUAAUUAUGAUUAUUUGGUAGACUAUUGACCAAAAGACAUGUUAAAGUAUAAAACAGAGCGAUUAAAGAAAAAAAAAGGAGUGUUUGUGACGUAGAAUAACAAUUUGUAAGUAAAGUCCUAAUUUGAGUUGUCAAAAAGCAAAUAUAACAGGGAAGGUAAGAGGGAUGCAGAAACAGAAAACUAUUAGCUUAUCUUGAUUUUCCCACUAUAUUCAUUUUCGAUGCUUUUCAAACGAGAUUCUUUUAAUCCUUCUGGCGUCUGCAGCCCCUGGUCUUCUUAUAAAUUUCCAUCCCACAUCUGCACUAGGAACAAGUUGAUUGAAAUUAAAUAACAUUGGAGAUGACGGACAGAUGAGCCGUCAACUUGGUAAAAAAACUAUGUUAAUAUUGUUAAUAAUAAAAAAAAAUAUAAUAAUCAUUACAAAGAAUCAUAAAUUAGAAAAAUUAAUUAUUUUACAAUCUAUUUCGUAAGUAAGAUAAAUCUUGUAAUAAGUUAAGUUAUAACGUAAAAAAUAUUUUCAAUUUAUAAUCAUUUAAGAACUCAUUUAACAAUAAAAUCUUUCUUUUGAUCAAUUGGUCAUGCCACAGAGUAUCAUCUAUAUUCGUGGUGAUAUUAUUAUUACUCCGUAUUCUCAAAAAACACGAUUUAACAUUUAGAGAAAAUUCCUACCUUUUAAAAAGAACAUGUAUGCAACAGCUACCCAUACUUUAUCUUACCACGACAAAACUAAUGGUGACUAAAUCAAUUUUCUCGAAUAAAGCAAAAUUUCUUAAAAUUAAUUUAAUAUACAAAUAUGAUGACAUUUUGCAAAAAUUAGUUUUGGAAAAUAUAGUGACAAAAAAUAGUAAUGAUUAUUGUUUAGAUGUGUAAAUAGCCUAAACAUGAUCCCUAAUACCAAUAUCCACGUACAUCUUAACACCUUUCGUGAUAUUCUUUCAUUCAUGGUCACUGGUUCAAGAUUUGAAUUUGAUCAUUAAAUCAUGUUCAAUAAUAUUAGAGAUCCCAACAAUUAAGUACCAACUUAAAUCCUAAUGCUAUGUGUCAUUGACAAAUGUUGUGUCAUUUUUUGUUAACUGAGUGAUGAAUUUCUAGUUGAUAAAAUUACUUAAAAAUAUCUUAAAAAUCAGACAAUAGUUUGCUUAAUUUUUUGAAGCUAACUGCUCAAGAUGCUCUAUUAGAAAUGAUAACCUAAUUAUAUACAUAAAAAAUGAUGUAUUUUUUGCGGUGUUGAUAGUGAGAUUAUCAUUCAACAUGUUAAAAUAUGAAAACAUAUGGAAGAAGGUUGUAAAUUGAUUGAAUGAAAAUAUUUCAGUGAAGUCUAAAAAAUUUGGUACUUGUUAUCUUAUCGAAAGUUUUCUAAAUUACAUUCGUGGCACUGCCACUGCUUCCAUGUGAAGGUCAUUAAAAUUUGUGUUAGUUACCUAUAUGUUGAAUAAUAAUUUUAUUCAUGAAUUGUUGCUCAAUAUAGCAGUUUCUAGAUGAAUUUUCCUACAUGUUUGUCCUCAUAUGACCUAGAAUGCUGCUAUAUCAAUUGUAUUGGAAAUUAUUCAAGUGGGUUUGUGCUCUAUACCCCCACCAAAAUUUAAGCAAUCUACAGAACAUUCCUUGUGGAAAGAAACUUAUUUCGCUACUAGGUGGGAGUAGAUUUCUAAGCUAAUGCUCGGCAGAUCUCUAGGCUAUACUAAAAAGUGUAUGCACUUUGACUCUCAAUAUAUACGAGUGAUUCUAUGAUGACUGAAAACAUCAGUACAUGCAUGAUUUUAUAAGAAAGAAUAUUCUAAAAUUAUUUAUGUAUCACCAUUUGUAGUUGUACCCUCUCGAAUGAAGGUGCAAUCAGCAACUAAAAUGAAGCCCGAAAUGUACACGCGUGAGGCAGUUUUUCUAGAAGAUUGAUACUUCUCAAACUAGCAAACCGUACAAGUCCAAAGCUAGAAAAGGAGUGCUUCUAAGCAGAAAACAUUGAUUAAAACAGAAUACACACACACAUACCAGUAAAUUCAAAAUAGAAAAAGGAGUUCAACUGUUCAAGUUUGUGGACAAUAUUGCAACCGUGGCAUAUUUAUAGCAAAUCCUUGAAAUCUGCUAAAUAAACAAUGCCCUGUCUCAUGAAUCAAAGCCGAAUUAAAAUUGAAAUUGAAAGUCCGGCUGGUGUUGUUUCCCUCUCCAGUUUUGCCCACAUAAGUGAAGGGAAAUGAGAAUCAUAAAUUAAAAUCUGCUUUUACAGUUUUUUAUUAGAUAGAUAUAAAGGGAUCUUUUUUGUUUCUCUGCUGCAAUUUGUGGCUAUCCCACUCUGUUUUGCCACUCAAGCUUAGUCUACGUUGAGACAUAAUUUUGACAUCAGAAGCAACCUCAAUUAGUUUGGCAUUUUUAUGACCUCCUUGUACGUUUUACGAUAAACAUAAAUCUACUGAGAAAGUGUGAAAAAAAGAAAAUGCAUAUAAAAGUAUGAGUUAUCAGACAUGAUUAAAACUCACCCAAUUCAAUCCAUUAGAUUCCGUAAGGAUAUAACUGGAUGUCAUACCGCCACUCCAUAUCCUCGAAAGUCCGUAGUCUUUGUCUCAACUCUGUCUGAGGCCAAUGUAAAUCCAAUUUGCGCAAGCUCUUUAUGCACCACAGCUCUUCUGGAAGCUUUCUCAAGUAAGCACAUGGGUUGACAAUUAAGCUUUCAAGUUUUGGCAUUGCUCCAGCCCCCAUCGUCCACUCAUCUAGCCAAUACAUUGAUUUCAGGUGCAAAACCCUAAGUUCCAGAAAGCAACCAGAGCCAACGCAGGCCAGCUUUCUUCCUAAAUACGAGUUCUGUUUCAGUUUCAGCACUUGAAGGCUUGGAAGCUUUUCCAGCAUUGGCAUGGGAUCCUCCAUUAGCUCAGUAUUCGAUAAGCUCAGAUGGCUCAGACUUGGAGGAAAUUGGUAUUCAGACAGGACAAUCCGUGAGCGCUUGCUCUCAUUCACCAGCUUCAAGCAUUCAAGUUUGUGGAGUUCGCAUAGGCUUUUGGAAACCCCAGAGUGAUAGCAACUCAAAUCUCCAGAUAUCCGAAGAGUUUGAACAUUAGGCAGUCUGCCCAAUAUAUCUGGAGUACAACUACUAGGGUGUAAGGCUGAUAUGAAAAUGAGAUUUUUCAGAGAGCUGCAAUAAUUUUUUGGAGGUGCAGGCAGAGUGAUGGAACCGAAGUUUAGAUGCAUGAGUUUUUGCAUCAUCCAAAUAUCCUCUGGUGAAUGAUCUAUGUAGCUUGAUGGCAUUUGUAGUGUUUGAAGGUUUAAAAGGGUGCAUAGCAUUGAAGGAAGGCAUUUGAGCGAAGGGAUAUUCAAUUUCAAAUACUUCAAAAGGAAUAAAUUUUCUAAUCCGGGUGGAAAUUGGUCGAGAACUGCAGAACCGAAGUUCAGUACCCGAAGGUGUUUGAACUUUUUACAAAAAUUCUCGCAAUCUAUAAGAGCGAGAUGAUCGCUUUCUGAACUGUGAUUCAGAAAAGAUUGGAGAUACAUGUCAGAAUAUUCUAAAGAAAGGAACUCAAUCAGAUCUUCCAAAAUGAAGCACCGUUUAACAUUUGCCAGUGAUUCCUCUUCCAUGUCAGGCGUCCAGACAAAUCUCGUCUUCUCUACUACCAAAGCCAAUAACGUAUAUACAAAACUUGGAACAUAACACGCUUUAAUUGUGCCGCCGGCGCUUCUCUUACUCACUUGAAUGAAGCCGCGAUGGAUUAGUUCUUUCAAGUAAUGUUCGGCAGUUUCUUCACCGUUGUAUGGUAUGAAACCUUCAGCUACCCACAACUGAUAUAAUUGCCUCGUUGAUAUCUCAUUGCAUGAAAGGAAGACACACAAAUAGAUGCAGCAGAUUUUCAAGUGAAAAGGUAACUCCAUCACAGAAAAAAGUUGUCUCCAAACUGUCGGAAUCGUUUCGCCUUGAAGAUAAUUUUCUAAGGGCAUACUUCCAUAGUGUAGGAUGAAAAAUUGCCAGGCCUCAUGCUUUAAUCUGAUCAAUGGUCCUCCUACGAUCACUGAAUCAAGCCGAAUCUUCUCUCCGUUUUCCAUUUCCAACAGCGUAAGGAGGUGUGGAUUAGUGACCAAUAUCAAUACUCUGCUUCCAUUCUGAUUAUCAGGAAGAACUUCUUCAAGAUCACUCCAUAUCUCACUGUCAUCGAAGACAUCAUCAAGCACAAUAAAGUACUUCCUGUUUGUUAGGUAAUCUCGAAGAAUAGAUUUCUUCAAUUGAUAAUCUUCCCCGAUAAUUACACUAACCCGAGAUGGAGGCAUCACAGACUUGAUUAUGUCAUCCAAUAUCUUGCGAAAAUCGUAGGCUACAGAAACCCUUACCCAAGCAUGACAGUCAAAAUAGAACUUGAUAUGGUUAUUAUUGUAAGUAUCUGCAGCAAAAGCAGUCUUAUCGAAGCCACUGCUGUCGAGAAUUGUAACCACUGCAAGCCGACGAUGUCCUAAAUCAAUAAAUCAAACAACUCCUCUCUGCCACUUUCAAAUUCAUUGAUAUCAAGCCGAGGUUGUCCCUCACUCAAUAGGCGAAUGAUUUUGUUUCUUUGUUCACUGACAUCAAAACCAUUGUCGCCGGGUGGAAGUUGUUGCAUCCGAUUACUAAUAUCAAUGAUUUUACUCUGGAGUCCAUCAAGAAGAGCCAUAUUAGUGCUGCUUUUACUUUCGUUUUCACUGUUUUGCUGCUGCAUGAUGUUGAUGAAGAAUCUGUCAAUGGCUUCCUCAGAUUCAUGGACAAAGCGAUUGAUGUCCUCCAGAAUUUCCAAAAUAUCUGGUCUUUUAACGUCUUCUUCAUCGCUUUCUUCUAAGUCCAACAGUUGCAAAAGAGGCAAAGAUAUUUUGGAGUCAUCGAAUUCUUCUCUAAUGAGUUGAAAGAAAUGCCGAGCCAUGUCAGAUUCAUAUUUUCCCAGCAGAGUAGUUGCAAUAAUUUCGGACUCCGUAAGAAGGUUUUGAAAAAGUGGGGUUAAAUUUGUUGAAUCAGGCAGUGUUAACGUGCCUUCUUCUCCUACUACCACCCUUUUCAACCUCUCACAAAAUAAUCGGAGGUGGGCGUCCAGCAUAUCUCCUCCUGUCUGUAGCAGCCAGAGGUAUUGUUAUUUGCUCCAAGAAAUGUUAAAAGGAUUGGUCCUACCUCAAAGUGGUUAGUGGUGUAAAAUUAAACACCAUGGGAGAAUUUGAAAGGAAGAUGCCAAGAAACUGGCAAAGUGGCUAAAUUCCACAAAUACGGCAUUAUUGCUCAUUUUUAACUCAACAAAUUGAUACGCGUUCAUUUAGAGAAAAGUCGAAGACGCGUGCCUUUUGAAAAGAACAAGUAUCCAAUAGGUAUCCAACCUUUAUCUUAUUUAAUUACUACCAUGACAUGAUUGAUGGUGCUUAAAUCAAUUGUUUCUUUUUUAAUUUAAAGAUUUUUUCAUUAAAAAAUAAUUUAAUAUCACAUUGCCUUCAAUGGCGUAACGGCCGCAAGCCCAGUAACUAGAUUAAUUAAAAUGAAAUUAUGAUUGCACUACUUUUUUAUUUAUUUAUUUAUCUAAUCACUAUAAAAUUUUAACAUAUUUUAUUUACUAUAUUUUUUUUAAAUUUGCAUCAAUUAGUCACUUUUACACUAAUACCGUUAAAUAAUUUAAACGGAAUGAUAAUUUUACCCCUAAAUAAAAUUAAAAGUUCAUUUUAUUUUAUAAAAACUUUGAAAAUAAAAAAUUAUAAUUAUAAAAUAUCCCUAAAUUUAAUAAAGAAAUAAAUCCCAAAAUUAGAAUGUUUAUUUUUAAUAAAAAUUAUUUUAAUAAAAAAUUAUAAUUAGAAAAAUAAUUACAAAAUUUUGGGAUUUAAUAAAAAUCCCCUAAAUGAUUAAAAUUUUAGGAUUUAUUUUUUAAUAAAUAAAUUCAGUUAUUUUAAUAAAAUUUUGCAAAAUUAUAAUUUUUAAUAAAUAAAUUCACUUAUUUUUAUUAUAAUUUUAAAAAAAUUUAAAUUUUUAAUAAAAAUAAUUAUUAAAAUUUUACAACAUCUAAAUUGAAUAAAAAUCAGCUGAGCACCUAUAUUUUGUAUUUAUUUUUAUUAAAUUUAGGGGUAUUUUUAUAAUUAUAAUUUUUUAUUUUUCAAAGCUUUAUAAGAUAAAAUGGUCUUUUAAUUUAUUUAGGGGUAAAAUUAUCAUUUCGUUUUAAUUAUUUAACGGUGUUAGUGCAAAAGUGGCUAAUUGAUACAAAUUUGAAAAGAAAUGUGGCGCAGAGAACAUAUUAAAAUUUUGUGGUGGUUGGAUGAACAUAAGGCAACAGAAAGGUGGUGCAAUAAUAAUUUCCCUAAUUAAAAUUUUAGAAUUUUUGGGCAUGGAUAGAGUAGUUUUAAUUAUGUUAAAGAAUUGAUAUUGACAUAAUUUUAUUUUGGUUUUCAACGAAAAAAAAUUUGUUGACAAGUAAGAAAAUAUUUUUUUUUUACUUUACAAUCGGUUAUACAUGUUUUAUCAUAUUAAAGUAAUUUUAAUAAUAAAUAGAAACAUAAUAUUACAAUAAAUAAAUUAAAGUUUAAGUUAUUUUGAAUAUUAAAAAAAUAAUUUUAAUAUUAUUAAUAGGGAGGCAUUUUGUUAAUUGUAAAAUCUUGUUAACCCAAAGGUUAUUUAAAAUCUUUCUAAUAAAUACAAAUAUAAAAUUAAAUAUCAUAAUUUAAAAUAUUUAAUACUAUAUUCAAUGUAAAAAUAUUUUAAUGUUGUUAAUAUACUACAUAGAUUAUAUUACUUAUAUUAUAUUUAUAUUGAUUAAAAAUUUUUAAAAUUAAUUUUCUAGUUACUAUAUUCAUAAGGUAUUCUGGUUAAAGAAAAUAUCUUGAUAUUACUUUUUGAAAAUUUGAGAGCCUGCAUGACAAUUUUUUCAAAUUUUAAGGAUGUAAUUAUCCUUUUUUCCAUAAUUUAUUUCAAUUUUGAGGGAAUCCAAUAAGAAAUAUGGCAGGAGAAUGUCAAUAGGCGAAUGAUUUUGUUACUUUGUUCACUGAUCUCAAAACCAUCGUCGCCGGGUGGAAGUUGUUGCAUCCGAUUACUAAUAUCAAUGAUUUUACUGUGGAGUCCAUCAAGAAGAGCCAUAUUAGUACUGCUUUCACUUUCGUUUUCACUGGUUUGCUGCUGCUUGUUGUUGAUGAAGAAUGUGUCAAUGGACAAAGUUAUUGAUGUCCUCCAGAAUUCCAAAAAUAUCUGCUGUUUCAACGUCUUCUUCAUCGCUUUCUUCUAAGUCCAACAGUUGCAAAAAAGGCAAAGAUAUUUUGGAGUCAUCGAAUUCUUCUCUAAUGAGUUGAAACAAAAGCCGAGCCAUGUCAGCUUCAUAGUUUCCCACCAGAGUAGUAGCAAUGAUUUCUGACUCCGUAAGAAGGUUUUGAAAAAGUGGUGUCAAAUUUGUUGAAUCUGGCAACGGCAACGCGCCUUCUUCACCUGCCAACACCCUUUUCAACCUCUCACAAAACAGUCGGAGGUGGAAUUCCAGCAUAUCUCCUUCUCUCCGUAGCACUCAGAGGUAUAGUUGAAAGAUUAAACACCAUGGAAGAAUUUGAAAGGAAUAUGCCAAGAAACUGUGUAAGUGGCUAAAUUCCACAAAUAUGACAUUAUUGCUCUUUUUUGAACUCAAAAAAAUGGUACGCGUUCAUUUAGAGAAAAGAACAGGUAUCCCAAUCGAUAUCCAACCUUUAUCUUAUUUAAUUACUACCAUGACAUGAUUGAUGAUGCUUAAAUCAAUUGUUUCUUUUUUAAUUUAAAGAAUUUUUCAUUAAAAAAAUAUUUUGAUAUCUAAUACCCUUCAAUGGCAUAUCUGCCGCAAGCCCAGAACAGGAUUAAUGAAUUUUUUUUUUAAUUUUUUGGGCAUGGAAAGAGCAGUAUUAAACAUCAGAAAGCUAAGGUUGUUCUGUUAAAAAAUUGAUAUUGACAUAAUUUUAUUUUGGUUUCGGGGAAAAAAAUAUUUUCUGAAAAGCAAGAAAAUAUUUUUAUAUUUUACAAUUUAUUAUACAUAUUUUAUCGUAUUAAAUUAAUUUUAAUAAUAAAUAGAAACAAAAUAUUACGAUAAAUAAAUUAAAGUUUAAAUUGUUUUGAAUAUUAUAAAAAAUAAUUAUAAUAUUAUUAAUAGGAAGACAUUUUGUUAAUUUUAAAUUUUUUUAACCCAAAGGUUUAUUUAAAAUCUUUAUUAUAAAUACAAAUAUAAAAUUAAAUAUCAUAAUUUAAAAAAUUUAAUAUUAUUUUAAGUAUUAAAAAUAAUUUAAUGUUAUUAGUCUACUAUAUAGAUCACAUUACUUAUAUUAUAUUUGUAAUGAUUAAAAAAUUUUUAAAUCAAUUUUCUAGUUAAUAUAUUCACGAGGUAUUAUGGUUAAAGAAAAGACCUUGGUGUUACUUUUUAAAAAUUUGAGCGCAUGCAUGAUAAUUUUUUCAAAAUUUAAGAAUGUAUGUGUCCUUUUCUCCAAUAAUUUAUUUCACUUUUGAGGGGAAUCCAAUGAGAAAUAUGAUAAGAGAAUGUCAAUUACUUGUCAUUUUCUAUUUUUUCUGUAAGGUAUUUAUUUUGAGCAUUGGUGAUCUUGUCUGGACUACUCCAAUUAUUGAUGGAACUCCAAUGGCUGCAUCCACAGUUGAAUAUAUGAUGGUGUUAGCUCUUACUUGAGAAUUCAGAGGGAUCUUUCUAUGUUUCUCAAUUGCAAUGUGCUAGUAUAAAUUUCUUUACCUUACAGUUUAUAUAGUCUUGCUGUUAAUGAACUCACUGAGGCAUUAUUGAUUCAAUUUCAGUGGAGCAAUCGCGGGUGAAGGAUAAAUAAAGGAUAACAGAACAGAGCUGAAGUGCUAAAUUGGCUAUUGAAGAAGGUUUUCACAUGAUCACAAUUAUGUAAAAUAAUCAUUUUUCUGAAAUUGUGUUUCCUAAAAUUAAUAAAUUUCCUUUUUUUUAAAAAAAAAAAAAAACUCUUCUACGACGUGGUUGCACAGCAAAUUAGAGAAUUAUAGGGUCUCUAAUCAAUACUCCAACCAAUAAUGAUAUGUGCACAAAAAAUAGUAUCAAUCACAACAAGAUUAAAAUUAAAAAAAGUAACUAUAAGAUGGAAAAAAAAAUUAUUACAAGAAAAUAAUUUUUUUGUCUUUUCUAUCUUUUAUACUAUUUUUGUUUAUAUGUACUCUAAAUUCAGCCAAACCAUACAUGCAUGAACAAAAAUUAAACCGUCGUUCUAAUCACAACAGUAAUUGAAGCUACAAAAGCCAGCAAAUCUGAACGAAGACUUAAAAGAAAGAUCUUAUUCAAGUUUGUCCCCAAAAGACAGCUGAAAUGAAAAAUAUUGACUAUUGAAUGGGUCAAUGCCGAAUUACAUUUCAAAUGGAAAGCUUGGCAGCAGUUACAAUGUUUCCCCCUCUGAUUUUCCUCCAAAACAAAUUCAGUUGUAAACAAUAACCGAAGUAGUAAUAAUUUAUUCAUCAAAGAAAAUACCCCCAAGUUUUCAACUAAAAAAUCCUCUUGUCCAAACUAAAAGAACUCAUAUCUCUAAAAUCUAUCUGCAAAAUGUUGGGAAUGAGGAGUGAUCUGUCAACUCCGUAAAUAAACUCAUGCAUAAUGUUAACAAUAAUGAUAAAUUACAUAAUAAUUAUUAUAAAGAAUCAUAAAUUGGAAACACUAAUCAUUCUACAAUCUAUUAUAUAAGCAAGAUAAAUCUCAUAAUAAGUUAAGUUAUAAUGUAAUAAAUAUUUUCAAUAUAUAAUUAUUUAAGAAGUCAUUUAACAAUAAAAUAAUUUUUUUAAAUCAGUUGAUCAUACAGCGUUAUCUAAACUCCUGACGAUAUUAUUAUUACUCACUUUUCUCAAAAAAAUAUGAUUAAUGUUUAGAGAAAAGUCAUGCAUUUUAGAAAAAAUAUGUAUACUAGCUAUCCGUACUUUAUCUUACCGUGACAAAAUUGAUGGUGAUUAAAUCUAUUUUUAAAAUAGAUUUAAUUCACAAAUAUGGUGACUUUUGGCAAAAAUUAUUUUCAGAAGAUAUAGUGGCAGAAAAUAGUGAUAAUUAUUGUUUAAAUGUGUAAAUAGCCUAAGUAUAGCCCAUAAUACCAAUAUCCAUUUGCACCUUCAUUUGGUUUAUCACAUUUCAUGAUAUUCUUUCAUUCAUGACCAUUGUUCAAGAUUUUAAUUUGAUUAUAAAUUAAGUUGCAAGGGAGCUUACUUCAGUCUCUAAGCUUUUCAAUCGUGAUUCCUGCAUGCCAACGUAACUGACCUUAUAAUUGGUCUGUAUAAGAAAUCAAGCCCUUUCAGGAUCGUUUUCUUUUUCUCCCUAUUGUAGUAGUCAACUAAAUAAAGAAUGAACAACUAAACUUGGUCUAUUUCGAGGAAGACUAAGGCUUCCAAUACUAGAUGAACUUUGAAGAAAAUUAAUCCGUUGUUUUUAUUCAUCUUUGGACUAUGAAUAUAUACAAAGACUUUAACAGAAAAUAACAAAGACACAGCUAAAUGCACUACUAAAAAAAUGAGUUUUACUGACACUAAUUUAGCGUCAGUAAUUACUUUUAUUGACACUUGUUAAUUGUGUCAGUGUUGCUCAAGCCAGAACACACUGACACUAAUUUUUGAUGUCAAUAAUUUUUGUGUCAGUAAUUUGUUUCACUAUAGUAUCACUAAAAUAAUGACACGAUGAUGUUGGUAUUUAAUAAUACUAUUUACACGUCAGUAAUUUAUGUGACUAUAGUAUCAAAAACUGACUCGAUAAUAUAAAAAAUUCUUAUUGUUAUUUUAAAUAUGUAGUGUCAGUAUUUAGUAAUGUUAUGCUGCUUUUGGUUAAUAGUAUAUUUUUUAUUUUAAUUAUAUUUUUCGUGUUUGUUGUACAACCAAAAGAAAACUCGAAAUAUAUUUAUUAUUAAAUAUCUUGCAACACAAUUCAUAUAAUAAACAUCUCAAAUACAUCACUUAAAUUCACACAAUUCAACUACAUCACUAUGUGUAAAAGACUUAACAUAAGUAUCAAAUUAAAUUUUCAACAAUCUCUAAACAACAAGUGCUAACUACUACUCAAUUAAGUUUCCAACCCAAAAGAAAAAAAAAAAAGCACAAGGUCACUCAAUAUCCAUCCACGGCUUCAUUUUGUUCCCACCUACAAAUGCAUAAAAUCAAUUAGUAUACUGUGAAAAAUAAAUCUUAGUUAUUUUGAAGCAAAAAUACUCAUAAAUUACUUCAACAUGGAAGAGUAGGAUUAAAAGAAGCAAGUUAAGGAAUCAGAAAAAGAAAUUGUAGAAUCUACACGUUCCCAAGUUAAUUACAGCCUGCAAUCAUGAUACCACAAAUUGCUUCACCAAAAGUAUUCUAUCAAGUAUUAAAGAGAACACUUAAUAAGUACAUCAAUAUUUAGUAAUGAUGACAUGAACAAUGGUGUCUACAACUUGACAAGCAUAAGUUAUUUUUUUUGUAAUCUAUUUCAUUGUCUAAAUUUAAAGUAAACAAUGCUAUAAUAUAUGAUCAAGUACAUUAAGUUAACAAGCACUAUAACAUUUAUUUAGCCCACAUUCAACGAUGAUCAGUUGGACCGAAAGCCAUAAAUUGAAAAACAAAAGAUAUUUAAUGAGCUUAAAGAGGAAAAAUAAAAGUUAACAAAAUUUAAACGACUAAUGAAGAAAUUAACCAAGCCGAGAUGAAAAACAGAAAUAGAAGGCCACUAUAAGCCAAACAUUACAAAUCAGGUUGCUUUUUAAGACACGAACCCAGUUUCCAAUUACAGUACUUUGCAAUUCUUUAAAAAAAAAAGGGUUUCCCAAUUACUAAAUCUUUUUAGGUUUGAAGUGGAUUGAUAAUUAAAUUGAUGAAAGAAAGGAAAGUGAAGCAAAAAUUAGAUUCAAGUAUGGGUCAAGUAAAAAAGUAAAAGAUAAAAAUCAGAUUCAGUGCAAACCUGGGUUUCAAAUGAUUAGCAAAGGAACAACUUCUUCUUUCUUCAAUCUAAUAUUCUUCUUCGAACAUGGAAUACUAACAAAAUACAAUUAGUAAUUCAUAAACAUAUAGUAAAAUGAGAUAGGUAUUUUUUGAGAGGAGAUUGAGAAAUACAUAUUUGAUUGAAGAAAGAAAACACAACAAAAAAAAAGGACCAGGUCUCCUCAAAGAAAAGCAAAAUGGGAAAAUAGGGGAAUAGUCUAUACAAAAGCCAACCCACCACCCUUGGAGGACCAUCCUUCUUCUGAGCAAAAAUCUAUACAAGAUUAGCCCAAACCUCCAAUAUAGUAAAAUGGGUUCGACAGACUAUUUCUAAUCUGUCAUUUGCAAAGUAAAGCUAAAAUUAGAAUUGUCUACUAACAACCUUCCUAUAGUUUGUCCACUAUAUUAUUACUAUAUUAUUAGAUGUAAAAUGCCCACUAUAAAAGGUAAUUAAUAGAGAAACUUCUCUGUAGUAUUUUCAUACCUGUGCCAAAACAGAGAAGAGAAAGAAAUGGUGUCUGACCUCGGUGGUAAAGGAACCGCUAUGGUAAAGGAUCGAACAUGGAUGAAAAAUAAACUUGUGCAAAUGGAGCCACCAGCAUUUUGCAAGAAUUAAAGAUUUUGGGUGAAAUCCUCUCUUAUAAACACUUAUUUGUAUUGGGAGCAUGCAUACUUCCGAGUAUGAUAUAAUUCUAUAAAAUUUAGACUCCUGAUAGAUAGAUAGAUAACACGUAUUAGCAUUAAUUAAAUGGAAGCAUCAACAAUAAUCAAUAAAUCAUUAUAGAAAAAAAAUUAAAAAUGAAAGGAGCUGAGGCACACCAUUGUGAUGCAAGAUUGACAAUCAAAAGAACCUUUCCUUUGUAGAUGCUAAGAUCAACAUCCUGUCCCUUCGCAUCCUGCAAAUAAGAUAAAUUUUUAUAAAAAUUAAAAAAUAUAUCUGUCAAAUCCCAAAUUGAAUUAAAAAUCAAAACAAGGGAAAGAAAAUGAAAGGAACAUGUCAUCAAAUUGUAGGUGGCUGGUGGUGCUUUUUAGUGAAGUGUUUGUAGAACUGUUAGAUGUAACCAUUCUUUACGCAUCAACUUCGCUAGUGAUUUGAUUUGAUGAAGAGGAUCUUUCCUUAUCUAGUUAUCUUCUUGUGUAGAUCCAUGUAGGAUUCCUUCACGAUUUCUUUUUUUUUUUUUUGGGGGGGGGGGGGGGGAGGUUUAAUUAACAAAACAAUAAGAGUAAAUGAGGAAUCAAUCCCUAAUUUAAGGCCUUCUAAGAUUGCUGAAGCUCUGCAUAAUCAAUGUCUCCAAGAAAAAGGUUUAUUUGCAGGCUGUAGCAGCAAUUUUCUUCCCCAUGAAAUCCAACUGAUCCAUUUGUAUUGAAUUUAAGCACACGCCUGAGGCUGGAAAAGACAAAGAAAUUAAUGAAAACAGGCUAUGUAUCUUUUUUACUUAUCAUUGCUCUAUGAAUUAAUUAUGCUACUAAUCACGACGCCGUUUAAAUCUUAGAACAAUAAUAAUCUUUUAGCAACAAAUAUGACGGUUCAAUAAUAUGUUCCGACUAGGGAUGUCAUAUUGUGAGGGCUGUUAAGUUUAAGAAACGAUCAAAUCUAAUUUUGUGUUCCAAAAACUCAUUGGCUUAACAGAUUAACUCCUCUGUAGUAUUUUCAUACCUGUGCCAAAAGAGAGAAGAGAAAGAAAUGGUUCUUGAUCUCGACGGUAAAGGAGCGGUGGCUGGCUGGGCUGAAGUUGAUGUGACGGCAUAAAAGCGGUAGCAGCGACAUACUGAAAGGUGGCUAGCUAGUCGUAGGUGGCUGAAGCUUGACAACAGUAGAGCAAAGGCGGCAGUGACGUCAAGGAACGGCGGCCGACAGCAGUGAAAGUCGAGGAGCAGCGGCCGGCAGCAGUGAAAGUCGAGGAGCAGCGGCCGGCAGCAGUGAAAGCCGAGGAGCAGCGGCCGGCAGUAGUGAAAGUCGAGGAGCAGGGGAGCGGUCGGCAGCAGUGAAAGUCGAGGAGCAGGGGAGCGGCGGCAGCAACUUAAGAAGUGGUGUGUUUGAUUCGGUUAGAUUUAGGGUUUCUUAUUUUCAUUUUAUACUUUGAAAAAUUAUACAGUGUAAUUGUUCGCAUUGUAAUUUAAUAAAACAACAAACUACAAGUCAACAUGUGGUCAAGUAAAAUUAUUAUUAUUAACAACGAAUUACAAGUUGACAUGUGGCAAAAUAAAAAAUAUUAUUCUCAAAACUAUUAUUAUUAUUAUUAUUAUUAUUAUUAUUAUUAUUAUUAUUAUUAUUAUUAUUAUUAUUAUUGUCCACAAAGUAAUUGUGUAAAAUUUAAUUAAAUAAAAAAAUUAAUCAAAUUGAAAAUUUAAAAACACAUGCAUCAAUGGUUUGCACUCUAAACUUACAAAUUUUAAGUUUAGAGAUCUUGAGUUCGAGUUCAAAUUAAAACAAAAUUAAUAUUAUUAUUUUUUUAUCACUGAUGCUUUAGUAUCAAUAAUCAUUGAAUUUUAAGCUACUGACACCUUAGUAUCAAUGAUUUAUGAUACAUACUUGUUAAAGGCGGAAAAUGGUCCAAACGUACACCAUUUCUGACACUUUUUACUAAGUGUCAGAAACAAAGUGUCAGUAAAUGUCAUUUUUGUAGUAGUGAUGAUAGCAAUAAGUGCUGACUUAGACACUUAGUGGACCGCUUCUACAAGUAAAUAAAAACUAAAUAUUUAUUUUGACUAUAACAACAACUACGCUGAUGAAUAGGAUUUCACAGCAGCCACGUGAGAACUAAUUUCUCCUUAAUAUUAUUAUUAGUAGAAGUAGAUUUUCAAACUAGUCUUGAUAUAUUUCAAAGUUGUAUUAUCAAUGUAUAUGUGUCUAGAUUGUAACUAUACUUUAAAAAAUAUAAAAUUUUUAAUUAUUGCACAAUAUAUGUAGAAAAAUAUCUAUAAAAUGAUAUUAUUAGGACUAAGAAUUUUUUAUUUUAUUUUAGAUAAGUUAUUUAUUUAUUAUCGAAUGAAUAAUUUAUUAAUUUAUUGAUAAAUGAAUAUUUAUUAAUUUAAAGAGAGAUUUUUUUGGUUUUAACAAGAGUUUGUUUGGUAAAUGUACACACUUAUAAAGAAACAUAAAAAGUGGUUCCUCAAGUCAAUAGUGUUUGCUUCAAUCGCAACGGUUCAUAAUAAUAUAGCUUAGUUAGGAAAUUUGUAAUUAUACUAUAACUUUGUUUGGUACAACUUUUCAAGUAAAACUUAUUUAAGUAGAGUUGUUAUUAGUAGAGCUUUUAUAAAUAAAGCUUUUACUAAAAAAAAUUUAAUUGUUUGGUUGUCAAUGUCCAAAUUGAUAAACUUUUGUUCUUUUGUUAAGAUAUGUUUGUUUUACUUAAUAAUAGCAUCGGCAAGAGUUUUCGAUUGUUGCAACUUGCAAUGCACGCGGUGAGAGAAAAUGAGAAUCUUGUUUAAUUGUCAAUAAUGACAAACCUAAUCCUUUCAUUAGGAGUAAUUUAAUAAUCGUUUGUUAUAACUGAAUAUGUAUAAAGAAAGGAAAAUUCUAUUCAUAGAUUUCGACUUAUUUUUUGUUUAAAGUAAUUAAUCAUUCAACCAUCUUCAUUUGCCUCUGGCCAAUGCCCUUGUAGAUUAGUUGAAGCGUUAAUUACUUAAUUAUGAUUAUAUACAUUUUCAUAUAGCAAGUGGCAUUGUAGAUCUAAACUAAGUUGCUAUUUCAAUACCAGCAAAUUCAAAAUAGAAAAGGAGUGCAACUAUUUAACUUUGUAGACAAUAUUGCAACCAUGGCAUAUUUAUAGCAAAUCCUUGAAAUCUGCUAAACAAAACAAUGCCCUGUCUCAUGAAUCGAUGCUCAAUUAAAAUUUAAAUUGAAAGUCCGGCUGGUGUUGUUUUCCUCUCCAGUUUUGCCUACAUAAGUAAAGGGAAAUAAGAAUCAUAAGUGAAAAUAUGCUUUGACAGGUCUUAUUUCUUUGUUUCUCUACUGCAGUUUUGCCUACUCAAGCUGAGUCUACGUUGAGACAUAAUUUCAGUAUUGAGGUAACAAUAAUUUCGGACUCCGUAAGAAGGUUUUGAAAAAGUGGAGUCACAUUUGUUGAAUCAGGCAACGUCAACGUGCCUUCUUCACCUGCUAACACCCUUUUCAACCUCUCACAAAAUAGUCGGAGGUGGACGUCCAGCAUAUCUCCUUCUCUCUGUAGCACCCAGAGGUAACAGGAUUAAUUAAAAAUUUUAGAAUUGUUGGGCGUGGAAAGAGUAGUAUUAAACAUCAGAAAGCAAGGUUGUUCUGCUAAAGAAUUGAUUUGUUGACAUAAUUUUUUUUUUUUUUUUUUGGUUUUCGAGGAAAAAGGCAUAUUUGUUGACAAGCAAGAAAAUGUUUUUGUAUUUUACAAUCUGUUAUACAUAUUUCAUCAUAUUAAAGUAAUUUUAAUAAUAAAUAGAAACAUAAUAUUAUGAUAAAUAAAUUAAAGUUUAAAUUAUUUUGAAUAUUAUAAAAAAAUAAUUCUAAUAUUGUUAAUAGGAACAUAUUUUGUUAAUUGUAAAAUCUUUUUAAUCCAAAGAUUUAUUUAAAAUCUUUAUAAUAAAUACAAAUAUAAAAUUAAAAUAAAUAUCAUAAUUUAAAAUUUUUAAUAUUAUUUUCAAUAUUAAAAUAUUUUAAUGUUAUUAGUCUACUAUGUAAGGUAUCAGAGCCAUACCCAUCCUUGAAUGGGUCAAUGCUGAAUUACACUUGAAAUGGAAAGCUUGCUGCAGUUACGAUAUUUCCCCCUCUGAUUUUUCUCCAAAACAAAUUCAGUUGUAAACAAUAACCGAAGUAGCAAUAAUUCAUUCAUCAAAGAAAAUACUCAAAUUUUCAACUAACAAAUCCUCUUAUCUAAACUAAUUAAAAAAAACUCAUAUCUCAAAAAUCUAUCUACAAAAUGUUGGAAAUAAAGGGUGAUCCGUCAACUCGAUAAAUAUACUCAUGCAUAAUGCUAACAAUAUGAUAAAUUACAUCAUAACUAUUAUAAAGAAUCAUAAAUUGGAAACACUAAUCAUUCUACAAUCUAUUAUAUAACUAAGAUAAAUCUUAUAAUAAGUUAAGUUAGAACAUAAUAAAUAUUUUCAAUAUAUAUAAUUAUUUAAGAAGUCUUUUAACAAUAAAUUUUUUUUCUUUUUCAGUUGAUCAUGUCAUAUAGCGUUAAUGGUGAUUAGUGACUGAUUACAAAGCAAAAUUGUUUAAAAUAGAUUUAAUGCACAAAUAUGAUGAAUUUUGGCAAAAAUUAGUUUCGGAAAUGUUGGGAUGAAAACCAUAUUAGUUGAGACUUAAAGUUACUUAAUAAAAUUAUAUCACUACCAUUCAAUGGAUGAAAACUAUUUUAGUUGAGACUUAAAUUUAGAUUUAAAUGUUGAGAUAUCUAGUAUUACUCAAUCAGAAUAAACAAGAACCAAUUCUGACUAUCAUGUAGAAGCAAAUAUUUAUGCUUGGAUUUUUUACUUCUUGAAUUUGAUUGGAAAAGUUUCUGAGACAGAGAAGUGUUUUGGAUAAUCUUUUUCGGGAUUGAAACCACAAAUUGGUCGAGGAAAUUAAUUUUGGACAAAUUUUUAUUGAGUUGUGCUAAACAUCAAGAAGGGCGAGAGAAUGCUGAGAGAAACGGCAGCUUUGUGCUGCUGUUUCGACUUCUCACUCUCUCGCCAUUCUAAUAAUUUUUUAUUAUUAAAAAUAAAAAAGCGGAGAAAAUGAUAGCAGACAACCCACAUCUACCAAAUCUCCAUCACUCCAUCACUCUCUUUCUCUCUCUCCCUCUCUUGAUUUUCAUCCUCUCUCUGGCUUCCUCACUCUCUACGGCUCCCCAUCAAGCUUCCUCAGUCUCUUCGGCCUCACUAUCUCUAGCCUCACUCUCUCCAGAUUCUUUCAUUUUCUCCUUUUUUUUAUAUUUUUAACAAUAAAAAAUUAGCAUUCUGCUGAGAAAGAGAGUGGUACACGACUCUUGAACAAUUUUUUUUCUGUCGUGAUCGUCUAUCAAACCACCUAAAAAUGAGCCAAGGGGGUUCUCAGCCCUAGCAGCUCACGUACUUUCAAGAUUUAGAGUAUGGUUCCAGUCCAAGCUAUUUAAUUAGUAUUGGGAUUCGAUUUAGUUGUUCUUCUAAUUUAAUAGGAUAAAGAAUUUAAUUGGAGAAAUGUCAUUAAUAUCAUAGGAGCAUAUAUAUUGUUUUGAUUUAAAUAUUGCUAUUUUUUUAUUGUUGAAAAAAAAAACACUAGAAAAUGGGAAGCCAAAAUCUUAGCCCUGUGUUUUUACUUUUACUUUUCUCUUAAACAUUUUAAAGAUGUAAAGGAAAAUGCUCAGAAUGGUGAGAGAGUGAUGGACGUGAUGGGCUAUCUUCUAUCCUUUUUUUAAUAAAUUUUUAAGAAUAAAAAAUUUAUUAAAACAGUAAGAGAGCGAAACCAAAACGGCAGCUUGUGCUGUCGUUUCUCUUAACAUUCUCUCGUCAUUCUUGAUGUUAAGCAUUUUCCAUUUUUAUUAUGUUGUAGCACCUUUUUGGUUCCUUUUGUGUCGGCAGCCCCUUACUAUUCUCUUAACCCUGAGUUUGAGAUAGAAAUUUCCCGAACUCCAACCCCACAUCCACAGACAAGUUGAUUCAAACAAUUGCUCUUUUAAUUAAGAGAAUGAGUUAGGUUUCAGUUCUUAUUGUUGUCUGUUAUUUCUCUGAAUCAUUAAUUUUGAGCAUUACUGAUCUUAGUUAUCUGUAUUUCUCCAAUUAUUGAAGAAUUUAUUAUUGAAUGAAUAAUUUAUUAAUUUAUUGAUAAAUGAAUAUUUAUUAAUUUAAAGAGAGAUUAUUUUGGUUUUAAGAAGAGUUUAUUUGGCACAUGUACACACUUAUAAAGAAACACAAAAAGUGCCUGCUCAAGUCAAUAGUUUUGGUACAUUUACACACUUAUAAAGAAACACAAAAAGUGCUUGCUCAAGUCAAUAGUAUUUGCUUUAAUCGCUAUAGUUCAUAAUAAUAUAGCUUAGUUAGGAAAUUUGUAAUUAUACUAUGGCUCCGAUUGGUACAACUUUUUAAGUAGAACUUAUUUAAUUAGAGUUUUUAUUAGUAGAGUUUUUAUAAAUAGAGAUUUUACUAAAAUAAAAUUUAGUUAUUUAGUUGUCAAUGUCCAAAUUGAUGAAAUAUUGUUCUUGUUAACAUAUGUUUGUUUUACUUAAAAAUAAAAGUUUAGUUUACAAUUACACCAGUAUAAAAUCAGCAGAGCAUUUUUGCUUAAAUAUUUAUUAAUUUAAAGAGAGCUUAUUUAAAUAGAGUUUUUGUUAGCAAAACUUUUAUAAAUAAAACUUUGCUUAAAAAAAUUUAAUUAUUUAAUUGUUAAUGUCCAAAUUGAUGAACUUUUGUUCUUUUGUUAACAUGUGUUUCUUUUACCUAAUAAUAAAAAUUAGUUUACAAUAACACUGGUGUCAAAUCAGCAGAGAUAUUUUCCAGCCAGUCACAUUAUACAUACGGGAGCCUCUAUGUUACAUUGAAUGUACCAUACACAACUAAUAAGAACCACAUAAAUUGUGGGACCCACAUAAUUGUGUGGUUCUUAUUGGUUGUGUAUGGUACAUUCAAUGUAACAUAGCAAAAUCCUAUACAUUAUACUAAUAGCAUCGGCAAGAGUUUUCGAUUGUUACAACUUGCAAUGCACGCGGUGAGAGAAAAUGAGAAUCUUGUUUAAUUGUCAAUAAUGACAAACCUAAUCCUUUCAUUAGUAGUAAUUUAAUAAUCGUUUAUUAUAAUUGAAUAUGUAUAAAGAAAGGAAAAUUCUAUUCAUAAAUUUCGACUUAUUUUUUGUUUAAAGUAAUUAAUCAUUCAACCAUCUUCAUUUGCCUCUGGCCAAUGCCCUUGUAGAUUAGUUGCAGCGUUAAUUACUUAAUUAUGAUUAUAUACAUUUUCAUAUAGCAAGUGGCAUUGUAGAUCUAAACUAAGUUGCUAUUUCAAUACCAGCAAAUUCAAAAUAGAAAAGGAGUGCAACUGUUCAACUUUGUAGACAAUAUUGCAAGUUGCAACCAUCCAAAGGUGAAGAUCUAUGCUUAUUAUCUAUUUAACAGCUAAUAUAUAUAUAUAUAUAUUUAUUUAAAUAUCAAGAGCUAUGCUUUUAAAUAAGUUCAAAUGGGAUGAGAACAGACUUAUAUUUAUUUAUUUAAAUAUGACCCAGGCUAAUUUCUCUGAAUUUGGACAGAGUAGAUUUCUAAGCUAAUGCUUGGCAUAUCUCUGGCGAUACUACAAAGUGCAUGUACAUUGACUCUUAAUAAAUAUAAACGAUUCUCUGAUAUGAUUCAAAACAUCACUACAUGCAUAAGUUAAUAAGAGACAAUAUUCUAAGAUUAUUUAUGCAUCACCAUUUAUAGUUGUACCCUCUCUAAUGAAAUUGAAGGUGCAGCCAGCAACUAAAAUGAAGCAGAAAUGUACACGCAUGAGGCAGUUUUUCUAGAAGAUUGAUAUUUCUUUAACUAGAAAACCAUACAAGUCCACAACUAGCCAAACUGUACCUGCAUGUGUCUAGGGCUUAAAUGGAGCACUUCUAAGCAUAAAACAGUAACUAAAACACAUACACAAACAUACAUACCAAAAAAUUCAGAAAAUAGAGAAAGGAAUACAACUAUUCUUGUUUGUAGACAAUAUUGCAACCAUGGCAUCAGUUAUAGCAAAUCCUUGAAAUCUACUAAACAAAAUAAUGUCCUGUCUCAUGAAUCAAUGUUGAAUUACAGCUGAAAUUGAAAGUCUGGCAUCAGUUAUAGGAAAUAUUGAAUUACAAUAUUUCCCUUGCCGAUUUUGUCUACACAAGUAAAAUGGAAAUAAGAAUCAUAGAUGAAAAUCAACUUUUACAGUUCUAAUUAUUAGAUAGAUACAGAAUGAUCUAUCUUUGUGAGUUUGUUUUUCUGCUGCAAUGUGCGAUCCCACUCUGUUUUGAUACUCAAAUUGAGUCUAUGUUGAGACAUAAUUUUGACAUUGCAAGCAAUCCCAAUUAGUUUGGCAUUUGUAUGACCCUUUGAAGGUUUUACAAUAGAUGCAAAUCUACUGAGAAAAUGGUAAAAAAGGUGCAUAUAAAAUGAGGCAAGUAACAGAAGUAUGAGUUAUCAGAUUAGAUUAAAAGUCACCCAAUUCAAUCUAUCAGAUUCCGUAAGGAUAUAACUGGAUGUCAUAUCGCCACUCCAUAUCCUCGAAAGUCCGUAGUCUUUGUCUCAACUCUGUCUGAGGCCAAUGUAAAUCCAAUUUGCACAAGCUCUUUAUGCACCAUAGCUCUUCUGGAAGCUUUCUCAAGUAAGCACAUGGGUUGACAAUUAAGCUUUCAAGUUUUGGCAUUGCUCUUGCCCCCAUCGUCCACUCGUCUAGCCAAUACAUCGACUUCAAGUGCAAAAUCUUAAGUUCCGGAAAGCCACCAGAGCCAACGCAGGCCAGCUUUCUUCCUAAAUAUGAGUUCUGCUUCAGUUUCAGCACUUGAAGGCGUGGAAGCUUUUCCAGCAUUGGCAUGGGAUCCUCCAUUAGCUCAGUAUUUGAUAAGCUCAGUUGGAUCAGGCUUGGAGGAAAUUGGUAUUCAGACAGGACCAUCCGUGAGAGCUUGCUCUCAUUCACCAACUUCAAGCAUUCAACUUUGUGGAGUUCGCAUACGCUUUUGGAAACCCCAGAGUGAUAGCAACUCAAAUCUCCAGACACUCUAAGAGUUUGAAGAUUAGGUAGUCUGCACAAUAUAUCUGGCGUGCAACUACUAGGGUGUAAGGCUGAUAUGAAAAUAAGAUUUUUCAGAGAGCUGGAAUAAUUUUUUGGAGGUGCAGGCAGAGUGAUGGAACCAAAGUUCAGAUGCAUGAGUUUUUGCAUCUUCCAAAUAUCCUCUGGUGUUUGAUCUACGUAGCUAGAUGGCAUGUCUAGUGUUUGAAGGUUUGAAAGGGUGCAUAGCAGUGAAGGAAGACAUUUGAGCGAAGGGAUAUUCAAUUUCAAAUACUUCAAAUGGAAUAAAUUUUCUAAUCCGGGUGGAUAUUGGUCCAGGACUGCAGAACCCAUGUUCAAUACCCGAAGGUGUUUGAACAUUUUACAAAAAUUCUCGCAAUCUAUCGGAUUAAGAUGAUCGCUUUCUGAACUGUGAUUCAGAAAAGAUUGGAGGUACAUGUCAGAAUGUUUCAAAGAAAAGAACUCAAUCAGAUCAUCGACAAUGAUGUACCGUUUGGCAUUUGCCAUUGAUUCCUCUUCCAAUCCAGGCGACCAAAAAAAUCCCGUCAAUGCUGCCGGCAAAAGUAACGCAACAUAUGCAAAAGUUGGAACAUAGCACGCCUUAAUUGUGCCUCCGGCUCUUCUCUUAUUCACUUGAAUGAAGCCACGAUCGAUUAGUUCAUUCAAGUAAUGCUCGGCAGUUUCCUCACUGUUGUGUGGUAUGAAACCUUCAGCUACCCACAACCAAUAUAAUUGCCUGGUAGAUAUCUCAAUGCCUGGAUGGAACAAACACAAAUAGAGGCAGCAGAUUUUCAAGUGAACAGGUAACUGCAACACAGAAUAAAUUGUACUCCAAGCUGUCAGAAACGCUUUUUCUCCCAUGUAAAUUCUUAAUGUCGUUUUUCCAUAGUGUAGGAUGAAAAAUUGCCAGGCUUCAUGCUUUAAUCUGAUCAAUGGUCCUCCAACGAGAACUGAAUCAGGAUGAAUCGUCUGUCCAUUUUCCAAUUCGAACGAGGAAAGGAAGUCUGGAUCAGUGACCGUCAUUAAUACUCUGCUUCCAUUCUGAUUCUCAGGAAGGACUUCUUCAAGAUCAUCCAAUACAUCGUCACUCUCUUCACAGUAAUCAUCAAGCACAAUAAAGUACUUCUUGUUUGUUAGGUAAUCUCGAAGAAUAGAUUUCUUCAAUUGAUAAUCUUCACCGAUAACUACACUAACCCGAGAUGGAGGCAUCACAGACUUGAUUAUGUCAUCCAAUAUCAUGCGAAAAUCGUAGGCUAUAGAAACCCUGACCCAAGCAUGACAGUCAAAAUAGAACUUGACAUGAUUAUUGUUGUAAGUAUCAGCAGCAAAAGCAGUCUUAUCAAAGCCACUGCUGUCGAGAAUUGCAACCACUGAAAGCUGAGGUUGUCCCUCGAUCAGUAAAUCAAACAACGCCUCUCUGCCGCUUUCAAAUUCACUCUUAUCAAGCUGAAAUUGUCCCUCAAUCAAUAAGUGAGUGAAUUCGUUCCUUCGCUCUUUGAAAUCAAAACCAUUGCCUCCAGGUGGAAGUUGUUGCAACCGAUUUCUAAUAUCAAUGAUUUUACUGUGGAUUCCGACAAGAAGAGCAAUGCAAGUAGUGCUCUCACUUUCACUGUUUUGCUGCUGCGUGAUGUUGAUGAAGAAUGUGUCAAUAGCUUUCUCAGAUUCACGGACAAAGUAAUUGAUGUCUUUCAGAAGUUCCCAAAUGUCUGUUCUUUUAACAUUUUCUAAGUGCAAGAGCUGCCGAUAACGCGAAGGCAUUUCGUCUUCAUCGAAUUGUUCUCUAAUGAGUUGAAUUAAAACUCGAGCCAUGUCAACUUCAUAUUUUCCCAGCAGAGUAGUAGCAAUAAUUUCGGACUCCGUAAGAAGGUUUUGAUAAAGUGGAGUUAAAUUUGUUGAAUCAGGCAACGUUAACGCGCCUUCUUCACCUGCUAACACCCUUUUCAACCUCUCACAAAAUAGUCGUAGGUGGACGUCCAGCAUAUCUCCUUCUGUCAGUAGCACCCAGAUGUAUUGUCAUUUGCUUCAAGAAAUGUUGAAAGGAUUGGUUCUAUCUCAAAGUGUUUAGUGGUGUAAAAUUAAUUAAUUAAACACCAUGGAAGAAUUUGCAAGGAAGAUGCCAAGAAACUGGCGAAGUGGCUAAAUUCCACAAUUAUGACAUUAUUGCUCAUUUUCAACUCAAAAAAAUGAUACGCGUUCAUUUAGAGAAAAGUCCAAGACGCGUUCCUUUCGGAAAGAACAAUUAUCCAAUAGAGAUCCAACCUUUAUCUUAUUCAAUUACUACCCUGACAUGAUUGAUGGUGCUUAAAUCAAUUGUUUCUUUUUUAAUUUAAAGAAUUUUUCAUUCAAAUUUUUUUUAAUAUUAAAUUGCCUUCAAUGGCAUUACUGCAGCAAGCCCAGUAACACGAUUAAUUAAAAAGUUUAGAAUUUUUGGGCCUGGAAAGAGUAGUAUUAAACAUCAGCAAGCUAAGGUUGAUAUGUUAAAGAGUUGAUAUUGACAUAAUUUUUAUUUUGGUUUUCGGGGAAAAAAAAUUGUUGACAAGCAAGAAAAUAUUUAUAUAUUUUACAAUUUAUUAUACAUAUUUUAUCAUAUUAAAAUAAUUUUAAUAAUUAAUGAAAAACAAAAUAUUGCAAUAAAUAAAUUAAUGUUUAAAUUAUUUUGAAUAUAAUAAAAAUAAUUUUAAUAUUAUUAAUAGGAAGACAUUUUGUUAAUUUUAAAAUCUUUUUAACCCAAAGGUUUAUUUAAAGUCUUUAUUAUAAAUUAAAUAUCAUAAUCUAAAAUUUUUAAUAUUAUUUUAAGUAUUAAAAAUAUUUUAAUGUUAUUAGUCUACUACAUAGAUCAUAUUACUUAUGUUAUAUUUGUAUUGAUUAAAAAUUUUUAAAAUCAAUUUUCUAGUUACUACAUUCACGAGGCAUUAUGGUUAAAGAAAAGAUCUUGAUGUUACUUUUAAAAAAUUUGAGGGCCUGCAUGAUAAUUUUUUCAAAAUUUAAGGAUGUAGGUGUCCUUCUCAAAUAAUUUAGGGUGAGGCUAUUUGAAUCCACCAAUCUACUCACUACACCCAUUUACUAAAUAAACCCGCACUUAAGUUUUGAAAUUUUAAAUUUUACUCAACAAACCGACCUAAAUGUCCAAUAUACCCUUAUUGAACCCAAUUAUUAUAAUAAUAUGUUUUUGCUAAUUAAACCCAUUUAAUUCAUUUAAAGUUAAUAAAUGAUUAUAUUUAUUAAAUUGAAAACUAAAAGAUUAUACAAAACAUAAACAAUACUCUCAAUUAUAUAUUUUGGAGCAAAAAUUCCAAAGUGUAGUAAGCAAAGCCAAUGCAAAAUGGCUGGAGCAGCUAAUAAUGGUAAAAGUCAGAGCCUAGUAAUGUGGUACCGCUACUUGACUUUGGGAAAGAAGUGAUAAUUAUAUCAAUUUCUUCAACUUGGAAGUUGGAAGUGCUGUUGAAAGCGGUUGAUGCCAGAAAAAUAAUUAGAUAUCUGUCAAAAAAAAACUUUGGUAUUUUUAGAAAUAAAAUCCUAUAUCCAGUAUUUCAAUAUGAAAAGUCUCUAGUAUUUCUUUCAAUUGAUUCUUCCUUUGUCUUCUUCGACUCCAUGAAGGUUUAAUUAUGAUGAGAAAGCCAAGGGGAAUCAAUAAAGAAUAUCAAUUUAGGGUUUAAGAAAAAUAUCAUAAAGUUGAAUGUAAAAUGGAUUCAAAGAGUAAAUUUUAUUUUUAAAACUAUAUUUUAAUGUCUAAAAUUGUAAUUUAAUUUAGGGAUAUUUUAAUAAUUACAAUUUAUUUUUAAAAGUGAGUUUAUUAAGUAGUUUGAUGGGUUCAAAUAGUCCCAUCCAAUAAUUUAUUUCACUGUUAAGGGAAUCCAAUGAGAAAAAUAAUAAGAUAUCGUCAAUGACUUGUCAUUUUCUAUUUUUUCUAUGAGCUAAUUAUUUUGAGCAUUAGUGAUCUUGUCAGGACUACUCCAAUUAUUGAUGCAACUCCAGCGGCUGCAUCCACAGUGGCUACUCCAAUUAUUCAUGCCUUUUAAAAAGAAUAUGUAUACAAUAGCAAUCCAUACUUUAUCUUACAUUGAUUUUUUUCAAUUAAUGGUGAUUGCAUUGAUUUUUUUCAAUUAAAGAAAAAUUGUUUAAAAUAGAUUUAAUGCACAAAUACGAUGACUUUUGGCAAAAAUUAGUUUCGGAAAUGUUGGGAUGAAAACCAUAUUAGUUGAGACUUAAAUUAAGAUUUAAAUGUUGAGAUAGUAUUGCUCAGUCAGAAUAAACAAUAACCAAUUCAAAUUAUGACUAUCACGUAAAAACAAAUGUUUAUGCUUGGGUUUUUUACUUCUUGAAUUUGAUUGGAAAAAUUUCUGAGACAGAGAAGUGUUUUGGAUAAUUGUUUUGGGGAUUGAAACCACAAAUUGGUCGAGGAAAUUAAUUUUGGACAAAUUUUUAUUAUAUUGUAGCACCUUUUUGGUUCCUUUUCGGCGGCCCCAUACUAUUCUCUUAACCCUGAGUUUUUUUUUUUUUUUUUUUUUGAAAAGUCUUAACCCUGAGUUUGAGAUAGAAAUUUCCCGAACUCCAACCUCACAUCCAGGGACAAGUUGAUUGAAACAAUUGCUCUUUCAAUUAAGAGGAUGAGUUAGGUUUCAGUUCUUAUCAUUGUCUGUUAUUUCUUUGAAUCAUUAAUUUUGAGCAUUACUGAUCUUAGUUAUCUGUAUUUCUCCAAUUAUUGAAGAAUUUCAUGUGGCCACUUUUUCUCCUUUUCAUAUAUGUUUCGUUUUUGGACUGAUCAAACGGUGCAAAACCAAGUAUUUGCUGGUCCUUAGUUUAGCCAAUGAUGGCUGAUCCACAGUUGAAUAUAUGAUACUAUUAGCUCUUAUUUGAGAAUGUAAAGGGAUCUUUCUUAUUUGAGAAUACAAGUUGCCCAAUAGAGUUGAACUAUGUUACCCAACUCCAUGCUCAUACAUUAAAUGUUUAGGUAGUUUUACAAAAUGAUAGCAGCAUGCCAAAACUUGUUGUUGUCAUUUUCGACAUUUCAAAUUGAAAAAUAUGCAAGCAAUCUUCAGUGAACAUUACGUUUUUAUUGAAUAAUUUAAAUGGCCAGCAAAUCAACAGUCCGUGAGUUUUAAAUCUAUUAUGACUUAAUGUAUCUUUCUGUAUUCGUACACAGGUUAUAUUAUCAUAGUUUAAAAUUUUAAUAUUAUUUUAAAUGUUAAAAAUACUUUAAUGCUAUUAGUCUACUACACAGGUUAUAUUAUUUAUAUUAUAUUUGUAUUAAUUAAAACUUUUAAUGUCAAUUUUCUAAUUACUAUAUUGAAAAGGUAUUAUGGUUAAGAAAAAGUUUUGGCAUUUCUUCUUGAAAAUUUGAGGGUCUGCAUGACAAUUUUUCCAAAUUCUAAGGGUAUAGGUUUGAAAAUUUAAUGUUCUUUAACUUAAUGAAACAAAAGGGGGAAACCAAGAACUAUUCAAUUUUGUAUUUUUUGUUUGUAAUUCAAAAAAUGCAUCCACCAAACAAGUUUUACGCAUUAAUGCUGUCAUAAAACAAAAAACAGUUUGCCAAAAAAUGGUACCAAACAUAUCCUUAAUGUCUCACAUGAUUUCUUAGUAAGCCCAUAUUAGAUAUAUUUAUACAUUUUAGGUAUUUUAAUUAUAAAAGAAGUUGGUCCUCCCUCUGUUUAUAAAAGAUAACGUUAUUUCGAGAUUACCACUAAACUCUUACAUAGAAUUAGUGUAAUGUUAAGAGAGAGUAACACAAUUUUCCGUUACCAUCUUUGAAAAUAGAAAGAUAUGGAUGCGUGCAUUUAAGGGUUAUCGUGAAAAUCAUACAAUUCAAUUUCCUGACAUAUAUAUUCGUGCACAUAUGCCAAAAGAAUAAAUAGACAGAAAGUAAAUUUACAGUCCUCACUUCCUCACAAUUGUUAACGUGGAGACAUUAAGGAUGAGCAUAAAAGUUAAAGAUGACUCAUUUCUCAUUUUCUUUUUAAAGUGCUCUGCUGAAAGCCAAACUUCCUUUGGCUAAUUAAUUUAGAAGUAAAGCAGAGAAUAAAGUCCUAGAUGCCUUCUGAAAUUAGAAAUACAUUUUAUAUGCUUUAAUUAUGAUUAUUUGGUAGACUAAAGACCUAAAAGAUAUGUCCAAAGUAUAAAACAGAACGAUUAAAGGAAAAAGAAAAAAAACAGAGUAUUUGUGACGUAGAAUAACAAUUGGUAACUAAAAUCCUAAAUAUUUGAGUUGUUAAAAGCAAAUAUAACAGAGAAGGUAAGAGAGAUGCAGAAACAGAAAACUAUUAGCUUAUCUUGAUUUCCCACUAUAUUCAUUUUCGAUGCUUUUCAAACGAGAUUCUUUUAAUCCUUCUGGCGUCCGCAGCCCUUGCUCUUCUUACAAAUCUCCAGUCCACAUCUGCACUACGAACAAGUUGAUUGAAAUUAAAUAAUGUUGGAGAUGAGGGGUGAGCCGUCAACUUGGUAAAAAAAUUCAUGUAUAAUAUUAUCAAUAAUAUAAAAUAUAUAAUAAUUAUUACAAAGAAUCAUAAAUUAAAAAAUUAAUUAUUUUACAAUCUAUUUCUUAAGUAAGAUAAAUCUCGUAAUAAGUUAAGUUAUAACGUAAAAAAUAUUUUCAAUUUAUAAUCAUUUAAGAAGUCAUUUAACAAUAUAUUUUUUUUAUCAGCAGGCCAUGCCACAAAGUAUCAUCUAUAUUCGUGGUGAUAUUAUUAUUACUCCGUAUUCUCAAAAAACAUGAUUUAACAUUUAGAGAAAAUUCCUGCCUUUUAAAAAGAACAUGUAUGCAACAACUACCAAUACUUUAUCUUACCACAACAAAACCAAUGGUGACUAAAUCAAUUUUCUUGAUUAAAGCUAAAUUUCUUAAAAUUGAUUUAAUGCACAAAUAUGAUGACUUUUUGCAAAAAUUAGUUUUGGAAAAUAUAGUGAGAGAAAAUAGUGACGAUUAUUGUUUAGAUGUGUAAAUAGUCUAAACAUAAUCGCUAAUACCAAUAUCCAAGUGCAUCUUAACACCUUUCGUGAUAUUCUUUCAUUCAUGGUCACUGGUUCAAUAUUUGAAUUUAAUCAGUAAAUCAUGUUCAAUAAUAUUAGAGAUCCCAACAAUUGAGUACCAAUUUAAAUCCUAAUGCUAUAUGUCAUUGACCAAUAUUGUGUCAUUUUUUGUUAACUGGGUGAUGAAUUUCUAGUUGAUAAAAUUACUUUAAAAUAUCUUAAAAAUUAGACAAUAGUUUGCUUAAUUUUUUUAAGCUAACCGCUCAAGAUGCUCUAUUAGAAAUGAUAACCUAAUUAUAUACAUAAAAAAUGAUGUAUUUUUUGCAAUGUUGAUAGUGAGAUUAUCAUUCAACAUGUUAAAAUAUGAAAACAUAUGGAAGAUGGUUGUAAAUUGAUUGAAUGAAAAUAUUUCAGUGAAGUCUCAAAAAUUUGGUACUUGUUAUCUUAUCGAAAGUUUUCUAAAUUAUAUUCGUGGCACUGCCACUGCUUCUAUGUGAAGGUCAUUAAAAUUUGUGUUAGUUACCUAUAGGUUGAAUAACAAUUUUAUUCAUCAAUUGUUGCUCAAUAUAGCAAUUUGAUUGAAAGUGCCGCUGCACUAAUUUUCUAGAUGAACUUUCCUAAAUGUUUGUCCUCAUAUGACCUAGAAUGCUGCGAUAUCAAUUGUAUUGGAAAUUAUUCAAGUGGGUUAGUGCUCUACAUCCCCACCAAAAUUUAAGCAAUCAACAAAACAUUCCUUGUGGAAAUAAACUUAUUUCGCUACUAGACUUCUAAUGAGGCCCAUUUUCCAGAAUCUGGAUACGAGUUAGAUGUCUCCCAAAAUAUUGGUGGGAGUAGACUAUACUAGCACUCGACAACAUACUAACGACGCUAUGGUCCACCAGAAAGACCGGUCUCCGGUCAGCCGAAAAAUCUCACGUUCAGUCUCUUCUCAAUCUCCCUUCUCCCAGCCAAGUCGAUCCCGUAACAUGAUACUAAUCCACAGUUGAAUACAUGAUACUAUUAGCUCUUAUUUGAGAAUAUAAAGGGAUCUUUCUUAUUUGAGAACAUAAAUUGCCCAAUAAAGUUGAACUACGUUACCCCGCUCCAUGCACAUACAUUAAAUGUUAACAGCAUGCCAAAACUUGAUGUUGUCAUAUUCGACAUUUCAAAUUAAUAUGCAAGCAAUCUUCGGUGAACAUUACGUUUUUAUUGAAUAAUUUAAAUGGCUAGUAAAUCUAGAGUUCUUGAGCUUUAAUCUAAAUCAAAUCUAUUAUGACUCAAUGUAUUUUUUUGUGUUCGUACCAGUAAUGCAGGGGAUUAUUUACGCAACUCUUAUUAUUGACUGAGAUGUUCACCUUCAUCCAAUUAGAGAAAGAGUGACUGUAGAGGUGGCAAAAAUACCCGCCCGGUCCGGACCCGGACCGUACCCAUUACCUGGUCCGGGUAUGAAGCCGGGUCGGUCUUGGGCAUCACUUGAUAAACCUGGAACCCGGAUUUUAUUAAAAAAAUUAUAAAAUAUAUAUUAUUUUAAAUAUUUUAUAUUUAUUUGACUCAUUUAUUAUACAUAUAUAAAGUUUUAAACACUUAAAGUUUAUAUUUUCAUGUCAAAUUUUAUUGAAAUAAAUUUAAAACUUAUAAAAUUACUAAAAAAUAAAAAAUAUAUACACAUAAAAUAUUAAAAAAUAUAAAAUUCGGAUACCCGGAUUAAAACCCGGCCCGAACCCGGACCCAGACCGGUUGCAUCCGGGUAGGGUCCAGUCAUGGCAAUACUCGGACCUGGUCCGGGGUUUUGCCAUCUCUAAGUGACUGGGUUCCUAUAAAGGGACUCUUAACCAUUACGAGAGUAUUCAGACUACAAAUCUUUGUAAUUAAAUUCAAAGGUGAAGAUCUAUGCCUAUUAUCUAUUUAACAACUAAUAUAUAGUUAUCUAUUCAUUUAAAUAUCAAGGGCUAUGCUAAUAAUUAAGUUGAAAUGUUGAUGAAAGUAGCCUUACAUCUGUGUAUUACUCAUCUACUCUAAUCUUUUUUUUUUUUAACUUAAUGUACUUUUUCUAAUGUUGUUUACUCUUCCCCCCCCCCCCCCCCCCCCCCCCCCCCCCCCCCCCCCCCCCCCCCCACCUCUCUGACAAAAUAAUAAGAGUUUAGACUUGAAAAUAUCUUAAAGAUCAAACAGUAAUUUACCUAAUUUUUUGAAGCUAACUGCCAAAGAUAUUCUAUUAGACAUUGAUAACGUAGUUAUAUACAUUUAAAAUGAUAUUUUUUUGUGGAAAGGGAUUAUCAUUCAACAUCUUAAAAUAUGAAAACAUAUGGAAGAUGAUUGUAAAUUGAUUGAAUGAAAAUAUUUCAAUGAAGAUGGUUGUAAAUUGUUAUCUUAUUGAAAGUUUUCUAAAUUUACUACUAUUUGAACUUAGCCCUCCUGGUACCGCCACCAUUUCUGCUUGAAAGUCAUUUAAGUUUGUGUUAGCUGCCUAAAGCUUUUUUUUUUUUUUUUUUCUUUUUCUUUUUGAAAAGAGCUGCCUAUAGCUUGAAUAACUAUUUUGCUCACGAAUUGUUGUCCAUUAUAGCAAUUUAUUUAAUUGAAAGUGCGGCUGCAAUAAUUUUCUUGAUGAACUAUUCCACAUGUUUGUUCUCAUGUGAGGCAGUUUUUCUAGAAGAUUGAUAUUUCUUUAAGUCUUUAACUAGCAAAGCAUACCAGUCCAAAGCUAGCCAAACCAUACCUGCUGGUCCAGGGCUUAAAUGGAGUACUUCUAAGCAUAAAACAGUAACAAAAACACAAUAUAUGCAUACAUACAUACACACAUACAUACAUACCAGCAAAUUCAAAAUAGAAAAAAGAGUGCAACUAUUCAAGAAAUUGGUUAUUGUAGACAAACACACAUACAAACACAUACCAGAAAAUUCAAAAAAUAGAGAAAGGAGGCCAACUAUUCAAGUUUGUAGACAAUAUUGCAAUCAUGGCAUUACUUAUAGCAAGUCCUUGAAAUCUACUAAACAAAACAAUGCUCUGUCUCAUGAAUCAAUGUUGAAUUACAGACGAAAAUGAAAGUCUAGCAGGUGUUGUUUCCCUCUUCGAUUUUGCCUACACAAGUAAAGGGAAAUAAGAAUCAUAAAUGAAAAUCAGCUUUUACAGUUGUAAUUAUUAGAUAGAUCUAGAACGAUCUUUCUUUGUUUCUCUGCUGCAAUGUGCUAUCCCACUCUGUUUUGCUACUAAAAUUGAGUCUAUGUUGAGACAUAAUUUCGACACUAGGAGCAACCGCAAUUAGUUUGGCAUUGCAUUACCCCUUGAAGGUUUUACAAUAGUUGUAAACUUACCGAGAAAGUGGAAAAAAAAGGGCAUAGGGAAUUAGGCAAGUAACUAAAGUAUGAGUCAUCAGAUAUGAUUAAAACUCACCCAAUUCAAUCCAUCAGAUUCCGUAAGGAUAUAACUGGAUGUCAUAACGCCACUCCAUAUCCUCGAAAGUCCGUAGCCUUUGCCUCAACUCUGUCUGGGGCCAGUGUAAGUCCAAUUUGCGCAAGCUCUUUAUGCACCAUAGCUCUUCUGGAAGCUUCCUCAAGUAAGCACAUGGGUUGACAAUUAAGCUUUCAAGUUUUGGCAUUGCUCCUGCCCCCAUCGUCCACUCAUCUAGCCAAUACAUUGACUUCAGGUGCAAAAUCUUAAGUUCCGGAAAGCCACCAGAGUCAUCACAGGCCAACUUUCUUCCUAAAUACGAGUUCUUCUUCAGUUUCAGCACUUGAAGGCGUGGAAGCUUUUCCAGCAUUGGCAUGGGAUCCUCCAUUAGCUCAGUAUUUGAUAAGCUCAGAUGGCUCAGACUUAAAGGAAAUUCGUAUUCAGACAGGGCAAUCCGUGAGAGCUUGCUCUCAUUCACUAGUUCCAAGCAUUCAAUUUUGUGGAGUUCGCAUACGCUUUUGGAAACCCCAGAGUGAUAGCAACUCAAAUCUCCAGAUAUCUGAAGAGUUUGAACAUUAGGUAGUCUGCACAAUAUAUCUGGCGUGCAACUACUAGGGUGUAAGGAUGAUAUGAAAAUAAGAUUUUUCAGAGAGCUGGAAUAAUUUUUUGGAGGUGCAGGCAGAGUGAUGGAACCAAAGUUCAGAUGCAUGAGUUUUUGCAUCUUCCAAAUAUCCUCUGGUGUUUGAUCUACGUAGCUAGAUGGCAUGUCUAGUGUUUGAAGGUUUGAAAGGGUGCAUAGCUGUGAAGGAAGACAUUUGAGCGAAGGGAUAUUCAAUUUCAAAUACUUCAAAUGGAAUAAAUUAUCUAAUCCGGGUGGAUAUUGGUCCAGGACUGCAGAACCCAUGUUCAAUACCCGAAGGUGUUUGAACAUUUUACAAAAAUUCUCGCAAUCUAUCGGAUUAAGAUGAUCGCUUUCUGAACUGUAAUUCAGAAAAGAUUGAUUAGUUCUUUCAAGUAAUGUUCGGCCGUCCCCUCACUGUUGUAUGGUAUGAAACCUUCAGCUACCCACAACUGAUAUAAUUGCCUCGUGGAUAUCUCAAUACUUGGAGGGAAGACAAACAAAUAGAUGCAGCAGACUUUCAAGUGAAAAGGUAACUCCAUCACAGAAUAAAUUUGUCUCCAAGCUGUCGGAAUCGCUUCGCCUUGAAAAUAAUUUUCUAAUGGCAUACGUCCGUAGUGUAGGACGAAAAAUUGCAAGCCUUCAUACUUUAUUCUAAUCAGUGGUCCUCCAACGAGCACUGAAUCAAGCCGAAUCUCCUCUGCGUUUUCCAUUUCCAACGAUGUAAGGAGUCUUGGAUCAGCGACCAAUAUCAAUACUCUGCUUCCAUUCUGAUUAUCAGGAAGAACUUCUUCAAGAUCAUCCCAUAUCUCACUCUCAUCGAAGAAGCACAAUAAAGUACUUAUUGUUUGUUAGGUAAUCUCGAAGACUAGAUUUCUUCAAUUGAUAACUUCACCGAGGCAUCACAGACUUGAUUAUGUCAUCCAAUAUCUUGCCAAAAUCGUAGGCUAUAGAAACCCUGACCCAAGCAAGACAGUCAAAAUAGAACUUGACAUGAUUAUUGUUAAAAGUAUCUGCAGCAAAAGCAGUCUUAUCGAAGCCACUGCUGUCGAAAAUUGCAACCACUGAUAUCGAUAGAUCAAACAACUUCUCUCUGCCCUUUUCAAAUUCACUGAUAUCGAGCCGAGGUUGUCCCUCAUUCAAUAGGCGAAUGAUUUUGUUACUUUGUUCACUGAUAUCAAAACCAUUGUCGCCGGGUGGAAGUUGUUGCAUCUGAUUUCUAAUAUCAAAGUGAAAAAUUGCUGCUUUCACUUUCGUUUUCACUGUUUUGCUGCUGCAUGAUGUUGAUAUUGACAUAAUUUUAUUUUAGUUUUUGGGGAUAAAAAUAUUUGUUGACAAAUAUUUUUAUAUUUUACAAUUUAUUAUACAUAUUUUAUCAUUUUAAAGUAAUUUUAAUAAUAAAUAGAAACAUAAUAUUACGAUAAAUAAAUUAAAGUUUAAAUUAUUUUAAAUAUUAUAAAAAUAAUUCUAAUAUUAUUAAUAGGAAGACAUUUUGUUAAUUUUAAAAUUUUUUAACCCAAAGGUUUAUUUAAAAUUUUUAUUAUAAAUAAAAAUAUAAAAUUAAAUAUCAUAAAGUGUAUGCACGUUGACUCUCAAUAUAUACAAACGACUCUCUGGUAUGAUUCAAAGCACCAGUAUAUGCAUCAUUUUAAUGAGAAAGGAUAUUCUAAGAUUAUUUAUGCAUCACCAUUUUUAGUUGUACCGGCUCUAAUGAAAUUGAAGGUGCAAUCAGCAGCUAAAAUGAAGCCAGAAAUUGAAGGUGCAUGAGGAAAUUUUCCUAGAAGAUUGAUAUUUCUUCGACUAGCAAACCAUACAAGUCAAAGCUAGCCAAACCAUAUCUGCAAGUCCGGGGCUUAAAUGGAGUACUUCUACGCAAAAAACAUUAAUCAAAACACAAUAUGAGCACACCCCCGUCAACCCACCCCCCCCCAACACACAUACCGGCAAAUUCAAAAUAGAAAAAGGAGUGCAACUAUUCAAGUUUGUAGACAAUAUUGCAACCAUGGGAUAUUAAAGAAUAUCUUUGAAAUCCGCUAAACAAAACAAUGCCCUGUCUCAUGAUUCGAUGCUCAAUUAGAAUUGAAAUUGAAAGUCCGGCUGUUGCUGUUUCUCUCUCCAGUUUUGCCUACAUAAGUAAAGGGAAAUAAGAAUCAUAAAUUAAAAUCUGCUUUUACAAUUCUUAUUAGAUAGAUAUAAAGGGAUCUUUCGUUGUUUCUCUGCUGCAAUGUGUUGCUAUCCCACUCUGAGAAAGAUCUUUCGUUGUUUCUCUAUGUUGAGACAUAAUUUUGACAUCAGAAGGUUUUAUGACCUCCUUGAAGGUUUUACGAUAAACAUAAAUCUACUGAGAAAGUGGGAAAAAACGAAAAUGCAUAUAAAAGUAUGAGUUAUCAGAUAUGAUUAAAACUCACCUAACAUCAGAUUCCAUAAGGAUAUAACUGGAUGUCAUACCGCCACUCCAUAUCCUUGAAAGUCCGUAGUCUUUGUCUCAACUCUGUCUGAGGCCAAUGUAAAUCUAAUUUGCGCAAGCUCUUUAUGCACCAUAGCUCUUCUGGAAGCUUUCUCAAGUAAGCACAUGGAUUGACAAUUAAGCUUUCAAGUUUGGGCAUUGCUCCAGCCCCCAUCGUCCACUCAUCUAGCCAAUACAUUGACUUCAGGUGCAAAACCUUAAGUUCCGGAAAGCCACCAGAGCCAACACAGGCCAUCUUUCUUCCUAAAUUCGAGUUCUGCUUCAGUUUCAGCACUUGAAGGUGUGGAAGCUUUUCCAGCGUUGGCAUGGGAUCCUCCAUUAGCUCAGUAUUCGAUAAGCUCAGAUGGGUCAGACUUGGGGGAAAUUGGUAUUCAGACAGGAACAUCCGUGAGCGCUUGCUUUCAUUCACCAGCUUCAAGCAUUCAAGUUUGUGCAGUUCGCAUAGGCUUUUGGAAAUCCCAGAUUGAUAAUAACUCAAAUCUCCGGAUAUUCUAAGAGUUUGAAUAUUUGGUAGUCUGCCCAAUAUAGCUGGAGUGCAACUACUAGGGUGUAAGGCUGAUAUGAAAAUGAGAUUCUUCAAAGAGCUGGAAUAAUUUUUUGGAGGUGCAGGGAGAGUGAUGCAACUGAAGUUUAGAUGCAUGAGUUUUUGCAUCAUCCAAAUAUUCUCUGGUGAAUGAUCUAUGUAGCUAGAUGGCAUUUCUAGUGUUUGAAGGUUUAAAAGGGUGUAUAGCAGCGAAGGAAGGCAUUUGAGCAAGGGGAUAUUCAAUUUCAAAUACUUCAAAAGGAAUAAAUUUUCUAAUCCGGGUGGAAAUUGGUCGAGAACUGCAGAACCCAAAUUCAAUACCCGAAGGUGUUUGAAAUUUUUACAAAAAUUCUCACAAUCUAUCAGAGCGAGACGAUCGCUUUCUGAACUGUGAUUCAGAAAAGAUUGGAGAUACAUGUCAGAAUAUUCUAAAGGAAAGAAGUGAAUCAGACCUUUCAAAAUGAAGCACCGUUUAACAUUUGCCAGUGAUUCCUCUUCCAUUUCAGGCAUCCAGACAAAUCCCGUCUUCUCUGCCACCAAACCCAAUGAAGUACAUACAAAACUUGGAACAUAACGCGCUUUAAUUGUGCCUCCGGCUCUUCUCUUACUCACUUGAAUGAAGCCGCGAUGGAUUAGUUCUUUCAAGUAGUGUUCGGCAGUUUCUUCACCGUUGUAUGGUAUGAAACCUUCAGCUACCCACAACUGAUAUAAUUGCAUCGUGGAUAUCUCAAUGCCUGGAGGGAAGACCAACAAAUAGAUGCAGCAGACUUUCAAGUGAAAAGGUAACUCCAUCACAGAAAAAAAUUGUCUCCAAACUGUCGGAAUCGCUUCGCCUUGAAGAUAAUUUUCUAAUGGCAUACUUCCGUAGUGUAGGAUGAAAAAUUGCCAGGCUUCAUGCUUUAAUCUGAUCAAUGGUCCUCCAAAGAGCACUGAAUCACGCCGAAUCUUCUCUCCAUUUUCCAUUUCCAACGACGCAAGGAGGUCUGGAUCAGUGACUGUUAUCAAUACUCUGCUUCCAUUCUCAUCAUCAGGAAGAAGUUCUUCGAGAUCACUCCAUAUCUCACUGUUAUCGAAGACAUCAUCAAGCACAAUAAAGUACUUCUUGUUUGUUAGGUAAUCUCGAAGAAUAGAUUUCUUCAAUUGAUAAUCUUCACCGAUAAUUACACUAACCCGAGAUUGAUGUCCUCCAGAAUUCCAAAAAUAUCUGCUGUUUCAACGUCUUCUUCAUCGCUUUCUUCUAAGUCCAACAGUUCCAAAAAAGGCAAAGAUAUUUUGGAGUCAUCGAAUUCUUCUCUAAUGAGUUGAAACAAAUGCCGAGCCAUGUCAGCUUCAUAGUUUCCCAGAAGAGUAGUAGCAAUAAUUUCGGACUCCGUAAGAAGGUUUUGAAAAAGUGGGGUUAAAUUUGUUGAAUCUGGCAGUGGCAACGUGCCUUCUACACCUGCUAACACCCUUUUCAACCUCUCACAAAACAGUCGGAGGUGGAAUUCCAGCAUAUCUCCUUCUCUCCGUAGCACUCAGAGGUAUAGUUGAAAGAUUAAACACCAUGGAAUAAUUUGAAAGGAAAAUGCCAAGAAACUGUGUAAGUGGCUAAAUUCCACAAAUAUUACAUUAUUGCUCAUUUUUUAACUCAAAAAAAUGGUACGCGUUCAUUUAGAGAAGAGUCCAAGCCCAGUAACAGGAAUAUUUUAUUUACUGGUGCUUAAAUCAAUUGUUUCUUUUUUAAUUUAAAGAUUUUUUCAUUAAAAAAUAUUUUAAUAUCAAAAUGCCUUCAAUGGCAUUACUGCCGCAAGCCCAGUAACAGGAUUAAUUAAAAAGUUCAGAAUUUUUGGGCAUGGAAACUGGAAAGAGUAUUAAACAUCAGAAAGCUAAGGUUUGUUCUGUUAAAGAAUUGAUAUUGACAUAAUAUUUUUUUUUUUGAGGAAAAAAAACAUAUUGGUUGACAAGCAAGGAAAUGUUUUUGUAUUUUACAAUCUGUUAUUAAAUAUUUUAUCAUAUUAAAGUAAUUUUAAUAACAAAUAGAAACAUAAUAUUACAAUAAAUAAAUUAAAGUUUAAAUUAUUUUGAAUAUUAUAAAAAAUAAUGUUAAUAUUAUUAAUAGGAAGACAUUUUGUUAAUUUUAAAAUCUUUUUAAUCCUAAGGUUUAUUUAAAAUCUCUAUAAUAAAUCCAAAUAUAAGAUUAAAAUAAAAAUCAUAAUUUGAAAAUUUUAAUAUUAUUUUAAAUGUUAAAUAUACUUUAAUGUUAUUAGCCUACUACGUAGAUUUUAUUAUUUAUAUUAUAUUCGUAUUGAUUAAAAUUUUUUAAAGUCAAUUUUUUAGUUAGUACAUUCAAGAGGUAUCAUAGUUAAAGAAAAGAUUUUGGUGCAACUGUUUUAAAAUUUCAGAGUGUAAAUGAUAAUUUUUUUUAAGUUUUAAGGAAGUAGGUAUUAUUUUUCCGACAAUUUAUUUUAUUUUGAGGGAAAUCCGAUGAGAAAUAUCAUCAGAGAACAUUAAUUUAACAUUCUUUAUCUUUGUGAAAAAAGUGGAAACCAAGAACUAUUCAAAAUUUUUUUUUUUUUGUAAUUCAAAAAAUGCAUUCACCAAACAAGCUUAUCUUAAUUUUCCCACUUUAUUCAUUUUCGAUGCUUUUCAAAAGAGGUUCCUUUAAUCCAUCUCCAUCCCACAUCUACACUAUCAAACAAGUUGAUGGAAAUUGGAACACAUUAAGUUAUGUUCAUUACUGGUCUUUGUCUUUCUAUGAGCCACUUAUUUUGAGCAUUAGCGAUCUUAUAAGGAAUCAUGCCUUUUCAGGAUCGUUUUCUUUCAUUUCCUUAUUGUAGUAGUUAAUUAAAUAAAGAACGAACAGCUGAACUUGGUCUUUUUGGAGGAAGAACAAGGUUUCCAAUACUAGAGGAACUUUGAAGAAAAUUAAUUGGAAGCCUUUAUUCAUCUUUGAAGAAAAUUACCACACUUUAAAUCCUGGAUAAAAAAAAUUUUAUUCAUCUUCGGACUAUGAAUUUAUAAAAUAAUAUUGUUAGGACUAAGAAAAAAUAUUAUUUUAGAUAAGUUAUUUAUUUAUUAUUGAAUGAAAAAUUUAUCAUGAUAAAUAAAUAUUUAUUAAUUUAAAGAGAGAUUUUUUUUUGGUUUUAAGAAGAGUUUUUUUGGUACAUGCACACAUUAAUAAAGAAACACAAAAAGUGCUUCCUCAAGUCAAUAGUAUUUGCUUUAAUCGCUAAGGUGCAUAAUAAUGUAGCUUAGUUAGGAAAUUUGUAAUUAUAUUAUGGCUCUAUUUGGUAUAACUUUUUAAUUAGAACUUAUUUAAGGAGAAUUUUUAUUAGUAGAGUUUUUAUAAAUAGAGAUUUUACUAAAAAAAAAUUAUAGUUAUUUAGUUGUCAAUGACCAAAUUGAUUAACUAUUGUUCUUUUUGUUAACAUGUGUUUGUUUUACUUAAUAAUAAAAGUUUAUUUUACAAUUACACCGGUGUCAAAUCAGCAGAGCACCGGCAAGAGUUUUCGAUUGUUGCAAUUUGCAAUGCACACGGUGAGGGAAAAUGAGAAUCUUGUUUAAUUGUGAAUAAUGACAAACCUAAUCCUUUCAUUAGGAGUAAAUUAAUAAUCGUUUGUUAUAAUUGAAUAUGUAUAAAGAAAGGAAAAUUAUAUUCAUAGAUUUGACUUAUUUUUUGUUUAACGUAACUAAUCAUUCAACCAUCUUCAUUUGCCUCUGGCCAAUGCCCUUGUAGAUUAGUUGAAGCGUUAAUUACAUAAUUCAGAUAAUUACAACGUCCUUUUCGCUAAUUAAUUAUGAUUAUGUACAUUUUCAUAUAGCAAGUGGCAUUGUAGAUCUAAACUACGUUGCUAUUUCAAUACGUUAAUUAAGUGAUUCUCCUCAUUGUCAUCAGCGUUAUAAACAGGAAUUGUGCAAACAGUACACAAUGCUGCGGCAAGGCGUGGGUGGCUAGAGUUUUGCAACCACCCUCGAGAUCCUGUGCUGCCAGUAGUAAAAGAAUUUUACACCAAUUUGGUAAGCCUUGGUCAGCACAACAUUUGGAUAAGAAACUCACUUGUUCCAUUAGACUCUCGAGUUAUAAAUUUUUUUUAUAAUUUACCUGCCGAAAUUAAUUGUGAGUAUGCCAAGUUGCUUGACAAAUUGACCUCGCAACAAUGGAACAUAAUUUUCACGACACUUACAGUAGAGGGUGCAUCGUGGGCUAAUGAGGAGGAGCGUGUAAUUAACAGGAUAGAUUUAAAACUCAUUGCUAAGGUGUGGGUGAAAUUUCUGAAAUCUAGGCUUAUGCCAACCACCCACACCACUACUGUUUCACAGGAAAGGUUGGUGUUGUUAUAUGCUAUUGUUAGAGGGCUUCCCAUAGAUGUGGGAAGUAUUAUCGAAAAAGAAAUUCGAGAUUGUGCCAUGAAAAACCACAAGGCUGCUGCCUUGUUAUUUCCUUCACUCAUAACCAGCAUAUGUGUAGUAUCAGGUGUUCAUCUUGAUGCAAAGGAUGAAAUUUGUAAUUAUAUUAUGGCUCCAUUUCGUAUAACUUUUUAAUUCGAACUUAUUUAAGGAGAAUUUUUAUUAGUAGAGUUUUUUAUAAAUAGAGAUUUUACUAAAAAAAAAUUAUAAUUAUUUAGUUGUCAAUGUCGAAAUUGAUGAACUAUUGUUCUUUUUGUUAACAUGUGUUUGUUUUACUUAAUAAUAAAAGUUAAGUUCACAAUUACACCGGUGUCAAAUCAGCAGAGCAUUUUUCCAGCCAGUCACAUUAUACAUUUUUGCAACUUGCAAUGCAAGCGAUGAGAGAAAAUGAGAAUCUUGUUUAAUUGUCAAUAAUGACAAACCUAAUCGUUUCAUUAGGUGUAAUUGCAUAAUCGUUUGUUAUAAUUGACUCUGUAUAAAGAAAGGAAAAUUAUAUUCGUAGAUUCGACUUUUUUUUUUUUAAGGUAAUUAAUCAUUCAACCAUCUUCAUUUGCCCCUGGCCACUGCCCUUGUAGAUUAGUUGAAGCGUUAAUUACUUAAUUCAGAUAAUUACAACGUCCUUUUCGCUAAUUAAUUAUGAUUAUAUACGUUUUCAUAUAGCAAGUGGCAUUGUAGAUCUAAAUUAUGUUGCUAUUUCAAUACGUUAAUUAAGUGAUUCUCCUCAUUGUCAUUAAGUGGAAAAUAGCUCAAUUGUUUCCCUGCAUCGAUUUUCAUUGGUAAGUGAUUUCUUAUGAUAUUCGUUUGAGCUUUCCUUAUUAAAAAAGCUUGAGCCUUGAUCACCUAAUACUGAUAUCAAUUUACUUGUGAACGAUUUUGUAAUGAAAUUAGGAGUUAAAUAUACAAGAUUUUUACCUGAUGAAUUUUGAUUUUUUUAAUUUUUUGAUGUAGUCAAUUUGCGAAUUUUAUAUAUUUCAUAUUCAACGGAAUUUGGGCACGGAAAGUUUGGAUUCUAAUAUUUAUAGAGUAAUGAUACAGCCACAAACUCUUGUACAAAAUUGAUGUGGCGUUAAUUCAUUAGUUGAAUUAAAUAUCUUUUUGCCCACAUGAUUUUUUUUUUUAUUUUUUUUUUUCAUUCAAUCAAUGAAUUAAUGCCACAUCAGUUUGUACAAAAUAAGUUUGUACAAGAGUUUGUGGUUAUAUCAUUAUAUUUAUAUAUUUAGCUUUAAUCAGUUUGACUUUAGCAAUCUUUUUCCCUCAUCAUUAAGGGAUUCAGAAUUAGAGAAACGCUAGGAAGAGGAAGAAAAUAACUUUGGAAAUAAGUAAGAGGGAAAAAAUUAUGAAAUUUUGAAUUAUUUUUUGUAAAGUAUGUUGCGUUUACUAAACUUGAAUUAGAAUGAGCUGAAAUCAGAAUGAAUAGGAAUGCGAAUGUGCUGAAAUCGGAAUAGGUAAUGAGAAUAAGAAUAAGUUGUUUACUUGAACUGUAAAAAUCAAAAUCGAAAUGAGCUGAAUUGCAAUUACUUUGUCUUGGAAGCGGAAUUAGAAUCGGAAUGAGUUAGAUUGUAACAAAUUACUAAAAAGUACUUAAUGAAUUAUUGUCAUAAUUAUUAUUUUAUAUUUUAAUUAUAGUGAUUAUUUAUUCAAAAAUUAUUAUUAUUAAUUAUUUUCAAUAAUAUAUUAAUAUGUUAAUUAAUUUUAAAAAUUAUUAAUUAAUUAAUUAUAAUAAUAUACUAAUUAAUUAUAAUAAUUAUAAAAAUAUAUUAAUAAUAAAAUUACUAAUUUAAUUAUAAUAAUAUAUGAAUUAAUUAUAAUAAUUAUAUUAGUAAUUAUUAUAAUAGUAUAUUAAUUAAUUAUAAUAAUAAAAAUAUAUUAAUUAUGUGAUUAUUUAUUCAAAAAUUAUAAUUAUUAAUAAUUAUUGUUAAUAAUGUAUCAAUAUAUUACUUAAUUAUAAUAAUAUAUUAAUUAAGUAUAAAUGAGGACAAAGGGGGUAUUUUUAAUUUCACGUAGGGGCAAAAUGGUCAAUUCUAGUAAUGGGAGACUCACUCCGACCCUCUCCCUUGGGAAUGAGUCUCCCAUUCCUCAUUCCCAAAUUGUGGUGGGCCCCAUAAUUUUGACUCUGAUUUUUGACUCAAUUUUGCGAAGUAAACGCUACCAAUGAUUCUGAUUUCGGAUUCUGAUUCACUUAUCCGAGAAGUAAAAGCAACAUAAAUGUGUAUGAAUAAUUGAUACCUAUGAAUAGUUUUGGGAGUUUUAGUUAGGAGUCGUUUAUUGAAGAUGUUUAGCAAUUAAAGAUCUCUGUCUCAGCAGUUUUCCCAAUCAAAAUCAAGAAGCAAAACAACUUGCCAUUUUUCUACUUGAUAAUUAAUUGAAAUUUAAGAAAAUACAAUGGCAUUUCAAUUAGAAAUGGUAAUUGUUUAUCUUUUUUCAUUGAUCAAAUUCUAAUCGUGAUCCAAUAGUUAUGGAUGAAGGAAAUAUUAUGAGAGGCGAUAGGCCAAGUGAAGACGUACCAGCAAAUUCAAAAUAGUCGGGAGGUGGACGUCCAGCAUAUCUCCUCUCUGUAGCACCCAGAUGUAUUGUUAUUUGCUCCAAGAAAUGUUAAAAGGAUUGGCCCUAUCUCAAUGUGGUUAGUGGUGAAAAAUUAAACACCAUGGAAGGAUUUGCAAGGAAUAUGCCAAGAAACUGGCUAAGUUCCACAAAUAUGGCAUUAUUGCUCUUUUUUUUUAAAGAAAAAUUAUACACGUUAAUUUAGCAAAAAGUCUAAGACACAUGCCUUUUGAAAAGAACAGCUAUUACCAUGACACAAUCGAUGCGGCUGAAACCAAAAUUUUCUUUUCUUAAUGUAAAGAUUUUUUUUAAAUAGAUUUUAAUAUCAAAAUGCCCUUCGAUGUUAUUACUGUCACAAGCCCUGUAACAGGAGUAAUAAAAAAUUUUAGAAUUUUUGGGCAUGAAAAAAGUAGUAUUAAGCAUCAGCAAGCAAAGGUUGUUCUGUUAAAGAAUUGAUAUUUUCGUGAUUUUAUUUUGGUUAUCGAGAAAAAAAAAUAUAUAUUUGUUGACAAGUAAGAAAAUAUUAUUAUAUUUUACAAUCUAUUAUACAUAUUUUAUUAUAUUAAAUAAUACUAAAUAGAAACAUAAAAUUAGAAUAAAAUAAAUUAAAAUUAAAAUUAUUUUGAAUAUUAUGUAAAAAAUAAUGUUAAUAUCAUUGUUACUUCUAAAAUAUAUUUAGCCCAAAGAUUUAUUUAAAAUUUUAUAAUAAAUAAAAAUAUAAAAAUAAAUUAAAUAUCAUAGUUUAAAAUCUUAAUAUUAUUUUAAAUAUUAAAAAUACUUUAAUGUUAUUAUUCUACUACACAUGUUAUAUUAUUUAUAUUAUAUUUGUAUUAAUUAAAAAUUUUAAAGUCAACUUUCUAGUAACUAUAUUCAAAGGUAUUAUGGUUAAAUAAAGGUCUUAGUGUUUCUUUUUCAAAAUUUGAGGGUCUACAUGAUAAUUUUUCCAAAUCCUAAGGUAUAGGUGUCCUUUUUGUCAAUAAUUUGAGAGAAUACGAUGAGAAAUAAGAUCAGAGAAAUGUCAAUUUAAUGUUCUCUAGCUUAAUGAAAAAAAAAAUGGAAACCAAGAACUAUUCAAUUUUGUAUUUUUUGUUUGUAAUUCAAAAAAUCCAUCCACCAAACAAGUUUCACGCAUUUAUGUUGUCAUAAAACAAAAAAACAGUUUGUGAAAAAAUGGCACCAAACAUACCCUUAAUGUCCCACAUGAUUUCUUAUGAAGCCCAUAUUAGAUAUAUUUAUACAUUUUACUGCAUUUAGGACAUAUUUGAUAGCCUGCAUUAUAUAGGAUAAAAACACAAUUUUGUAUUAAAUUAAUGCACACUCACGUUUGGCGCUAAAAGUAACUCCAGCCGCAUUGCAUUAAUGGGCUGCUAAUGCGGCAAUUGCCGCACUAGCUUGCCUCUUUUUCUUUUUAAUUUUAUUUAUAAUAAUAAUAAUAAUAAUAAUAAUAAUAAUAAUAAUAAUAAUAAUAACAUAAUAUAACUUUUUAUUUUAAUAUAAUAUUAUAUAAUAUUAAGUAUAAUUUUUAUUUUUACAUUAUAAUUAUUGAUAUAAAUUAAUAAAUGUAUUAUUUAUUAUUCAAUAAUAUUAUAUUAUAUAUUUUUAUUUUUACAUUAUAAUUUAUUAGUAAAUUUAUAAUUUAAUAUAAUUAAUAAUAAUAGAAAAUAUCAUUACAUGUACUACAAAACUCUUACUUUGAUUAUUUAACACAAUUUAUUUUAUUCGUGAAUAUGUUAUAACAAUUGUAUCACUUUAUUAUUUUGUUAUUAUUUUGUGGUAUGUAUAAAUUUUUAUUCUAUUAUCCUAGGAUGACUUUGAACUAAUGUUAUAGGUUUUAACUAUUUAUUUAUGUUGUUAUAUUAUUAGAGAUUAUUUGAUUAAAUUAUUUGCUUCGAUCUUUAUUUUGCAGGUCAUAUAUUUAGAAAUUGCUGAAAAAUAAAUGUUAUACUUCAAAAAAUUUAAGGCUAUAAGCUCGAUCUUUAUGAAGAAUUGUGAUAUUUUUUAACAUUUACACCAAAAAAAAUUGUUAAAUUUCUAAAAUUUAAGACUUCUAUAUUUAGUAUUUUUCUAAUUACUAAUAAGUAUUAUUUUCUAAAUAUAUAAUUUAAAUUAAUCACAAAAAAUUAAUACAGUACAGUGCAAUAUCAAAUAUAGUAUAAUAAAAAUUAUACAGUAUAAUGUAACACCAAAUAUUAUAUAAUAUUAUUAUAAUAUAGUACUAAUAUAAUAUAAUAUAAUACAAUAUAGUGUGCCAAACGCACCCUUAGAGUGUGUUUGGAACAUGGGAUUAUAGGGUAUUAAAACACUAUUCUUAUUAGCUUAAUACCAAUAUCAUGUUUGGAAAGAAAUUUUAAGGGAUUAAAGGGGGGUGAGCUAAUGCCAUAACUGCGGCAGUAGUGUCUUGGUUUUUUUUUUUAAAUAAUAAUAAAAAAUAUAAAUUUCUAAUUUUAUGUAAUAUUAUAUAAUAUUAAUUUUGAUUUUCUUUGAUCUUUACAUUAUAAUUAUUAAUAUAAGUUAAUACAUUUGUAAUUUAUUAUUCAUAUUUUAAUUUUUAUUAUAUUAAAAAUAUAACUAAAUAAUUUAAUUUUAAUUAUAUAAUAAUUAAUGUAUAAAAUUGAUUAAUAUUUAAUAAGUUAAUACAACUAGUAAUAAGUGCUUAAAUAAUACAUAAAAAUAAAAAUAUAACAUAAUAUUACAUUAUUUAAUUAUAUUACAAUAACUAAUAUAUAAAAAUUGAUUAUUAUUUAACAAUUUAAUAUAGCUAAUAAUAGAUACUUAAAUAAUAAUUUAAUAUAACUAAUAAUGAAUAUAUUUAAAUAAUAUUAAUUUAAAAUUAAUACCAAUAUAUAUAAUAAUAUAAAAUAUUAUUACAUGUACUGUAGUAUUCUUACUUGGAUUAUUUAGCGCAAUUUAUUUUAUUAGUGAAUAUGUUACAACUAUUGUAUCACUUUAUUAUUUAAAUUAAUCAAAAAAAUUAAUACAGUACAAGAUAAUACUAAAUAUUGUACAACAUUAUUAAAAUACAGUAUUAAUUCAAUACAAUAUAAGACAAUAUAUCUAUAUUAAAAUAAAAUAAUAUAAUUUAAUAUAAUACAAUAUGUCAAACGCACCCCGUGUAUUUUAAUUUCAAAAGAAGUUGGUCCUUCCUUUAUUUAUAAAAGAUAACUUUAUUUUCAGAUUACCACUAAACUCUGAAGUAGAAUUAGUGUAAUGUUAAGAGAGAGUGACACAGUUUUCCAUUACCAUCUAUGAAAAUAGAAAGAUAUGGAUCAGUGUAUUUAAGAGUUAUCGUGAAAAUCAUACAAUUCAAUUCCCUGACACAUAUAUUUAUGAGCAUAUGCCAAAAGAAUAAAUAGAUAGAAAGUAAAUUUACAAUCCUCACUUCCUCACAAUUGUUAAAAUGAAGACGCAUUACAACUGUGAACUGUCACUACUUUAUCCUUUUUUAUUUUUUAUUUUUUAUUUUUAGUUAUAGUGUGAUGGAGACAGUGAACAUCAAGGAUGAGAAUAAAAGUUAAAGAUGACCCACCCACUUUCUUUUUAAAGUGCUCUGCUGAAAGCCAAAGUUCCUCUGGCUAAUUAAUUUAGAUGUGAAGAGAGAAUAACGAUAUGUUAGAUUAUUUGGUAGACUAUAGACCUAAAAGUUCCUUCUGAAAUUAGAAAUACAUUUUAUAUGCUUUAAUUAUGAUUAUUUGGUAGACUAUAGACCUAAAAGACAUGUUAGAUUAUAAAAUAGUGCGAUUAAAAAAAAAAGAGUAUUUGUCACGUCAAAUAACAAUUGGUAACUAAAAUCCAAAAUAUUUCAGUUGUUAAAAUCAAAUAAAAAAAAAGAAGGUAAGAGUGAUGCAGAAACACAAUAUUAGCUUAUCUUGAUUUUCCCACUUUAUUCAUUCUCGAUGCUUUUCAAAAGAUAUUCUUCUACUCCUUCUGGUGUCUGCAGCCCCUUGUCACGGGAUGAGAGGUUUCGAGCCCGUGCGGCACUCUCACAUCCCAUACUACGAGAGUAAACCUAGUGGAAGUGGCACAAUAUCGACUAGUUUCGCCCUGCCUUGGGCUCAUCAGGAGAACGGCUCCAGUUCCCAACCAGUGUGUGUAGGGCUCUGAUACCAAAUUGAAGUUUAACCAAGCUAUUUAUGCUUGUUUGGUUGCAGAGAAAAUGAAGGAAAAUUCAAUGAGUAAUAAGAGAAACUAUAAGAGAAAUGGAUCGAAUCUUAUUCAAUGAAUUAUGAAUACAGAGGUUGACCUUAUAUACUAAGAUCCAGAACCUUCUGUAUUGCUCACACACGUGUUGAGAGUGAGCUGUGAUUAACAAACUUCUCAGCUCUAUAACAAACUUACAAACUAACAAUAACAGCCUUGCUUACUCAGCUACCACAUCAGCAGAAUCAUUACAAAAAUAUUCUUUAUAUUUAUAACUCUAACAUCCCCCCUCAAGCUUGCUGCGCAAAUAAGCAAACUGAUCAAAACAGAGGGGCUUAGUAAGAACAUCUGCUAAUUGAUCUGAACUGGGAACAUAAGUGACUGAAAGCUGCUGUUGAGCAAUAUGCUCUCUGAGAAAAUGAAGAUCAAGCUCAAUAUGUUUAGUACGAGCAUGAUAUUUAGGAUUACUGGCCAAAGCUUCAGCACUCUUGUUAUCACAAUGCAGAAGAGGAAUCUGAUCAAAAGAUAUGUUAAGCUCUUGAAAUAAGUAUGUAAUCCAGAGAACUUCAGAGGUAGCCAUAGCAAGAGCUCUAUACUCUGACUCAGCUGAUGAUCUGGACACAAUGGGCUGCUUCUUAGAGGACCAAGAGAUGAGAUUGGAACCUAAAAACACACAAUAACCUCCAACAGAUCUGCGAUCAUCAGGAUAUGCUCCCCAAUCAGCAUCAGAGUAGGCAGUUAACUUUAAAGAACCAGAACUGAAAAACUGAAGACCAUAAUCAGCUGUACUUUGAAGAUACCGUAACACCCUCUUGCAAGUUUGCCAAUGAAGAAUGGUGGGAGCUGAUAAAAACUGACUAAGCUUGUUGACUGUGAAAGCUAAGUCUGGUCGAGUUAACAGAACAUAUUGAAGAGAUCUCAUAAUGCUUCUGUAUAAGGAUGGAUUUUCAAAUGCAGCACCUGUAUCCUUGUGCAGCUUCUCAGAAGUACUCAUAGGUGUAACACAACCUUUACUGUCCAGCAUAUUUGCCCUUUUAAGAAUAUCACCAAUGUACUUAGUUUGAGAUAGAUGAAUACCUUGAACAGAUGGAGUAACUUCAAUACCAAGAAAGUAAUGAAAAUUCCCCAGCUCCUUCAAGGAAAACUCAGAAUGUAAUUGCUGAAUAACAUUUCCUAUGAGCUUUGAAUCUGAACCCGUGACUAAAAUAUCAUCCACAUAAAUGAGAAUGAGCAAGAUAUCUUUCCCUGCAUGCUUAAUGAACAGAGAAGUGUCAGAUUUGGAGACCUGAAAACCCCAUUAAAUUAAUGACUCCUUUAAUCAAUCAUACCAGGCUCUUGGAGCCUGUUUGAGACCAUAUAAGGCCUUGUUAAGCUUACAAACAUAAGAAGGGUAAGUGGAAUCAACAAACCCUUGUGGUUGAUGCAUGUACACAUCUUCAGUAAGAAUGCCAUUGAGGAAAGCAUUGUUUACAUCCAGCUGCUUAAUAGGCCAGUGAUGCAUGACUGCUAGGCUUAAAAUGAUUCUGACAGUACAAGGCUUGAUCACAGGGCUAAAUGUCUCAAAGAAAUCAACCCCAUAAGUUUGAUGAUAUCCCUUGGCAACCAACCGAGCUUUAUACCGAGAGAUACUGCCAUCAGCAUUAUACUUAACUCUGUAAACCCACUUGUUGCCAACAAUUUUCCCAGCUGAUUCAGGAGGCACUAAAGUCCAGGUUUGAUUUCUUUGGAGAGCUUCAAAUUCUUCAUUCAUAGCUGAGUACCACCUAGGAUCUGUCAAUGCUGCUUUGACAUUGGAUGGUUCAAGGUCUUGAGAAACAGCUAAGUAGGUUUUGGGUUUGUAGAUACCAGCUUUAGAUCUGGUAACCAUAGGAUGAGUAGAGAUUACUGGUGGAGAAGAAUUUGAAGAUCUUGAGGGUUGAUCUAGAGAUUGUGAAUGAACAGAAUGUGGCAAGGAAUGAGACUCUGAUGCAGGAGACAGAGCAGGACUAGAGACUGCAGCUGAUGGCUCUUCAUUGCUACUGUGACUAAGAACAGGUGUUUGAGGAAGAAAGAAAUGAACUGAAGAUGGAGUGGAGGUAGCAGAAUGAGAUAAGGUGUUGGACUUGUUUUUCAAAAACAGUUCAGAAUACAGAAAUUCCAGUUCAUUGAAAGUAACAUGUCUAGCAACAAAGACUUUCCCAGUUCGAUCAAGACACUUGUAGCCCUUAUAAAUGGGGCUAUAACCAAUGAAGACACACUUUUGAGUAUGAAAAUCUAGCUUGUGAUGAUGAUAAGGUUGAAGAAAAGGAAAACAAGAACAGCCAAACACUUUAGGAAACUUGUAAUCUGGAAGCUGAUUGUAUAGUUUUUGAAAAGGAGAUAAAUUAUUUAGAACAUGUGUUGGCAUUCUAUUCACUAAGUAAGUGGCUGUAUGAAAAGCUUCCCACCAAAAAGAGAGAGGUAAAUGAGCUUGAGCUAAGAGUGUGAGUCCAGUUUCAACAACAUGCCUAUGCUUCCUUUCCACCACACCAUUUUGAUGGUGAGUGUGGGGGCAACUAUAUCUAAAUUGAAUACCCUCUUGUUGGAGAAAUGAUCUGAAGGCUAUAAACUCACCCCCCAUAUCAGUUUGUAGUGUUUGGAUGGAUAAAGAAAACUAUUUUUCGACAAGAGACUUGAAAUAUUUGAAGGUGUCAAAUGCCUCAGAUUUGAGUGUGAGUGGAAAUACCCAACAAUAUCUUGUGAAAUCAUCAACAAAAGAAAUAUAGUACUUGUAUCCAUCCAUAGACAACACAGAAGCUGGACCCCAUAAGUCAGCAUAUAAGAGUUGGAGAGGAAAUUUUGAUUUUAUAUCAGUGACUGGAAAAUGGAAUUGAUGUAAUUUGCCAUAUUGACAAGCAUCACAAAAAUUAAGAGAUUGAGAAUAUGUUGAAUGCAUAGGAAGACUUUUCAUUAUUGUUUGCAAGACAUGUUUGGUUGGAUGACCAAACCUAUUGUGUAGCAACUGCAUAGACUCACUACUGGAAGCUAGAAAACUGACAGAAUUCUCAUUAUUGGAAUUGAUCAAAUUUGAACAGACAUUUGUUUGGUGAUUCAACUCUUUCAAAGAGUGUACAUUCUCUUUAUUUGAAAAAACAGACAACAUUGAACUAGGUUUGAGACCCAAGGCUUUAGAAUCAGAAAAAGGUGUAUCUUGAGUCAGUAGCUUAAAGAGACCAUCCUCAGCAAUCCCCUGUGCCAGCAAAGUUCCUUGCAUCUUGUCCUUAAUGAAACAAAGAUUAGAAACAAAUUUAAUGAUUAUAUGAUUGUCAGAGAGAAGUUUAGAUAAGCUAAUCAGAUUCUUGGUAAUUUUGGGAACACAUAGAACAUUGGAAAGGUUUAAUUGAUUACCAAAGGAUGUAAAGAGACAUAUAUUGCCUAUGGAAGUAAUUCUAAGACCUUGUCCAUUACCAACUAACAGCAACUGAGAUCCAAGAUAAGGUUUACCUUCAGCUAGGUUCUCCAUAUUGUUUGUGAGAUGAUGUGUUGCUCCACUAUCCAGAUACCAUCCUUGGUCAGCAACUCCUUCUGAUGUAGCCAUGAAGGCAGCUCUGGAAGUUUGAUUCUGAUCUGAAAAAUUUCCUUGCACAGAAAAAUUAGGAACAAAAUUUCUAUUAAAUAUGUCUUUGCAAUCAGCUGCAGUAUGAUUGUGCUUGAAACAAAUCUGACAAACAAUAUUUCCUCUGCCUCCUCCUCUUCCAAAUCCAUUAUAGCCACCAGGAAAUCUACCAGAAAAAUUUCCAGCAGCACCAGCAAAAUUGCCUCUACCCUGAUUUCCAUUCCAGUUAUUCCAAUUAUUAUUCCAUUGUCCUCUACCUGAAUUUUGUCCCCUUCCUGGAUUGAAACCUCCUCUAUUUGUAAAGUUUCCAUUCCAGUUAUGAAAUCCAGGUUUGUUUCCAGUGUUUCCAUUCCAGCCUCCUUGACUAUCAUUAUUCAAGCCUCCCUGAUUGUUAACUUUCUUUUGAUUAUUCCCAGCCUGAGCUAAGUUAGCAGCAUAGUUCUGUUUCACUUCCUUGAAAGAAUUAGAUUGAUUGCUUUCUAAACGUGCCUCAUGUGUCAACAACAUUGAAUAAGCCUCAUUAAUACUCAUUUUUAGAACAUUUGCUUCAAUAUACACAACUACUGGAUAAUAAGGCUGACCUAAUCCAGAGAUGAGAUGAGUUAUAAAAUCCAAAGAACUAACAGGACUUCCAGCAAUAGCAAGCUCAUCUAUAACUGACUUCAACUUACUAAAAUAUUCUGUCAUAGUCAUAGAUCAUUUCUUUAGAUUAUUCAACAUCAUUUUGAGAUGAACUUUCUUAGCAGCAGUUUCAGAUCCAAAUUGUUGCUCUAAACUAGACCACAGUUCAUAAGAGGUUUUAGAGUUUACCACAAGGCUGAGGAUUUCAAUGUUGAUAGAGGAUAGCAGCCAGCUCAGCAGCAUCUGAUCUUGCUUUCUCCACACAUGAAACUCAGGAUUCUCUUGUGAAGCAACAGUUGAACUUGCAGAAGUAUUGAACAUAGCAUCUGAAUUUCCUUGAGUGCUUGAGAGAAAUUGAUCUGGACAGAUUCUGGAUCCAUCAAGCAAACUCUCAAGCUCAUUUGCUCGAACUGAGGAUAGAAUUUGAGAUUUCCAGAUUAAGUAAUUUGAUCGAUCAAGUUUUAUUGGAGUUGUAAAAGUAAAGGUUGUUGCUGAAGAAGAGAUGUUUGUGGUCAAGCUUGAUAAUGCCAUGAGAUUAGACUAGACGUGGCUCUGAUACCAAAUUGAAGUUUAACCAAGCUAUUUAUGCUUGUUUGGUUGCAGAGAAAAUGAAGGAAAAUUCAAUGAGUAAUACGAGAAACUAUAAGAAAAAUAGAUCGAAUCUUAUUCAAUGAAUUAUGAAUACAGAGGUUGACCUUAUAUACUAAGAUCUAGAACCUUCUGUAUUGCUCACACACGUGUUGAGAGUGAGCUGUGAUUAACAAACUUCUCAGCUCUAUAACAAACUUACAAACUAACAAUAACAGCCUUGCUUACUCAGUUGCCACAUCAGCAGAAUCAUUACAAAAAUAUUCUUUAUAUUUAUAACUCUAACACGCUUAGUCUCCUCUUCAACGUUAAGUCCUCGACUAGCAACAAGCUCCCCAAACUCAACUGGGUUGGCCUGCCUGAACUCCAAGAAAUCUAGGAUCAUUGUAUUCCCCACACACACGCCCCUGAAGCACGUCUCCUACAAUUAGCACAACUAUUAUCGAUGCAAGUGUACAAGCACAUAUCUUCGGCAUCACAAUUGCAGUCCGUGACACCCUGCUCUUCUUAUAAAACUCCACCCCAAAUCUACACUACAAACAAGUUGAUUGAAAUUAAACAAUUGCUUUUUCAAGUGGACCCAUUGAGUCGUGGUCAUUACUCAUCAUUGUCUAUUUUUUCUAUGAGCCAUUUAUUUUGAGCAAUAGUGAGCUUCUCUGAACUACUCCAAUUAUUGAUGUAACUCCAGUGGCUGCAUCCAUAGUUGAAUAUAUGACAGUAUUAGCUCUUAUGUGAGAAUAUAGGGGGAUCUUUCUUUGUUUCUUUACGUAGCUAGAUGGCAUGUCCAGUGUUUGAAGGUUUGAAAGGGUGCAUAGCGGUGAAGGAAGACAUUUGAGCGAAGGGAUAUUCAAUUUCAAAUACUUCAAAUGGAAUAAAUUAUCUAAUCCGGGUGGAUAUUGGUCCAGGACUGCAGAAUCCAUGUUCAAUACCCGAAGGUGUUUGAACAUUUUACAAAAAUUCUCGCAAUCUAUCGGAUUAAGAUGAUCGCUUUCUGAACUGUGAUUCAGAAAAGAUUGGAGAUACAUGUCCGAAUGUUUCAAAGAAAAGAAUUCAAUCGGAUCAUCGAAAAUGAUGUACCGUUUGGUAUUUGCCAAUGAUUCCUCUUCGAAGUCAGGCGUCCGGACAAAUCCCAUCAUUGCUGCCGUCCCAACUAACGCAGCAUAUGCAAAAGUUGGAACAUAACACGCCUUAAUUGUGCCUCCGGCUCUUCUCUUAUUCACUUGAAUGAAGCCACGAUCGAUUAGUUCGUUCAAGUAAUGCUCGGCAGUUUCCUCACUGUUGUAUGGUAUGAAACCUUCAGCUACCCACAACUGAUAUAAUUGCCUGGUAGAUAUCUCAAUGCCUGGAUGGAACACACACAAAUAGAGGCAGCAGAUUUUCAGGUGAGCAGAUAACUCCAACACAGAAUACAUUCGACUCCAAGUUGUCAGAAACGCUUUUUCUCCCGUGUAAAUUCUUAAUGUCGUUUUUCCAUAGUAUAGGAUGAAAAAUUGCCAGGAUUCAUGCUUUAAUCUGAUCAAUGGUCCUCCAACGAGAACUGAAUCAGGACGAAUCGGCUCUCCAUUUUCUAAUUCGAACGAGCAAAGGAAGCCUGAAUCCGUGACCGUUAUCAAUACUCUGCUUCCAUUCUGAUUCUCAGGAAGUACUUCUUCAAGAUCAUCCAAUACAUCGUCACUCUCUUCACAGUAAUCAUCAAGCACAAUAAAGUACUUCUUGUUUGUUAGGUAAUCUCGAAGAAUAGAUUUCUUCAAUUGAUAAUCUUCACCGAUAACUACACUAACCCGAGAUGGAGGCAUCACAGACUUGAUUAUGUCAUCCAAUAUCAUGCGAAAAUCGUAGGCUAUAGAAACCCUGACCCAAGCAUGACAGUCAAAAUAGAACUUGACAUGAUUAUUGUUGUAAGUAUCAGCAGCAAAAGCAGUCUUAUCAAAGCCACUGCUGUCGAGAAUUGCAACCACUGAAAGCCGAGGUUGUCCCUCGAUCAGUAAAUCAAACAACUCCUCUCUGCCGCUUUCAAAUUCACUCUUAUCAAACUGAAAUUGUCCCUCAAUCAAUAAGUGAGUGAAUUCGUUCCUUCGCUCUUUGAAAUCAAAACCAUUUUCUCUAGGCGGAAUUUGUUGCAACCGAUUUCUAAUAUCAAUGAUUUUACUGUGGAUUCCGACAAGAAGAGCAAUGCAAGUAGUGCUUUCACUUUCACUGCAUUGCUGCUGCGUGAUGUUGAUGAAGAAUGUGUCAAUAGCUUUCUCUGAUUCAUCGACAAAGUAAUUGAUGUCUUUCAGAAGUUCCCAAAUGUCUGUUCUUUUAACAUUUUCUAAGUGCAAGAGUUGCCGAUAACGCGAAGGUAUUUCGUCUUCAUCGAAAUGUUCUCUAAUGAGUUGAAUCAAAACCCGAGCCAUGUCAGCUUCAUAGUUUACCUUCUUCACCUGCUAACACCCUUUUCAACCUCACACCAAAUAGUGUGAGGUUAAUUUCCAUAUCUUUCCCUCUGUCAGUAGUACUCAGAGGUACGUAUUGUUAUUUGUUAGUGUUGAUGACGAAAGCUGAAUAUCAAAGGAUAUAAAUCAAACAAAAGUUUUUGUAGAUUGAGAAUGGAUGGAUGCAAAGAAUGACUGAUGUUAAAUGAUUCUAUAAAUGAGAUAUGCAAAGAAUGAAUGAUAUUAAGUGAACAUCAAGGAUGGGAACAAAAUUUAAAGGUAAUUUUUUUUUUUAAGUACUCUGUUGAAAGCCAAAGUUCCUUUGGCCAGUUAAUUUAGAAGUGAAGGAAUGAAUAAAGUUAGUCCUCGACGUCUUUUGAAAUUAGAAAUACAUUUUGAAUGCUUUAAUAGAUGCAGAGCAAACUGGCUCGAUAUCUAACUAUUUUAAGAGCUAAAAUCAUUUAUUAGAAGUUGUAGCAUUAAAAAAAAGGGCUUGAUAUCCAAUUUUGUUAUUGAAUAUGUCUCACGUGAGAGUAUAUAACUGUUGUGUUACUGGCAGAUGGCUACGCUAGGUUUUAUUGCUCCCUGAAUUUGAUUGAAAAAUUAUUGAGACGGACAAGUUUGGACCGUCGUUCGAGACUGAAACUACAUAUCAGUCUUAGAAAAUUGUAAUUUUGUUGGCUUAUCAUGAUUUUCAUCGCCCCAUAUUGAUUUUCCUAUGAUGUCUCUGUAGAGUGGCUAUGCUUACAUUUUUAGGUAUUUACUUCUAAAGGUUAACUUAUUAGAUGGAGGGACCAAUUCUACCUAUAAAUCCAAGUGGCUUCCCUUUACUAACUCAUAUGAGACACAACAAUAAUUUUCUUUGGACAAAACCAUUGUUGGAAGGUUAUUUUCGUUCAACAUACAUGAGUUGUUCCACCGCUAUAUUUUGAGGGUUUGCUUUGGAUACGACUUGGGGGAGCUAAUGCUAAGAUUUCUAAGUAUCAACAUAAAAACCUUGCCUAUUAGGUGGAAGGACCAAUCCUACUUUAAAGUCUAAAUGACUAAUUCUUGAGGACACAACUCAACAGACCAAUAUAAAAUUUUGACGUCCCAUUUUAUUACUUUCCAGUGCUUUUACUUUUGCUGUCUAGAGCCCUACUAUUCUAUUAAGCAGAAAAUAUUUCAAGGCACUCUCGGUCUAGUAGAUAACUUUGGUAUUUAUUAUCUAUUGGGAAAAUGACACAGACACCCCCAACGUUUAGUAAAGGGACACAAAACUCCCUAAUGUUUGAAAAAAGACAUACAGACCCCCAUUUCAUGACGGAAACAGUUUCGUUAAAUCAGUCAAAGGUUAAUAUCGUAAUUGCACAUUAACAACAAAUGAAUUGACCAAAAACCCACACACGAACAAAACGCUUAACACACGCACUGACACUGCUCCUUCCAGAUCUUGACAAAAUCCUUAACGGACACACUCACACGGUUCGCCGGAAACUGCUGGAAUUGCUGGGGUUGCCGGAAGUCGCUGGAACUGCUGGGCCUGCCGGAAGUCGCUGGAACUGCUAGGGCUGCCGCAAGUCGCUGGAACUGCUAGGGCUGCCGCAAGUCGCUGGAUCUGCUCGCGCUGCCGCAAGCUGCUGGAUCUGCUCGCGCUGCCGCAAGCUGCUGGAUCUGCUCGCGCUGCCGCUGCGUUGAUCGAGACCGCAUCUGGCUGCUGCUCGUUCGUGUGGCUGCUGCUCGUGCGUGGUUGCUGCUCGUUCACGUGGUUGCUGCUCAUGCAUCUUCAAUCCACGGUUCACUUAUCUUAAACUAGCUUUUCCCUCUUUAAUUUUCUUUUUUUUUUACUAAAUUAACUUUAUUUCUUUUUAUUAUCAUUCAAAAUCCACCAGAAUUUUUGAGAAUUUUUGGACAAUUAAUUAAUUUUGGAGAAUUUUAGACAAUUAAUUUCACCGAAGAAGUGAGCUUACCAUGGGCAUAAUGCCAAAAAAGCUUGUACUGGUUUAUUGGAGAUUUAUUGUGCUUAAUUUAUCAAUGAAAAGCUUGUACUGGUUUGCAUAUGGUAACAAAUAAAAGCAGGCAAUACUACAACGACGUCCCAACAAGCUAUGAGAGGAAGUUCACAAGCUAGGAGCCAGAGUUGUCAUACAAAUUUGUGAAUAAAUAAUGUUUUUUUCUCAAAAAAAUAUUAUGGUUAUUGUUGUAAUGAUUACCAGUAUCAAUUUGAUACAAUAUUAUGAUAUAAGGAUUAUUUGUUAUGUUUAUUGGUGGUUUUUUAUGUCUAUUUGAUAUGUUAUUUAGUACAAUUAAGAUGUUGUUAACCAGUUUUUUUUUUAAAUUUUUUUUAUUAUACUGGUUUAAAUGAUUGACAUAUGAAGAAUUGUUAUUUUUAUAGUAUUAAUAAUUAAUUUUAUUUAUUUUUAUUCUUGAAUAAUGGAUUAAAAUUAUUUAGCUUGUAGAGAAUUUGAUAAAAAAUUAUUAAUGAUUUUAUUAUAAAAAAUUUAAUAGAGAAAUUGGAUAAUGAUGGUAUAUUCGUAAUUUUAUUAAUAAUAUAUGGGUAAAAUAGACAUUGAACAAUUUUUUUUUAAUGCUAAAAGGAUAUAACGGUAAUUACAUGUUAAAAUUAUAAUUUCCGUUACUAACGGUUUUCGUUAAGAAAUUGAGGUCUGUAUGUCUUUUUUCAAACAUUAGGGAGUUUUGUGUUCCUUUACUAAACGUUGGGGAUGUCUGUGUCCUUUUCCCUUAUCUAUUUUCGUUCCGUUUUAUGUAUACCCCGAUCUUUACCUCUGAUUGGUUGUAGAUUCUUUUGUUGCUUUGGGGUUAGGGGAUGGUUUUCAUAACUAUUAAGUUAAUCAAUGCAGAAAAUCUCCAUCAACAAAUGAUAAAGGAUUGUUAGUUCUGUCUGACAAACAACAUUAAUAUGAAGGAUGAUGAUUGUUCUGUUCAAGAGUUUAUAAUGACAUAAUUCUACUUUGGUCUUUUAAAAAAAGUAAGUUAGAAACGAGGAGUAUGUGAGUGAUGAUUUUUACAAAAUAAAUUGCAUGCAUGGUGAUGAUUUUGACACAUGAAAAUGAAAAAAGAAAUAUAAAUUGUGAAUAAUAAUUGAAGUACCUGCUAUUGUUAUAUUGAGUAAUCAAGGACUUCAAUAUUCGGACGAUAUAAGCAACACAAUCAAAUAUUAGUUGGAAGGCAUAGCAAAAUUAGAAUGUAGAACAAACUGGGUAUUGAUAAAUGGAUGGUUUUGGAAGAAUUGAAAAUGAUGGCAUAAGUAAACCAGAGUUAAAAGAAAAGAGAAAGAGCAUUUGAACUUUACUUGUAAGUAAAGGCAAAUUUCUUGGUUCAAGAAAAGAUAAGAGAUAUCAAACUAGCAAUAGGAAAAAGGAGGAAGGUUAAGACAGCAUCUCAACAAAAGCUAAAGAAAAGAAAAACUUAGUUCAAGCAAAGAACAAUGUGCUAAUGUCUGUGUAAUCUUGUUUAAUUUCUUUUUCUUCUCACAUUUUCCAGGGCUUAAAUAAUACAAUAUACAUUUUCAAGCAAAGAACAAUAUGCAAUUGCAGUACUUCUGAGCACACAACAACAAAUAAAUAAUACAAUAUACAUACCCACUAAAUUAAAAAAAAAUAUUAUUCAAGUUUGUGGACAAUACUGUAGCCAUGACGUCGUCGAAAUCUGCUGACAGCUGAAACAAAGAAAGAAUGGAUGAAUGCUGGAUCACAGUUGAAAUUGAAGGUCUGGUAGGUGAUGUUUCCCUCUCUGAUUUUACCUAAACAAAUACAAGAAAAUAAGAAUCACAAAUGAAAAUCUGCUAUUACACUGUUCUUACUUAUUAAAAUACAGAGGUUUCUUUGUUUCUCUGCAGCAAUGUCCAUGGCUAUUAGAAACAAGAACAAUUAGACCAGCAUUUGCAAGAGUCCUUUAAGGUAUUACUGCAGAUAUAAAUCAAGACUGAGGAAAUGGAAAAAUUGAAUACCAAAUUAGGCAAGUUAACUGAAGAUUGAGUUAUCAUAGAAGAAUAAAACUCAUCCAAUUCAAUCCAUCAAAUUCCAUAAGGAUACAACUGGAUGUCAUACUGCUGCUCCAUUUCCUCAAAAGCCCGUAGAUUUUGCCUCAACACUGGCUGAGGCCAAUGUAACUCCAAUUUGCAAAAGCUCUUUAUGCACCAUAGCUCUUCAGGAAGCUUUCUCAAGUAAGCACAAGGGUUGCCAAUUAAGCUUCCAAGUUUUGGCAUUGCUCCAGCCCCUAUCAUCCAAUCCUCUAGCCAAUACAUUGAUUUCAGGUGCAAUACCUUGAGCUCCGGGAAACCACAAGAGCAAACACAAGACAGUUUUCUUCCUGAAUAUGAGUUCUGCCUCAAUUUCAGCACUUGAAGGUGUGGAAGCUUGUCUAGUGUUAGCAUGGUAUCCUCCAAUAACUCAGUAUUUGAUAAGCUUAGAUGGAUCAGACUUGGAGAAGCUGGUAUUUAGACAGGGCCAUACGUGAGAACUACCACCUCUUGGUUUCGUUCACCAGCUUCAAGCAUUCAAGUUUGUGUAGUUCGCAUAGGCUUUUGGAAACCCCAGAACAAUCAUAAUUCAAAUCUCCAGAUACUACGAGUUUGAAGAUUAGGUAGUCUGCCUGUUAAAGUAGCUCACUAUGCCGAACAAAAGAAGGAGAAAGCUAAAGUGAAGAAAAUACAGAGCAAGAGUAUUAGCUGUGCCAGUUCAACUGAUAGCUCAGCAAAAUCAGUUAAAUUUUGUUACAAGCCCACUGUGCAUUGUGCUGAAGAUUAGUUAGUUUAAUAAUGAUUAGUUUUAGAUUAGUUAAAAUGUAAUCAUGAUUAAGAUAUAUAUAUAUAUAUAGCUGCUGUACUGAUAUCAUGGAUUAAGUUGUUGAGAAAUAAAAUUCAUUAAGCAUUUCCAGAACAGUUGAUUUUCUUUCUCAGUAGCCAAACAACUUCAAUCUCGUUUUUUUUCAACAAUGAGUUCUCAAACCACUCAAGUAUCAUUUUCAGAGAUUCUUGGCCUUAUACUCACCAUCAAAAUGGAUUGGUUGAGAGAAAACAUAGGCAUAUUGUUGAAUUAGGUUUGACUCUGUUGGCUCAAGCUCAACUUCCUUUUAAAUUCUGGUGGGAUGCAUUCCAUACUGCUCUAUAUCACAUCAAUAGAUUACCAUCUUCUGUUUUCAAACUUUUGACCCCAUAUGAGAAGAUAUUCAAGCACAAACCUGAUUAUGAUUUUCUCAAAUGUUUUGGUUGUAUUUGUUAUCCUUACUUGAGAGACUAUAACAAAAAUAAGUUUGCCUAUCAUUCCAGAACGUGUAUAUUCAUUGGUUAUAGUCCUUCACAAAAGGGUUAUAAAUGCUUACAUUCUUCAGGUCAAGUCUAUGUGGCAAGACAUGUUAUCUUUGAUGAGUCAACCUUUCCUUAUGCUACUGAAUCUGUUUUUCAUAGUCACACAAAUUCUGAUUCUCAUUCUUCAAAUUUAUUUCUCCACAGCAUGUCUAUUAUCUUUCUACUUUACCUGUCAUACCAGUAUUUCUAAAUAACAACACUGACAAUCUAAACUCUACAAAACUAAAAUGCCAGCUUUUUGGUGUUAGCGAUAAGAAACAACUUACCACAACCAUUAAUUAUCCAUAAUUUCAUUGUUUAUCCUCAGUUUUCUUCAUAAAUGUUACAGCGUUCUUCACAACAAAGUGCAAGGGCAUCUCAAAAGUUCUAAAAUAAUACCUCAAUUCUAUUGCAAAAAUAAAUAAUCUCAAACAAGAACCAAUAAUCAUAUGAAUAAACAAUUAAAGAUAGAGAAAAAAGGCUUAAACCUUGGGGAAAAAAAGUGAAAAAACAUGAAAGACAAAUUACACAUGUGCAGUAACCAUCGAACUUAUCAAUGACAGCUGCAUCCAUUACAUUGCUCCAACAACACAAUGGCAAACCACCAGUUUCAAAUUGAGGAUAGCUAUCGAGAAUGAGAAAGUGUCCAAAACGUCAUCAAUAGACAUGUUCCUAUUGUGCAUAAUUUACAUUAUAGGCAAAUAUUCUUAUACCAUCAAAGGCAAAACAUGACACUAACAAUUGAUCCCCCCCCCCCCCCCCCGUCCCCCCAACAACAAAAAAAAAAGGAAAAAACAACACAGAAAAGAUUGAAACAGAUAAGGCUACACUGAGCACAGGAUGCCAUGAAACAUAAUCCAGGAACCAAAUUAAUAAAAAAGGAAGCCAAACCAUUAUUUAACAAUCUGUUUUGUAUUUGGGAAAGUCUGAUAAAAUCUACUUAGGGAUAAUUAGAGAACCUCAACUAUUAAUCACACCUCAUAAAUGAACUAACAUUAACCAUCCCCACAUCACACAAACAUUCUAACCUAAUACUUCCAUCUUCAAUUGGGGGUUUUUUUUCUUUUUUUUUUGUUGGGGGGGGGAGCUUGCUUAGCUUCUGUGUGGGAUUGAAAUGCUGAUUUCGAAUCACUAACAGUAAAAUUGGAAUCUCAUGAAAAAACAGUUUUAUCUUAAAAUUACAUCUCGAUAUAAAUUCUCUUUUCAUUUCCUUCAACUUUCUAAUUAAGCUUAAAAAAUGUACCUUCAACCACAAAGGGGUUUAAAAUUUAAAAUAUAAAAAAUAAAUUCAGAUAACAAUAAUUAAUUUAAUUAAAAAUAUAAAUAGAGUUACAGAGAAAGAGAAAAUAGAGAAAGACCUAAUGUUGAGUCCUUUGGCGCAAGUCUCUUCAUAGGUCCGAACCAUUUCUUCGGGCGUGGGUUUCGGGUCUUUAGGAAACUCCAUAGUGAUAAGCCAGUGAUUGUAAUCGCAACCCUCGAACAGAAUCCUGUCGGGUGUGAUCUCGUCGCCG